rnacentral:lncRNA from 1 species
CGGCAUGUUAUUCCUGGAGAAGAAUUUGCACAUCGGCACUACACUUCCUAAAGGAACCAUGUUUGCACGAGAUGGUGCACCAAAGUCUGUUCAUUUUGCCUCUACUCCAUUGGAGUCAAAGUACUUGACAACCAUCCUUUCACAUUUCAUGAUACCUCAUGGCUCGACCAAGGCAAAGCAGGUAGCUGACCCCCUUCGUUCAUGCGGCAAACCGGUUGACAAGGAGGAGCCUCACAUGUGCUUCUCAUCUCGUGAAGCAAUGUCAAGGUUCGCCACCAGAGAAUUAGGGGUCAGUGGUGCACGAGCAGCCAUUACAAGUGAAAGAUCGUGGAUGUCGCCUAGAGGGGGGGGGGGUGAAUAGGCGUUUUAAAAUAAUUACGGUAGAGGCUCGAACAAAUGCGGAAUAAACCUAGCGGUUAAUUUGUCAAGCACAAAACCUACAACAACUAGGCUCACCUAUGUGCACCAACAACUUAUGCUAAGCAAGGUAAGCAACAAAGUGAUAGCAAGAUAUAUGACAAAUAACAAUAUGGCUAUCACAAAGUAAAGUGCAUAAGUAAAGGGCUCGGGUAAGAGAUAACCGAGGCACGAGGAGACGAUGAUGUAUCCCGAAGUUCACACCCUUGCGGAUGCUAAUCUCCGUUUGGAGCGGUGUGGAGGCACAAUGCUCCCCAAGAAGCCACUAGGGCCACCGUAAUCUCCUCACGCCCUCGCACAAUGCAAGAUGCCGUGAUUCCACUAAGGGACCCUUGAGGGCGGUCACCGAACCCGUACAAAUGGCGACCCUUGGGGGCGGUCACCGAACCCGUACACUUUGGCAACCCUUGGAGGCGGUCACCGGUACCCGUCAAAUUGCUCGGGGCGAUCUCCACAACCUAAUUGGAGACCCCGACGCUUGCCCGGAGCUUUACACCAUAAUAAUUGAGCUCCGAACACCACCAACCGACUAGGGGGCCCAAGCACCCAAGAUAAACAAGCUCAAGGGCACCAAGCACCCAAGAGUAAUAAGCUUCUCAACUUGUAACUUCCACGUAUCACGUGGAGAACUCAAACCGAUGCACCAAAUGCAAUGGCAAGGGCACACGGAGUGCCCAAGUCCUUCUCUCUCAAAUCCCACCGAAGCAACUAAUGCUAGGGAGGAAAAUGAGAGGAAGAACAAGAAGGAGAACACCAAGAACUCCAAGAACUAGAUCCAAGGGGCUCCCCUCACAUAGAGGAGAAAGUGAUUGGUGGAAAUGUGGAUCUAGAUCUCCUCUCUCUUUUCCCUCAAAAACUAGCAAGAAUCCAUGGAGGGAUUGAGAGUUAGCAAGCUCGAAGAAGGUCAACAAUGGGGGAAGAACACGAGCUCAAAGGAUAAGGUUCAAUGGGGAAGAAGACCCCCUUUUAUAGGACCUCCCGAAUCCAACCGUUAUGCUCACAGCCCGCAUCGAGCGGUAGUACCGCUUGACAUCACGGUACUACCGCUAGGGGUAGCGGUACUACUGCUCGGGGUAGCGGUACUACUGCUUGCGAGCGGUACUAAAAAAUUACAUCCGUGCCUACCACCGCUGGACUUGUGACGAGAUUUUGGUCCCGAGCGGAAGUAGCCACGGAAGUAGCCGCGGUAGUACCGCUCCCAAGGGCGGUAGUACCGCUCCCAAGGGCGGUAGUAAAAAAUUACUUCCGCUCCUACCCGCGGUACUACCGCUGCAGCCUUUUCAGAACACCAAAACUGCCACAACUUCUUCAUUCGGACUCCGAAUUCGAUGAAACCAAGUUUGUUGGAAAGCUAGCGACAAGGGCUAACACAAUCUUGAAAGAAAUACCAAUAAUAAGCAAAUGAGAAAAGGCCCAAAAGAAAAUGGUGAGAACCCUUCCUCGGAGAAGACCGGUAAAACCUCCAACACCGAAAACAUCAUAGAAGACGCAUGCAAACUCCGUUUUCGAUGAACUCAAGCUUGUCAUAAAGAUGACCAUAAGCUCUAAGACUCACAAAGAGAAUCAAACAAGAACCAAGAAACAUGAUGAAAGGAUGCAAUGGUUUGAGCUCUCGACGAACGAUACGAUCAAGCUACUCACUUGAGAGCCCCCCUUGAUAGUACGGCUAUCGAUCCUAUAACCCGGUCUCCCAACUACCACCAUGAGACCGGUAAAAUAGAAAACCUAUCAAGGGCAAACAUUUGCCUUGCACAUGGUCCAGUUGAGCUAGAUGAUGACGAUCUUGACUCCCUCAAGUUGGACCACCUUUCUUGAUUGCAUUGGCUCGAUGAAGACUAGAUGAUUGCUCCCCCAUAGUUCACUAUGGGUGAGCGACUCUUCGGCACAUAUUCACAAGUCCAUUGACACCACAAUGGAUGGCAAGAUUCAAACUUGAUUGCUCCCCCAUACUCCAUUAUGGGUGAGCCACUCUUUGUGUUGCUCCACUUGAACUUGCACACUGCAAACUUGAUGACGAUCACCACUUGAUGUCAUCCUCCAUGGGUUGUAUGGGAUCUUCCUCUUGACGCAAGACCAUGGAAACAUACCUAACCCCACAAAGAACUCUCACGUAGACCAUGGGUUAGUACACAAAGCAUAAUGGACAAUGCUUACCAUACCAUGGGAACACUUGGUCCCACUCGGUACAUCUUCUAUGCUUUGUGAGUUGAUCAACUUGAUUCACUCUUGACUUAGUCUUGAUCAACCUUGAAUCUUUCCGACUCUCUUCAUUUGGAUGAUGUCUUGAAGGUAAAUAUGAAUGAUCACACAAUCUUCUUCUUCAAGACAUGCUUGCAAUAAGCUCAACACUCACAUGACCAAUCUUUGGAUAAUUCCUUAAUAGCACCUUGGUCAACCCAUAAACUCCUUGAAACCAACACAUGGACUUCAAGAAAUGCCUAUGGAAACAUCCUUCAAAUAUAACUCGAUGCAACCAUUAGUCCAUAGAGAUUGUCAUCAAUUACCAAAACCAAACAUGGGGGCACCGCAUGUUCUUUCAAUCUCCCCCAUUUUGGUAAUUGAUGACAAUCACUUUCAAGAGAGUUUAUACAAGGAAUUAUGCAUCACCAUGCAAUGCAACAGCCAAUGAUGCAUGAGAAUGAGAUGCAAAUACUAUGGAGCAAAACUAAAGCAAGAGGAGAUAACUCUCUAAACUUCUCCACAAAACUCUCUGAAACUCCUCCCCCAUUGGCAUCGAUUGCCAAAAUGGGUGAAAAGCUUAGAAUGCCAAUAUAAGGAGUGUUCCUCCAUAAAUUGCGUAUCUCUCAAAAAGAGAGUGAAAUGCCAUACACAAAUCCAAUGGUAAAUACUUGGAGGAAGACAAACUAUAUUGAGGCACAAAGAUUGCUAAAGAAUGAUAUGACACAAAGACAUAACAGAGAGAGACACAAGCAAUCAUACCAAUUGAAGCAAGCAAUCAACGGAUAUCAAUUGAACCUACUAGACCAAUGAUCCUACAUGCAACAAGAAUAAAGAUAUUAUGAUAAACGCAAAGGAGUGUUCUAAAGAAACUAGAGAAGCUCCCCAUGAUUUGUGCACACAUAAGAAUUUUUGUAUUUGAAUACAAAGUGCACAAAAUAGGAUCAUAGCUCCCCCAAAAUCAAUAGAAACUCACAUCCAGUGCAAGUGAGCAUAUAGGAAACAAAGCCUAGCGCUUGCAACAAGUACAUGGUUGAGCAACAUGUAAAAGAGGCAACUUAAGAAUAGGCUCAACCAACAUUACGUGUGUGAGUCAUGGCGAAGCACUUGAGAGGACUAAAAUUAGGAUGAGCAUUAGGCAUCAACAUAGUCUUGAAAUAAUGAGGCACACGGUGCAAGGCCUAUCAUUCACACACACACAACUAGCAAGUGGGUUCACAAGCUUACUAAUAAGCAUAUAAAGAACUUAUGCUUGUGACAACCCGUGGUGAAGAUAGAAGAUGAAAGCCUCAUCAAGACGAGGGAUGCCAAUUAAGAUGGCAAAAACCUUGUAAAGAUAAGCAUGAGGAAAAUAAUCUUCACCACACAAGAGUGCAUCAAGAUGCAACGAUAGAGGACACACACUCAAGGCAAGAGCUUUCACGGAGCCACCAAAGAAAUAACAUAAGAAAGACAGGGAGGACGUGAAAGAAAGGAUAUCAACUAGAGAUGUAAUUUCUCUCAAGUGUAUAAGGUUCUAUGUAGACGAAUAUAUCUACAAAGAAGGAUGUACACCCGAAAUAGAUACAACACGAAGGAACAAGAUAUCCACAAGGAAGUCAUAAAUAUACCAAUAAGAUAUUUGCUUGGAAGCAUAGCACUUGGCUAGAUAUGGUCUUAUUGUAUAUAAAUGAAUUCCAAUCACACAUCCAUCAAAGACAUCACAACGAGCAACAAGAGAUCAUCAUUGGGAUGCUUUGAGAAAGGAAACAAGUAUCACAAGAUAUGAAAUGAAUAUCAUGCCAAGAUGCAACCUACACAAGGUUGAAUGCAACAAGGGAAAGCAUGAAUAGAUACUUGUUACCGAGAUAUCAUUGGAAGGAAGUAGUAGAUACCUAGUAGUUCAUUGAUCAUCCUAGCUUGACUCCAAUAUGCACAUGGUGACAACACCUUCCUUGUGAGUGAGCCGAGCAUCCAAUGUAUCUCCAAAUGUUCCUAGAAGAACAACACAAACUAAACGGUACCCACACUCAACGGGACCAAAUAGUUAGAAACACCAAUACAUAGGACAAACUCCACAUAAAUAUGUGCAUAUAGAUAUGAUAAUGAAUUUCAUGCACAUCUCAUCCAAAUUGAGACUAGGUGGAGUUUCCGCUAUAUAUCGAGUCAAAGAAAGAAAGCAUGCCAAAUGAAAUACAUGAAGUAAACAUGCAAGCUCAAGACUUUCAAAACCCGAAACCAAAAGACGACGAAAUGCCAAGUGAAAAGGAUACCAAAUGGAGAAAUCAUCACUUGGAAGAUAUCAUAAAGAUACAUCAAGGAAUGAGAUAUCCAUUGAUACCCACUAAACUAAAGAUGUCAAACUCCCAAAGAGAGGAUGGUUCCAAACAAACCAAGCUCUCGACAAAGUUUCAUGAUGGCACAAAGUACCAAAAGAAAAAGGCUUGCCUUCCACCAACACACUUGAUAAGGAUCACAAAAAAAAGUGUUCUAAAGAAAAUAGAAUAGCUCCCCCACGAGUUGUGCAUUAUAUAGGAUUUGUAUUUGAAUACAAGAAGCACAAGGUGGGAUCACCGCUUUCACUAUAUCUAGAAAACACUAGACAAGAACAAGAAAUAAACAAGAUCCACAAGUGGUAUGGAAGACAACGGGAGUUGACACAAACCUUGGCAAGAGAAAAAGCAAGUAAAACAAAAGCCAAUGUAAAGAUGAUCAACAAAUUCUACCACACAUAAGACUACCAAUUGUCAAAGACAAGAAGUAUUUGGUAAUAAUUCCCGGUGGUAGAUAACAAGGAUAUCCGACAUCAUCUUCACACCAACCACAAGCAAAUUGCAACUUGUAGAGCUAACAUGCCACCUAGGAACAAGAUAAUCUACAAUAUCAAUUCUAGGUGACAAUAUCUCAAUUGUACACAUUUUCUAGGCUUGUAAUAUGCACUUAACAUAUUACUCCCCCAUAAUGUGAUACCAAUAAGAACUUAACAAGAGGCAAUAAGAGGAACAACCAAGAGAUAAUUAAUGGACUAUUUAGAAUUUGAAUUUCUCAUGAGAGAUAUACCACCUAGCGACUAGAUAAUAUUGUAAUAUCAAUACUAGAUGGUAUUCCUCAUGUACACACAUUUAUAGGAUUGUGAGGUGCACAAAGCACAUCACUCCCCCAAAAUGGGAUGUUCCAUCAAUCUCUCACACGAGCCAACUAGAAUACAAACAAGAAGCAUAAAGGCUCAACGCAUGACACACACGUACAUGAUGUGCAAACCAACACACACAUACUUGAUUGCUCAAGGUAAGCACGUUGGAAUCACAACAUAUACAAACACAUGCAAGGAACAAAACCAAAACAUGCAAGGGGGCAAGUAACUUUCAAGGUAAACAAUUUUAAGUACAAGUUACCGCAAGGAGGCACAUUGGAUAUAAGAUAGAAACUUGAUAAUCCAAUUGACUUGGCUUGAGACAAAGAGAAUGAUGAAGUCCCCUUAAUUCUUCAUAAUUUAGCCAAGUCUCCAAUGCCCUCCAACAACACCUAUUGAUCAAGUUUGAGCUUGUUGGUCCCCAACCAAGUUGGGUCCUAAGAGGUUAGUCACAAUAGGUUUGGCUACCCAAAUGGUUCUUUUCUUGACACCACUUUGAGUACCAACAAACUUGGCAAACACAUUGCCAACCUUAUCCGUCCCAAGAGAAUAGAUAUCAUCAAUAAUAAUUGGGUUGGAUAAGUUACCACUAGUGCAUGAAGAAGCGACGUGACCUUUCUCACGACAUAAGUAGCAACGUCUACUCUUCACUUUCUUCUCAUUUGAUUUCUCAACUUGAGAAGCAUUAGCUUGAGUCUUCUUGGGAAGAGGCCUUUCUUCAACUUGAGGUUGAGCAUGAGAAUGCAAUUGUAGCCGCUUCCCUUGUUGCUUGUCACUAAUAGCCUUCUUCUUCAAUGGGCAAGAUCUAACAUGAUGCCCUUCAAUUUUGCACUUGAAGCAAAUAAUCUUGGCCGAAUCCUUGACUUGUUUUUGGCCCUUCUUCUUGUUGAUCUUGGACUUAUUCUUCUUGUUGGAGUUGAAUCCAAGUCCACCUUUGUCAUUGGGGGAUUUUUGCACACUCAAGAUAUUGUUGAGUGUGGAUUUCCCUUGAUGACUCUUUUCCAAGUCUUUCUUCAAGGAAGUGACUUGGGCCUUGAGCUCUUUGAUUUCCUCUACAUGGUUAGUCUCAACACAAGUACUAGAGGAAGUAUAAGCUUCAUCAUUAGAGAAACAAGGCAAGGAAAGCAAUUCAUCGCAAGAUGUACCAACAUUGUGAGUAGAUGAAUUACAAGGACUAGCACAUGGCAAUAUACUAUUUUGACUAGAAGUAGUGCUAGUAUCCACAUGAGGCUCACUAGAUGUUACCUUGGCAAUCAUGGCCUCAUGAGCUAUGUUUAGCACACUAUGGGAUACUAGAAGAUCAUCAUGAGAGCUUGAGAGCUUUUCAUGACUUUCUUCCAAUUUCCCAUAAUUGCUAGAUAGCACCUCAAGUUGAGCCCGUAGCUCAACAUUCUCCUUCAAAAUGGAUGCUUCACAAGUAAUAGAAUUAGUAGCACAAGCAUCAUCAUUAACAACAAGAGGAGAAGGCAACUUGGCAAGCUCUUUGAGAUAAGAAGCUUCAAGUUGGGCAUGAGACUCGGUGAGUUUGAUGAGCUCACCCUUGAUGACCCUUGAGCCAUUUUCGAGGUGCUCAAAAUCCUCAAGGAGUCUAGCAUGAGCAACUUCAAGCUUAGCAUGUUUAGUUUUAAAAACAUUGGCCACCUCAAGGGCUCUAUCAAUAGAUUCCUUCACUCUAGACAAUUCUAGAGCAAAAGUCUCCUCAAGAGAUUCCUUGGUCGUUUGUUCAAGUUCAAGAGCUUGAGAGAGGUCCGCAAUCUCAUUAGCGUAAUCACGCCCAUGACCUUCCAGUUUAUCAAUGGUGACCUCAUGCUCCUCAAGACGAGAUUCCAACUCAUCAAUAUAUUUCUUGCUCUCAAUAGCAAUGGACAUGAUUUCCAUGAAGUUGGAACGAGCAAUUUUACUUUUAUGAAGAGCUUUAAAAACCAUUUCCCCCUUAAUUUUUAAGGAGGUAACAUUAUCAUUCUCUUCAUCAUUAUCCUCAUCAUCAUUAGCAUCAACAUCAUCAUCAAGAGACAUAUUGGGGUACAAAGUAGGAGAUACCUUUGACGCCUUAGCCAUAAGGCAAAACGCAAUAGAUGAUGAUGUAGGAUCCCUUGAGGCAACAUUAAGCACCACAUCUUGUUCCAUGGAGUGUUCGGUUUCCUCUACAUUGUUAGCACAACAAUUCGAGGAAAUAGAUGCAUUUUUAUCAUGGCAACAAGACAUAGCAAGCAUUUCAUCAUGAUAUUUAGUCAAGCAAUUUCUAGAUGAUAUGCAAGGACUAUCAACACAAGCAUGUGAAACAUUUGGAGUGCUCGAAGUGUUAAAGCCCAAAGAGGGAGCAUUACAAUAAUAUAGUGAUGAAGGAUCAUCCACAAUAAGCAUACUAUCAUCAUUGCAAUGACCAACACUGCUCACCAUAUCAUUAACUUGUGGCAAACCACAUGUAGGUGAAGUAGUAGAAGUUGAGAAGACUAUAUGACCGGAGGUGGAGGGAGAACAACCAUCCCCACAAAUCUUGGACACACCAUAUUUAUCUUGAAGCUUUGUCCAUAACUCAUGAGCAUCCCGGAACGGCAUGAGUUGAAAUGUAACUACAUUGCUCAAAGCAUCGAAAAGCACAUUAGAGGUUUGAGCAUUGAGAUAAGAGUUUUUCUCAUCCUCUAAAGAUAAUCUUUGGGGAUCCUUUGGAGGAGAAAAACCCAUAUCUACAAUUCGCUCUAAAUUUGGGUCCAUGACCCUAAAGAGAUUAAGCAUGCGAAUAACCCAAACAUCAAAAUUUGUGCCAUCGAAACUAAGAGUGUCAGAGAAUCCUAAUCCUCUAGUCGACAUCUUUACUAUCUAGGCGGUUAAGCCCAACAAAGAGAGACGAGGCUCUGAUACCAAUUGAAAGAUCGUGGAUGUCGCCUAGAGGGGGGGGGGGUGAAUAGGCGUUUUAAAAUAAUUACGGUAGAGGCUCGAACAAAUGCGGAAUAAACCUAGCGGUUAAUUUGUCAAGCACAAAACCUACAACAACUAGGCUCACCUAUGUGCACCAACAACUUAUGCUAAGCAAGGUAAGCAACAAAGUGAUAGCAAGAUAUAUGACAAAUAACAAUAUGGCUAUCACAAAGUAAAGUGCAUAAGUAAAGGGCUCGGGUAAGAGAUAACCGAGGCACGAGGAGACGAUGAUGUAUCCCGAAGUUCACACCCUUGCGGAUGCUAAUCUCCGUUUGGAGCGGUGUGGAGGCACAAUGCUCCCCAAGAAGCCACUAGGGCCACCGUAAUCUCCUCACGCCCUCGCACAAUGCAAGAUGCUGUGAUUCCACUAAGGGACCCUUGAGGGCGGUCACCGAACCCGUACAAAUGGCGACCCUUGGGGGCAGUCACCGAACCCGUACACUUUGGCAACCCUUGGAGGCGGUCACCGGUACCCGUCAAAUUGCUCGGGGCGAUCUCCACAACCUAAUUGGAGACCCCGACGCUUGCCCGGAGCUUUACACCACAAUGAUUGAGCUCCGAACACCACCAACCGACUAGGGGGCCUAAGCACCCAAGAUAAACAAGCUCAAGGGCACCAAGCACCCAAGAGUAAUAAGCUUCUCAACUUGUAACUUCCACGUAUCACGUGGAGAACUCAAACCGAUGCACCAAAUGCAAUGGCAAGGGCACACGGAGUGCCCAAGUCCUUCUCUCUCAAAUCCCACCGAAGCAACUAAUGCUAGGGAGGAAAAUGAGAGGAAGAACAAGAAGGAGAACACCAAGAACUCCAAGAACUAGAUCCAAGGGGCUCCCCUCACAUAGAGGAGAAAGUGAUUGGUGGAAAUGUGGAUCUAGAUCUCCUCUCUCUUUUCCCUCAAAAACUAGCAAGAAUCCAUGGAGGGAUUGAGAGUUAGCAAGCUCGAAGAAGGUCAACAAUGGGGGAAGAACACGAGCUCAAAGGAUAAGGUUCAAUGGGGAAGAAGACCCCCUUUUAUAGGACCUCCCGAAUCCAACCGUUAUGCUCACAGCCCGCAUCGAGCGGUAGUACCGCUUGACAUCACGGUACUACCGCUAGGGGUAGCGGUACUACUGCUCGGGGUAGCGGUACUACUGCUUGCGAGCGGUACUAAAAAAUUACAUCCGUGCCUACCACCGCUGGACUUGUGACGAGAUUUUGGUCCCGAGCGGAAGUAGCCACGGAAGUAGCCGCGGUAGUACCGCUCCCAAGGGCGGUAGUACCGCUCCCAAGGGCGGUAGUAAAAAAUUACUUCCGCUCCUACCCGCGGUACUACCGCUGCAGCCUUUUCAGAACACCAAAACUGCCACAACUUCUUCAUUCGGACUCCGAAUUCGAUGAAACCAAGUUUGUUGGAAAGCUAGCGACAAGGGCUAACACAAUCUUGAAAGAAAUACCAAUAAUAAGCAAAUGAGAAAAGGCCCAAAAGAAAAUGGUGAGAACCCUUCCUCGGAGAAGACCGGUAAAACCUCCAACACCGAAAACAUCAUAGAAGACGCAUGCAAACUCCGUUUUCGAUGAACUCAAGCUUGUCAUAAAGAUGACCAUAAGCUCUAAGACUCACAAAGAGAAUCAAACAAGAACCAAGAAACAUGAUGAAAGGAUGCAAUGGUUUGAGCUCUCGACGAACGAUACGAUCAAGCUACUCACUUGAGAGCCCCCCUUGAUAGUACGGCUAUCGAUCCUAUAACCCGGUCUCCCAACUACCACCAUGAGACCGGUAAAAUAGAAAACCUAUCAAGGGCAAACAUUUGCCUUGCACAUGGUCCAGUUGAGCUAGAUGAUGACGAUCUUGACUCCCUCAAGUUGGACCACCUUUCUUGAUUGCAUUGGCUCGAUGAAGACUAGAUGAUUGCUCCCCCAUAGUUCACUAUGGGUGAGCGACUCUUCGGCACAUAUUCACAAGUCCAUUGACACCACAAUGGAUGGCAAGAUUCAAACUUGAUUGCUCCCCCAUACUCCAUUAUGGGUGAGCCACUCUUUGUGUUGCUCCACUUGAACUUGCACACUGCAAACUUGAUGACGAUCACCACUUGAUGUCAUCCUCCAUGGGUUGUAUGGGAUCUUCCUCUUGACGCAAGACCAUGGAAACAUACCUAACCCCACAAAGAACUCUCACGUAGACCAUGGGUUAGUACACAAAGCAUAAUGGACAAUGCUUACCAUACCAUGGGAACACUUGGUCCCACUCGGUACAUCUUCUAUGCUUUGUGAGUUGAUCAACUUGAUUCACUCUUGACUUAGUCUUGAUCAACCUUGAAUCUUUCCGACUCUCUUCAUUUGGAUGAUGUCUUGAAGGUAAAUAUGAAUGAUCACACAAUCUUCUUCUUCAAGACAUGCUUGCAAUAAGCUCAACACUCACAUGACCAAUCUUUGGAUAAUUCCUUAAUAGCACCUUGGUCAACCCAUAAACUCCUUGAAACCAACACAUGGACUUCAAGAAAUGCCUAUGGAAACAUCCUUCAAAUAUAACUCGAUGCAACCAUUAGUCCAUAGAGAUUGUCAUCAAUUACCAAAACCAAACAUGGGGGCACCGCAUGUUCUUUCAACAAGGAUUCAUGGGAAUGAGACCCCCAACUCCAUGUACGUUGUGGAACAGAUCACCCAACUCAACAAUAACGUGGUGCCAUGCCAUCCUAUGAAUUUUCCGUACGAGGUUUUUUAUUGCCAUCGGUCGAAAGAGGUGCAGUCUUUGAGGGUGCAACUCAAGGGUUUGAAAGAUGGCAUGCCGCAUGUGACGGCAAUAGCCAUGUGUCACAUGAACACAUCUAAUUGGGACACCCAGUACUUUGAGCUAUUAGACGGAAAGCGUGGUGAACGUAUUUGCCACUACAUGCCUACCAAUUACAUCAUGUUCUAUUAGAUAUAUUUAAAGUUCCUAUUGAACUAUGUAAUCUAGUUAUCCGAUCAAUAAAGUGUGCCGAGUGGCUGUAUUUUUGUUAAAAAAUGCUUAAUCUAGUUAUCAGAUUCUGGGAGUUUUUGGACUGCUACCGACCAAGAUUUUCUUUUAUUGCAUCCCAAGUAACUCUAAUUAAUUACCAAUGAUGAUGCACGUGCGCAUUAUUAGUUAUGCUUCUCGUCUGCUCGGACGAGCCAUUGUUGGCUUCCGCCACCCCGUCGAUAGUCAAGGAGAGGUGGACCUAUGUCAUCUUGGUCGUCCCUAGUGAAGGAGAGAUAGGUCCACAAUGUCUCGGACGCUGCCAUUGGAAGAUAUAACUUCAGGAGAAGAAGGGGUCACUGCUAGGCGAUACACCGCCACUGAUCCUCCUCUAACCGUAUACCCCGUAGUGCGGCACUACCGGAGAAACGAGAGAGGGAGUGGCGCAAUCGAGAGACGGGCUAGAACAUGGUUAAGAGUGAGUGGAUGGGAUUAUGUGUUGUUCCGCCGAUUUAGAGGAACUGUUGCAUUCCAGAUUUGAGGGUUACAUUCCCUUUUACGGAAUGGGUGCAUUCACGUUCUCUUUCCCAACCAAACAUAGGAACGCGUGCCUGGGGCAAAACUGUCCCCGUUACUUUUCAUGUGAUGUCACCAUCUAACGGACCCUUAGAUACUGUAUGGGGAAACACGACUUGUCGUGCAUUGCCCGUAGAAGUGAUGGGCAAACCAACAUGAAUAAUCAAGUUGAAGAUCAAUAAACUUUUAACAAGCACCGAUUAUACAUAUAAGGUGAGAUAUAAGCAUGUAAAUAUUCUAUUCACAAUAAGCUAAUUUUUUUUGUAAUUGAUUUGACUCCAUUGUUUUUUAACACAGUACAAUCAAAGACGGUCACAUACACGCACAUAUACUCACCCCUAUGAACGCACACACGCACACCGACAUAAUAUCUUGAGCUUGACGAAGUCAUCACAUGUGCCUCGUAGUUAAUGAAAACGUGUCCUCCCGCUGAACAAACAUCGCCGAAAAUCCUGAAAUAUAUGCAGGUAAAUGCGUGCACCAGUGCCAAAUUUAGAACUUACACUCUGAUGGUCUAGUUUCACCACAAAGAACCUAACCAUCAGAGUUAGGCUCAAUUGUCAUUUGGCUCCAUUGUUAAUUAUUAUGAUACUAGACUAUUUCUCCAAUAUCAUAUUUUUAUUUAGUCACCAUGACAUGGAGCAAGGUAAUUAAGAUAUCUAAGCCCGGGUUAAUUAUAAUACACCAAAAGAUUAGUGCAUAUACAGGAAGCUGAAUAUAUAUAGAGAGAAUUUGAACUAGCUAAGAACCCGGCUAGGGUGAAUUCCCAGUGUUACGGAGAGCUGCACCGGGGCGUUGACAUGUGGAUUUGGUUUUCUUGCCAGUUUGGAUUUGAUUUCAGGACUGGAUUUUUUCGUGCUGCGAUUUGUACGGUUUCUGCAAUGCCACCCUUUUGACCACACUGCUUAAGCAAGAUAUUCUCUGCCCUCUCGACCUUUUUGCGUCAACCAACCUCAUCACAAGUCUCGUUCCCGUCACCUCUCUCCUCUCGCCAACGCGAUUUCUCUCGGCUUAACAACUCCUCUGCCCUCGCCUCUUUCGAUUUUCUUUCGUUCUCGUGCUCCUCUCUUCUCUCAGCAUCUAGCAGAUGCGAUACUAGCUGGAGGCAAAUGCUCGGAGCAGCGACCCAAGAUCUCUAGGGGAUUCACCCAUCCUGGGUAGGUUCCACCAUAAGCUGAGAUAUAAGCAUGUAAAUAUUCUAUUCACAAUAAGCUAUUUUUUAUAAUUGAUUUGGCUCUCAUACAUCUCCAUUAUAUCUAUAAUUUUUUAUUGUUUCAUGCCAAUAUUACACAACUUUCACAUAUUUUUGGCAACAUUUUAUAUGAUUUAUUGGACUAACAUAUAGAUUCAUUGCCCAGUGUGAGUUUCUGUUUGUUGCAUGUUUUUUUGUUUCGCGGAAUAUCCAUAUCAAACGAAGUCCAAAUGCAAUAAAAUUUUACGGAGAAUUAUUUUGGACUAUAUAUGAUUUUUGGGAGGUGGAAUCAAUGCAAAAGGAGGCCCACAACCCCCACAAGACACCAGGGCGCGCCCCAGGGCUCAGGCGCGUGGUGGUGGAUUGUGCUCUCCUCGUAAGGCGGUUGCUACUUGAUACGUCUCCAACAUAUCUAUAAUUUUUUAUUGUUCCAUGCUAUUAUAUUAUCUGUUUUGGAUGUUUUAUAUACAUUAAUACGCUAUUUUAUAUUAUUUCUGGGACUAACAUAUUAACCUAGAGCCCAGUGCCAGUGCCAGUUCCUAUUUUUUUUCCUUAUUUUAGAGUUUCACAGAAAAGAAAUACCAAACGGAACAAAACUUUCGCGAUGAUUUUUCUUGGACCAGAAGACAUCUAGAGGACUUGGAGUGCAAGUCAGAGAAGCCAUGAGGCGACCACAAGGACGGAGGGCGCGCCCCCACCCUUGUGGGCCCCUCAUGACUCCACUGACCUAGUUUCUUCGCCUAUAUAUUCUUAUAUAUCCCAAAACCAACAGAGAGAGCCACGAAAACACUUUUCCACUGCCACAACCUUCUGUACCCAUGAGAUCCCAUCUAGUAGCCUUUUCUGAUGUCCUGCCGGAGGGGGAUUCGAUCACAGAGAGCUUCUACAUCAAUAUCAUUGCUGAAAGAACAUGCGGUGCCCCCAUGUUUGGUUUUGGUAAUUGAUGGCAAUCUCUAUGGACUAAUGGUUGCCUUGAGUUAUAUCUGAAGGUUUUGUCCAUAGGCUUUUCUUGAAGUCCAUGUGUUGGUUUCAAGGAGUUUAUGAGUUGACCAAGGUGUUAUUAAGGAAUUAUCCAAAAAUUGGUCAUGUGAGUGUUGAGCUUAUUGCAAGCAUGUCUUGAAGAAUAAGAUUGUGUGAUCAUUCAUGUCCACCUUCAAGACAUCAUCCAAAUGAAGAGAGUUGGAAAGAUUCAACACACAAAGCGCACAAGAUGUACCGAGGGAUCAAGUGAUCCCAUGGUGUGGUAAGCAUUGUCCAUUACGCUUUGUGUGCUAACCCAUGGUCUUCGUGAGAGUUCUUUGUGGGGUUAGGUUAGGUGUGCAAGUUCAGGUGAUGUAUCACGAAGAGAUCAAGUGCUUGAAGCUUGCCGUCCAUUGUGGUGACAAUGGACUUGUGAAGAUGAGCGGAAGAGUGGCUCAUCCAUAGUGGAGUAUGGGGGAGCAAUCAACUAGUCUUCAUCGAGCCAACGCAAUCAAGAAAGGUGGUCCAUCUUGAGGAGGAGUAGAUCGUCAUCAUCUAGCUCAAGUGGAUUUUGUACAAGGCAAAGGUUUGCCCUUGAUAGGUUUUCUAUUUUACCGGUCUCAUGGUAGUUGUGGGAGACCUAUUUAUAGGAUCGAUUGCCGUACUAUCAAAGGGGGCUCUCGAUGAGUUGCUUGAUCGUAUCAUUCGUAGAGAGCUCAAACCAUUGCAUCCUUGCAUCAUCUUUAUUGGUUCUUGUUUGGUUCUUCUCCUUGUGAGAUUUGGAGCUUUUGGUCAUCUUGAUGACAAGCUUGAGUUCAUCGAAAACGGAGUUUGCAUACGUCUUCUAUGAUGUUUUCGGUGUUGGAGGUUUUACCGGUCUUAUCCGAGGAAGGGUUCUCACCAUUUUCUUUUGGGCCUUUUCUCAUUUGCUUAUUCUUGAUAUUUCUAUCAAGAUUGUGUUGGCCCUUGUCGCUAGCUUUCCAACAAACUUGGUUUCGUCGAAUUCGGAGUCCGGAUGCAAAAGUUGUGGUUGUUUUGGUAAAGGCUGCAGCGGUACUACCGCGACUAGAGAGGAUGUAAUUUUUUACUACCGCUCCAGAGCGGUACUACCGCGGCUCCUGAGCGGUAGUACCGCACCAGAGCAGUACUACCGCGGCUCCUAAGCGGUAGUACCGCUCCGAACCAAAAUCUCGUGUUUUGCUCAGCGGAAGUAGGCACAGAAGUAUUUUUUUAGUACCGCUCGCAAGCAGUAGUACCGCUACCAUUUGCGGUAGUACCAUGAGGUCGAGCGGUAGUACCGUGAGGUCGAGCGGUACUACCGCUCCGAAGGUUCUUUUGGCCUUUUUGCCUCCUCGCUGUUGUGUUUCAAAGGGGUUCUACCGCCCUAGCGGUAGUACCGCUCCUUGGAGCGGUAGUACCGCUCUGUGCGGGCUGUGAGCAUAACGGUUGGAUUCGGGAGCUCCUAUAAAAGGGGGUCUUCUUCCCCAUUCAACCUUAUCCUUUGAGCUCGUGUUCUUCCCCCAUUGUUGACCUUCUUCGAGCUUGCUAACUCUCAAUCCCUCCAUGGAUUCUUGCUAGUUUUUGAGGGAAAAGAGAGAGGAGAUCUAGAUCCACAUUUCCACCAAUCACUUUCUCCUCUAUGUGAGGGGAGCCCCUUGGAUCUAGUUCUUGGAGUUCUUGGUGUUCUCCUUCUUGUUCUUCCUCUCAUUUUCCUCCCUAGCAUUAGUUGCUUCGGUGGGAUUUGAGAGAGAAGGACUUGGGCACUCCGUGUGCCCUUGCCAUUGCAUUUGGUGCAUCGGUUUGAGUUCUCCACGUGAUACGUGGAAGUUACAAGUUGAGAAGCUUAUUACUCUUGGGUGCUUGGUGCCCUUGAGCUUGUUUAUCUUGGGUGCUUGGGCCCCCUAGUCGGUUGGUGGUGUUCGGAGCUCAAUCAUUGUGGUGUAAAGCUCCGGGCAAGCGUCGGGGUCUCCAAUUAGGUUGUGGAGAUUGCCCCGAGCAAUUUGACGGGUACCGGUGACCGCCCCCAAGGGUUGCCAAAGUGUACGGGUUCGGUGACCGCCCCCAAGGGUCGCCAUUUGUACGGGUUCGGUGACCGCCCUCAAGGGUCCCUUAGUGGAAUCACGGCAUCUUGCAUUGUGCGAGGGCGUGAGGAGAUUACGGUGGCCCUAGUGGCUUCUUGGGGAGCAUUGUGCCUCCACACCGCUCCAAACGGAGAUUAGCAUCCGCAAGGGUGUGAACUUCGGGAUACAUCAUCGUCUCCUCGUGCCUCGGUUAUCUCUUACCCGAGCCCUUUACUUAUGCACUUUACUUUGUGAUAGCCAUAUUGUUAUUUGUCAUAUAUCUUGCUAUCACUUUGUUGCUUACCUUGCUUAGCAUAAGUUGUUGGUGCACAUAGGUGAGCCUAGUUGUUGUAGGUUUUGUGCUUAACAAAUUAACCGCUAGGUUUAUUCCGCAUUUGUUCGAGCCUCUACCGUAAUUAUUUUAAAACGCCUAUUCACCCCCCCCCCUCUAGGCGACAUCCACGAUCUUUCAAUUGGUAUCAGAGCCUCGUCUCUCUUUAUUAGGCUUUACCGCCUAGAGAGUAAAGAUGUCGACUAGGGGAUUAGGAUUCUCUGACACUCUUAGUUUCGAUGGCACAAAUUUUGAUGUUUGGGUAAUUCGCAUGCUUAAUCUCUUUAGGGUCAUGGACCCAAAUUUAGAGCGAAUUGUAGAUAUGGGUUUUUCUCCUCCAAAGGAUCCCCAAAGAUUAUCUUUAGAGGAUGAGAAAAACUCUUAUCUCAAUGCUCAAGCUUCUAAUGUGCUUUUCGAUGCUUUGAGCAAUGUAGUUAUAUUUCAACUCAUGCCGUUCCGAGAUGUUCAUGAGUUGUGGACGAAGCUUCAAGAUAAAUAUGGUGUGUCCAAGAUUUGUGGGGAUGAUUGUUCUCCCUCCACCUCCGGUCGUAUAGUCUUCUCAACUUCUUCUACUUCACCUACAUGUGGUUUGCCACAAGGUAAUGACAUGGUGAGUAGUGUUGGUCAUUGCAAUGAUGAUAGUAUGCUUAUUGUGGAUGAUCCUUCAUCACUAUAUUAUUGCAAUGCUCCUUCUUUGGGCUUUAACACUUCGAGCACUCCAAAUGUUUCACAUGCUUGUGUUGAUAGUCCUUGCAUAUCAUGUAGAAAUUGCUUGACUAAAUCUCAUGAUGAUAUGCUUGCUAUGUCUUGUUGCCAUGAUAAAAAUGCAUCUAUUUCCUCGAAUUGUUGUGCUAACAAUGUAGUGGAAACCGAACACUCCAUGGAACAAGAUGUGGUGUUUAAUGGUGCCUCAAGGGAUCCUACAUCAUCAUCUAUUGCGUUUUGCCUUAUGGCUAAGGCGUCAAAGGUAUCUCCUACUUUGUACCCCAAUAUGUCUCUUGAUGAUGAUGUUGAUGCUAAUGAUGAUGAGGAUAAUGAUGAAGAGAAUGAUAAUGUUGCCUCCUUAAAAAUUAAGGGGGAAAUGGUUUUUAAAGCUCUUCAUAAAAACAAAAUUGCUCGUUCCAACUUCAUGGAAAUUAUGUCCAUUGCUAUUGAGAGCAAGAAAUACAUUGAGGAGUUGGAAUCUCAUCUAGAGGAUCAUGAGGCCACCAUUGAGAAAAUGGAAGCUCAUGGGCGUGAUUACGCAAAUGAGAUCGCGGACCUCUCUCAAGCUCUUGAACUUGAACAAACCACCAAGGAAUCUCUUGAGGAGACUUUUGCUCUAGAAUUGUCUAGAGUGAAGGAAUCUAUUGAUAGAGCCCUUGAGGUGGCCAAUGUUUUUAAAACUAAAAAUGCUAAGCUUGAAGUUGCUCAUGCUAGACUCCUUGAGGAUUUUGAGCACCUCGAAAAUGGCUCAAGGGUCAUCAAGGGUGAGCUCAUCAAACUCACCGAGUCUCAUGCUCAACUUGAAGCUUCUUAUUUAAAAGAGCUUGCCAAGUUGCCUUCUCCUCUUGUUGUUAAUGAUGAUGCUUGUGCUACUAAUUCUAUUACUUGUGAAGCAUCCAUUUUGAAGGAGAAUGUUGAGCUACGGGCUCAACUUGAGUUGCUAUCUAGCAAUUAUGGGAAAUUGGAAGAAAUCCAUGAAAAGCUCUCAAGCUCUCAUGACGAUCUUCUAGUAUCCCAUAAUGUGCUAAAGAUAGCUCAUGAGGCCAUGAUUGCUAAGGUAACAUCUAGUGAGCCUCAUGUUGAUACUAGCACCACUUCUAGUCAAAAUACUAUAUUGCCAUGUGCUAGUCCUUGUAAUUCAUCUACUCACAAUGUUGGUACAGCUUGUGAUGAAUUGCUUUCCUUGCCUUGUUGCUCUAACGAUGAAGCUUAUACUUCCUCUAGUACUUGUGUUGAGACUAACCAUGUAGAGGAAAUCAAAGAACUCAAGGCCCAAGUCACUUUUUUGAAGAAAGACUUGGAAAAGAGUCAUGAAGGGAAAUCCACACUCAACAAUAUCUUGAGUGUGCAAAAAUCCCCCAAUGACAAAGGUGGACUCGGAUUCAACUCCAAUAAGAAGAAGAAGAAGUCCAAGAGCAACAAGAAGAAGGGCCAAAAACAAGUCAAGAAUUCGGCCAAGAUUAUUUGCUUCAAGUGCAAAAUUGAAGGGCAUCAUGUUAGAUAUUGCCCAUUGAAGAAGAAUGCCAUUGGUAACAAGCAACAAGGGAAGAGGCCACAAGUUCAAUCUCAUGCUCAACCUCAAGUUGAAGAAAGGACACUUCCCAAGAAGACUCAAGUUAAUGCCUCUCUUGUUGAGAAAUCAAGUGAGAAGAAAAUGAAGAGUAGACGUUGCUACUUAUGUCGUGAGAAAGGUCACCUCGCUUCUUCAUGCACUAGUGGUAACUUAUCCAACCCAAUUAUUAUUGAUGAUAUCUAUGCUCUUGGGAAGGAUAAGGUUGGCAAUGUGUUUGCCAAGUUUGUUGGUACUCAAAGUGGUGUCAAGAAAAGAACCAUUUGGGUUGCCAAGCCUAUUGUGACUAACCUCUUAGGACCCAACUUGGUUGGGGACCAACAAGCUCAAACUUGAUCAAUAGGUGUUGUUGGAGGGCAUUGGAGACUUGGCUACAUUAUGAAGAAUUAAGGGGACUUCAUCACUCUUAUUGUCUCAAGCCAAGUCAAUUGAAUCAUCAAGUUUAUAUCUUAUAUCCAAUGUGCCUCCUUGCGGUAACUUGUACUUAAAAUUGCUUACAUUGAAAGUUACUUGCCCCCUUGCAUGUUUUGGUUUUGUUCCUUGCAUGUGUUUGUAUAUGUUGUGAUUCCAACUUGCUUAUCUUGAGCAAUCAAGUAUGUGUGUGUUGGUUUGCACACCAUGUACGUGUGUGUCGUGCGUUGAGCCUUUAUGCUUCUUGUUUGUAUCCUAGUUGGCUCGUGUGAGAGAUUAAUGGGACAUCCCAUUUUGGGGGAGUGAUGUGCUUUGUGCACCUCACAAUCCUAUAAAUGUGUGUACAUGAGGAAUACCAUCUAGUAUUGAUAUUACAAGAUUAUCUAGUCGCUAGGUGGUAUAUCUCUCAUGAUAAAUUCAAAUUCUAAAUAGUCCAUUAAUUAUCUCUUGUUUGUUCCUCUUAUUGCCUCUUGUUAAGUUCUUAUUGGUAUCACAUUAUGGGGGAGUAAUAUGCUAAGUGCAUAUUACAAGCCUAGAAAAUGUGUACAUUUGAGAUAUUGUCACCUAGAAUUGAUAUUGUAGAUUCUCUUGUUCCUAGGUGGCAUGUUAGCUCUACAAGUUGCAAUUUGCUUGUGUUUGUUGUGAAGAUGAUGUUGGAUGUCCUUGUUAUCUACCACCGGGAAUUAUUUCCAAAUACUUCUUGUCUUUUGACAAUUGGUAGUCACUUAUGUGUGGUAGAAUUUGUUGAUCAUCUUUACAUUGGCUUAUGUUUUACUUGCCUUUUCUCUUGCCAAGGUUUGUGUCAACUCCCGUUGUCUUCCAUACCACUUGUGGAUCUUGUUUAUUUCUUGUUCUUGUCUAGUGUUUUCUAGAUAUAGUGAAAGCGGUGAUCCCAUCUUGUGCAUUUUGUAUUCAAAUACAAAUCCUAUAUAAUGCACAACUCGUGGGGGGGAGCUAUUCUAUUUUCUUCAGAACACUCUUCUUGUGAUCCUUAUCAAGUGUGUUUUGGUGGAAGGCGAGCCAUUUCUUUUUGGUACUUUGUGCCAUCAUGAAACUUUGCUGAGAGCUUGGUUUGUUUGGAACCAUCCUCUCUUUGGGAGUUUGACAUCUUUUGUUUAGUGUGUAUCAAUGGAUAUCUCAUUCCUUGAUAUAUCUUUAAUGAUAUCUUUCAAGUGAUGAUUUCUCCAUUUGGUAUCCUUUUCACUUGGCAUUUCUUUGUCUUUUGGUUUCGGGUUUUGUAAGUCUUGAGCAUGCAUGUUUACUUCAUGUAUUUCAUUUGGCAUGCUUUCUUUCUUUGACUCAAUAUAUAGGGAAAACUCCACCUAGUCUCAAUUUGGAUGAGAUGUGCAUGAAAUUCAUUUUCAUAUCUAUAUGCACAUCUUUUUGUGGAGUUUGUCCUAUGUAUUGGUGUUUCUAACUAUUUGGUCCCGAUGAGUUUGGGUACCGUUUAGUUUGUGUUGUUCUUCUAGGAACAUUUGGAGAUGCAUUGGAUGCUUGGCUCACUCACAAGGAAGGUGUUGUCACCAUGUGCAUAUCAGAGUCAAGUUAGGAUGAUCAAUGAACUACUAUCUACCUUCAAUUGGUAUCUACUACAUCCUUCCAAUGAUAUCCCGGUAACAAGUAUCUAUUCAUGCUUUCCCUUCUUGUAUUCAACCUUGUGUAGGUUGCAUCUUGGCAUGAUAUUCAUUUCAUAUCUUGUGAUACUUGUUUCCCUUCUCAAAGCAUCCCAACGAUGAUCUCUUGUUGCUAGUUGUGAUGUCUUUGAUGUUCGUGCGGUAGGAAUUCAUUUAUAUACAAUAAGACCAUAUCUAGCCAUGUGCUAUGCUUCCAGACAAAUAUCUUAUUGGUAUAUGUAUGACUUCCUUUUGGAUAUCUUGUUCCUUCGUGCUGUAACUAUUUCGGGUGUACAUCCUUCUUUGUAGAUAUAUAUCAUCAUGAUUUCGUCUACCUAGAACCCUAUACACUUGAGAGAACUUACAUCUCUAGUUGAUAUCCUUUCUUUCACGUCCACCUUGUCUUUCUUAUGUUAUUUCUUUGGUGGCGCCGUGAAAGCUUUUGCCUUGAGUGCGUCUCCUCUAUUGUAGCUUCUUGAUGCACUCUUGUGUGGUGAAGAUUUUUUUUCCUCAUGCUUGUCUUUACGAGGCUUUUGCCAUCUUAAUUGGUAUCCCUCGUCUUGAUGAGGCUUUCAUCUUCUAUCUUCACCACGGGUUGUCACAAGCACAGGUUCUUUAUAUGCGUAUUAGUAAGCUUGUGAACCCAUUUGCUAGUUGUGUGUGGGAAUGAUAGGCCUUGCACCGUGUGCCUCAUUCUUUCAAGACUAUGUUGAUGCUUAAUGCUCAUCCUAUUUUUAGUCUUCUCAAGUGCUUCGCCAUGACUCACACACAUCAUUUUGGUUGAGCCUAUUCUUAAGUUGCCUCUUUUACUUGUUGCUCAACCAUGUGCUUGUUGCAAGCGCUAGGCUUUGUUUCCUAUAUGCUCACUUGCACUGGAUGUAAGUUUCUAUUGAUUUUGGGGGAGCUAUGAUCCUAUUUUGUGCACUUUGUAUCCAAAUACAAAUAUUCUUAUGUGUGCACAAAUCAUGGGGAGCUUCUCUAGCUUAUUUAGAACACUCCUUUGCUCAUAUCAUAAUAUCCUUCAUUCAUGUGGCUCAUAGGAUCUUUGGUAUAGUUGGUUCAAUUGAUAUCAUUUGAUUGCUUGCUUCAAUUGGUAUCUUUUGAUUGCUCGAUUGCUUGUUUCUCUCUUUGUUAUGUCUUUGUGGCAUAUCACUCUUUUGCAAUCUUUGGGCCUCAAUAUAGUUUGUCUUCCUCCAAGUAUUUACCAUUGGAUAUGUGUAUUGCAUUCCACUCUAUUUUUGAGAGAUACACAAUUUAUGGAGGAACACUCUUUAUAUUGGCCUUCUAAGCUUUUCACCCAUUUUGGCAAUCGAUGCCAAUGGGGGAGGAGUUUCAGAGAGUUUUGUGGAGAAUUCUUCUGAGUUUUCUCCUUGCUUUGGUUUUGGUUCCUAAGCAUUUGCAUCCCAUUCUCAUGCAUCAUUGGUUAUUGCAUUGCAUGGUGAUGCAUAACUCCUUGUAUAAACUCUCUUGAAAGUGAUUGUCAUCAAUUACCAAAAUGGGGGAGAUUGAAAGAACAUGCGGUGCCCCCAUGUUUGGUUUUGGUAAUUGAUGGCAAUCUCUAUGGACUAAUGGUUGCCUUGAGUUAUAUCUGAAGGUUUUGUCCAUAGGCUUUUCUUGAAGUCCAUGUGUUGGUUUCAAGGAGUUUAUGAGUUGACCAAGGUGUUAUUAAGGAAUUAUCCAAAGAUUGGUCAUGUGAGUGUUGAGCUUAUUGCAAGCAUGUCUUGAAUAAUAAGAUUGUGUGAUCAUUCAUGUCCACCUUCAAGACAUCAUCCAAAUGAAGAGAGUUGGAAAGAUUCAACACACAAAGCGCACAAGAUGUACCGAGGGAUCAAGUGAUCCCAUGGUGUGGUAAGCAUUGUCCAUUACGCUUUGUGUGCUAACCCAUGGUCUUCGUGAGAGUUCUUUGUGGGGUUAGGUUAGGUGUGCAAGUUCAAGUGAUGUAUCACGAAGAGAUCAAGUGCUUGAAGCUUGCCGUCCAUUGUGGUGACAAUGGACUUGUGAAGAUGAGCGGAAGAGUGGCUCAUCCAUAGUGGAGUAUGGGGGAGCAAUCAACUAGUCUUCAUCGAGCCAACGCAAUCAAGAAAGGUGGUCCAUCUUGAGGAGGAGUAGAUCGUCAUCAUCUAGCUCAAGUGGAUUUUGUGCAAGGCAAAGGUUUGCCCUUGAUAGGUUUUCUAUUUUACCGGUCUCAUGGUAGUUGUGGGAGACCGAUUUAUAGGAUCGAUUGCCGUACUAUCAAAGGGGGCUCUCGAUGAGUUGCUUGAUCGUAUCAUUCGUAGAGAGCUCAAACCAUUGCAUCCUUGCAUCAUCUUUAUUGGUUCUUGUUUGGUUCUUCUCCUUGUGAGAUUUGGAGCUUUUGGUCAUCUUGAUGACAAGCUUGAGUUCAUCGAAAACGGAGUUUGCAUACGUCUUCUAUGAUGUUUUCGGUGUUGGAGGUUUUACCGGUCUUAUCCGAGGAAGGGUUCUCACCAUUUUCUUUUGGGCCUUUUCUCAUUUGCUUAUUCUUGAUAUUUCUAUCAAGAUUGUGUUGGCCCUUGUCACUAGCUUUCCAACAAACUUGGUUUCGUCGAAUUCGGAGUCCGGAUGCAAAAGUUGUGGUUGUUUUGGUAAAGGCUGCAGCGGUACUACCGCGACUAGAGCGGAUGUAAUUUUUUACUACCGCUCCAGAGCGGUACUACCGCGGCUCCUGAGCGGUAGUACCGCACCAGAGCAGUACUACCGCGGCUCCUAAGCGGUAGUACCGCUCCGGACCAAAAUCUCGUGUUUUGCUCAGCGGAAGUAGGCACAGAAGUAUUUUUUUAGUACCGCUCGCAAGCAGUAGUACCGCUACCAUUUGCGGUAGUACCGUGAGGUCGAGCGGUAGUACCGUGAGGUCGAGCGGUACUACCGCUCCGAAGGUUCUUUUGGCCUUUUUGCCUCCUCGCUGUUGUGUUUCGAAGGGGUUCUACCGCCCUAGCGGUAGUACCGCUCCUUGGAGCGGUAGUACCGCUCUGUGCGGGCUGUGAGCAUAACGGUUGGAUUCGGGAGCUCCUAUAAAAGGGGGUCUUCUUCCCCAUUCAACCUUAUCCUUUGAGCUCGUGUUCUUCCCCCAUUGUUGACCUUCUUCGAGCUUGCUAACUCUCAAUCCCUCCAUGGAUUCUUGCUAGUUUUUGAGGGAAAAGAGAGAGGAGAUCUAGAUCCACAUUUCCACCAAUCACUUUCUCCUCUAUGUGAGGGGAGCCCCUUGGAUCUAGCUCUUGGAGUUCUUGGUGUUCUCCUUCUUGUUCUUCCUCUCAUUUUCCUCCCUAGCAUUAGUUGCUUCGGUGGGAUUUGAGAGAGAAGGACUUGGGCACUCCGUGUGCCCUUGCCAUUGCAUUUGGUGCAUCGGUUUGAGUUCUCCACGUGAUACGUGGAAGUUACAAGUUGAGAAGCUUAUUACUCUUGGGUGCUUGGUGCCCUUGAGCUUGUUUAUCUUGGGUGCUUGGGCCCCCUAGUCGGUUGGUGGUGUUCGGAGCUCAAUCAUUGUGGUGUAAAGCUCCGGGCAAGCGUCGGGGUCUCCAAUUAGGUUGUGGAGAUCGCCCCGAGCAAUUUGACGGGUACCGGUGACCGCCUCCAAGGGUUGCCAAAGUGUACGGGUUCGGUGACCGCCCCCAAGGGUCGCCAUUUGUACGGGUUCGGUGACCGCCCUCAAGGGUCCCUUAGUGGAAUCACAACAUCUUGCAUUGUGCGAGGGCGUGAGGAGAUUACGGUGGCCCUAGUGGCUUCUUAGGGAGCAUUGUGCCUCCACAUCGCUCCAAACGGAGAUUAGCAUCCGCAAGGGUGUGAACUUCGGGAUACAUCAUCGUCUCCUCGUGCCUCGGUUAUCUCUUACCCGAGCCCUUUACUUAUGCACUUUACUUUGUGAUAGCCAUAUUGUUAUUUGUCAUAUAUCUUGCUAUCACUUUGUUGCUUACCUUGCUUAGCAUAAGUUGUUGGUGCACAUAGGUGAGCCUAGUUGUUGUAGGUUUUGUGCUUAACAAAUUAACCGCUAGGUUUAUUCCGCAUUUGUUCGAGCCUCUACCGUAAUUAUUUUAAAACGCCUAUUCACCCCCCCCCCUCUAGGCGACAUCCACGAUCUUUCAAUUGCCCUUCCGAUGAAGCGUGGGUAGUUUACCACUGACCUACGGGUCCAUAGCUAGUAGUUUCUCCAUCCGUCCGGAAAUACUUGUCAUCAAAAUGGAUAAAAGGAGAUGUAUCUAGACGUAUUUUAGUGCUAGAUACUUCCCUUUUUAUCCAUUUUGAUGACAAGUAUUCUAGGACGGAGGGAGUAGAUGGUUUCUUCUCUCUCUUUGAUUCUCAAUACCAUGUUCUCCUCGAUGCUCUUGGAGAUCUAUUCGAUGUAAUACUUUUUUGCGGUGUGUUUGCCGAGAUCCGAUGAAUUGUGGAUUUAUGAUCAGCUUAUCUAUGAAUAUUAUUUGAAUCUUCUCUGAAUUCUUAUAUGCAUGAUUUGAUAUCAUUGCAAGUCUGUUUGAACUAUAGAUUUGGUUUGGCCAAUUAGAUUGGUUUUUUUUGCAAUAGGAGAAGUGCUUAGCUUUGGGUUCAAUCUUGCGGUGCCCUUUCCCAGUGACAGUAGGGGCAGCAAGACACGUAUUGUAUUGUUGCCAUCGAGGAUAAAAAGAUGGGGGUUUUCAUCAUAUUGCUUGAGUUAAUUCCUCUACAUCGUGUCAUCUUGAUUAAAGCGUUACUCUGUUCUUUAUGAACUUAAUACUCUAGAUGCAUGCUGGAUAGCGGUCAAUAUGUGGAGUAAUAGUAGUAGAUGCAAGCAGGAGUCGGUCUACUUGACAUGGAUGUGAUGCCUAUAUUCAUGAUCUUUGCCUUAGAUAUCGUUAUAACUUUCGCUCUUCUAUCAAUUGCUCGACAGUAACUUGUUCACCCACCGUAAUAUUUUCUAUCUUGAGAGAAGCCUCUAGUGAAACCUAUGGCCCCCAGGUGUAUUUUCCAUCAUAAAAAGUUUCCGAUCUACAAUUUUACUUUCUGAUUUACUUCCUUUGCAAUCUUUUACUUUCCAAUCUAUAAAUCAAAAAUACAAAAAAUAUUUACUUUACCGUUUAUCUAUCUCUAUCAAAUCUCACUUUUGCGAGUGACCAUGAAGGGAUUGACAACCCCUUUAUCGUGUUGGGUGCAAGUUGUUUGAUUGUUUGUGCAGGUAUUCAGUGACUUGUGCAUUGUCUCCUACUGAAUUGAUACCUUGGUUCUCAAACUGAGGGAAAUACUUACUCUACUUUGCUGCAUCACCCUUUCCUCUUUAAGGGAAAAACUAACGCAAGCUCAAGAGGUAGCAGGAAGAAUUUCUGGCGCCAUUGCUGGAGAGAUCUACGACAAGUCAAGACAUACCAAGUACCCAUCAUAAACUCUCAUCUCUUGCAUUACAUUAUUCGCCAUUGGCCUCUCAUUUUCCUCUCCCCCACUUCUAAAACGAUUUUCAAAAAGAUUUGCCUUUUCUUUGCCCCUCUUUCGUUCGUAUUCUUCCCUUGCUUUUUGUGUGCCCGUGUGUUGGAUUGCUUGCUUUGUCACGAUGGCUCAAGAGAAUACCAAAUUGUGUGAAUUUUCCAAUACCAAUAACAAUGAUUUUAUUUGUACUCCGAUUGCUCCCGCUACUAAUGCGGAAUCUUGUGAAAUUAAUGCCGCUUUGUUGAAUCUUGUUAUGAAAGAUCAAUUUUCCGGCCUUCCUAGUGAAGAUGCCACAUCCCAUCUAAACAAUUUCGUUGAUUUGUGUGAUAUGCAAAAUAAAAAAGAUAUGGAUAAUGAUAUUGUUAAAUUGAAGUUAUUUCCGUUCUCGCUUCGAGAUCAUGCUAAAACUUGGUUUUCAUCUUUGCCUAAAAAUAGUAUCGAUUCAUGGAAUAAGUGUAAAGAUGCUUUUAUUUCCAAGUAUUUUCCUCCUGCUAAGAUCAUCUACCUUAGGAACGAUAUUAUGAAUUUUAAGGAACUUGAUCAUGAACAUGUUGCACAAUCUUGGCAGAGGAUGAAAUUGAUGAUACGAAAUUGCCCUACUCAUGGUUUGAAUUUCUGGAUGAUUAUACAAAUUUUUUAUACCGGAUUGAAUUUUGCUUCUAGAAAUCUUUUAGAUUCAGUUGCGGGAGGUACUUUUAUGGAAAUUACUUUAUGAGAAGCUACUAAACUCCUAGAUAAUAUUAUGGUUAAUUAUUCUCAAUGGCAUACCGAAAGAUCUUCCACUAGUAAAAAAGUGCAUGUGAUUGGAGAUAUUAAUGUUUUGAGUGGAAAGAUGGAUGAGCUUAUGAAAUUAUUUGCUAUCAGGAGUGCUCCUAUUGAUACUAAUGAUAUGCCUUUGUCUACUUUGAUUGAGAAUAAUAAUGAAUCUAUGGAUGUGAAUUUUGUUGGUAGGAACAAUUUUGGUAAUAAUGCGUAUAGAGGUAAUUUUAAUCCUAGGCCGUUUCCUAGUAAUUUCUCUAAUAAUUAUGACAAUUCCUACAACAAUUCUUAUGGAAAUUAUAAUAAGAUGCCCUGUGAUUUUGAGAAUAGUGUUAAAGAAUUUAUGAGUUCGCAAAAUAAUUUCAGUGCUUUGAUUGAAGAAAAAUAGCUUAAGAUUGAUGAUUUGGCUAGGAACAUGGAUAUAAUUUCUCUUGAUGUUGAUUCUUUGAAACUUAGAUCUAUUCCACCCAAACAUGAUCAAUGAGUCUCUGAAGUCUAUGAGAAUUUCUAUUGAUGAGUGCAAAGAAAUAACCGCUAAGAUGUGUGCUAAAAACAUUGGUUUGUAAAAACGUGUUCUUCUAGUUUUCGUGAAAAUAAUGAUGAAGAUCUUAAAGUGAUUUAUAUGACUCCUAUUGAAUCUUUGUUUUCCAAUAUAAAUCUUGAUAAAGAUGGGACUGGAGAUGAGUCAACUUUAGUUAAAAGGAGUCCCCAUGAUUCAGAGUUUUUAGAUCUUGAUACAAAAAUUGAUAAAAGUGGGAUUGGAGAGGUCAAAACUUUAAGUAGCGAUGAACCCACUCAUUUGGUUUCAAGGAAUUUAAUUAUGGUAAGUGUUCUUUAAUAAAUUGUAUUUACUUGUUUCAAUCCAUGUUGAAUUCUCCUCAUGCUUAUAAUCAAAACAAAGCUUUUACUAAACAUAUCGUUGAUGCUAUGAUGCAAUCUUUUGAAGGAAAGCUUGAAUUGGAAGUUUUUAUCCCUAGAAAACUUUAUAAUGAGUGGGAACCUACUAUUAAGAUUAAGAUUAAAGAUUAUGAGUGCCAUUCUUUGUGUGAUUUGGCUGCUAGUGUUUCCACGUUUCCAAAAACUUUAUGUGAUGUGUUAGGUUUUCGUGAAUUUGAAGAUUGUUCUUUAAAUUUGCAUCUUGUGGAUUUCAUUAUUAAGAAACCUAUGGGAAGGAUUAAUGAUGUUCUUAUUGUUGCAAAUAGGAACCAUGUGCCCAUAGAUUUCAUUGUUCUAGAUAUAGAUUGCAAUCCUACAUGUCCUAUUAUUCUUGGUAGACAUUUCCUUAGAACGAUUGGUGCAAUUAUUGAUAUGAAAGAACGAAACAUUAGAUUUCAAUUUUCAUUAAGGAAAGGCAUGAAACACUUUCCAAGAAAGAAAAUUAAAUUGCCUUAUGAAUAUAUUAUGAGAGCCACUUAUGGUGUGACGCCCGGAUAAUUAAGCAAUAGUAAUCCUCCGUUAAUGGUGCCAUGUCAUCAAGUUUGACUAAGUCAAAUUGCCCUUGAUAAGGAUCCAAGCCAAAUUCAAAUUCCAAUUUCAAGUGAAAAUUUUAAAUUCAAAAAUAAGAAAAACUAAAAAUUUCAUGUGAUGGCAAAUAAUCCAUAGUUAAUUAGGGUGGAGUAAAACUAGGUCACUUGUUUGCUUAUUUAAAAGUUGUCACCCAAAAAUAGUGACUAAAACAACCACUUUGAUCCAUUUGCAAUUGAUCAAAUAUGUAAUGAUUUUAAAUAUUACCCCAACCAUUUUAUAGCAGUGCUAGAUAUCGCCUAGUAUUUAUUCUGGCAAAUAGAACUUUUUGCAAAAGUCAUUUAGUGCAGGAAUUAAAUGGAAAAUAGAGAGGAAAUAAAAAAACAGAAAAUAAAAAGGGGAAAAAGGAGGGCCUAUUCUACUGGGCACUUUGGCCCAACUAGCCAAAUGGCCAGCCUAGCCCACCUCCCCUCUCCUUCUACCUGCUACAGAGAGACGGGGGAUCCUGGCGCCCAUCCGUCGGCCAUGCCGUGCGUGGCGGCCAUCCCACGCCUCCCCGAUGACUACAAGGCCACCUCAAGCCCCUCCUCUCUCCCCCGGUCGAACCCUAGCCGCCACUUCUUCCUCCCUCGCGCCAUUGCUCGCUCCCCCGCACACACCCGAAGCUAUCGUCGCCGCACCAUCAUCACCGUCACGGCCACCGUCGCCGCCUUCGCGUGGGAGGACAUCCAGGACGUCCGCGGCGGCCGGAUUUGUCCGUCCCGGGCAUCAGCUCAAGCCGAGGCGGCUCGUACGCUCGCCAUCGCCGUCGUCUUCAUCACGUACAUUGCCGGCGGGCAUCGUUGAUUCCCACCAUUCCGGUCCACAUCCGGCCUCCCCGAGCUCGUCAUCCGCACCGCGGUGAGCUCCUCCUCCAUCCCCCCUCCUUGUACACUCGAUCUGCGCCAUAGUCGUCGUCCACGAGUUCGCCUUGGUCGUGUACGCACACGCACACCCGUAUGCUGCUGCCGUCCAUGGCCCCGCGCCCUCCUGCUGCCGCCGGCGCCCUCCAGUGCGCGCCUCCCUCUAGCCGGCCCUACAUCACCUCGCUUCGUCCCCCGGCAGCGCCCCGCGGCCACGCCACUGAGCCCGCGCCCCGUUACUGCUUCUGCCGGGGCGUACGCGUACUUAUGUGCGUGCUCUGAGCUUCUGCUCUGAGUGGCACUGCUGCUGCCUUGGCGCUGCUACUCUGCUUACUGCCCGCUGCGUGCUGUUGUUUGGUCGUCGCCGCCGCUCGCCCCUGCUCCACGCUGCUUCGGCCUGCUGUCGCUGCCACCAUCUGUUGCCGCUGCUCCUGCUGCUUUACUGCUGCCUACUGCUGCGCUCGUCGCAGCUGCUGCUGGCCGGCCGUGCCAUGGCCACGGCUCGGCCAUGGUUACGUGCGUGAGCGUGUGCACGCAAGUGCCCAGCUCGGCCACUGCUAGAUGGGCUAGCCGGUUAGUUUAGAUUAAUUAGGAUUGGAUUAGAUUGGUUAGGGUAGUUACUAACCUAUGGCAAGUGGGACCUCCCCCUUUAAUUAACCAGUUUAAUUAGCCCUAGUUUAUCGAGAGGCAAUGACAUGCGGGACCCAUGUACAAUUCACUGCUUGACCCACUCAACAGAUUGCUCUGUUGUUUACUUUGACUUGGCCCCACAUGUCUUUGACUGUGGCUGGCACCGCACAAGGUGAAAAAAAGCAUUUUACUAUUUUAUUUUCGAAUUAAUAAUAAUUUCAGAAUAUUGUUUGAAUCUUUGAAAAAUCGUAGAAAAUAAUCCGUAACUCGGAUGAAAAGGUUUUAUACAUGAAAGUUGCUCAGAACGACGAGACGAAUCCGAAUACGCAGCCCGUUUGCCCGCCACACAUCCCUAGCAUAGCGAAUACACAAUUUCCCCUCUCCGGUUCAUCUGCCCGAAAACGCGAAACACCGGGAAUACUUCCCGGAUGUUUCCCCGCUGGUAUCGCCUAUCCCUACGUUAGGUCACCCCUAGCACAACGUAUUGCCGCUGCUUUGUGUUACAUUUGAUUGCUCUAUUAUUUAUUGUGUUCCCCCUUCGUUACUUCUUUCCGGUAUACUUCGAGACUGCUGUCGAUGUCUGUGUGUUCGACUACAUUGAAGAUGACCCCUCCUUCUUGCCAGAGCAACCAGGCAAGCCCCUCUUGAUCACCAGAUAUCACCUAUUCUUCUCUCUACUGCUUGCAUUAGAGUAGUGUAGCAUGUUACUGUUUUCCGUUAAUCCUAUUCUGAUGCAUAGCCUGUCCUUGCUACUACUGUUGUUACCUUUACCUGCAAUCCUAAAUGGCCCUACAUUCUUGUCCGUCUGCCAUGCUAUACUAUCGGGUCGUGAUCACUUGGGAGGUGAUCACGGGUAUAUACUUAUAUACAUAAUAUGUGAUACAUGUGGUGACUAAAGUCGGGUCGGCUCGUAGAGUACCCGCAAGUGAUUCCGAUGUGGGGGCUGAAGGGCCAGGUGGUUCCAUCCAGGUAGUGGUGGGCCUGGGUUUCCGACGGCCCCCGACUGUUACUUUGUGGCAGAGUGAUAGGGCAGGUUGAGACCACCUAGGAGAGAGGUGCGCCUGGCCCUGGUCAGCGUCCGUGGUUACUUCAAAAUAACACGCUUAACGAGAUCUUGGUAUUGAUCUGAGUCUGUCCACUAGCCUAUACGCACCAACCAACUAUGCGGGGAUAGUUAUGGGCACUCAACGUCGUGGUAUCAGCCGAAGCAUUUUUGACGUCAGUGACUAAGCGGCACGCGCCAGAUUGAACUGGAACGCCUUCUCUUGUAUUAGGGAGGCUAGGUCUCUUUCCGGCCAUGUUCGCAAUGUGCAGGUGUGCAAUGGGUGAUGGCCUAGACCCAUGCGUCAUAGGAUUUAGACCGGCAUGCUGACCUCUCUGUUGUGCCUAGGUGGGGCUGCGACGUGUUGAUCUCCCGAGGCCAGGCAUGACCCAGGAAAGUGUGUCCGGCCAAAGGGAAUCGAGCAUGUUGGGACAUGUGGUGCACCCCUGCAGGGAAGUUUAUCUAUUCGAAUAGCUGUGUUCCUCGGUAAAAGGAUGACCCGGAGUUGUACAUUGACCUUAUGACAACUAGAAUCGGAUACUUAAUAAAACACACCCUUUCAAGUGCCAGAUACAACCCGGUAAUCGCUCUCUAACAAGGCGACGAGGAGAGGAUCACCGGAUAGGACUAUGCUAUGCGAUGAUACUUGGUGAACUUACCAUCUACUCUCUUCUACAUGCUGUAAGAUGGAGGCUGCCAUAAGCGUAGUCCUCGAUAGGACUAGCUAUCCCCUUCUUAUUCUGGCAUUCUGCAGUUCGGUCCACAGAUACUACCCUUUUCAUUGAUACCAAUGCAUAUGUAGUGUAGAUCCUUGCUUGUGAGUACUUUGGAUGAGUACUCACGGUUGCUUUGCUACUUAUUUUUCCCCUUUCCCGGUUAUUGCGAUCAUAUGAUGGAGUCCAGGAGCCAGAGGAUCCCGAGGAUGAUUCUAUGUGGAGUUCAGCUUCGAGGAGUAGUUAGGAGGUCCCAUGCAGGAGGCCUUGCCUUUUCGACCGUUGCUACUUUUGUGCUAGCUUUCUCAAGGCAAACUUGUUUAACUUAUGUCUGUACUCAGAUAUUAUUGCUUACACUAACUCUUGUGUAUUCGAGCCCUCGAGGCCCCUGGCUUAUAAUAUAAAGCUUGUAUUAUUUUAAUUGGUGUCUAGAGUUGUGUUGUGAUAUCUUCCCGUGAGUCCUUGAUCUUGAUCGUACACAUUUGCGUGCAUGAUUAGUGUACGGUCAAAUCGGGGGCGUCACAAGUUGGUAUCAGAGCCAACUGCCUGUAGGAAUCCCCCUUCCACACUCAUUGGCCAAAGUUGAGUCUAGUCAUUACAAAACUUUUACUAACAUGGCUGUGUGGCUUACGGGCCCUCGUCGUCAUUUGGGUGGUAUUAGGAUCUUUUUAUUCCUCGUCUAUACUUUGGGACUCUGAUCUCUCUUCUAAUCGGGUUAAAAGAUUUUGCUAACUCUAACUCUAGGUUCUCGUAAUUACUUCCUUCCGGAGAGCCCCUUAUUACAGAUGAUCGCAUGCUGCACCAGAAGAUUCAGAUGAUACUCUUCGAUGUUAUCCCGAGAGCUUGUGCUCAUUACGUUUGCAAUUCCCUUCCACCGUCAAACCCUAUAGAUAACAACAUGCACUUGCCAUUCUUACUUUAGUCCCCAGUUGCUCUUGUUAUUACAAGAUACCCCGAAAUACUCGUUGUUGAUCCGAGAAUCCUUGUGCCUACUGCCUUGUAGUUCCUUGUCACCUGAAUACACCUAUAAAUUAAUCCUCACACACACCAAGGAUUUGUUUCUCCCAAGUUGUUCAUGUGUUUUACCAAAGUCUUCUAAAUACUAUUUGAUCUUCCAAAAAAUCCUCAAUAGCUUAUUGCUCUUGAAAUCCUUGCUUGCUUGCAUUAUGGUUAAUCCCAUAAGUAUAGUAAUCUUAUUGACAUCCUUUGUCAUUAUCAUUUUGAGUCCGUUGAUUCGAUAUGAUUGUGGAUGGUCGCAAUCAUCAGUCAAAACUAAAAUUCAUCCUCCCGGCUCAAAUGUCAUUUUGAACAUGAGCUGGAUCUUGACCAAUCAAAUUGCCAUCGAUUGUACCCCUAAGGCUAUUCAAGUUAUCCAUCCCUAAUCAGAGCAUUGCUUCUGAUCCCUUGUCUUGGAAUUCAUAAUUCCUUUGCAUUGAGCUUUGAGUUAGUCAGUUGUUUCCAUAAUCUGAGCUCCUUGCAUUCUUUCUUCCUCUGGUUGAGUACCGAUGCUCACAUCAGAUCCUUUGUUGGAUUUUAUCUGACAACGUCCUUCGUAUUCAAUAAGCUUGUGAGCCUUUCCUCGGAUACAUAAUGCCCUUGGUAAAUUGUAUCCUCUGCUUUUCUCAAGCAUGCUAUACUAUCGCGCUUGUGUUAUUUAUUCUUGAAAUUGUUGGUUUAUGCUCCUAAGAUGCCCCGAUGGGUUGAACCUAUGCCUUCCCCAAACCAUAUGAACCCAAAAGUUUUUGCGAGUCAUACUCUUUUGUUGUUUCGCCAGAUAAAAAUUCUACACUAACUUCAUCAAAAGCGAGAAGUAAAAUGAAAGGUUGUGCAUUGAAAAAGUGGGAGUCAACCUUGAGCCUUUGCGUUCAUGCCCAUGGACCCGAUGUGGAACUUAUCAUCGAAGCUUCUUGUAAUAAUAAUAAUCCCCUUGUUAUAAGUCUGCCUUGUAUCUAUGUUUAGUCCUUUGCAACCGUGGUUCCGACCAUGAUUUUUCUUCUUUGAUCCCAUUUCUCGGACAAGUUAAACCACUUGUCCUCUGCAGAUCAAUGCGCCCGUCCAACCUCUAUAAUAAUCUACCUUGGAGUAUUAUCCCGUGGUAUCUCGAUAAUAUCACAGAACCAUAUUACUUCUUAUGAGUUCUUCUUCAAGUAGUAUUUGUCACCGAUUCCAAGUUUCCCCGGGUUCUGAGUUGUUAGACACUCAAGGACACCGAUAAGUGAAUCAAUUCCGCACUCCGAUUCAAUAACUCUAAAUAAUCUCCGUUGCUUAUGAGUUUAUUAAUCCUUCAAGUCAUUCCUAGCCUGAUUGGAUAUAUCAUUAUUGUGUUAAAAUUUUAAACUAUGCUACCUGAUCCUUCUUCCCGGGGCACAAUUUAUGAUGAUGAGCUAAGCUUACGUCGACCUUCCUUGUCAUAUCGUAUUUCCUUGAACAUCAAUGCUUGAUUUCGAGUUUGUGUCGUAUCCGUGGUUCCACUAACCUUUCGCUUCAUCAUUCCUUUAACUUGAUGUCAUCGCCAAUCAAUUAUAUCUUCAUGAAAUCUCUCGACAACUGUGUUGUGAUCAUCAUCAGCAUUCUGAGCUCUUCUAGGAUAUCAAUUGAAUUUAUGAUGAGAAAUACCAUCCUCCCCCUCGAGGAUUUGUGUUAUCAAUGACAACUUUAUGGCCUUCCCUCCAUCACAAACUUGUUCAUGACAUGGAUGCAACUUGCUAUUCAGCUUGUAUUAUGAUCUACCUUGAAAUAUUACUGUCUUUUAUGUCAAUAAUGUUGUGAGAGUUUCACCACCUCUUAAGGAUUCUUGAUACAGUAAUGCUUUUGACCAUCACCACUCUUUGCUUGGUCCCCGUGUUCCACCCAGAAUACCAAUAAGUGAACUCUAUUGUGAGAAUUUAAUAUUUCUAGCAACCCUAUUGCUUCGGAGUUAAUGGACAAUAAUUCCAAUUUAGUGUGAUGGUUGCUAAAUCGCCAACCCAACCCAUAUUUCAUGUGCACCUUUUAACCAAUGUUUAAUUGUGGAUGUUUUCCUCAAACAUACAUCAUUAUAUCAUUUGAUCUAACAAAUGUUAUCUCCUUGUUCACAUAAUUGUGGAAAUCCAUCUUUUUGAAAACCUCGAGGAAUUGUCGCUGAGUCCAUCAGCCACUUCCUCAUCCUCUCCUAGGUUUAAUGAUGAACUCUUGUUUCGGAACUCACUUCCAUAGUUCAUUUCUCGAGAAUCUUGCGAUGUCAUCUCGUCAAUUUGUGUUGCACCUUUUCUUCUCAGGCAUUCUGAGUCUGAGGUAUCCUAACACCAAUUGGAUCUGAACCUCGGCUGGAUAUGAUGGUUGGAACAUUUUCCAAGAGUCAUAACAUUGGUCUUUAUAUAACCCAGUAAGGUGAUGUCAUGCCUAGCACCCCUGGCCGGAGGACCUAUCGUUAUAGUUUCCUUUUUAGCAAGGUUAGCCAUUGGUCCAUGAGGAAAUUGUAAGGCUUAUUCUAUAAGUUGUUUUUGAUGGAUCCUUUGUGUAUCCAAAGUCUGAUAUUUACCCAAUGACCAUGUCAAUGCUAUCUCGAAGCAUGUCUAUGAUACUUCGAUUUUCAAUAAGAACAUUGAAAGCGCAAUGCUAAAUGUUUCUUGAUCAGUUAUCCAAACACCGUUGUAUGGGUACACAUCAUGAUUCUUCUUACCCCUUUUAUCUAAAUGACCAUGCCUUUGGUAUCCUGUCAUGGAUAUCAUACUCUACUUGUCCUUGGGAAGGGUAUACCACUGAAAUAUGUGUUUAAACACAUUUUCCUUUCCAUUGUUCUGUUUAAUCUGAUAAUCAUAUUUUCCUUUCCAUUGCUUGGUUUAACCUAUCUUGUGAUCUAUAUGAUCUAAACAAUAAUAUUCACAUACUUAUGUAAACACCUUUGUGUACAACCGUGUCAGUAAGACCCUGUUGCUUUUGUUGAUGGCAUUCUGGUGACCACCGAUGGACGAGAACUUUGCCUAUUGGUCCGCCUUGUUUCAACGAGCAGGAAAAUGGUUCUCUUCGUCCCUCGCCCUUGGUACCGACGUUGUUGCUGACAUAACUGACAGACUAUUCCCUAACAGGCCUUGCUUUCAUGACCACGCAAGAUGUGAGUGCCCUUCCUACUUUUAUCCCACAUGGUGGGCCCAUAACUCAAGAUGGCAACGGGGACGAAACCCAUCGGGUUCUGCCAUCCCAAACCCAUCCCCACGAGAAAAUUGUAAACCCGUCCCCGUCCCCAUCACUGUGCGCGGGGCUAGUUUUCCGCCCGUCCCCUAAACCCAUCGGGUUUCGGGGAACCCACGGGGAACCUGCGAGAAAAUCAAAAUAUUUAAACAAACAUAGUGGCGACAAAGAAUAAAAUUUCAACAGCAAAAAAGCAGAUUUCAGCAGCAUAACUUGAGCAAAUUUCAACAAAAAACAAUAUUAGAUGGUUCAACAGCUACAUAGGGUGUUUUUCAGCAGCAUGAUACCACAUUCCAGCAACAAAGAUGAUCAGAUUUCAGCAACAAAGAUGAUUAGCUUUCAGCCAUACAUGGUUCAACAAGAUGUGCAAUUACACAAGUUCUAAAAUAGAAUUCUUGGUUCACAAAUCACGAGCACAAACGAGACGAAAUGGUCCAAUACAUAAGUUUUGAAAUAGAAUUUAUAGUUCACAAAUCAUUUUAAUCCGGACUCUACUAUAGGUAUUUCUUGCAAGUCUACUAAAACAGUAGCAAUUUGUACAUGUAGCCUGCAAUAUGAUGACCAGAAAACACACACUGCAUAUUGUUUGUACAAGGAUUCCGAAUCUAUUUUUUUCUUUCCUGCAGAAGUGUAAUAGCUUCAACUUAACUUCUGAAACUUUCAUGAAAAAAGACCAUAUACUAUAGUCUAAACCAAACCCUAGCAAAUCUAAUCCAUGAAUUCAUAGAAAAUUAACAUCAUCCAUCAGAAACCCUAGCACCAUCCAUCUCAUAUUGUGAGAGAUCGGGGUUACUCACCUCGUCUUUAACUUCUUGCGGACGUUGAAGUUGGAUGGAGGCUCGGGAAUCGGAUUUGAAAGCCCUCUGCCUCCUCUUCUACGAAGGCCACCCAGCAAGGGGUUGGUUUGGCCUUUGAUGCUGGGGGGUGGGGGGCUCGGUCGCUCAGGCUCAGUAGUUUUGGGUUAGGCCGUGUUGGAUCAGUGCUUGGUAAAAAAAAGUAUUUUGCCGAGUUUCGGGUUCGGGGACUAACGAAACGGGCGCAAACCCACGAAACGCGUCGGGUUGUGUAAUGUGCCCAACAACAGCCUCGCGGGGAUGAAAAGACGCCCAUCCCCGCCCCCUAAUAGGGUAAAAACCCACAGGGACGCGGGUUUUGGGGCCCCGUUGCCAUCUUGACCCAUAACCCACAGGUCCCAGGAUUGAAACCUGACUCUCUGUACACCUUGUUGUCAAAGUUAUUCCUCACGCUUGACUUCGUAUGUAAUUCACGGGCCACCUGCCUAGUGAUCUAUUCUGGUAUCAAACACAAAACUUAUUCCCAUUGCUUUGGACCCCCUUUUACACUUUGUUUCAGGCUUCGAGCGAUUGCCUACCCGCUUGAAACUUCGCAUGGUACUUUCUUACUUUGCUCUCGGUAUUUUCUAAAGUUUCCGUUCGAGAGUUACUUUCCGCCACCUUCCCCGAUGUUAUCUACCAGAUAGUCAACCUUGCAGAGGACCGUUCCCCCAGAAUACCCAUCAUUUAUUCUUUCAUAAGUACGAUGGAGUUCCCGAAGAAAGGAUGACAACUUCAUCAUGAUGCAUUGAUGCAUAGGAAGGACGAAAUCAACGCUAUGGAUCGACAUCUUAAAAAAAGCAACCGAGACUUAGGAGACUCAAUAGAAUUUUGUAACCAGUUCCAACCCCCUUAUGCUACCUCUUAAAUCUCGGGACGAGAUUUCUUAUAGUGGAGGAGAAUUGUGACGCCCGGAUAAUUAAGAAAUAGUAAUCCUCCGUUAAUUGUGCCAUGCCAUCAAGUUUGACUAAGUCAAAUUGCCCUUUAUAAGGAUCCAAACCAAAUUCCAAUUCCAAUUUCAAGUGAAAAAUUUAAAUUCAAAAAUAAGAAAAACUAAAAAGUUCAUGUGAUGGAAAAUAAUACAUAGUUAAUUAGGGUGGAGUAAAACUAGGUCACUUGUUUGCUUAUUUAAUAGUUGUCACCCAAAAACAGUGACUAAAACAACCACUUUGAUCCAUUUGCAUUUGAUCAAAUAUCUAAUGAUUUCAAAUAUUACCCCAACCAUUUUAUAGCAGUGCUAGAUAUCGCCUAGUAUUUAUUCUGGCCAAUAGCACUUUUUGCAAAAGUCAUUUAGUGCAGGAAUUAAAUGAAAAAUAGAGAGGAAAUAAAUAAUCAGAAAAUAAAAAAAGGGAAAAGAGGAGGGCCUAUUCUACUAGGCACUUUGUCCCAACUAGCCAAAUGGCCGGCCCAGCCCACCUUCCCUCUCCUUCUACCUGCUACAGAGAGACGGGGGAUCGUGGCGCCCAUCCAUCGGCCAUGCCGUGCGUGGUGGCCAUCCCAUGCCUCCCCGAUGACUCAAGGCCACCUCAAGCCCCUCCUCUCUUCCCCGAUCGAACCCUAGCUGCCACUUCUUCCUCCCUUGCGCCGUUGGUCGCUCCCCCGCACGCACCCGAAGCUUUCGUCGCCGCACCAUCAUCACCGUCGCCGUCUUCGCGUGGGAGGACAUCCAGGAGGUCCGCGGCGGCCGGCUUCGUCCGUCCCGGGCAUCAGCUCAAGCCGGGGCGGCUCGUACGCUUGCCGCCUCCCCGAGCUCGUCAUCCGCACCGCGGUGAGCUCCUCCUCCAUCCCCCUCCUUGUAAACUCGAUCCGCGCCAUAGUCGUCGUCCAUGAGUUCGCCUUGGUCGUGUACGCACGCGCACACCCGUAUGCUGCUGCCGUCCAUGGCCCCGCGCCCUCUUGUUGCCGCCAGCGCCCUUUAGUGCGCGCCUCCCGCCGGCCGGGCCCUGCCUCACCUCGCUUACGCCCCUCGGGCAGCGCCCCGCGGCCACGCCACCGAGCCCGCGCCCCGUUGUUGCUUCUGCCGGGGCGUUUGCGUACAUAUGUGCGUGCUCUGAGCUUCUGCUUUGAGUGGCACUGCUGCUGCCUUGGUGCUGCUACUCUGCUUACUGCCCGCUGCGUGCUGUUGUUUGGUCGUCGCCGCCGCUCACCCCUGUUCCACGCUGCUUCAGCAUGCUGUCGCUGCCACCAUCUGUUGCCGCUGCUCCUGCUGCUUUACUGCUGCCUACUGCUGCGCUCGUCGCAGCUCCUGCUGGCCGGCCGUGCCAUGGCCAUGGCUCGGCCAUGGUUACGUGCGUGAGGGUGUGCACGCAAGUACCCAGCUCGGCCACUGCUAGAUGGGCUGGCCGGUUAGUUUAGUUACUAACCUAUGGCAAGUGGGACCUCCCCCCUUUAAUUAACCACUUUAAUUAGCCCUAGUUUAUUCCGAGACAAUGACACGCGGGACUGGUACACUAUUCACUGCUUGACCCAGUCAACAGAUUGCUCUGUUGUUUACUUUGACUUGGCCCCACAUGUCUUUGACUGUGGCUGGCACCGCACAAGGUGAAAAAAAGCAUUUUACUAUUUUAUUUUCAAAUUAAUAAUAAUUUCAAAAUAUUGUUUAAAUCUUUGAAAAAUCGUAGAAAAUAAUCCGUAACUCGGAUGAGAAAGUUUUAUACAUGAAAGUUGCUCAGAACGACGAGACGAAUCUGUCGUGGAAUUGUCACGGCAGAUGUCCUUAGCGUCAGGACUUAGUCGCGAGGCCAACACAUCUAUGUGGUAGCUUGAGAGGGUUGAGCGGGAGGAGAGACGCGAUGUUUUACCCAGGUUCGGCCCCUCACGGUGGAGGUAAAAGCCUACAUCCUGCUUCAUUGAUAUUGAUGAUGAUGAUCACGGUUACAAGAGUGCUCUAUCUCGAGAGCUAUUGUCUAAACCUAACUUGUCCAACUUGUGGAACUUGUCCCUUUUGGGGAGCCCCGCCUCUCCUUAUAUAAGUUAGAGGGGCGGGUUACAUGUGGAGUCCUAUUAUGAUUAGGACUAGUCUACCUUCGAAUACAAACCAGAUACAAGUACGGGUCUUAACUCCUUGUAAGGUAAAUAUUACUCACGCCUUUCCUCUUAAACCGGCCCACCAUUAACAUAAACCGGCCUUCUGGGCCUUGGGCCUUGUCAUUCAUCUGACCCGUCUGCCGGGUCAUUAGUGUGUCAUAAUGUUCUAGCGGGUUGCUUGUAAACCGCCAGGUCAGGGCAGGUCGCCAGUGAAUCCCCAAGUGUAAACCGGGUCUCAAGUAAACCGCCAAGUCCAGCCGGGUUAUACUCCCGGCCGGUUUACGCCGCGGGGUAUAUCCCCGACAUUAGCCCCCAGUUUAAUUUGGAUUUAUCCAUGUUAAACUGAUCGUGUAAAACAAACACAAGAACAAACUUGACAGAUUAUGCUCCGGGUUAAGAAUUCUUGUAAACCGGCACCUGAUCAUCCUUAAUUCCUUGUCAUUUCCUUCUUCUAGAAAAUCCAGGCCAAUAAGCCAGCUUCAUACUCAAUUUGUUGUGAUUGGUUUCUCACAGAGAAAUAUUGUGAAGAAUAAUCCACUUGAGUCGGCUUCCAAAGCGCCGACUUAAGAAAUAUUUGUCUUGAAAUACUCAUCUGAUAUUCAUCCGGCUUGAAGAUGUAGAACUUGCCGAUUUAUGAUUACCACCAUUGUUGGGUUAUAAAAACUGAUAAUUCCGGGUCAUGAUUGUUGCCAACGCCGGUUCAUGAUUAUUGAUGACGCCGGGUUGCAGCCACAGGGUCAUAAUGAUUGGUGACGCCGGGUCAAUCUGGUUUGCUCAAACAGAGAAUUUGAAAAUAUUUCUUCAAUAAUAAUAUAAUACAUGUAGCCCCCAAGUCUUGAGCAGAACAAAGUGAUGGCUUAAUACUUGCUUCAAUAUAAAUACUACCAAUUUUGAAGAAAUCCAUGUUGUUCAUCCCAGUCACUAGUCAGAAUUGAGUAUUCCACAUAUGUAGCCCCCGAGUGCCGGGUUGUCAUGCUUGCAGCAACCUGGGACUUGUAAUUUCUUGAUGCUCAUAAAACUUCAACCAGUGUAGCCCCCAAGGGCCGGGUCAUUAUGCAAUAAUGAGCAGGGACUUUGUAAAUAUAAUCUUGUAAAUUUUGAACAACAACGUGUAGCCCCCAAGGGCCGUCUCAGUAAGAUAAUAUUGAGCUGGGACUUUGAUAUAUUCUUCAAUGAAAAUAACAUCAUAUGAUGUAACCCCCAUCAUGGGGCUUGAAUUCACGUCCACAAGGUUAAGAGCCUUGUGCUUUACCAACUGAGCAGUGGACCCUUCAAUGUAAUGGAUAAAAAGCUUUGUACCUUAAAUUGUUGAAAGAGGCAAUUGGUAGCCCCCAAGGGCCGGCUCAUUACAAUGUGAUGAGUCGGGUCUUCAAUAAGGUGAGCAAAAAAAUGACUUUGCAUUAGCCCCCAAGUGUCAUGGUGCAUGCUUGCAGCGACAUGAGACUUGUGUAUUUGAUGUAAUUUCAACUGAAAUAAUGUAGCCCCCAGGUGCCGGGUCGUAAGCCUGCAUCAACUCGGGACUAUUCCUUCAAUUGUAGAAUAAAUCAUAUCUAUUGAUAAUAUGAUAGCCAUUGUGCUAAAGCGACUUUGAAAACCUUAAUCAUAAUAUUGGUUAUUGAUAACCAUAAUAAAAAUCCAGCCAUGUUCGCUAUUUGAAUAAUAUACCCAAUGAUUUAUAAGCGCAUAAUUCCAAUGGCGCAAUCCAAAUAUAUACUGGCGACUUAUAGUCCAAAGCCAGGCCGGGUCAAUAAACACCGGUGAUUUAUAAUUAUGCUUUAUUCAACCUGUUUCUGCAUACAACAAGUUUAAAGUGUUCUGGCGGUUUACCGCCGGACGGGUCAUAAUGCCCAACAUAUAACCUGGGUUUAUAACCAAGGAUGCACUUAAGAAUAAUCAAAUAUGAAAUAGAUCAUACCUGUGACAUUGAAUCACAUCGUUGGUUUACCAACUUUUUUUAGUAAGGGUGAUAACCCAAAUCUUGAGUAUGAUAACUCCCGUCAUAUUUUGCCGGUUUGUAAUAAAACCGUGUCGGGUUGUAAUGAACACCGGAUAAUCAUCCUGGCAACUUAUAGCCAACGCCAGACCGGGCUAAGAAAACUCCGGUUUAUAAUUGAGUUUGUACUAACAACUGAUAGUUGAAAGCUUGUGCCGGGUUAAGAAACACCAGACUGAUGAAAUGACUUAUAGUCUGGUCGGGUCAAUGGACGCCGGUUUACCUUAAAACCUUAUCAAAGGAGAAGAAACUUUGACAAAAAGAAAAUGAAAAAACUUGUAGGCGAGGCUUUUCAAGGGCUGCCAGGCCCAAACUUGAGGCUUUUCAUGGGCUGCCAGGCCACUGAGUUAAACCAUUUGACAAAGCCUUUUAAGAUGGGCCUCCAACUAACCAAUCAUCGUUUUAACUUUGACAAGUUCAGGGUCUGUAUAAGAGUAACUUGUCAAACGUUCGGUGGGUCAUGCCAGGAUUACCUGGAUAGGAGUGGCUUACUUGAUGAAGGCAGGUUAACCCGGGGUUUUAGGUGAAUACACCAGGCUUCCAAGCCGUGGAUCGAUACCGAAUUACAAGGGUCCUUUCAAACUCUUUGUUACUUUACACAAAGAGCCCCCAAGUAACUUUGUGAGCUGUUCUCAAUGGGUGCCUAUGUUUGAGUUGUGCGUAGCAACAAGACUCUCUUUGGCCCCUUGGGUGUGAAGCUCCCAAGCUUUGUUGUGGCGUGAUAGCCAAAUUAAUGGACAGGACUCCGCUUUGCAAGCAGAAGCCUCCAUGUGAUAUAUUUCUGAGCUGUGCUCGUCGGGUGCCUAUGUUUGAGUUGUGGUGUGCAACAAACUCUCUUUGGCCCCUGAUGAUAAUAUUGUCUUGAUAGCCGCAUCAAGAGGGUAGUGACGCCAUGUUCUCUUUGGUGAAUACACCUAUGUUUGAACAGGAAGCCCCCAAGUAAUCAUAUGAAGAUGAGCCCAUAAGGCAGGACACCCAUAUUUGAACCAUGCAUCAUGGCAGCAAGUUCUCUUUGGCAACCUUUAAUUUUUCUGAGAACUAGAAUCUUGCGAGAGAUUAAUUCUUUUUGAAGGAACUUUAAACCGGAUUUGAAAGCUUCAAAACUUUGUGAGAGACAGAUUAUCCUUGAGCCGGAUGUUUGAGCCGGAUUUGAGAGUUUAAAAGCUUUGUAAGAGAUAAGUUUACCUUGAGCCGGAUGUUUGAACCGGAUUUGAGAGGUUCAAAGCUUUAUGGGAGAGAGAUGUCUCUUAAACCGGAUUUUAAACCGAAAUCUUUAUUUUGAGUCGGAAAUUUUCUGACGGCCUUUUAAGUUUUCACCAAUAUGGCAGUAGCCUCCGGGACCGGGUUAUCUUCCCUUCAGUGACCCAAAGUUCUGGAUUAUUGAUACUGGCCAAUUUUGCUGAGUCAUUCCAUUGUAGCCCCCAUGUCUUAAGGCGACUCGAGGAGUUGUCUUGAGAUUCUCCAUAUUUGACCGUGAUAUAAACCGGUAUGAGCCAGUCAACAGCUCAGUGAUAUAACUUGUCCUGUAUUGGAGAACUUCACAAGACAAAGUAAUCGCUCUUUUUAAAGAAAGUAAAAUGUAAUAUAAAAAUAUACUAGAUGAAUAUCACCUGAUAUGUUAGGCCAGGAAUUAUCCACCGUGAAGUAGAUGAUCACCAUGGUGAAGCUGAAAUUAAUCACGGCCAAGUCGGUCGCGAGAGCAAACAGAUGAGUCAGCCACUAUAUUGUAUGCGGGCGCAGAUAAGCGGGUCAAUCGCAGAUGUUGAUGUAGCAGGGGCGGUGACUUGUUCACGUAUCCGUCAAGCAGUAUGGAACAACGUUAUUGUAAAAACAAUGCUGGUGCGCGCCCUUCGUGUGACACCUGUGACACCUUUUGUAAAGAAUAAUGAUCCAGGCCCAUUGGGAUCCCUCGAAUCAACAUGCAUGCAUGCACAGCUCCAUUAUCCUCCGGCUGAACCCCCCAUUUUCUUUUGCUUUGUACUAGCGAGACAAGAUCACGCCAGCAGGGGGCACCUUGUCAAAGCGGAGGCGAGUCACAGCGGAAGAAGCGGCUGGAGCGGCUGUAUAGGGCACACCGGAGUUGGCCCGAGGGCGACUCAGCCCGAGCGUGCGGACAGCGGAUCGAGGCAGGCACCUCAACAGCGUGUAGAGGCAAAGGAACCAGCGGCCGGCCGGCGAACUGCAGAGCAGCCGACGUAGGUCGGUUUGAACAGGCGAGGCGCGACGACGGUUUGAAUAAGGCAAGGCCACAGGGCGACUCGCAGCAGCCGCAUGGUCGACGACUUUAGAAGCGGGGUGUGACUUGGAGCAGACGGUGGCUCUAUGCAGAGGUGACUUGUACAGGAGGCGAGUGUGGUGGCGAUUUAGCAGCAGCGAGGCCCGAGGGUGACUCAACAACGACAUGGGAAUCAGGCCCGCAGUGGCGACUCUGUAGUUUGGAAACGUGGCUACGCACAGUAAUUGAAGACUGGAGGCCAUUGAAUCUUUGUUUGAUUUUACGUAGAGGACCAAUUUUCCUUCACCACACCAUCUUCUUUUCCUUUUCCCUUUUUAGGUACAUGUGCUCAAAAUCAAUUAGCCCUCAAUUUUUGUGCAGAUACUAGUGGUGCUUGGGAUUUCACGUGAACUCUUCUUCAGCUAGCAUUAUGGAGUACUAGUAAACUGCUCCAGAUCCGUGUCGGCAUCAGGUUUUGAAUGACUGUCUCAGAUCCUCCUUUGAACGAUGGAACAGAAUCAGCAGGUGGUUCGGUGGCAGGUGCUAGAAGGAGGGCGGAGGAUGAGCCCGUUGCAGCGACUUAGGCAGACUGCAUCUCAAGCAUGAGAGGAGGCGGCCUAGCGCAGAAGAGAGAGUCCUAGCAUGAACGGCUGUACAAGCCCGAUGGCGACUCAGAGCGAGGCCGGAGAAUCGGAGAUGCGGUGCCUCGGGCAGAGCUAGCGGGCGUCCAGAUGGACGGCGAGGCGGAACCAAACCGAUGAGCGGGCGGCUCAGGCGCGCGGGCACAGCGGAUCGGCGGUAAGUCGGAGUCAAACCAACAAGCAGGCGGCUGGGGCGCGCGGGCGCGUAAGCCGCAGGCCGGAAGCGUGUAGGCCAGCAGGGGUGUGCCGGAGCCGACCGAAACAAUGACCCGGUCCGGGCGGGCGGGCGGGCGAGGCUAGGUCGCUCGAAACAGGCCUUAGCAGUGAAGGGGUGAUGCCAAGGAGGGGUGCAGCGGCAACAGUUUGGCGGAGCAAGGCCGCGGCUCGGGAAACAGGCGCAUUGGCCGGCGGCUGCCAGGCAGCGACUCGGCAGCGGAUUCGCAUGGGCGGCUCAAGGCGGAGUCCGCGUUCGUGGUCCUCUCUGCUUUCCCAGUCGUGGACUGUUGUCUUCUUCUUUGCGUUUGAGGUGCUAGUUUGAUUGUGACCUACCAAUAAUUAACUUGUCUUGAUACUUGACCAAACCCAAGGCAAUACCCUGCAUCCAGAUUUGAAGUGACCCUGUAAACAUGUCCGUGUUCCCGGAUCAUGGUGGCACUUGAUGAAAAUCCCGUCGGUCUCGCCGACGUGUGAGUGCUCCAAAAAAUUUAAUCUGUCUUUGAAUUGCAUCGCCAGUAUUAUCAACUCGGCAACCUUGUGGCGGCGCACCUGAUGCAACCCUAAUUUUUAGAAAUUUUCUUCAUCCGAUGAAUUGCAAGUUGCUCGAUCCCUCGAAAAGAUUUCUCCAAGAGCUCAACACCACCGUGCGCAAGCCCCACGGUGGGCGCCAACUGUCGUGGAAUUGUCACGGCAGAUGUUCUUAGUGUCAGGACUUAGUCGCGAGACCAACGCAUCUAUGUGGUAGCUUGAGAGGGGUUGAGCGGGACGAAAGACACGAUGUUUUACCCAGGUUCGGUCCCUCAUGGUGGAGGUAAAAACCUACAUCCUGCUUCAUUGAUAUUGAUGAUGAUGAUCACGGUUACAAGAGUGCUCUAUCUCGAGAGCUAUUGUCUAAACCUAACUUGUCCAACUUGUGGAACUUGUCCCUUUUGGGGAGCCCUGCCUCUCCUUAUAUAAGUUAGAGGGGUGGGUUACAUGUGGAGUCCUAUUAGGAUUAGGACUAGUCUACCUUCGAAUACAAACCGGAUACAAGUCCGGGUCUUAACUCCUUGUAAGGUAAAUAUUUCUCACGCCUUUCCUCUUAAACCGGCCCACCAUUAGCAUAAGCCGGCCUUCUGGGCCUUAGGCCUUGUCAUUCAUCUGACCCGUCCGUGGGGUCACCAGUGUGUCAUAAUGUCCCGGCGGGUUGCUUGUAAACCGCCAGGUCAGGGCGGAUCGCCAGUGAAUCGCCAAGUGUAAACCGGGUCUCAAGUAAACCUCCAAGUCCAGCCGGGUUAUACUUCCAGCCGGUUUACGCCGCGGGGUAUAUCCCCGACAGAAUCCGAAUACGCAGCCCGUUCGCCCGCCACACAUCCCUAGCAUAGCGAACACACAAUUUCCCCCCUCCGGUUCAUCUGUCCGAAAACGCGAAACAACAGGAAUACUUCCCGGAUGUUUCCCCCCUUCGCCGGUAUCGCCUAUCCCUAUGUUAGGUCACCCCUAGCACAACGUAUUGCCGCUGCUUUGUGUUACAUUUGAUUGCUCUAUUAUUUAUUGUGUUCCCCCUCCGUUACUUCUUUCCGGUAUACUCCGAGACUGCUGUCGAUGUCUGUGUGUUCGACUACAUUGAAGAUGACCCCUCCUUCUUGCCAGAGCAACCAGGCAAGCCCCCUCUUGAUCACCAGAUAUCACCUAUUCUUCUCUCUACUUCUUGCAUUAGAGUAGUGUAGCAUGUUACUGUUUCCCGUUAAUCCUGUUCUGAUGCAUAGCAUGUCCUUGCUACUACUGUUGUUACCUUUACCUGCAAUCCUAAAUGCUUAGUAUAGGAUGCUAGUAUUCCAUCAGUGGCCCUACAUUCUUGUUCGUCUCCCAUGCUAUACUAUCGGGCCGUGAUCACUUGGGAGGUGAUCACGGGUAUAUACUUAUAUACAUAAUAUGUGAUACAUGUGGUGACUAAAGUCGGGUCGGCUCAUAGAGUACCCGCAAGUGAUUCCGAUGUGGGGGCUGAAGGGCCAGGUGGUUCCAUCCAGGUAGUGGUGGGCCUGGGUUCCCGACAGCCCCCGACUGUUACUUUGUGGCAGAGCGAUAGGGCAGGUUGAGGCCACCUAGGAGAGAGGUGGGCCUGGCCCUGGUCAGCGUCCGCGGUUACUUUAAAAUAACACGCUUAACAAGAUCUUGGUAUUUGAUCUGAGUCUGUCCACUGGCCUAUACGCACUAACCAACUAUGCGGGAAUAGUUAUGGGCACUCGACGUCGUGGUAUCAGCCGAAGCAUUUUUUACGUUAGCGACUAAGCGGCACGCGCCGGAUUGAACUGGAACACCUUCUCUUGUAUUAGGGAGGCUAGGUCUCUUUCUGGCCAUGUUCGCAACGUCCAGGUGUGCAAUGGGUGAUGGGCCUAGACCCCCGCGCCAUAGGAUUUAGACCAGCAUGUUGACCUCUCUGUUGUGCCUAGGUGCGAUGUGUUGAUCUCCCGAGGCGGGGCAUGACCCAGGAAAGUGUGUCCGGCCAAAGGGGAUCGAGCAUGUUGGGAAAUGUGGUGCACCCCUGCAGGGAAGUUUAUCUAUUCAAAUAGCCGUGUCCCUCGGUAAAAGGAUGAUCCGGAGUUGUACCUUGACCUUAUGACAACUAGAACCGAAUACUUAAUAAAAACACACCCUUUCAAGUGCCAGAUACAACUCGGUGAUCGCUCUCUAACAGGGUGACAAGGAGAGGAUCGCCAGAUAGGAUUAUGUUAUGCGAUGAUACUUGGUGAACUUACCAUCUACUCUCUUCUACAUGCUGCAAGAUGGAGGCUGUCAGAAGCGUAGUCCUCGAUAGGACUAGCUAUCCCCCUCUUAUUCUGGCAUUCUGCAUUUCAGUUCACAGAUACUACCCUUUUAAUUGAUACCAAUGCAUAUGUAGUGUAGAUCCUUGCUUGCGAGUACUUUGGAUGAGUACUCAUGGUUGCUUUGCUACUUCUUUUUCCCCUUUCCCGGUUAUUGCGAUCAUAUGAUGGAGUCCAGGAGCCAGAGGAUCCCGAGGAUGAUUCUACGUGGAGUUCAGCUUCGAGGAGUAGUUAGGAGGUCCCAGGCAGGAGGCCUUGCCUUUCCGAUCGUUGCUACUUUUUUGCUAGCUUUCUUAAGGCAAACUUGUUUGACUUAUGUCUGUACUCAGAUAUUAUUGCUUACGCUGACUCUUGUGUAUUUGAGCUUAUGUAUUCGAGCCCUCGAGGCCCCCUGGCUUGUAAUAUAAAGCUUGUAUUAUUUUAAUUGGUGUCUAGAGUUGUGUUGUGAUAUCUUCCCGUGAGUCCUUGAUCUUGAUCGUACACAUUUGCGUGUAUGAUUAGUGUACGGUCAAAUCGGGGGUGUCACAAGUUGGUAUCAGAGCCAACUGCCUGUAGGAAUCCCCCUUCCACACUCGGCCGAAGUUGAGUCUAGUCAUUACAAAACUUUUACUAACAUGGCUGUGUGGCUUAUGGGCCCACGUCGCCAUUUGGGUGGUAUUAGGAUCUUUUUAUUCCUCGUCUAUACUUUGGGACUCUGAUCUCUCUUCUAAUCGGGUUAAAAGAUUUUGCUAAUUCUAACUCUAGGUUCUCGUAAUUACUUCCUUUCGGAGAGCCCCUUAUUACAGAUGAUCGCCUGCUGCACCAUAAGAUUCAGAAGGUACUCUCCGAUGUUAUCCCGAGAGCUUGUGCUCAUUGCGUUUGCAAUUCCCUUCCACCGUCAAACCCUAUAGAUAACUACAUGCACUUGUCAUUCUUACCUUAGUCCCCAGUUGCUCUUGUUAUUACAAGAUACCCCGAAAUACUCGUUGUUGAUCCGAGAAUCCUUGUGCCUACUGCCUUGCAGUUCCUUGUCACCUGAAUACACCUAUAAAUUAAUCCUCACGCACACCGAGUAUUUGUUUCUCCCCAGUUGUUCAUGUGUUUUACCAAAGUCUUCUAAAUACUAUUUGAUCUUCCGAAAAUCCUCAGCAGCUUAUUGCUCUUGAAAUUCUUGCUUGCUUGCAUUAUGGUUAAUCCCAUAAGUAUAGUAAUAUUAUUGACAUCAUUUGUCAUUAUCAUUUUGAGUACGUUGAUUCGAUAUGAUUGUGAAUGGUCGCAAUCAUCAGUCAAAACUAAAAUUCAUCCUCCCGGCUCAGACAUCAUUUGAACAUGAUCUGGAUCUUGACCAAUCAAAUUGCCAUCGAUUGUACCCCUAAGGCUAUUCAACUUACCAUCCCUAAUCAGAUUGCUUCUGAUCCCUUGUCUUGGAAUUCAUAAUUCCUUUGCAUUGAGCUUUGCGUUAGUCAGUUGUUUCUAUAAUCUGAUCUCCUUGCAUUUUUUCUUCCUCUGGUUGAGUACCGAUGCUCACAUCAGAUCCUUUGUUGGAUUUUAUCUGGCAGUGUCCUUCGUAUUCAAUAAGCUUGUGAGCCUUUCCUCGGAUACAUAGUGCCCUUGGUAAAUUGUAUCCCCUGCUUUUCUAAAGCAUGCUAUACUAUCGAGCUUGUGUUAUUUAUUCUUGAAAUUUGUGGUUUAUGCUCCUAAGAUGCCCUGAUGGGUUGAACCUAUGCCUUCCCCAAACCCUAUGAACCCAAAAGUUUUCACGAGUCAUACUUUUUUGUUGUUUCGCCAGAUAAAAAUUCUACACUACAGCUUCAUCAAAAGCGAGAAGUAAAAUGAAAGGUUGUGCACUGAAAAAGUGGGAGUCGACCUUGAGCCUUUGCGUUCAUGCCCAUGGACCCGAUGUGGAACUUAUCAUCGAAGCAUCUUGUAAUAAUAAUAAUCCCCUUGUUAUAAGUUCGUCUUGUAUCUAUGUUUAGUCCUUUGCAACCGUGGUUCCGAGACCAUGAUUAUUCUUCUUUGAUCCCAUUUCUCGGGCAAGCUAAACCAUUUCUCGGGCAAGCUAAACCACUUGUCCUCUGCAGAUCAAUGCACCCGUCCAACCUCUAUAAUUAUCUACCUUCGAGUAUUAUCCCGUGGUAUCUCGAUAAUAUCACAGAACCAUAUUAGUUCUUAUGAGAUUUCUUGUUGAGUUUUGUGUUGUGAAGUUUUCAAGUUUAAGGAUUUGAUGGACUAUGGAAUAAGGAGUGGAAAGUGCCUAAGCUUGGGGUCGCCCAAGGCACCCCAAGGUAAUAUUCAAUGAAAACCAAGAGCCUAAGCUUGGGGGUGCCCCGGAAGGCAUCCCCUCUUUCGGCUUCGUCUAUCGGUAACUUUGCUUGAGGCUAUAUUUUUAUUCACCACAUGAUAUGUGUUUUGCUUGGAGCGUCUUGUAUGAUUUGAGUCUUUGCUUUUUAGUUUUCCACAAUCACCCUUGCUGUACACACCUUUUGAGAGAGACAUGCAUGAAUCGCGAUUUAUUAGAAUACUCUUUGUGCUUCACUUAUAUCUUUUGAGCUAGGAAAUUUUGCUCUAGUGCUUCACUUAUAUAUUUUUAGAGCACGACGGUGGUUUUAUUUUAUAGAAAUUGAUGAACUCUCAUGCUUCACUUAUAUUAUUUUGAGAGUCUUUUAAACAGCAUGGUGAUUUGCUUUGGUUAUAAAUUUAGUCCUAAUAUGAUAGGCAUCCAAGAAGGAUAUAAUAAAAACUUUCAUAUAAAGUGCAUUGAAUACUAUGAGAAGUUUGAUUCCUUAUGAUUGUUUUGAGAUAUGAAGAUGGUGAUAUUAGAGUCAUUCUAGUGAGUAGUUGUGAAUAUGAGAUAUACUUGUGUUAAGGUUUGUGAGUCCCCUAGCAUGCACGUAUGGUGAACUAUUAUGUAACAAAGUUGGAGCAUGAGAUAUUUUUUUAUUGUUUUCCUUAUGAGUGGCGGUUGGGGACGAGCGAUGUUCUUUUCCUACCAAUCUAUCCCCCUAGGAGCAUGCGCGUAGUACUUUGUUUUGAUGACUAAUAGAUUUUUGUAAUAAGUAUGUGAGUUCUUUAUGACUAAUGUUGAGUCCAGGGAUUAUACGCACUAUCACCCUUCCACCAUUGCUAGCCUCUCUAGUGCCGCGCAACUUUCGCCGUUACCAUACCCACCAUAUACCUUUCUCAAAACAGCCACCAUACCUACCUAUUAUGGCAUUUCCAUACACUAUAGGAAUCAGGCACUUUGUCUUCCGCCAUGGCUGACGACAAAGGCAUGCCUGGCGGACGACAAAGGCCUUUGCCGACUAUCAGCAGACGGCAAUAGGUCCGGCUGAAUAGGCUACGACGAAGGGCUCUUUGCCGUCUGCUGGUGGACGGCAAAGAUGAAAUGGUCUUUGUCGUCCGCCAACAGAUAAUAAAGGACCUAGAUGGCACAUGUGGCAGCUUAUGCCCGUUAGGGGAUUAACGGUGCGCUUUGCCGUCAGCUGGCGGACGGCAAAGACCAUUUCAUCUUUGUCGUCAGCCAACGGAUGGCAAAGUAACCAAAUAGGCCAGCCCCCAGGUUGCACAGGUAGCUGCUGAUGUCUACUACACAACCUUCUUCUUGUAGACGUUGUUGGGCCUCCAAGUGCAGAGGUUUGUAGGACAGUAGAAAAUUUCCCUCAAGUGGAUGACCUAAGGUUUAUCAAUCCGUAGGAGGCGUAGGAUGAAGAUGGUCUAUCUCAAGCAACCCUGCAACCAAAUAACAAAUAGUCUCUUGUGUCCCCAACACACCCAAUACAAUGGUAAAUUGUAUAGGUGCACUAGUUUGGUGAAGAGAUGGUGAUACAAGUGGUAUAUGGAUAGUAGAUAAAGGUAUUUGUAAUCUGAAAUUAUAAAAACAGCAAGGUAGCAAGUGAUAAAAGUGAGCAGAAAUGGAAUUGCAAUGAUAGGAAAUAAGGUCUAGGGUUCAUACUUUCACUAGUGCAAGUUCUCUCACCAAGGAUAACAUAAUUGGAUCACAUAACUAUCCCUCAACAUGCAACAAAGAGUCACUCCAAAGUCACUAAUAGCGGAGAACGAACGAAGAGAUUAUGAUAGGGUACGAAACCACCUCAAUGUUAUUCUUUCCAAUCAAUCCGUUGGGCUAUUCCUAUAAGUGUCACAAACAGCCCUAGAGUUCGUACUAGAAUAACACCUUAAGAUACAAAUCAACCAAAACCCUAAUGUCACCUAGAUACUUCAAUGUCACCUCAAGUAUCCGUGGGUAUGAUUAUACGAUAUGCAUCACACAAUCUCAGAUUCAUCUAUUCAACCAAUGAUACGUCUCCGACGUAUCUAUACUUUUUGAUUGUUCUAUGCCAAUAUUCUACAACUUUCAUAUACUUUUGGCAACUUUUUAUACUAUUUUUGGGACUAACAUAUUGAUCCAGUGCCCAGUGCCAGUUCCUGUUUGUUGCAUGUUUUUUGUUUUGCAGAAUAUCCAUAUCAAACGGAGUCCAAACAAGAUAAAAACUGACGGAGAUUUUUUUGGAAUAUAUAUGAUUUUUGGGAAGAAAAAUCCACGCGAGACGGUGCCCGAGGUGGCCACGAGGCAGGGGGGCGCGCCUGCCCCCUGGGUGCGCCCCUGACCCUCGUGGAUCACCCGUAAGGCGGUUGGUGCCCUUCUUUCGCCGCAAGAAAGCUAAUAUCUGGAUAGAGAUCAUGUUAAAAUUUCAGCCCAAUCGGAGUUAGGAUCUCCAGGAAUAUAAGAAACGGUGAAAGGGAAGAAUCUGGGAAUGCAGAAACACAGAGAGACAGAGAGACAAAUCCAAUCUUGGAGGGGCUCUCGCCCCUCCCAUGCCAUGGAGGCCAUGGACCAGAGGGGAAACCCUUCUCCCAUCUAGGGAGGAGGUCAAGGAAGAAGAAGAAGGAGGGGGGGGGGGCUCUCCCCCUCGCUUCCGGUGGCACCGGAGUGCCACUGGGGGCCAUCAUCACCGCGAUCUACACCAACACCUCCGCCAUCUUCACCAACAUCUCCAUCACCUUCCCCCUCUAUCUACAGCGGUCCACUCUCCCGCAACCCGCUGUACCCUCUACUUGAACAUGGUGCUUUAUGCUUCAUAUUAUUAUCCAAUGAUGUGUUGCCAUCCUAUGAUGUCUGAGUAGAUUUUCGUUGUCCUACCGGUGGUUGAUGAAUUGCUAUGAUUGAUUUAAUUUGCUUGUGGUUAUGUUGCUAUCCUUUGGUGCCCAUCAUAUGAUUGCGCACGUGGAUCGCACCCUAGGGUUAGUUCUAUGUUGAUAGGACUAUGUAUUGGAGGGCAAGAGUGACAGAAGCUUCAACCUAGCAUAGAAAUUGAUGCAUACGGGAUUGAAGGGGGAUCAAUAUAUCUUAAUGCUACGGUUGGGUUUUACCUUAAUGAACAUUAGUAGUUGCGGAUGCUUGAUAAUAGUUCGAAUCAUAAGUGCAUAGAAUUCCAAGUCAGGGAUGACAUGCUAGCAGUGGCCUCUCCCACAUAAUACUUGCUAUCGGUCUAGUAAAGUAGUCAAUUGCUUAGGGACAAUUUCACAACUCCUACCACCACUUUUCCACACUCGCUAUAUUUAAUUUAUUGAUUCUUUACCUAAACAGCCCCUACUUUUUAUUUACGUACUCUUUAUUAUCUUGCAAACCUAUCCAACAACACCUACAAAGUACUUCUAGUUUCAUACUUGUUCUAGGUAAAGCGAACGCCAAGCGUGAGUAGAGUUGUAUCGGUGGUCGAUAGAACUUGAGGGAAUAUUUGUUCUACCUUUAGCUCCUCGUUGGGUUCGACACUCUUACUUAUCAAAAACUGUUGCGAUCCCCUAUACUUGUGGGUUAUCAACCAAAACAUAGAACCUCAAACAGUGCCCCAAAGUUCUACCGGAGAAUCACGACGAAAACGUGUGCCAACCCCUAUGCAUAGGUUCAUGGGAGGAACCCGCAAGUUGAUCACCAAAACAUACAUCAAGUGAAUCACAUGAUAUCCCAUUGUCACCACAGAUAUGCACGGCAAGACAUACAUCAUGUGUUCUAAAAUCUUUAAAGACUCAAUCACAUAAGAUUACUUCAAGGGUAAAACUCAAUCCAUUACAAGAGAGUAGAGGGGGAGGAGAAACAUAAGAUCCAACUAUAAUAGCAAAGCUCGCGAUACAUCAAGAUCGUGCCAAAUCAAGAACACGAGAGAGAGAGAGAUCAAACACAUAGCUACUGGUACAUACCCUCAGCCCCGAGGGAGAACUACUCCCUCCUCGUCAUGGAGAGCACCAGGAUGAUGAAGAUGGCCACCAGAGAAGGAUUCCCCCUCCGGCAGGGUGCCGGAACGGGUCUAGAUUGGCUUUUGAUGGCUACAGAGGCUUCAGGCGGCAGAACUCCCGAUCUAUUGUGCUCCCGGAUGUUUUUAGGGUAUAUGGAGAUAUAUAGGCAGAAGAAGUACGUCAGGGUGGCCACAAGGGGCCCACGAGGGGGGAGGGCGCGCCCAGGGGGUUGGCGUGCCCCCCUGCCUCGUGGCCUCCUCGUAGAUCCCUUGACGUGCACUCCAAGUCUUCUGGGCUUCUUCUGAUCCAAAAAUAUGUUCCGUGAAGUUUUAGGUUAAUUGGACUCCGUUUGGUUUUCCUUUUCUGCGAUAUUUUAAAACAAGGUAAAAACAGAAACUGGCACUGGGCUCUGGGUUAAUAGGUUAGUCCCAAAAAUGAUAUAAAAGUGUAUAAUAAAGCCCAUAAACAUCCAAAACAGUAGAUAAUAUAGCAUGGAGCAAUCAAAAAUUAUAGAUACAUUGGAGACGUAUCAGCAUCCCCAAGCUUAAUUCCUGCUCGUCCUCAAGUAGGUAAAUGAUAAAAACAGAAUUUUUGAUGCGGAGUGCUACUUGGCAUAAUUUGAAUGUAAUUCUUCUUAACUGUGGCAUGAAUAUUCAGAUCCGAAAGAUUCAAGAUAAAAGUUCAUAUUGACAUAAAAAUAAUAAUACUUCAAGCAUACUAACUAAGCAAUUAUGUUCUCUCGAAAUAACAUGGCCAAAGAAAGUUCAUCCCUACAAAAUCAUAUAGUUUAGUCAUGCUCCAUUUUCGUCACACAAGAAUGCUCUCAUCAUGCACAACCUCGAUGACAAGCCAAGCAAUUGUUUCAUACUUUAGUAAUCUCAAACCUAUAAACUUUCACGCAAUAUAUGAGCGCGAGCCAUGGACAUAGCACUAUGGGUGGAAUAUAAUAAGAUGAUGGGGGUUAUGUGGAGAAGACAAAAAGGAGAAAGUCUCACAUUGAUACGUCUCCAACGUAUCUAUAAUUUUUGAUUGCUCCAUGCUACUUUAUCUACUGUUUUGGACUAUAUUGGGAUUUAUUUUCCACUUUUAUAUUAUUUUUGGGACUAACCUAUUAACCGGAGGCCCAGCCCAGAAUUGCUGUUUUUUGCCUAUUUUAGUAUUUCGAGGAAACAGAAUAUCAAACGGAGUCCAAACGGAAUGAAACCUUCGGGAACGUGAUCUUCUCACCGAACGUGAUCCAGGAGACUUGGACCCUACUCCAAGAAGUUUCCGGGGAGGUCACGAGGGUGGAGGGCGCCCCCCCGGGCGCGUGCCCCUGCCUCGUGGGCCCCUCGGAGCUCCAUCGACGUGCUCCUUCCUCCUAUAUAUACCUACGUACCCCCAUUAGACCAAAGACGGAGCCAAAAACCUAAUUCCACCGCCGCAACUUCCUGUAUCCACGAGAUCCCAUCUUGGGGCCUGUUCCGGAGCUCCGCCGGAGAGGGCAUCCAUCACGGAGGGCUUCUACAUCAACACCAUAGCCCUUCCGAUGAAGUGUGAGUAGUUUACUUCAGACCUUCGGGUCCAUAGCUAGUAGCUAGAUGGCUUCUUCUCUCUUUUUGGAUCUCAAUACAAUGUUCUCCCCCUCUCUCAUGGAGAUCUCUUCGAUGUAAUCUUCUUUUUGCGGUGUGUUUGUUGAGAACGAUGAAUUGUGGGUUUAUGAUCCAACUUAUCUAUGAAUAAUAUUUGAAUCUUCUCUGAAUUCUUUUAUGUAUGAUUGAGUUAUCUUUGCAAGUCUCUUCGAAUUAUCCGUUUGGUUUGGCCAACUAGAUUGGUAGUUCUUGCAAUGGGAGAAGUGCUUAGCUUUGGGUUCAAUCUUGCGGUGUCCUUACUCAGUGACAGAAAGAGUUGCAAGGCACGUAUUGUAUUGUUGCCAUCGAGGAUAACAAGAUGGGGUAUUUAUCAUAUUGCAUGAAUUUAUUCCUCUACAUCAUGUCAUCUUGCUUAAGGCGUUACUCUGUUUUUAACUUAAUACUCUAGAUGCAUGCUGGAUAGCGGUCGAUGAGUGGAGUAAUAGUAGUAGAUGCAGGCAGGAGUCGGUCUACUUCUCACGGACGUGAUGCCUAUAUACAUGAUCAUACCUAGAUAACCUCAUAACUAUGCUAAAUUCUAUCAAUUGCUCAAUAGUAAUUUGUUCACCCACCGUAGAAUAUCUAUGCUCUUGAGAGAAGCCACUAGUGGAACCUAUGGCCCCUGGGUCUAUUCUCAUCAUAUCAAUCUCCAUUACUUUAUUUUACUUGUUUUGCUUUUACUUUUCACUUUGCAUCUUUAUACCAAAAAUACCAAAAAUAUUAUCUCUAUCAGAUCUCACUCUCGUAAGUGACCGUGAAGGGAUUGACAACCCGUAAGUGUUGGUUGCGAGUUGCUACCGUUUUGUGCAGGUACGAGGGACUUGCGUGUGACCUCCUACUGGAUUGAUACCUUGGUUCUCAAAAACUGAGGGAAAUACUUAUGCUACUGUGCUGCAUCACCCCCUCCUCUUCGGGGAAAACCAACGCUAGCUCGAGGCGUAGCAAGAAGGAUUUCUGGCGUCGUUACCGGGGAGGCCUACACCAAGUCAAGUCAAGAUUUACUCUCCCGUCAACGAGCCAUUUCUGGCGCCGUUGCCGGGGAGGCCUACGCCAAGUCAAGUCAAGAUUUACUCUCCCGUCAAUGAGCCAUUUCUGGCGCCGUUGCCGGGGAAGCCUACGCAAAAGUCAACAUACCAAGUACCCAUCACAAUCUCUAUCUCUCGCAUUACAUUAUUUGCCAUUUGCCUCUCGUUUUCCUCUCCCCCACUUCACCCUUGCCGUUUUAUUCGUCCUCUCUUUCCCUUUGCCUUUUGUUUGCUCGUGUGUUAGUUUGCUUGCUUGUUCGUCACGAUGGCCUUACCUAAUUUUGGUGAUCUUCACCUUAAAAGGCUAGAAGAUAUCGAAAACGAUGUCAGGAAGUUUAUGGUCUUGCAAUUUGAGCAUAAUAAUUUCUUUAGAAACGAGCUUAAGGAACAAAAGAGUUUUAUGAGUUAUAUGAAUAAAGAGCUCGAUGAUAUGUCCAAAGAAUUUGAUGGUGUAAGAGCCCAAAUUGCUCAUCUUGAAAAAAUGACCACUGAAAUUUCGGAUAUGCAAGCCACCUUAGUCAAUAAGAUGGCCGCUAAACCGAAUAACUAUGAGAAUCAAGAUGAAGAUCUAAAAGUUAUUGAUGUUUCCCAUUUUAAAUCUUUGUUUUGCAAUAUGAAUCUUGAUGAAUCUGAUUAUGAUCUUCCCUUACCUAGAAGGCGUUCUAGGAAUUCUGAGUUUUUAGAUCCUGAUGAUGAAAUUGAUAAAAAAGGGAUUGAAAGAAAUAAAAAUCUAGAUAUUGCUAAACCCACUAUUUUGGAUCUCAAGGAAUUUAACUAUGAAAAUUUCUCUUUAAUUGAUUGUAUUUCCUUGUUGCAAUCCGUGUUAAAUUCUCCUCAUGCUUAUAGUCGAAAUAAGGCCUUUACCGAACACAUUGUUGACGCCUUAAUCAAAUCUUAUGAAGAAAAGCUUGAGUUGAAAGUUUCUAUCCCUAGAAAACUCCAUGAUGAGUGGGAACCUACAAUUAAGAUUAAAAUUAAAAAUUACGAGUUUCAUGCUUUGUGUGAUUUGGGUGCUAGUGUCUCUACUAUCCCCAAAGCUUUGUGUGAUUUGCUAGAUUUCUGUGACUUUGAUGAUUGCUCUCUAAACUUGCAUCUUGCGGAUUCCACUAUUAAAAAGCCUAUGGGAAGAAUUAAUGAUGUUCUUAUUGUUGCAAAUAGGAAUUAUGUGCCCGUAGAUUUUAUCGUUCUUGAUAUAGAUUGCAAUCCUUCAUGUCCUAUUAUUCUUGGUAGACCUUUCCUUAGAACGAUGGGUGCAAUUAUUGAUAUGAAGGAAGGGAAUAUUAAAUUCCAAUUUCCCUUAAAGAAGGGCAUGGAACACUUUCCUAGAAAGAAAAUAAAAUUACCAUAUGAAUCUAUCAUGAGAGCCACUUAUGGAUUGCCUACCAAAGAUGGCAAUACCUAGAUCUAUCAUUGCUUUUAUGCCUAGCUAGGGGUGUUAAACGAUAGCGCUUGUUGGGAGGCAACCCAAUUUUAUUUUGUGUUUUUUGUUUUUGGUUCUGUUUAGGAAUAAAUAAUCCAUCUAGAUUCUGUUUAGAUGUGGUUUUAUCUUUUAAUUAUUGUUUGUGCCAAGUUAAACCUAUUAGAUCUUCUUGGAAGAUAGUUAUUUGAUCUUGCUGUAAUUUCCAGAAUCUUUGCGCUCAGUGCCCGAAUUGUCAAAAAUCACCAGAACGUGAUAAAAUAGUGAUUCCGAUCGCUUCUGAUCAAUAAACAAAUUUCCCAGGUCUUCUAAUUUUGGUAGAAUUUUUUGGGUUCCAGAAGUUUGCGUUAGUAACAUAUUACUACAGACUGUUCUGUUUUUGACAGAUUCUGUUUUGCGUGUGUUGUUUGCAUAUUUUGAUGAAUCUAUGGCUAGUAAAAUAGUUUACAAACCAUAGAGAAGUUGGAAUAUAGUAGGUUUAACACCAAUACAAAUAAGGAACAAGUUGACUACAGUACCUUAAAGUAGUCUUUUGUUUUCUUUCUCUAACGGAGCUCACGAGAUUUCUAUUGAGUUUUGUGUUGUGAAGUUUUCAAGUUUUGGGUGAAUUCUUUUGAUGGAUUAUGGAACAAGGAGUGGCAAAAGCCUAAGCUUGGGGAUGCCCAUGGCACCCCCAAGAUAAUCCAAGGACACCAAAAAGUCAAAGCUUGGGGAUGCCCCGGAAGGCAUCCCCUCUUUCGUCCACUUCCAUCGGUAAUUUACUUGGAGCUAUAUUUUUAUUCACCACAUGAUAUGUGUUUUGCUUGGAGCGUCUUGUAUUAUUUGUGUCUUUGCUUGUUAGUCUACCACAAUCAUCCUUGAUGUACACACCUUUUGAGAGAGCCAUGUAUGAAUUGAAAUUUGUUAGAAUACUCUAUGUGCUUCACUUAUAUCUUUUGAGCUUGAUAGUUUACUCUAUGUGCUUCACUUAUAUCUUUUUGAGCGUGAUAAUUUUUGCUCUAGUGCUUCACUUAGAUCUUUUAGAGCAUGGUGGUGAUCUGUUUUAAAGAAACUUGAUCUCUCAUGCUUCACUUAGAUUAUUUUGAGAGUCGUUAAUAGCAUGGUAAUUUGCUUAAUGUUAAUAUACUUGGUAUUCAAGAUAUGUGAAACUUUCUUUUUAGUGGUUGAAUACUAAGAUAAGUUUGAUGCUUGAUAAUUGUUUUGAGAUAUGGAGGUGAUAAUAUCAUAGUCGUGCUAGUUGAGUAGUUGUGAAUUUGAGAAAUACUUGUGUUGAAGUUAGCAAGUCUCGUAGCAUGCACGUAUGGUUAAAGUUGUGUAACAAAUUUGAAGCAUGAAGUGUACCUGGCUUGUGCAUCCUUAUGAGUGGCGGCCGGGGACGAGCGAUGGUCUUUUCCUACCAAUCUAUCCCCCUAGGAGCAUGCGCGUAGUACUUGAUUUUUGAUGACUUCUAAAUUUUUGCAAUAAGUAUAUGAGUUCUUUUGACUAAUGUUGAGUCCAUGGAUUAUACGCACUUUUACCUUUCCGCCAUUUGCUAGCCUCUUCGGUACCGUGCAUUGCCCUUUCUCACAUUGAGAGUUGGUGCAAACUUCGCCGGUGCAUCCAAACCCCGUGAUAUGAUACGCUCUUUCACACAUAAACCUCUCUAUAUCUUCCUUAAAACAGCCACCAUACCUACCUAUCAUGGCAUUUCCAUAGCCAUUCCGAGAUAUAUUGCCAUGCAACUUCCACCAUCAUCAUCAUCAUGACAUGCUUUACUUUUGUCAUAUUGCCAUUGCAUGAUCUUGUAGUUGACAUCGUAUUUGUGGCAAAGCCACCAUGCAUUAUUUUUCAUACAUGUCACUCUUGAUUCAUUGCACCAUCCCGGUACACCGCCGGAGGCAUUCAUAUAGAGUCAUAUCUUGUUCUAGUAUCGAGUUGUAAUCAUUAUGUUGUAAUCAAUAGAAGUGUGAUGAUCAUCAUUAUUAGAGCAUUGCCCAAUCAAAAAAAAGAGAAAGGCCAAAAAGAAAAAAAGAAAGGCCCAAAAAAAAGAAGGAUAAAAUAAAAAGGGCAAUGCUACUAUCUCUUUUUCCAAACUUGUGCUUCAAAGUAGCACCUUGUUCUUCAUGUAGUGAGUCUCAUAUAUUGUGCUUCAAAGUAGCACCAUGAUUUUCAUAUAGUGAGUCUCAUAAGUUGUCUUGUUCAUACUAGUGGGAAUUUUUCAUUAUAGAACUUGGCUUGUAUAUUCCAACGAUGGGCUUCCUCAAAAUGCCCUAGGUCUUCAUGAGCAAGCAAGUUGGAUGCACACCAACUAGUUUUCUUUUGUUGAGCAUUCUUAGCUCUAGUGCAUCCGUUGCAUGGCAAUCCCUACUCCUUGCAUUAACAUCAAUUGAUGGGCAUCUCCAUAGCUCAUUGAUUAGCCUCGUUGAUGUGAGACUUUCUCCUUUUUUAUCUUUUCCACACAAUCCCCAUCAUCAUAUUCUAUACCACCCAUAGUGCUAUGUCCAUGGCUCGCGCUCAUGUAUUGCGUGAAGGUUGAAAAAGUUUGAGAUUAUUUGAGUAUGAAACAAUUGCUUGGCUUGUCAUCGGGGGUAUAGAAGUUGGGAACAUCUUUGUGUGACGAAAAUGAAGCAUAGCCUAACUAUAUGAUUUUGUAGGGAUGAACUUCCUUUGGCCAUGUUAUUUUGAGAUGACAUAAUUGUUUGAUUAGUAUGCUUGAAGUAUUAUCAUUUUUAUGUCAAUAUGAACUUUUGUCUUGAACCUUUCGGAUCUGAAUAUUCAUACCAUGAUUAAGAAGAUUUACAUUGAAAUUAUGCCAAAGUAUCACUCUGCAUCAAAAAUUCUCUUUUUAUCAUUUACCUACUCGAGGACAAGCAGGAAUUAAGCUUGGGGGUGCCUGAUACAUCUCCAACAUAUCUAUAAUUUUUGAUUGCUCCAUGCUACUUUAUCUACUGUUUUGGACUAUAUUGGGCUUUAUUUUCCACUUCUAUAUUAUUUUUGGGACUAACCUAUUAACCGGAGGCCCAACCUAGAAUUGCUGUUUUUUUGCCUAUUUCAGUAUUUCGAGGAAAGAGAAUAUCCAACGGAGUCCAAACGGAAUGAAACCUUCGGGAACGUGAUCUUCUCACCGAACGUGAUCCAGGAGACUUGGACCCUACUCCAAGAAGUUUCCGGGGAGGUCACGAGGGUGGAGGGCGCCCCCCCUGGGCGCGCCCCCCUGCCUCGUGGGCCCCUCGGAGCUCCACCGACGUGCUCCUUCCUCCUAUAUAUACCUACGUACCCCCAUUAGACCAAAGACGGAGCCAAAAACCUAAUUCCACUGCCGCAACUUCCUGUAUCCACGAGAUCCCAUCUUGGGGCCUGUUCCGGAGCUCCGCCGGAGAGGGCAUUCAUCACGGAGGGCUUCUACAUCAACACCAUAGCCCUUCCGAUGAAGUGUGAGUAGUUUACUUCAGACCUUCGGGUCCAUAGCUAGUAGCUAGAUGGCUUCUUCUCUCUUUUUGGAUCUCAAUACAAUGUUCUCCCCCUAUCUCGUGGAGAUCUAUUCGAUGUAAUCUUCUUUUUGCGGUGUGUUUGUUGAGACCGAUGAAUUGUGGGUUUAUGAUCCAACUUAUCUAUGAAUAAUAUUUGAAUCUUCUAUGAAUUCUUUUAUGUAUGAUUGAGUUAUCUUUGCAAGUCUCUUCGAAUUAUCCGUUUGGUUUGGCCAACUAGAUUGGUAGUUCUUGCAAUGAGGGAAGUGCUUAGCUUUGGGUUCAAUCUUGCGGUGUCCUUACUCGGUGACAGAAAGAGUUGCAAGGCACGUAUUGUAUUGUUGCCAUCGAGGAUAACAAGAUGGGGUAUUUAUCAUAUUGCAUGAAUUUAUUCCUCUACAUCAUGUCAUCUUGCUUAAGGCGUUACUCUGUUUUUAACUUAAUACUCUAGAUGCAUGCUGGAUAGCGGUCGAUGAGUGGAGUAAUAGUAGUAGAUGCAGGCAGGAGUCGGUCUACUUGUCACGAACGUGAUGCCUAUAUACAUGAUCAUACCUAGAUAACCUCAUAACUAUGCUAAAUUCUAUCAAUUGCUCAACAGUAAUUUGUUCACCCAUCAUAGAAUAUCUAUGCUCUUGAGAGAAGCCACUAGUGAAACCUAUGGCCCCUGGGUCUAUUCUCAUCAUAUCAAUCUCCAUUACUUUAUUUUACUUGUUUUGCUUUUACUUUUCACUUUGCAUCUUUAUACCAAAAAUACCAAAAAUAUUAUCUCUAUCAGAUCUCACUCUCGUAAGUGACCGUGAAGGGAUUUACAACCCCUAAGCAUUGGUUGCGAGUUGCUACCGUUUUGUGCAGGUACGAGGGACUUGCGCGUGACCUCCUACUGGAUUGAUACCUUGGUUCUCAAAAACGGAGGGAAAUACUUACGCUACUGUGCUGCAUCACCCCCUCCUCUUCGGGGAAAACCAACCUAGCUCGAGACGUAGCACACAUCAACGAGGCUAAUCAAUGAGAUAUGGGGAUGCCCAUCGAUUGAUGUUAAUGAAAGGAGUUGGGAUUGCCAUGCAACGGAUGCACUAGAGCUAUAAAUGUAUGCAAGCUCAACAAAAGAAACUAAGUGGGUGUGCAUCCAACUUGCUUGCUCACAAAGACCUAGGGCACUUGAGGAGGCCCAUUGUUGUAAUAUACAAGCCAAGUUCUAUAAUGAAAAAUUCCGACUAGUAUAUGAAAGUGACAAAACAAGAGACUCUCUAUCAUGAAGAUUAUGGUGCUACUUUGAAGCACAAGUGUGGUAAAAGGAUAGUAGCAUUGCGCCUUCUCUCUUUUUCUCUCAUUUUUUAUUUUUUUAUUUUUUUAUUUGGGCCUUCUCUUUUUAUGGUCUUUCUCUCUUUUUUGGGCCUUCUCUUUUUUAUGGCCUUUCUCUUUUUUUUAUUCCUCACUUGGGACAAUGCUCUAGAAAAUGAUGAUCGUCACACUUCUAUUUAUUUACAUCUCAAUGAUUACAACUCGAUACUAGAACAAAGUAUGACUCUAUAUGAAUGCCUCCGGCGGUGUACCGGGAUAUGCAAUGAACCAAGAGUGACAUGUAUGAAAUAAUUAUGAAUAGUGGCUUUUCCACAAAUACUAUGUCAACUACAUGAUCAUGCUAAGCAAUAUGACAAUGAUGAAUGUGUCAUGAUAAACAGAAUGGUGGAAAGUUGCAUGGCAAUAUAUCUCGAAAUGGCUAUGGAAAUGCCAUAAUAGGUAGGUAUGGUGGCUGUUUUGAGGAAGAUAUAAGGAGGUUAAUGUGUGAAAGAGCGUGUCAUAUCACGGGGUUUGGAUGCACCGGCGAAGUUUGCACAACCUCUCAAUGUGAGAAAGGGCAAUGCACAGUACCGAAGAGGCUAGCAAGGAUGGAAGGGUGAGAGUGCGUAUAAUCCAUGGACUCAACAUUAGUCAUAAAGAACUCACAUACUUAUUGCAAAAAUCUAUGAGUCAUCAAAAACCUCGGCACUACGCGCAUGCUCCUAGGGGGAAAGAUUGGUAGGAAAAGACCAUCGCUCGUCCCCGGCCACCACUCAUAAGGAAGACAAUCAAAUAACACCUCAUGUUUCAAAUUUGUUACACAACGUUUACCAUACGUGCAUGCUACGGGACUUGCAAACUUCAACACAAGCAUUUCUCAAUUUCACAACUACUCAACUAGCACGACUUUGAUAUUAUUACCUCCAUAUCUCAAAACAAUCAUCAAGCAUCAAACUUCUAUUAGUAUUCAAUGCACUUAUAUGAAAGUUUUUACUAAUCUUGAAUAACUAGCAUAUUAGGAUUAUUUAAGCAAAUUACCAUGCUAUUUAAGACUCUCUAAAUAAUAUAAGUGAAGCAUGAGAGUUCAUCUAUUUCUACAAAAUAAAACCACGACUGUGCUCUAAAAAGAUAUAAGUGAGGCACUAGAGCAAAUGACAAACUACUCCGAAAGAUAUAAGUGAAGAUCAAUGAGUAGUCGAAUAAUUAUGAAACUAUGUGAAGACUCUCUAACAUUUAAUAAUUUCAGAUCUUGGUAUUUUAUUCAAACAGCAAGCAAAACUAAAUAAAAUAAAAUGACGCUCCAAGCAAAACACAUAUCAUGCGGCGAAUAAAAAUAUAGCUCCAAGUAAAGUUACCGAUGAACGAAGAUGAAAGAGGGAUGUCUUCCGGGGCAUCCCCAAGCUUAGGCUUUUGGUUGUCCUUGAAUAUUACCUUGGGGUGCCUUGGGCAUCCCCAAGCUUAGGCUCUUGCCACUCCUUAUUCCAUAAUCCAUCAAAUCACUUGAAAACUUCACAACACAAAACGUAACAGAAAAUAUUGGUGUUAAACCUACUGUAUUACAACUUCUCUAUGGUUUUUAAACUCUUUUACUAGCCAUAGAUUCAUCAAAAUAAGCAAACAACACAUGAAAAACAGAAUCUGUCAAAAACAGAACAGUCUGUAGUAAUCUGAAUCAAACGUAUAAUUCGGGAACUCAUAAAAUUCUCAAAUAAAUUUCUGGACCUUAGGAAUUAAUCUAUUAAUCAUCUUCAAAAAGAAUUAACUAAAUAUCACUCUCCAAAUAAAAAUGGCAGCAAUUCUCGUGAGCGCUAAAGUUUCUGUUUUUUACAGCAUGAUCAACAAGACUUUCCCCAAGUCUUCCCAAAGGUUCUAAUUGGCACAAACACUAAUUAAUAGCAUAAAACCACAUCUAAACAGAGGCUAGAUAAAUUAUUUAUUACUAAACAGGAGCAAAAAGCAAGGAACAAAAAUAAAAUUGGGUUGCCUCCCAACAAGCGCUAUCGUUUAACGCCCCUAGCUAGGCAUGAUGAUUUCAAUGAUGCUCACAUAAAAGAUAAGAAUUGUAACAUAGAGAGAGCAUCAUGAAGAAUAUGACUAGCACAUUUAAGCCUAACCCACUUCCUAUGCAUAGGGAUUUGGUGAGCAAACAACUUGUGGGAACAAGAAUCAACUUGCAUAGGAAGGUAAAACAAGCAUAACUUCAAAACUUUAAGCACAUAGAGAGGAAACUUGAUAUUAUUGCAAUUCCUAAAAGCAUAUAUUCCUCCCUCAUAAUAAUUUUCAGUAGCAUCAUGAAUGAAUUCAACAAUAUAACCAGCACCUAAAGCAUUCUUUUCAUGAUCUACAAGCAUAGAAUUUUUAUUACUCUCCACAUAAGCAAGAUUCUUCUCAUUCGGAAUAGUGGGAGCAAACUCAACAAAAUAAUUAUCAUGUGAUUGAAAAUUAAGAUCAAGAUGACAAGUUUCAUGGUUAUAAUUGUUCUUUAAAGUAUACGUGUCAUCACAAUAAUCAUCAUAGAUAGGAGGCAUGCUUUCAUCAUAAUAAAUUUGUUCAUCAAAACUUGGGGGACAAAAAAUAUCAUCUUCAUCAAACAUAGAUUCCCCAAGCUUGUGGCUUUGCAUAUCAUUAGCAUCAUAGAUAUUCAAGGAAUUCAUACUAACAACAUUGCAAUCAUGCCCAUCAUUCAAAUAUUUAGUGCCAAACAUUCUAAUGCAUUCUUGUUCUAACACCUUGGCAUAAUUUUCUUUUCCAUCAUACUCACGAAAGAUACUAAAAAGAUGAAGCGUAUGAGGCAAACUCAAUUCCAUAUUUUUUAUAGUUUUCUUUUAUAAACUAAACUAGUGCUAAAACAAGAAACAAAAAGAUUCAAUUGCAAGAUCUAAAGAUAUACCUUCAAGCACUCACCUCCCUGGCAACGGCGCCAGAAAAGAGUUUGAUGUCUACUACACAACCUUCUUCUUGUAGACGUUGUUGGGCCUCCAAGUGCAGAGGUUUGUAGGACAGUAGCAAAUUUCCCUCAAGUGGAUGACCUAAGAUUUAUCAAUACGUAGGAGGCGUAGGAUGAAGAUGGUCUCUCUCAAGCAACCCUGCAACCAAAUAACAAAUAGUCUCUUGUGUCCCCAACACACCCAAUACAAUGGUAAAUUGUAUAUGUGCACUAGUUCGGCGAAGAGAUGGUGAUACAAGUGGUAUAUGGAUAGUAGAUAAAGGUAUUUGUAAUCUGAAAUUAUAAAAACAGCAAGGUAGCAAGUGAUAAAAGUGAGUAUAAACGGAAUUGCAAUGAUAGGAAAUAAGGCCUAGGGUUCAUACUUUCACUAGUGCAAGUUCUCUCAGUAAGGAUAACAAAGUUGGAUCACAUAACUAUCCCUCAACAUGCAACAAAGAGUCACUCCAAAGUCACUAAUAGCGGAGAACGAACGAAGAGAUUAUGGUAGGGUACGAAACCACCUCAAAGUUAUUCUUUCCAAUCAAUCCAUUGUUCUAUUCCUAUAAGUGUCACAAACAGCCCUAGAGUUCGUACUAGAAUAACACCUUAAGAUACAAAUCAACCAAAACCCUAAUGUCACCUAGAUACUCCAAUGUCACCUCAAGUAUCCGUGGGUAUGAUUAUACGAUAUGCAUCACACAAUCUUAGAUUCAUCUAUUCAACCAACACAUAGAACCUCAAAGAGUGCCCCAAAGUUCUACCAGAGAAUCACGACGAAAACAUGUGCCAAUCCCUAUGCAUAGGUUCAUGGGUAGAACCCGCAAGUUGAUCACCAAAACAUACAUCAAGUGAAGCACGUGAUAUCCCACUGUCACCAUAGAUACGCACGGCAAGACAUACAUCAAGUGUUCUCAAAUCUUUAAAGAGUCAAUCUAAUAAGAUUACUUCAAGGGUAAAACUCAAUCCAUUACAAGAGAGUAGAGGGGAGGAGAAACAUAAGAUCCAACUAUAAUAGCAAAGCUCGCGAUACAUCAAGAUCGUGCCAAAUCAAGAACACGAGAGAGAGAGAUCAAACAUAUAGCUACUGAUACAUACCCUCAGCCCCGUGGGAGAACUACUCCCUCCUCGUCAUGGAGAGCACCGGGAUGAUGAAGAUGGCCACCGGAGAAGGAUUCCCCCUCCGGCAGGGUGCCAAAACGGGUGUAGAUUGGCUUUUGGUGGCUACGGAGGCUUCUGGCGGCGGAACUCCUGAUCUAUUGUGCUCCCGGAUGUUUUUAGGGUAUAUGGAGAUAUAUAGGCGGAAGAAGUACAUCAGGGGGCCACGAGGGGCCCACGAGGGUGGAGGGCAUGCCCAGGGGGGUGGGCGCGCCCCCUGCCCCGUGGCCUCCUCGUAGAUCCCCUGACGUGCACUCCAAGUCUUUUGGGCUUCUUCUGAUCCAAAAAUAAGUUCCGUGAAGUUUUAGGUCAAUUGGACUCCGUUUGGUUUUCCUUUUCUGCGAUAUUCUAAAACAAGGUAAAAACAGAAACUGGCACUGGGCUCUGGGUUAAUAGGUUAGUCCCAAAAAUGAUAUAAAAGUGUAUAAGAAAUCCCAUAAACAUCCAAAACAGUAGAUAAUAUAGCAUGGAAUAAUAAAAAAUUAUAGAUACGUUGGAGACGUAUCAACUGCCAUGUGGCAGCUUUGCCGUCUGCUGGCUGAUGGAAAAUCUAUUUUCCAUCUGCCAGCGGACGGCCAAGAGCCUGUAUGGCCCCUGUUUUUUCUAAAAAAAUUCUUAAAUUCAUUCAAUUUGAACACACAAGUUUGAACACAAAAAUUUCACAACAGACAUAUCCAACACACAAGUUUCAUCAUAUAUACAUAUACAUAAACAAUACAUAGUUCCAUCCAUACAUAUUACAAUAGUUUCACAUUGUUCGUCCAACACCUAUCCAUCCAUCCAUAUAACAAGUUCCACAUUGUUCAUCGAUAACAAAAUAAAAGCAGAAAGGGUAAAGAAGCACUCCAUCCAUGCAAGCUUCCGUGAAGUAAAUGAAAUCUGCAAAAUGGGAAACAAGAAAGUUAGAAGAAUAAUACUAGAAGAAGAAGUAAGUAUACUUAGGUAAAAUGGAGCUAACCUAGCUAAUGAUGCCAUUUUGAGUGAACUAAGCAUAUUAUGCCAUUUUUGAUAUAAAGCAGCUAAGUAUAGGUCUUUAUUGAGCUAACCUAGGUAACUAAGCAUAUUAGAGCUAACAUAGAGCUAACUUAGGUCAUUUUGGGGAAGAAGAAUAAGACUAGAAGAAGAAGAAGAGUAGAAGAAGAAGAAGACAAGAAGAAGAAGGAGGUUUUUACCCUUUUCCUUCUCAUUCUUCUUCUUUUAUUCUUUCUUUUUAUUUUUCUAUUCUUUCUUUUUCUCCUAUUCCUUGUUUUUCUUCUUCUUAUUCCUUAUUUGUGUCAUUAUAGAGCUUACAUAGGCAAUUAUGCCAUUUUUUAGCUAACUAAGCUUAUUAUGUCAAUUUGGAGGAAAAUAAGGUAAGUAUAGGUCAUUUUUGUGCUAACAUAAGUAAUUAUGCCAUUUUUGAGCUAACGUAGGUAAAAUGGAUCAUUUUGGAGCUAACCUAGCUAAAAUGGAUAGCCUAGGUAAAUUUGGUUAAUUUGGAGCUAACCUAGGAAAAAUGGAUCAUAUUGGAGCUAACCUAGGUUAAAUGUGUCAUUUUGGAGCUAACUUAACUAAUUAUGCCAUUUUUAGUUAACUAAGCAUAAAUAUGCCAUUUUUUACACAAGUAAGCCAAAUGUAUGUCAUUAUUGAGAAAACCUAGGUAACUAAGCAUAUUAGAGAUAACUUAGCAUAUUAGAGCUAACUUAUGUCAUUUAGGAGGAAACAAAGCUAAAUAUAUAUCAUUUUGGAGAUCUGACAUACCUGACAUAGUUCACUCCUUCUUCUUCUUCUUCUUCUUCUUCUUCUUCUUCUCCUUCUUCAUCAUCCUGAUGCGCCUAGAGCGGCGAGGCAGUGGAGGCAGUGGGAUGUAGUCUUCUACCACAAUUGGCAUGGUCAUGUCGCCCGACUGUGGGAUCGCCAGCGCCACCACCAUCGUGAGGUCAUUGUCAGGCACCACCACCAUCACGAGGCCAUCUUCAAGCAGCACCACCGCUAGGUCAUCCUCAGCCACCACCAUCUCUUGCCCAUCGUCAGCCACCACCAUCGCUUGCCCAUCGUCAGCCACCACCAUCUCUUGCCCAUCGUUAUCCACCACCAUCACUAGGUCAUCCUCAGCCACCACCAUCUCUUGCCCAUAGCCAGCCAGCACCUCCUCAUCCCCACUCUGCUUCUCUUCUUCCCCACUCCAUUCUGGAUCAUCCUCGCUGCUGCUUUCGCUGUAGCCAGACUCGCUGCUGCUAGUGCUGUAGCCAGAGUCACUGCCGCUGCUCCGAUUGCCUGACCAAAUGCAACAAAGUUUUUUUAACAAUCAGUGUGAGAGAAAGCCAAAUGGAGAGGAAGAAGAGGCAGAGCGUACUGGAAUCGUCGUCGUACUGGUAGUGCAUGCGACACAUAGUCGUAUUGAACACCUUCACAGUGAGCAUGGCAUCACCGUCAUACCUGAAGACAAGGAAGUACUCAUGCCUCAGGUUGUAGGCACGGACGAACUGCUCCCAGCGACAACGUACAUGUGGUCCUUCCUGAUCACCACCUCCACAUCCCAAUGCCUGCGAAGCCCGCUGCCGGCCUGUCGCAGCGUCACAUUCUUUGGUCGAUGGCCGUCUAGCAUCUACAUAAAAGUGUCAGGCAGCCUCUGCAACAUGGGUCAAGGAGUUAUGUAGCAAAUAGCAGAGUUAUGAUAAGGAGAUGGGUGAAGGGGAGAUCUCUCCUUUUAUAUACCUGCCUCUUGGAGGAAUUCUCAAGUAUGAUCGUGAAGAACUCGAAACCGUCCAACUCGUACUCCACUAUGGUAGAGCGUAGCCUGCGGUGGCGGCCUCCCGCCAUCUCUGAUAAUCAACAACAUCAACAACACUUGAUUAAUUUCGUAGGUUAGUUGGCAAUGGCAAUUGGCACCCAACAAAACUAGGGAUUUUUAGACAUGAAAGAAAACUGAAAUGUUGAAAAACAGAGCGUAAUAAUCUAAAAACACAACCAAAAUUAAUUAAGUGUUAUGAAAUCAAUAAAACAACAACUUAUAAGAAAUAACCCCAAGUUAUAUGUCUCGCUAGCUGAACAGUCAUCUUUUCCAUGGUGCAUGUGAAAAAGUUUGUAUGGGCAUCCCAAUCAGCCUACAAUUGAUCAUAUACAGCAAAGGCCAAGCUCAAUUUCUUCGUUAACAUCAUGUCCAAGUUUGUACCAGUAAAAUGUAGAAGUUCUAUUCCUUGCAAAAAGUUAUACUCCACCUGAUCCAUAUUACUUGUCGUUGCUUUAGUAAAACUUUGUACUAAAGUUGUACUAAAGCAGCGACAAGUAAUAUAGAUCGGAAGGAGUAUGUGUUUCUUCCUAUGAUACAUACACAACAUGGACUCAGUCUCUCUUGUUCACUAGGCUCAUAUAAGCAUAUCUAUCUGCGUUGUUGAGUUAGUUCACAGAGUGUGAGGUGAGGGGUCACGUACGGAGUAUAGGAACAUCAGGUAAGUGGUGGCUUGCCUGCAGGCAAGACAAGAUCAAGAGAAUCUUGGCGAGUGUGCUCACAACUCUGAUUCAGCAAGCAACAACUAAGGUGCCUGGCCAUAGGAAACAGAGGUUAAAUGGGAAGUAUAAUCUGUGUCCUUGCCCAGUUUAGAUAGAGUACUAGGCCAGUUAAUUGAGUCCUAGAUAUGUGCUAUCAAAGCAUGCCCAUUGUACCGUUGACGGCAAGCAGUAAGAGAAGUCUCUCUUCGCAUAUGCUUUCUCAACCCAAUCUAGUUCUCAAAUUUUUCAAUCUCCUGCUACCUACCCACACUGACCACGGCGCCUACUCGACAUUGCCGGCCGCAGCCUCCGGUGAACAAACUGUACAACCUCAGGAGAAAGCACACAUCGACUGGCAAUGGUUUAUUUGUCAUAGCAUUCACAUUUCGCGGCUUAAAUUGUUCCACUACAUGAUCCAAUAGCUAUAAUUCAGCAGGCGAUGUGGUUUAGUGAGUAUUCUAUACUAGGGUCAAUUCCAGUUCUAGAAUAAAAAAGAAGUAUUACAUCCCAGCCUUCGCAUUCUAGUCAUGGAAACACGAACCGAGUUGCUGAACCUAUGGAACCACCACGCCAGGCAUAACAACAAACACUGCGCGCGCGCCACCGACUCCACCCCAAACCUAAACCUAAAUCGAAAUAGAGAGAGAGAUAUAUAUAUAGAGAGAGAGAGAGAAGAGGGAGGAAAGAGGGAGGGGUGGCGCACUUCGGUGUUGGGGACGGCCGGGGUCGGGGAGGGGCCGGGCCAGGGGGUCGACGGUGACGACGUCGGGGUCUGGUGCGGCGUCGGAAGGGGAGGUGCUUGGGGCAGCGGUGGUUGACAAAGGGACUCGGGCGGCGAGGCAGAGGCGACGGCAUCGGAGAGCCGAGGCAGAGGCCUCGGGCAGCGACNNNNNNNNNNNNNNNNNNNNNNNNNNNNNNNNNNNNNNNNNNNNNNNNNNNNNNNNNNNNNNNNNNNNNNNNNNNNNNNNNNNNNNNNNNNNNNNNNNNNNNNNNNNNNNNNNNNNNNNNNNNNNNNNNNNNNNNNNNNNNNNNNNNNNNNNNNNNNNNNNNNNNNNNNNNNNNNNNNNNNNNNNNNNNNNNNNNNNNNNNNNNNNNNNNNNNNNNNNNNNNNNNNNNNNNNNNNNNNNNNNNNNNNNNNNNNNNNNNNNNNNNNNNNNNNNNNNNNNNNNNNNNNNNNNNNNNNNNNNNNNNNNNNNNNNNNNNNNNNNNNNNNNNNNNNNNNNNNNNNNNNNNNNNNNNNNNNNNNNNNNNNNNNNNNNNNNNNNNNNNNNNNNNNNNNNNNNNNNNNNNNNNNNNNNNNNNNNNNNNNNNNNNNNNNNNNNNNNNNNNNNNNNNNNNNNNNNNNNNNNNNNNNNNNNNNNNNNNNNNNNNNNNNNNNNNNNNNNNNNNNNNNNNNNNNNNNNNNNNNNNNNNNNNNNNNNNNCGGCCGGCGAGGCGAGGAGGAGGUGGUGACGGGGCGGCGCAGAGCUCGGGGCGGCGGGGGCGGGGGGUGGGGGCGGCGGCGGGGGCGAGGGCUUGGGGGUGGGGGCGGCGGCGCGGGUGAGGUGAGGGCUAGGAGAGAGAGGGGAGGGUGAGGUGAGGUGGGGCACGUGCGGUGGGGCCGGGAGGGGGAACAACCGUUAAAACGGCCAGAUUCUUUAUCGUCCGCUAGCUGACGGCAAAGAAUCUGGCCGUUAGGUCGUUCUUACAGUCCGCCACCCACCAUCUUUGCAUCUGGUAGCAGACGUCAAAGAUUCUAUGUCGUCAACUAGCUAACGACAAAGAGAAGGCUGACGACAAACACCUUCUUUGCCAUUGGCUCUUUCUUUGCCGUCAGCUAGCCGACGACAAAGAGAUGGCUGACGACAAAGAUCCUGAUUCCAGUAGUGAUAGCCAUUCCAAGAUAUAUUGCCAUACAACUUUCCACCAUUCCGUUUAUUAUGACACGCUCCAUCAUUGUCAUAUUGCUUUGCAUGAUCAUGUAGUUGACAUCGUAUUUGUGGCAAAGCCACAGUUCAUAAUUCUUUCAUACAUGUCACUCUUGAUUCAUUGCACAUCCCGGGACACCGCCGGAGGCAUUCAUAUAGUCAUAUUUUGUUCUAGUAUCGAGUUGUAAGUAAAUAAAAGUGUGAUGAUCUUUAUUAUUAGAGCAUUGUCCCAUGUGAGGAAAAAAAGAGAAGGCCAAAAAAGAGAGAAGGCCCAAAAAAUGAGAGAAAAAGAGAGAAGGGGCAUUGUUACUUCCUUUUUCCACACUUGUGCUUCAAAGUAGCACCAUGAUCUUCAUGACAGAGAGUCUCCUAUAUUGUCACUUUCAUAUGCUAGUGGGAAUUUUUCAUUAUAGAACUUGGCUUGUAUAUUCCAACAAUGGGCUUCCUCAAAUUGCCCUAGGUCUUCAUGAGCAAGCAAGUUGGAUGCACAUCCACUUAGUUUUCUUUUUGAGCUUUCAUAAACUUAUAGUUCUAGUGCAUCUGUUGCAUGGCAAUCCCCACUCACUCACAUUGAUAUAUAUUGAUGGGCAUCUCCAUAGCCCAUUGAUACGCCUACUUGAUGUGAGACUAUCUCCUUAUUUUUGUCUUCUCCACAUCCACCUUCUACUCUACCUAUAGUGCUAUGUCCAUGGCUCACGCUCAUGUAUUGCGUGAAAGUUGAAAAAGUUUGAGAACGUCAAAAGUAUGAAACAAUUUAUUGGCUUGUCAUCAGGGUUGUGCAUGAUUUGAAUAUUUUGUGUGAUGAAGAUGGAGCAUAGCCAGACUAUAUGAUUUUGUAGGGAUAAGCUUUCUUUGGCCAUGUAAUUUUGAGAAGACAUAAUUUCCUUGUUAGUAUGCUUGAAGUAUUAUUGUUUUUAUGUCAAUAUUAAACUUUUGUUUUGAAUCAUAAGGAUCUGAACAUUCAUGCCACAAUAAAAUAAAUUACAUGGAUAAAUAUGUUAGGUAGAAUUCCACAUCAAAAAUUCUAUUUUUAUCAUUUACCUACUCGAGUACGAGCAGUAAUUAAGCUUGGGGAUGCUUGAUACGUAUCCAACGUAUCUAUAAUUUUUGAUUGUUUCAUGCUAUUAUAUUAUCUGUUUUGGAUGUUUUAUAUGCAUUAAUAUGCUAUUUUAUAUUAUUUUUGGUACUAACCUAUUAACCCAGAGCCCAGUGCCAGUUCCUGGUUUUUCCUUGUUUUAGAGUUUCGCAGAAAAGGAAUACCAUAUUGAGUCCAAACGGAAUAAAACUUUUGCGAUGAUUUUUCUUGGACCAGAAGAAAUCCAGAGGACUUGGAGUGCAAGUCAGAGAAGCCACGAGGCGGCCACAAGGACGGAGGGAGCGCCCAGGGGGUAGGGUGUGCCCCCACCCUUGUGGGCCCCUCGUGACUCCACCGACCUAGUUUCUUUGCCUAUAUAUUCCCAUAUACCCCAAAACCAAUAGAGAGAGCCACGAAAACAGUUUUCCACUGUCGCAAUCUUCUGUACCCGUGAGAUCCCAUCUAGGGGCCUUUUCCCGCGUCCUGCCGGAGGGGGAUUCGAUCACAGAGGGCUUAUACAUCAACACCAUUGCCCUUCUGAUGAAGCGUGAGUAGUUUACCAUAGACCUACGGGUCCAUAGCUAGUAGCUAUAUGACUUCUUCUCUCUCUUUGAUUCUCAAUACCAUGUUCUCCUCGAUGUUCUUGGAGACCUAUUCAAUGUAAUACUUUUUUGCGGUGUGUUUGCCGAGAUCCGAUGAAUUGUGGAUUUAUGAUAAGCUUAUCUAUGAAUAUUAUUUGAAUCUUCUCUGAAUUCUUAUAUGCAUGAUUUGAUAUCUUUGCAAGUCUCUUCGAACUAUAGAUUUGGUGUGGCCAACUAGAUUGAUUUUUCUUGCAAUGGGAGAAGUGCUUAGAUUUGGGUUCAAUCUUGUGGUCCUUUCCCAGUGACAGUAGGGGCAGCAAGGCACGUAUUGUAUUGUUGCCAUCAAGGAUAAAAAGAUGGGGUUUUCAUCAUAUUGCUUGAGUUAAUUCCUCUACAUCAUGUCAUCUUGCUUAAAGUGUUACUCCGUUCUUUAUGAACUUAAUACUCUAGAUGCAUGCUGGAUAGCGAUCGAUGUGUGGAGUAAUAGUAGUAGAUGCAGGCAGGAGCCAGUCUACUUGACACAGACGUGAUGCCUAUAUUCAUUAUCAUUGCCUUAGAUAUCGUCAUAACUUUGUGCUCUUCUAUCAAUUGCUCGGCUGAGAGAAGACUCUAGUGAAACCUAUGGCCCCCAGGUCUAUUUCCCAUCAUGUAAAGUUUCCGGUCUACAAUUUUAGUUUCCGAUUUACUUCCUUUGCAAUCUUUUACUUUCCAAUCUAUAAACCAAAAUACCAAAAAUAUUUACUUUACCAUUUAUCUAUCUCUAUCAAAUCUCACUUUUGCUAGUGACCGUGAAGGGAUUGACAGCCCCUUUAUCGUGUUGGGUGCAAGUUGUUUGAUUGUUUGUGCAGGUAUUCGGUGACUUGUGCAUUGUCUCCUACUGGAUUGAUGUUGGGGAUCGUAGCAGAAAUUUAAAAUUUUCUACUCAUCACCAAGAUCAAUCUAUGGAGUAAUCCAGCAACAAAGGGAAGGGGAGUGCAUCUACAUACCCUUGUAGAUCGCUAAGCGGAAGCGUUGCAAGAACACGGUUGGUGGAGUCGUACACGCAGCGAUUCAGAUCCAAAUCACCGAUGAUCCUAGCGCCGAACGGAUGGCACCUCCGCGUUCAACACACGUACGGAGCGGAGACGUCUCCUCCUUCUUGAUCCAGCAAGGGGAAGGAGAAGUUGAUGGAGAUCCAGCAGCAUGACGGCGUGGUGGUGGAAGUAGUAGGAUCCCGGCAGGGCUUCGCCAAGCGCAAGCGGGGAGGAAGAGGUGUCACGAGAGGGAGGGAGGCGCCAGGGCUUAGGGUGCUGCUGCCCUCCCUCCUCUCCACUAUAUAUAGGGGCCCUGGGGGGCGCCGCCCCCUAGAGAUCCCAUCUAAUGGGAGGGGCGGCGGCCUAGGGGUUGGCUUGGCCCCCAAGCUAGGUGGAGGCGCACCAGCCCACCAGGGGCUGGUUCCCAUGUCACUUCAGCCCAUGGGGCCCUCCGGGAUAGGUGGCCCCACCCGGUGGACCCCCGGGACCCUUCCGGUGGUCCCGGUACAAUACCGGUGACCCUGAAACUCUCCUGGUGGCCGAAACUGGACUUUCUAUAUAUAUAUAUACAUCUUUACCUCCAGACCAUUCCGGAACUCCUCGGGACGUCUGGGAUCUCAUCUGGGACUCCGAACAACUUUCGGUUAACCGCAUACUAAUAUCUCUACAACUAUAGCGUCACCGAACCUUGUCUACCGGUAUAGUACUUGCCCGAGAUUCGACCGUCGGUAUCCCGAUACCUUGUUCAAUCUCGUUACCGGCAAGUCUCUUUACUCGUUCCGUAACACAUCAUCCCAUGAUCAACUCCUUGGUCACAUUGUGCAUAUUAUGAUGAUGUCCUACCAAGUGGGCCCAGACAUACCUCUCCGUUACACGAAGUGACAAAUCCCAGUCUCAAUUCAUGCCAACCCAACAAACACUUUCGGAGAUACCCGUAGUGCACCUUUAUAGCCACCCAGUUACGUUGUGACGUUUGGUACACCCAAAGCAUUCCUACUGUAUCCGGGAGUUGCACAAUCUCAUGGUCUAAGGAAAUGAUACUUGACAUUAGAAAAGCUUUAGCAGACGAACUAUACGAUCUUGUGCUAGGCUUAUGAUUGGGUCUUGUCCAUCACAUCAUUCUCCUAAUGAUGUCAUCCUGUUAUCAAUGACAUCCAAUGUCCAUGGUCAGGAAACCAUGACCAUCUAUUGAUCAACGAGCUAGUCAACUAGAGGCUUACUAGGGACAUGUUGUGGUCUAUGUAUUCACACAUGUAUUACGGUUUCCGGUUAAUACAAUUAUAGCAUGAACAAUAGACAAUUUCAUGAACAAGGAAAUCCAAUAAUAACCAUUUUAUUAUUGCCUCUAGGGCAUAUUUCCAACAGUCUCCCACUUGCACUAGAGUCAAUAAUCUAGUUCACAUCACUAUGUGAUUGUAAUGAAUCCAACACCCAUGGGUUUUUUUCAUAUCUCGCUUGCGAGAGAGGUUUAUUAGUCAAUGGGUCUGAACCUUUCAGAUCCAUGUGUGCUUUACAAAUCUCUAUGUCGUCUUGUAGAUGCAACUACUAAUGAAGCUAUGUACCUAGGGUAGGGUCACGGACCUCUCCUAACUGCCCUACCCAAGGGCACUUCUAGAAUAAAUCACAUUUCAAUCGACUUGGAGGUGUUCCACUUGACAGACUCGAAGACAUUCGACCAAGAAGCAAUUACUCGACCAAGAUCCAACCACUCGACGGCCAGGAGACCUAAAGUCACUCCGCACGCUAACGGUCGGUCAUUAAGUAGCUUUUAUGGUCAUCAUAGCACUUUAUUACUAGCGUUAUCAGUAACGCCCUACCUUAAUGUACAUUGAACCCUUCGUAACGUGGGCUGGCUGGGGUCCUGGCGCACUCUAUAUAAGCCACCCCCUCCUCCGAGACAAGGGUUCGCACCUCUGUAACUCAUACACACAUAAUCCAGUCGACCGCCUCCGGGCACCGAGAUGUAGGGCUGUUACUUCCUCCAAGAAGGGCCUGAACUCGUAAACCUUGCGUCCUUACAACCUCUCCAUAGCUAAGACCUCGCCUCUCCAUACUUACCCCCCUACAUCACCGUUAGAGUUAGAACCACGACAGUUGGCGCCCACCAUGGGGCCAGGAGUCUUAGCGCCUAGUUUGAGAAGUUGCGAUUUUUUUCCGAUCUCCUUGAUCAUGGUUUCGGGCGGAGCUUUGGUGGAGGGCCGCGAGAUCCCUCUCGGCGCGCUCACGUUCAUCGCCGACGACUCCGCUUGGCUUCAGGAGGCUCCACUCGACGUCGACGCACUCCCCGUCCGCGGGGCGACGCACUUUCGCGCAUGCGUCCGUGGUGUUCUCCCGCGGCAGCCGUCGACCCAGUAUCGGUCGGCUCCCGUGGCAUCUCCCCGCCCUGUUUCUCGCCGGCGCAAGCGCUCCGGUCGGUCGAGGCUUCAGAGGUGGGUGAGGCAUGCGGUGGCCCGCCAGUCGGCCACCCCACAAGUUGCGGCAAUCGAGCCCGACGAAUCCCUCUACGGCCUGUUCGACCUGUCGACUGGCUCCGCAGAGACUGCAUCCGAAUGCGACAACAGUGACCCAGCUGCAGAGGUUCUGGUGAUCGAUGGGCCACACAGUCCUCCCAGUUUCCCCCGCGCUGACGGAGGCGCGGAUGGGGGCGACCCGUCGCGUCCUCACGAGGAGUAUCUCCCCGAGCCUCUCACGUCAUUGCAGCGGGAGGAACUUUGCCGCCGGAACAUGGAUGCACUCCACACUCCUAUCGUUGGAGAAACCCCCGAGGCCGGAGCCUUAGAGGACGCGCGCUUGGCUAACUUGGCCGAGCGCACUCGACUGGAGAAUCUCCAGCGAAUACUCGACGGGCGAGCGCGUCAACGGGCUCCAGAAUCCAGUCGACGUCAACUCUUUCCGCCCCCGCAGGUAUAUCGUACUCCGAUUCAGAAUUUGGCGGCUGCGGCCCAUAUAGCAGAGUCGAUUCAGCCCUCCCAGUCAGAGGUUGGCCGAGGCUUGUUGCAAAUCAGAGCGUUGCUCCGGGCAGCGGGAGACCAGAAUUCCGUUGUUUCUCAGUCGCGGGACAGGAUCCACAGUCGAUCCGUUGCAGCAGAUACAAUCCAGUCGGCUCACAGCCCAAGAUCGCCUCCGAGGCGUGAGGGACAUGGAGACUGGCAUGAUCAGCACAGAAGGAAUGAGCAGUAUGAUCACCGAUUCGAUCGUGAUGAUCGACGUCGAGUGCCAACCCCUCCACCAAGGAAUGGAUCAUAUGUGCCUCGACAGCAGGCGGACAGACGCCCUCAUAGUGUUGGGCGGAGGAUUCCAGUCGACCCCAGGGAACCAGGCUUUGAUGCGAGAUCCAUUCUCGUUCAAGGUUUGGUCGACAGGAAUAGAGCUCACCGAGAAGGCCACGACAGAGAUGCGCCUACCAGUAGCAGAGUACAUGUUUCAGGGCCGGAGUGUUUCAGUCGAGCCAUUAGAGCCGCUGUAAUUCCUCCCAACUUCAGGUUGGCGACUGGAGUUAGUAAGUUCACCGGUGAGUCCAAGCCCGAUACUUGGCUCGAAGAUUACCGAGUGGCUGUCCAGAUUGGCGGUGGGAACGAUGAGGUAGCCAUGAAGCACCUGCCUCUCAUGUUAGAAGGCUCGGCCAGAGCGUGGCUGAAUCAGUUAGCGCCCAGCAGCAUUUACACUUGGGAGGAUCUCUCCCGAGUGUUUGUCACCACAUUUGAAGGAACAUGCAAGCGACCUGCAGGCCUUACGGAAUUGCAGUCUUGCGUGCAGAAACCAAAUGAAACUCUGAGGGAUUACAUCCAGAGGUGGAUCACAUUGCAUCACACAGUUGAAAAUGUACCAGAUCAUCAAGCAGUUUGUGCCUUUAAAGAAGGCGUUAAGUACAGAGAAUUGAAUCUAAAGUUUGGUCGAACCGGAGAGAUGUCUCUGAAUCGGAUGAUGGAGAUUGCCACCAAAUACGCUAAUGGUGAAGAUGAGGAUCGACUCCGGAGUGGCAAGCAUAAAGCAGUCGCCCAGGAAACCGGAGGAAAUUCCAGUCGGAAACAGAAGCGGAAAGCCGAGCCCUGGCCCUGGCCAUAACCCAGGGAAAAUUUAAGGGAAAACCGGAGGAUCGACUCCUGGGGAGGCCCUGGCCGUAACCCAGGGAAAAUUUAAGGGAAAACCCGAAGGACCUUGGAACCCCAAGAAAGUUAAAGACCAAGAUGGAAAUGAUGUUUUGGAUCUACCGUGUCACAUCCACACCAAGAAAGAUGAAGAGGGUAAACUCAUUUACCCAAAGCAUUCCACUCGACAGUGUCGGCUUCUGAUCCAGAAGUUUCAGGACAAGCAGUCCAAAGAUAAGGAAAAGGAGUCGGACAAAGUUGAGGACAAGGAAGAUAGUGACGAUGGAUACCCCCAGGUCAAUUCCACCCUGAUGAUUUUUGCUGAUGUUGAGAGCAAAAGUCGACUGAAGGUUAUUAACCGUGAGGUAAAUAUGGUUGCUCCGGCAACACCCAAUUAUCUGAAGUGGUCCUAGACUACCAUCACAUUCGACCAGUCUGAUCACCCUACGCACAUUGCCACCCCUGGGAGGCAAGCUCCGGUGGUCGACCCAGUUAUCGAAGGCACUCGACUGACCAAAGUCCUGAUGGAUGGAGGCAGCGGUUUGAACAUACUGUAUGCAGAAACAUUGAAAGGGAUGGGCAUUCCGAUGUCCAGGCUCAGCACCAGUAACAUGAGUUUCCAUGGAGUCAUUCCUGGGAAGAAAGCCGAGUGACUCGGCCAAAUUGCUCUUGAUGUGGUUUUCGGUGAUUCCAAGAAUUACCGCAAGGAAAAGUUAACAUUCGAAGUUGUGGAUUUCCAAAGUGCUUAUCACGCUAUUUUGGGCAGGCUAGCUUAUGCACGCUUCAUGGCUCGACCAUGUUAUGUGUAUCUCAAAUUGAAGAUGCCUCGUCCCAAAGGUGUCCCAAAGGUGUGAUCACUGUUACAGGCAAUUGGAAGAAAGCAGAAGAGUGUUUUCAGAAAGGCUCAAAGAUUGCUGACGCUCAGAUGGCGGUGGUCGAGCUGCAAGAGUAUCAGAAGACUGCAGAUCCGAGUGAGUUGCUACGAGCUAAGAAGCCUGCUUCAGAAUCAGCUUUUCAGUCGUCCGGUGAAACGAAGGCAGUUCACAUUCACCCGACCGAUCCAAACGCUGCUCUGACUCACAUCUCAACGACGGUCGACUCCAAAUAGGAAGAAGCGCUCAUCCAGUUCCUCCUUGAGAACUGGGACAUCUUCGCAUGGAAGCCUGCUGACAUGCCUGGAGUUCCCAGGGGGCUGGCUGAGCACCGCCUACGAGUCGACCCAAAAUUUAAAACUGUGAAAGAACAUCUUCGACGGUCCGCCAUCCAGAAGAGGAAGGCCAUUGGCGAGGAGGUGGCUCGGCUCUUAGCAGCGGAGUUCAUCCGAGAAAUUUACCACUCCGAGUGGCUCGCCAAUGUUGUCAUGGUACCCAAGAAGGACAAGUCACUUCGCAUGUGCAUCGAUUUCAAGCAUAUCAAUCAGGCCUGCCCAAAAGAUCAUUUUCCUCUCCCCCGCAUCGACCAGAUAGUCGACUCGACUGCGGGAUGUGAGCAUCUGUUUUUCCUAGACGCCUAUUCCGGGUACCAUCAGAUCCGUCUGUACGGGCCUGACGAGAUCAAAACAGCUUUCAUCACUCCAUUCGGGUGCUUCUGUUAUGUCACCAUGCCGUUCGGCCUCAAGAAUGCCGGAGCCACGUUCAUGAGGAUGAUUCAAAAGUGUUUGCUCACUCAAGUCAGUCGGAAUGUGGAGGCAUACAUGGAUGAUAUCGUGGUCAAGUCAUGGAAGGGUUUUGACCUGCUGACUGACCUUGCUGAAACCUUUGCCAACCUCAGGAGGUAUGAUGUCAAGCUCAAUCCGUCAAAGUGCACGUUCGGAGUUCCAGGUGGGAAGUUACUCGGUUUUCUCGUUUCCGAACGGGGAAUCGACGCCAAUCCUGAAAAAAUUGGUACUAUACUCCGGAUGAAACGUCCUGUGCGUGUGCAUGACGUCUAGAAGCUUACAGGAUGCUUGGCCGCUUUAAGUCGAUUCAUCUCUCGCCUUGGUGAAAAGGCAUUGCCUCUUUACCGACUGAUGAAGAAGUCCGGCAAGUUCGAGUGGACUCCAGAAGCUGAUGCAGCAUUUACAGAGCUCAAAGCUCUGCUCUCCACCCAGCCGGUGCUUGCUGCCCCAAUCAGCAAGGAGCCUUUGCUGAUUUACAUUGCAGCCACAUGACAAGUUGUCAGUACAGUACUUACGGUCGAGCGGGAAGAAGGAAAGGCCUUCAAAGUUCAGCGCCCAGUAUAUUAUGUUUCUGAAGUUUUGACUCCUUCAAAGCAAAGAUAUCCUCAUUACCAGAAGCUUGUAUAUGGGAUUUAUAUGACCACAAAGAAGGUUGCACAUUACUUCUCUGAUCAUUCCAUUACAGUCGUCAGCGACGCUCCACUAUCAGAGAUUUUGCACAACAGAGAUGCAACUGGUCGAGUGGCCAAAUGGGCGAUUGAACUUCUUCCCCUAGAUAUCAAGUUUGAGGCAAAGAAAGCUAUCAAGUCCCAAGCAAUUGCAGAUUUUGUCGCCGAGUGAAUCGAACAGCAACUUCCGACUCAAGUUCACUCGGAGCACUGGAUCAUGUUCUUCGAUGGAUCUAAGAUGCUGAAUGGUUCCGGUGCGGGGGUAGUAUUGGUUUCCUCCCGAGGAGAUAAGCUCAGAUAUGUUCUCCAGAUUCACUUCGAUUCCUCCAAUAACGAAGUAGAAUAUGAAGCACUUUUGUAUGGGUUGCGCAUGGCCAUUUCACUCGGCGUCCGUCGCCUCAUGGUCUAUGGCGACUCAGAUUUGGUGGUUAAUCAGGUGAUGAAAGAAUGGGACGUCAGAAGUCCAGCUAUGACUGGUUAUUGCAAUGCAGUGAGAAAGUUAGAGAAGAAUUUCGAGGGGUUAGAGCUUCAUCACAUCCCCCGACUGAAAAAUCAAGCGGCUGAUGAUUUGGCAAAGAUAGGCUCCAAGAGAGAAGCCAUCCCCAGCAAUGUGUUUUUGGAACACAUCCACUCGCCAUCAGUCCAAGAAGAUCCUUUUACAGAUGAAGCCCCGCAGCCAAAGAGUGCCACAGAUCCGACUGAAGUUGAAAUUCCGGUAGUGGUCGACCUAAUCAUGGAAGUUUUGGCAAUCACCCCUGACUGGACGAUACCGUACAUCGCGUAUAUCCUGAGAAAGGAACUCCCGGAGGACGAAGAAGAGGCUCGACAGAUCGUCCGUCAAUCCAAGGCCUUUACAGUCAUAAAGGGACAGUUGUAUAGAGAAAGCGCGACUGGAGUCGGUCAGAAGUGUAUAACACCAGAAGAAGGUCAGAUGAUCCUUGAUGAUAUCCACUCGGGGACCUAUGGUCAUCAUGCGUCCUCUCGAACCAUUGUGGCUAAAGCAUACCGAGCGGGAUUUUACUGGCCAAGAGCGAAUGAAAUGGCAAAAGAGAUAGUCGACAAGUGUGAAGGGUGCCAGUUCUACUCCAACAUGUCGCACAAGCCUGCAUCAGCCCUGAAGACCAUUCCACUCGUCUGGCCCUUUGUUGUUUGGGGACUGGACAUGGUUGGCCCAUUGAGAACAGGCAGGAGCGGUUUCACACAUGUGCUUGUGGCAGUCGACAAGUUUACCAAAUGGAUUGAAGCUAAGCCUAUCAAGAAUCUUGAUGCUUGCACUGCUAUCAGUUUUGUCAGAGAGUUAACAUUCAGAUAUGGAGUCCCGCAUAGCAUCAUCACUGACAAUGGGUCAAACUUUGAUUCAGACAAGUUCAGAGCUUUUUGCGCCUCUCAAGGCACACGAGUCGACUACGCAUCGGUCGCCCACCCCUAGUCGAAUGGACAAGCAGAAAGGGCAAAUGGUCUGAUUCUCAAAGGACUAAAGCCUCGGCUAAUGCGUGAUCUCAAGCACGCGGCAGGCGCUUGGGUCGACGAGCUUCCGUCGGUUCUGUGGGGAUUGAGGACUACCCCGAAUCAGUCGACUGGAAGAACUCUGUUCUUUCUGGUUUACGGAGCGGAAGCAGUCCUGCCGAGUGAUCUACUUCACAAUGCACCCCGAGUCGAGCUUUAUACCAAAGAUGAAGCAGAACAAGCCCGGCAAGACGCAGUCGACCUCCUGGAAGAAGAAAGAGAAAUGGCUAUGAUCCGAUCGACCAUUUAUCAGCAAGACUUGCGUCGAUUCCAUGCCAGAAAUGUGAAGGGUCGAGCCUUCCAAGAAGGAGAUUUGGUCCUCCGAGUGGAUCAACAGAAACCACACAAGCUCGCUCCUACUUGGGAAGGUCCCUUCAUCGUCACCAGAGUCCUCCAUAAUGGAGCGUAUCACCUUUACAAUGUCGAUCAUCAGAUCUAUGAGCCACGAGCUUGGAAUGCAGAACUGCUCCGCCCCUUUCACACUUGAAUUCUCACUCGGAUGAGAUGUAAUAAGAAAAACUUCUGUAGUCUGUUUAUCAAAGACAAGAGUGUUACAAAUUUUCCUAUAAUUGUUGUUGCUUUUGUUUGCGUGUGAAAUCCCCCAGUGGGUGGCUUAGCUGCAAAUCCGUUUCGCCUAAGUUUGUAAAAAUCCUACCGAGUGGCGAGCCAGACUCCCACUCGGAGGCUUAGCUGCAGCCCAGUGCUCGCCUAAGUGUUUAAAAAUCCUACCGAGUGGUGAGCCAGACUCCCACUCGGAGGCUUAGCUGCAGCCCAGUGCUCGCCUAAGUGUUUAAAAAAAUCCUACCGAGUGGUGAGCCAGACCUCCCACUCGGGGGCUUAGCUGCAGUCCAGUACUCACCUAAGUUUUUAAAAAUCCUACCGAGUGAAGAGCAGACCUCCCACUCGGGGGCUUAGCUGCAGUCUAGUACUCACCUAAGUUUUUAAAAAUCCUACCGAGUGGAGAGCAGACCUUCCACUCGGGGGCUUAGCCGCAGUCCAGUACUCACCUAAGUUUUUAAAAAUCCUACCGAGUGGAGAGCAGACCUUCCACUCGGAGGCUUAGCUGCAGCCCAGUGCUCGCCUAAGUGUUUAAAAAUCCUACCGAGUGGAGAGCAGACCUCCCACUCGAGGGCUUAGCUGCAGUCCNNNNNNNNNNNNNNNNNNNNNNNNNNNNNNNNNNNNNNNNNNNNNNNNNNNNNNNNNNNNNNNNNNNNNNNNNNNNNNNNNNNNNNNNNNNNNNNNNNNNNNNNNNNNNNNNNNNNNNNNNNNNNNNNNNNNNNNNNNNNNNNNNNNNNNNNNNNNNNNNNNNNNNNNNNNNNNNNNNNNNNNNNNNNNNNNNNNNNNNNNNNNNNNNNNNNNNNNNNNNNNNNNNNNNNNNNNNNNNNNNNNNNNNNNNNNNNNNNNNNNNNNNNNNNNNNNNNNNNNNNNNNNNNNNNNNNNNNNNNNNNNNNNNNNNNNNNNNNNNNNNNNNNNNNNNNNNNNNNNNNNNNNNNNNNNNNNNNNNNNNNNNNNNNNNNNNNNNNNNNNNNNNNNNNNNNNNNNNNNNNNNNNNNNNNNNNNNNNNNNNNNNNNNUCCCACUCGGAGGCUUAGCUGCAGCCCAGUGCUCACCUAAGUGUUUAAAAAUCCUACCGAGUGGAGAGCAGACCUCCCACUCGGGGGCUUAGCUGCAGUCCAGUACUCGCCUAAGUGUUUAAAAAUCCUACCGAGUGGAGAGCAGACCUCCCACUCGGGGGCUUAGCUGCAGUCCAGUACUCGCCUAAGUUUGAAAAAAUCCUACCGAGUGAAGAGCAGACCUCCCACUCGGGGGCUUAGCUGCAGUCCAGUACUCACCUAAGUUUUUAAAAAUCCUACCGAGUGGAGAGCAGACCUUCCACUCGGGGGCUUAGCUGCAGCCCAGUGCUCGCCUAAGUACGGAACACAUCCCAACCCGUAAGGACGACGAGGUGCAAAUCGACUGCUACCUUCUCCUUCGGAGUUGCACCACAAAUACAAAGUUAUUUCGAGUGAAGAACAAGUUCCACUCGAUAGAUAAUUCAUGAAGAUAUUCAACGAUAAAUCAAGUUCAGAUAAGAUCCAAAGGUUCCAGACCACAGAUCGAAGUACUCGGGCAUGCAGCCCGAAAAAGUUUAAUGGUUACAAAAACCACUCGGCAUUCCGAGGCAAAUUUAAGGUGGGACAUAAGAGUUUGUUCACUCCGCGGGAGGAGGGCUGGCAGGCUCGACGAACUCAUCCAGGUCGACGUCGUCGGCUAUCCGAGUGGCUGCAGCGAUGAAAGUCUCCAUAAAGGUUCGGAAGUCAUGCUUCUAGGUGUUGGUGACCUUGAUUGCUGCCAGCUUGUCUUGUCGCACCUCCUUGCAGUGGACAUGAACCAAGGACAGAGCCACAUCAGUGCCACACCGAGCAGAAGACUUCUUCCACUCCUGCACUCGGUCAGGGAUUCCGUUAAGUCGAGUCAUCAGAGACUCGAGAUCGUUUUGGAGCGUAGCCUCUGGCCAAAGUGCCGGGUUUUUCCGUGACAUGGCGACCUUCAGUCGAGCCAAGUAGUCCACGGCACCGUCGAUGCGAGAUUCCAGUCGGAGCAGAUUCAUGGCAGUUUCAUCUUUCACGGGAGAGUUGAUUGGAUCCAAACCUGGUUCGAUCUGCCUAGUCUCCUCUUCAAAGUUCUGGCAAAACUCUGCAUUCAUGAUCCAAGGAUAAGUCAAUUUUCAUACACUGAGUCGACACAAAAAAAACACCAGUCGGAACUGAAUGUGCACCUUCAAGCUUGAUGUACAACUUAUUGGCGAGGCCCCUCAAGUAGCUCUCCAGAUCGUCCCUCCUGCGAGCGAUGCCUUCCAUCUUUUCGUUCAGGUUGAGGUUAUCCUUCUUCCAACGUGUACACUCCCUGUUGGCUUCAUUCAGAGCGGUCUUCAGCCUGGUAUUCUCUUCUUCUAACUGGCCGACCGAAGCCAGCUUCUGUUCGGCCAGAGCGGUCUUGUCGUCAGCCUCCUUACGGGCAGCAGCCAAGUCCUGAUCCUUCUUCGCCAGAGAUUCUCUCAGUUUUUCUGCAAAGAAAUGAUGAUUCAUUCAGAAAUAGCAGAAGGGCUCAAGCCUAAAAACUAACCAGUCGACAAAAUCGUCUUACCUGCAGUGCCGUCUCUAACCUUUUGCAGCUCUGUCCUGGCCAACUCCAGAUCAAGGUUCAGUUGAAUCUGCUACUUCUCCAAGUCAGCAAAGCGAGCUCCAAGAUCGCAAGAUUUCUGAAAUCAAAGGGGAGAAGUUAUCGUUACAGCAAAAAAACAACAACAAAGGCAAUAAAUACUAAGACUACGGUCGACUGCCAACAGUCCACCAUAGUCUCGGGGACUACACCCAGUGGGUGCACUUAGCGUGCCCCCACCGGUUCUGAUCCCACUCGACUGGCCCACCGAAGUCGAGUUCAAAAAGAAAAAAAGAGAGAAAGAAAGUAGAACUCAGACUACAGUCGACUGCCAGCAGUCCACCAUAGUCUCGGGGACUACACCCAGUGGGUGCACUUAGCGUGCCCCCACCGGUUCUGAUCCCACUCGACCGGCCCGCCGGAGUCGAGUGGAAGAGACAAACUACCAGUUUGGUUUAUACAUUCGGCAAAAUACAAAGACUACAGUCGACUGCCAGCAGUCCACCGUAGUCUCCACUAGUCCAAAACUUCAAUCGAUGCACCCAGUGGGUGUACAGACGCAAAGAUUUUCGGAAAGAAUCUUCAGAUAGCCGACUAACCUGAACGUUGCUCUGGAGAGCCGAGCUGGCAUCAUAGGCGGCUUGGCUGGCGUCCCGCACCAUCUUCAUCUUCUUCAUCAUAAUGCCCGCCUGGCGUAUGGCUUCCCUAGCAGCAUUCACCUCGUCCUCUGGGACAUGAUGGGUCGCAAAAACUGAAGGCGGGUCGACAGGGGCCUGAGCAGUCGAAGAAGAAGGCAAGGCACUCGACAGGGGCUCCGUGAAGGUAACAGAACCCCGAUUGACGUCACCAGUGUCCUGAACGACUGGUUUCGCCCUCGGCAUCGACUGUAGCGCCUCACUUGCAGGAGCUCGCCUACUCUUCCUCGUCAAAGACCUCUCGGGAUCUUCAUCAUCAUCAGGGAGGUCAAUAAUGUUGGGAGCUGUGCAAAGUUCAAAUUGCCAAAAUCACGUCACCCAGUGGUGCAUGAUGUAGUUGAAUCGACCAAAGAAAGAUAGUAUGGCGGAAAUCAUACCUGGAUUAGAAGUGACCGCAUCCUCCAUCACCUCAUCAUCAUCCCUGUAAGCUGAGGUCCCGGAAGUGGCAGUGCUAACAAUUCCAAAGUUCGUCCAGUUAAAACAAGAAAAACAAACAGCACGGAGCAUCGAGUGAAUACAAGGAGAGACACUCACGCGGAGGCGACAGGGAUAUCAAUCUUGAUCUUUGGCAGCGCCUUCCGAGUCUUCGGCUCUGCAACUUUGGGGUGCUUUGGCGCCUUCUCAGUCGGGGUUGGUGAAGAGACCCGAGGACGCUUCGAAGACUGGCCAGCCUGAGCAGUUGCCUUGUCGCGGGCACUCGGCCGUUCUUGGUCAAGCUUGGAUCGUCUCUCUAUGCGAGGAGGCGACUCGACUUCUUCCCCAUCACUUGAGUCGUCACUUCCACCAUCUCCUUCACCAUCAGAAGUCCACUCGCCACUUUCACCACCACUCGCCUCGCCUUCCAGAGCUUGCUCUUGCUCCCCGUUGGGCAUCGAAUACAUUUCAGUAAUGGCCUGAAAGAAAGCAGGGAGAACAAAGUCAGUCGACACAAUACAGACAGCCGCGCGAGUGAAUUCGGAUUUCAAGCAAAAACUCAGAAUCAGACCUGCUCUGGUGCACGCGACUGGUCGAAUGGGAGAACUCUCCUGGCUCCUCUGGGAUUGUCCUUGUUCCCGAUAAUGCUCGACAGCCACUUCUCCAGCGUGUCGUCAUCGACCUCCUCCGGGUAAAUCCGAGUGGAGUCUUCUAGACCCGAAUACAUCCACAUCGGGUGGUCUCGGGCUUUGAGAGGCUGGAUGCGCCGCUGAAGGAAGACCUCCAAGAGAUCCAUACCAGUGACCCCGUCACGAAUGAGCUGGACCACUCGGUUGACCAACACCUUCACGUGCGCCUUCUCCUCUGGGAGCACCUUCAAAGGGGAGGGUUUUUCCACCCGGUCCAUGGUAAAGGGAGGGAGGCUAGUCGAUUGCCCUGGCGUCGACUGGUCUUUGCAGUAGAACCAGGUCGACUGCCAUCCACGAACUGAAUCGGGAAGAAUCAUGGCCGGAAAGGAGCUUUUUCCCCUCAUCUGGAUGCCAAGACCCCACACAUCUGGAUCACUUGGGUCCUCUCGUCACUCGGAUUAGCCUUUUUCACUGUCUGGGAGCGACAAGUGAAAAUAUGAUUGAAAAGACCCCAGUGAAGUCGACAACCCAAGAAGUUCUCACAUAAGGAAAUGAACGAGGCAAGAUAAACGAUUGAGUUGGGGGUAAAUGGUGGAGUUGAGCCCCAAAGAAGUUCAGAAACCCUCGGAAGAAAGGAUGAGGAGGCAAGGAAAACCCACGGUCGACGUGGGUGGCAAGAAGAACGCGCUCACCCUCCCGGGGUUGCGGCUCGGAUUCCUUCCCCGGAAGCCGCACCGAGUCGUAGGGGAUCAGCCCUCCCUCGGCCAGGUCGUCGAGGUCUUCUUGGGAGAUCCUCGACUGGAUCCAGUCGCCCUGGAUCCAUCCCUUUGGCAGGCCAGUCCGCGAGGAAGAUCCGCCCCGGCUCGUCGCCUUCCCCUUUGACCUCGCCAUCGCCUUCUUUGCCCGCUCCAGAGCCGUUGUCUUCUCCUUCACCAUUGUCGCCGACGAGACGCGUGUGGCACGGUGGCGCUGGAGCAAGAGCGAGCGCAGAGAAGAGGCGUGAGGAGGAGAAGAGAUAAUGGGGCGCACUGUUCGGGAGACUCCGGUCCAACGCCUUAUAUGAGGCCGCUUCCGAGUGGCCGACAGGUAGGCCCAGAUGGCUCUGUCAAAACCCAUAAUGACCGCACGAGCGAUACGUGGCGAAAAAGGUGGCGCAGGGAUCGAGGCAGCUCCGCUCUAUCUCGUCUGAUUACUGUGGCCUCCCCCGUCCCGCGCGCUUCCCAAAAUUUGGAUCCCACUAAAUCCGCGGGCAGCAAAUAACUUGCCAGACCAAAGAUCUCCUCCGCAUCGUCACUCGGAGCCUUACAAGUAAAGAAACUCACUCGGCAAAGAAUUAAGAAUGGAUCAAGGCGACUGAAAAGGGAGUUGCUGUCAUCACUCAGGUCCGUUGAUCCAAAACAAGAUAUGCUCACGGCAUAGAAAACGAGUCGGAGAAGUCCUGAACUCCUUCCCCACUCAAACCUCGAUCCAUCCGGGGGCUAAUGAUGAAGCUAUGUACCUAGGGUAGGGUCACGGACCUGUCCUAACUGCCCUACCCAAGGGCACUUCUAGAAUAAAUCACCUUUCAAUCGACUUGGAGGUGUUCCACUCGACAGACUCGAAGACAUUCGACCAAGAAGCAAUUACUCGACCAAGAUCCAACCACUUGACGGCCAGGAGACCUAAAGUCACUCCGCACGCUAACGGUCGGUCAUUAAGUAGCUUUUAUGGUCGUCAUAGCACUUUAUUACUAGCAUUAUCAGUAACGCCCUACCUUAAUGUACAUUGAACCCUUCGUAACGUGGGCUGGCCGGGCUCCUGGCGCACUCUAUAUAAGUCACCCCCUCCUCUGAGACAAGGGUUCGCACCUCUGUAACUCAUACACACAUAAUCCAGUCGACCGCCUCCGGGCACCGAGACGUAGGGCUGUUACUUCCUCCGAGAAGGGCCUGAACUCGUAAACCUUGCGUCCUUACAACCUCUCCAUAGCUAAGACCUCGCCUCUCCAUACUUACCCCCCUACAUCACUGUCAGAGUUAGAACCACGACAGCUACCACGCGCUACUUGGAGCUAUUCCAAAUAACUGUUCUACUAUACGAAUCCGGUUUACUACUCAGAGUCAUCCGAAUUAGUGUCAAAGUUUGCAUCGACGUAACCCUUUACGACGAACUCUUUUACCACCUCCAUAAUCGAGAAAAUUAUUUAGUCCACUAGUUACUAAGGAUAAGUUCGACCGCUGUCAUGUGAUCCAUUCCUGGAUCACUCUUGUACCCCUUGACUGACUCAUGGCAAGGCACGCUUCAGGUGCGGUACACAGCAUAGCAUACUGUAGAGCCUACGUCUAAAGCAUAGGGGACGACCUUCAUCCUUUCUCUCUAUUCUGUCGUGGUCAGGUCUUGAGUUUUACUCAAUACUCAUACCUUAUAACACAGCCAAGAACUCCUUCUUUGCCGAUCUAUUUUUGAACUCCUUCAAAAUUUUGUCAUGGUAUAUGUUCGUUUGAAAGUACUAUUAAGCGAUUUUGAUCUAUCCUUAUAGAUCUUGAUGCUCAAUGUUCAAGUAGCUUAAUCCAGGUUUUCCAUUGAAAAACACUUUUCAAAUAACCCUGCAUGCUUUCCAGAAAUUCUACAUCAUUUCUGAUCAACAAUAUGUUAACAACAUAUACUCAUCAAAAAUUCUAUAGUGCUCCCACUCACUUCUUUGGAAAUACAAGUUUCUCAUAAACUUUGUAUAAACCCAAAAUCUUUGAUCAUCUCAUCAAAGCGUACAUUCCAACUCCGAGAUGCUUACUCCAGUCCUUAGAAGGAUUGCUGGAGCUUUGCAUACUUGUCAGCAUCUUUCAGGAUUGACAAAAACCUUCUGGUUGUAUCACAUACAACCUUUCCUCAAGAAAAAUGUCGAGGAAACAAUGUUUUUUACAUCCUAUCUGCAAGAUUUCAUAAAUAAUGCAGUAACUGCUAACAUAAUUCCAACAGACUCUUAGCAUCACUACGAGUGAGAAAGUCUCAUCGUAGUCAACUCCUUGAACUUGUCGGGAAACAUCUUAACGACAAGUCGAGCUUUCUUAAUUAAUGGUGACACAUACCAUAAUUGUUUGUCUUCCUUUUAAAAUCCAUAUGCACCCAACAGCCUUAUGACCAUCAAGUGGUUCUUUCAAAGUCUAUACUUUCUUUUAUACAUGGAUCCUCUCUCGGAUUUUAUGGCAUCGAGCCAUUCUUUGGAAUCCGGGCCCACCAUCGCUUCUCCAUAGCUCGUAGGUUCAUUAUUGUCUAGCAACAUGACUUCCAAGACAGGAUUACGUACCACUCUGAAGUAGUACGCAUCCUUGUCGACCUAUGAGGUUUGGUAGUGACUUGAUCCGAAGUUUCAUGAUCACUAUCAUAAGCUUCCACUUCAAUUGGUGUAGGUGCCACAGGAACAACUUCCUGUGCCCUGCUACACACUAGUUGAAGUGACGGUUCAAUAACCUCAUCAAGUCUCCAUCAUCCUCCCACUCAGUUCUUUCGAGAGAAACUUUUCCUCGAGAAAGGACCCGUUUCUAGAAACAAUCACUUUUGCUUCCGGAUCUGAAAUAGGAGGUAUACCCAACUAUUUUUGGGUAUUCUAUGAAGAUGCAUUUAUCCGCUUUGGGUUCGAGCUUAUCAGCCUGAAACUUUUCACAUAAGCAUCGGAGCCCCAAACUUUUAAGAAACGACAGCUUAGGUUUCUCUAAACCAUAGUUCAUAUGGUGUCGCCUCAACGGAAUUGUGUGGUGCCCUAUUUAAAGUGAGUGCGGCUGUCUCUAAUGCCUAACCCAUAAACGAUAGUGGUAAUUAGAUAAGAGACAUCAUGGUAUGCACCAUAUCCAAUAGGGUGCAGUUGUGAUGUUCGGACACACCAGCACACUAUGGUGGUCUAGGCGGUAUUAGUUGUGAAACAAUUUCCACAAUGUCUUAAUUGUGUGCCAAACUCGUAACUCAGAUAUGCAUCUCUAUGAUCAUAUCAUAGACAUUUUAUCAUCUUGUCACGACGAUCUUCAACUUCACUCUGAAAUUACUUAAACCUUUCAAUAAUUCAGACUUGUGUUUCAUCAAGUAAAUAUACUCAGCAUCUACUCAAAUCAUCUGUGAAGUAAGAACAUAACGAUAUCCACUGCAUGCCUGCUACGUCUCGAGCUAGCGUUGGUUUUCCCCGAAGAGGAGGGGGUGAUGCAGCACAGUAGCGUAAGUAUUUCCCUCAGUUUUUGAGAACCAAGGUAUCAAUCCAGUAGGAGGUCACGCGCAAGUCCCUCGUACCUGCACAAAACGGUAGCAACUCGCAACCAACGCUUAGGGGUUGUCAAUCCCUUCAUGGUCACUUAUGAGAGUGAGAUCUGAUAGAGAUAAUAUUUUUGGUAUUUUUGGUAUAAAGAUGCAAAGUGAAAAGUAAAAGCAAAACAAGUAGAAUAAAGUAAUGGAGAUUGAUAUGAUGAAAUAGACCCGGGGGCCAUAGGUUUCACUAGUGGCUUCUCUCAAGAGCAUAGAUAUUCUACGAUGGGUGAACAAAUUACUGUUGAGCAAUUGAUAGAAUUUAGCAUAGUUAUGAGGUUAUCUAGGUAUGAUCAUGUAUAUAGGCAUCACGUCCGUGACAAGUAGACCGACUCCUGCCUACAUCUACUACUAUUACUCCACUCAUUGACCGCUAUCCAGCAUGCAUCUAGAGUAUUAAGUUAAAAACAGAGUAACGCCUUAAGCAAGAUGACAUGAUGUAGAGGAAUAAAUUCAUGCAAUAUGAUAAAUACCCCAUCUUGUUAUCCUCGAUGGAAACAAUACAAUACGUGCCUUGCAACUCUUUCUGUCACUGAGUAAGGACACCGCAAGAUUGAACCCAAAGCUAAGCACUUCUCCCAUUGCAAGAACUACCAAUCUAGUUGGCCAAACCAAACGGAUAAUUCGAAGAGACUUGCAAAGAUAACUCAAUCAUACAUAAAAGAAUUCAGAGACGAUUCAAAUAUUAUUUAUAGAUAAGUUGGAUCAUAAACCCACAAUUCAUCGGUCUCAACAAACACACUACAAAAAGAAGAUUACAUCGAAUAGAUCUCCACGAGAGAGGGGGAGAACAUUGUAUUGAGAUCCAAAAAGAGAGAAGAAGCCAUCUAGCUACUAGCUAUGGACCCGAAAGUCUGAAGUAAACUACUCACACUUCAUCGGAAGGGCUAUGGUGUUGAUGUAGAAGCCCUCCGUGAUGGAUGCCCUCUCCGGCGGAGCUCCAGAACAGGCCCCAAGAUGGGAUCUCGUGGAUACAGGAAGUUGCUGCGGUGGAAUUAGGUUUUUGGCUCCGUCUCUGGUCUAAUGGGGGUACGUAGGUAUAUAUAGGAGGAAGGAGCACGUCGGUGGAGCUCCGAGGGGCCCAUGAGGCAGGGGGCGCGCCUAGGGGGGCGCGCCCUCCACCCUCGUGACCUCCCCGGAAACUUCUUGGAGUAGGGUCCAAGUCUCCUGGAUCACGUUCAGUGAGAAGAUCACGUUCCCGAAGGUUUCAUUCCGUUUGGACUCCAUUUGAUAUUCUCUUUCCUCGAAAUACUGAAAUAGGCAAAAAACAGCAAUUCUGGGCUGGGCCUCCGGUUAAUAGGUUAGUCCCAAAAAUAAUAUAAAAGUGGAAAAUAAAGCCCAAUAUAGUCCAAAACAGUAGAUAAAGUAGCAUGGAGCAAUCAAAAAUUAUAGAUACGUUGGAGACGUAUCAGGCAUCCCCAAGCUUAAUUCUUGCUCGUCCUCGAGUAGGUAAAUAAUAAAAAGAGAAUUUUUGAUGCGGAGUGAUACUUUGGCAUAAUUUCAAUGUAAAUAUUCUAAAUCAUGGUAUGAACAUUCAGAUCCGAAAGGUUCAAGACAAAAGUUCAUAUUGACAUAAAAAUGAUAAUACUUCAAGCAUACUAAUCAAACAAUUAUGUCAUCUCAAAAUAACAUGGCCAAAGGAAGUUCAUCCCUACAAAAUCAUAUAGUUAGGCUAUGCUUCAUUUUCGUCACACAAAGAUGUUCCCAACUUCUAUACCCCCGAUGACAAGCCAAGCAAUUAUUCCAUACUCAAAUAAUCUCAAACUUUUUUUAACCUUCAUGCAAUACAUGAGCGCGAGCCAUGGACAUAGCACUAUGGGUGGUAUAGAAUAUGAUGAUGGGGAUUGUGUGGAGAAGACAAAAAAGGAGAAAGUCUCACAUCAACGGGGCUAAUCAAUGAGCUAUGGAGAUGCCCAUCAAUUGAUGUUAAUGCAAGGAGUAGGGAUUGCCAUGCAACGGAUGCACUAGAGCUAAGAAUGCUCAACAAAAUAAAACUAGUGGGUGUGCAUCCAACUUGCUUGCUCAUGAAGACCUAGGGCAUUUUGAGGAAGCCCAUCGUUGGAAUAUACAAGCCAAGUUCUAUAAUGAAAAAUUCCCACUAGUAUGAACAAGAUAAAUUAUGAGACUCACUAUAUGAAAAUCAUGGUGCUACUUUGAAGCACAAGUGUGGAAAAAGAGAUAGUAGCAUUGCCCUUUUUAUUUUCUCUUUUUUGGGCCUUUCUUUUUUUCUUUUUGGCCUUUCUCUUUUUUUUUGAUUGGGCAAUGCUCUAAUAAUGAUGAUCAUCACACUUCUAUUGAUUACAACAUAAUGAUUACAACUCAAUACUAGAACAAGAUAUGACUCUAUAUGAAUGCCUCCGGUGGUGUACCGGGAUGGUGCAAUGAAUCAAAAGUGACAUGUAUGAAAAAUAAUGCAUGGUGGCUUUGCCACAAAUACGAUGUCAACUACAAGAUCAUGCAAUGGCAAUAUGACAAAAGUAAAGCAUGUCAUGAUGAUGAUGAUGAUGAUGAUGAUGAUGAAAGUUGCAUGGCAAUAUAUCUCGGAAUGGCUAUGGAAAUGCCAUGAUAGGUAGGUAUGGUGGCUAUUUUGAGGAAGAUAUAGAGAGGUUUAUGUGUGAAAGAGCGUAUCAUAUCACGAGGUAUGGAUGCACCGGCGAAGUUUGCACCAACUCUCAAUGUGAGAAAGGGCAAUGCAUGGCACCGAAGAGGCUAGCAAAUGGCAGAAAGGUAAAAGUGUGUAUAAUCCAUGGACUCAACAUUAGUCAAAAGAACUCAUAUACUUAUUGCAAAAAUUUAGAAGUCAUCAAAAAUCAAGUACUACGCACAUGCUCCUAGGGGGAUAGAUUGGUAGGAAAAGACCAUCGCUCGUCCCCGACCGCCACUCAUAAGGAUGCACAAGCCAGGUACAUUUCAUGCUUCAAAUUUGUUACACAACUUUAACCAUGCGUGCAUGCUACGGGACUUGCUAACUUCAACACAAGUAUUUCUCAAAUUCACAACUACUCAACUAGCACGACUAUGAUAGUAUCACCUCCAUAUCUCAAAACAAUUAUCAAGCAUCAAACUUAUCUUAGUAUUCAACCCACUAAAAAGAAAGUUUCACAUAUCUUGAAUACCAAGUAUAUUAACAUUAAGCAAAUUACCAUGCUAUUAAUGACUCUCAAAAUAAUCUAAGUGAAGCAUGAGAGAUCAAGUUUCUUUAAAACAAACCACCACCGUGCUCUAAAAGAUCUAAGUGAAGCACUAGAGCAAAAAUUAUCACGCUCAAAAAGAUAUAAGUGAAGCACAUAGAGUAAACUAUCAAGCUCAAAAGAUAUAAGUGAAGCACAUAGAGUAUUCUAACAAAUUUCAAUUCAUACAUGGCUCUCCCAAAAGGUGUGUACAGAAAGGAUGAUUGUGGUAUACUAACAAGCAAAUACACAAAUAAUACAAGACGCUCCAAGCAAAACACAUAUCAUGUGGUGAAUAAAAAUAUAGCUCCAAGUAAAUUACUGAUGGAAGUGGACGAAAGAGGGGAUGCCUUUCGGGGCAUCCCCAAGCUUUGACUUUUUGGUGUCCUUGGAUUAUCUUGGGGGUGCCAUGGGCAUCCCCAAGCUUAGGCUCUUUCCACUCCUUGUUCCAUAAUCCAUCAAAAGAAUUCACCCAAAACUUGAAAACUUCACAACACAAAACUCAAUAGAAAUCUCGUGAGCUCCGUUAGAGAAAGAAAACAAAAGACUACUUUAAGGUACUGUAGUGAACUUGUUCUUUAUUUGUAUUGGUGUUAAACCUACUGUAUUCCAACUUCUCUAUAGUUUGUAAACUAUUUUACUAGCCAUAGAUUCAUCAAAAUAAGCAAACAACACACGCAAAACAGAAUCUGUCAAAAACAGAACAGUCUGUAGUAACCUGUUACUAACACAAACUUCUGGAACCCAAAAAAUUCUACCAAAAUUAGAAGACCUGGGCAAUUUGUUUAUUGAUCAUCAGAAGUUGGAAUCACUAUUUUAUCACGUUCUGGUGAUUUUUGACAAUUCGGGCACUGAGCGCAAAGAUUCUGGAAAUUACAGCAAGAUCAAAUAACUAUCUUCCAAGAAGAUCUAAUAGGUUUAACUUGGCACAAACACUAAUUAAAAGAUAAAACCACAUUUAAACAGAAUCUAGAUGGAUUAUUUAUUCCUAAACAUAACCAAAAACAAAAAAUACAAAAUAAAAUUGGGUUGCCUCCCAACAAGCGCUAUCGUUUAACGCCCCUAGCUAGGCAUAAAAGCAAGGAUAGAUCUAGGUAUUGCCAUCUUUGGUAGGCAAUCCAUAAGUGGCUCUCAUGAUAGAUUCAUAUGGUAAUUUUAUUUUCUUUCUAGGAAAGUGUUCCAUGCCCUUCUUUAAGGGAAAUUGGAAUUUAAUAUUCCCUUCCUUCAUAUCAAUAAUUGCACCAAUCGUUCUAAGGAAAGGUCUACCAAGAAUAAUAGGACAUGAAGGAUUGCAAUCUAUAUCAAGAACGAUAAAAUCUACGGGCAGAUAAUUCCUAUUUGCAACAAUAAGAACAUCAUUAAUUCUUCCCAUAGGCUUUUUAAUAGUGGAAUCCGCAAGAUGCAAGUUUAGAGAGCAAUCAUCAAAGUCACGGAAAUCUAGCAAAUCACACAAAGCUUUGGGGAUAGUAGAGACACUAGCACCCAAAUCACACAAAGCAUAAAACUCAUAAUUUUUAAUUUUAAACUUAAUUGUAGGUUCCCACUCAUCAUGGAGUUUUCUAGGGAUAGAAACUUUCAACUCAAGCUUUUCUUCAUAAGAUUGCAUUAAGGCGUCAACAAUGUGUUCGGUAAAGGCCUUAUUUCGACUAUAAGCAUGAGGAGAAUUUAACACGGAUUGCAACAAGGAAAUACAAUCAAUUAAAGAGAAAUUUUCAUAGUUAAAUUCCUUGAGAUCAGAAAUAGUGGGUUUAGCAAUGUCUAGAUUUUUAUUUCUUUCAAUCCCUUUUUUAUCAAUUUCAUCAUCAGGAUCUAAAAACUCAGAAUUCUUAGAACGCCUUCUAGGUAAGGGAAGAUCAUAAUCAGAUUCAUCAAGAUUCAUAUUGCAAAACAACGAUUUAAUAGGGGACACAUCAAUAACUUUUAGAUCUUCAUCUUGAUUCUCAUAGUUAUUAGAAGAACACGCUUUAAUAAAGGCAUCUUUGUAAGCACGCAUCCUAGCGGUUCUUUCUUUGCACUCAUCAAUGGAAAUUCUCAUGGCUUUGAGAGACUCAUUGAUAUCAUGCUUAGGAGGAAUAGAUCUAAGCUUUAAAGAAUCAACCUCAAGAGAAAUUCUAUCAACGUUCCUGGCCAAAUCAUCAACUUUAAGCAAUUUCUCUUCAAGCAAAGCAUUGAAAUUCUUUUGCGAAUUCAUAAACUCUUUAACACUACUCUCCAAUUCAGAGGGCAUCUUAUUAAAAUUUCCAUAAGAGUUGUUGUAGGAAUUUCCAUAAUUAUUAGAAGGAUUACUAGGAUAAGGCCUAGAAUUAAAAUUCCCUCUAUACGCAUUGUUGCCAAAACUAUUCCUACCAACAAAAUUCACAUCCAUAGAUUCAUUAUUAUUCUCAAGCAAAGUAGAUAAAGGCAUAUUAUUGGGAUCGGAAGAAACACUCUUAACAAAUAAAUUCCUAAGUUCAUCCAUCUUUUCACUCAAAACAUUGAUUUCUUCUAUAGCAUGCACUUUUUUAUUAGUAGAUCUUUCAGUAUGCCAUUGAGAAUAAUUGACCAUAAUAUUAUCUAGGAGUUUAGUAGCAUCUCCUAAAGUGAUUUCCAUAAAAGUGCCUCCCGCGGCCAAAUCUAAAAGAUUUCUAGAAGCAAAAUUCAAUCCAGCAUAAAAAAUUUGUAUAAUCAUCCAUAAGUUCAAACCAUGAGUAGGACAAUUACAUAGCAUUGAUUUCAUUCUCUCCCAAGCUUGUGCAACAUGUUCAUCAUCAAGUUUCUUAAAAUUCAAAAUAUCGUUCCUAAGAGAGAUAAUCUUAGCGGGAGGAAAAUACUUAGAGAUAAAAGCAUCUUUGCACUUGUUCCAAGAAUCAAUACUAUUUUUAGGCAAAGAUGAAAACCAUGCUUUAGCACGAUCUCUAAGCGAAAAAGGAAAUAGCUUCAAUUUAACGACAUCAUUAUCGACAUCCUUUUUCUUUUGCAUAUCACAUAAAUCAACAAAGCCAUUUAGAUGAGUAGCGGCAUCUUCACUAGGAAGGCCGGUGAAUUGAUCUUUCAUAACAAGAUUCAACAAAGCAGUAUUGAUUUCACAAGAUUCAGUAUUGGCAAGAGGAGCAGUCGGAGUGCUAAGGAAAUCAUUGUUAUUGGUAUUGGUGAAGUCACACAAUUUGGUAGCAUCUUGGGCCACACGACAAGCAAGCAAACUAACACACGAGCAAACAAAAGGCAAAGGGAAAGAGAGGGCGAAUAAAACAGCAAGGGUGAAGUGGGGGAGAGGAAAAUGAGAGGCAAAUGGCAAAUAAUGUAAUGUGAGAGAUAGAGAUUGUGAUGGGUACUUGGUAUGUUGACUUUUACGUAGGCUUCCCCGGCAACGGCGCCAGAAAUGGCUCGUUGACGGGAGAGUAAAUCUUGAGUUGACUUGGCAUAGGCCUCCCCGGCAACGGCGCCAGAAAUCCUUCUUGCUACGUCUCGAGCUAGCGUUGGUUUUCCCCGAAGAGGAGGGGGUGAUGCAGCACAGUAGCGUAAGUAUUUCCCUCAGUUUUUGAGAACCAAGGUAUCAAUCCAGUAGGAGGUCACGCGCAAGUCCCUCGUACCUGCACAAAAUGGUAGCAACUCGCAACCAACGCUUAGGGGUUGUCAAUCCCUUCACGGUCACUUACGAGAGUGAGAUCUGAUAGAGAUAAUAUUUUUGGUAUAAAGAUGCAAAGUGAAAAGUAAAAACAAAACAAGUAAAAUAAAGUAAUGGAGAUUGAUAUGAUGAGAAUAGACCCGGGGGCCAUAGGUUUCACUAGUGGCUUCUCUCAAGAGCAUAGAUAUUCUACGGUGGGUGAACAAAUUACUGUUGAGCAAUUGAUAGAAUUUAGCAUAGUUAUGAGGUUAUCUAGGUAUGAUCAUGUAUAUAGGCAUCACGUCCGUGACAAGUAGACCGACUCCUGCCUGCAUCUACUACUAUUACUCCACUCAUCGACCGCUAUCCAGCAUGCAUCUAGAGUAUUAAGUUAAAAACAGAGUAAUGCCUUAAGCAAGAUGACAUGAUGUAGAGGAAUAAAUUCAUGCAAUAUGAUAAAUACCCCAUCUUGUUAUCCUCGAUGGCAACAAUACAAUACGUGCCUUGCAACUCUUUCUGUCACUGAGUAAGGACACCGCAAGAUUGAACCCAAAGCUAAGCACUUCUCCCAUUGCAAGAACUACCAAUCUAGUUGGCCAAACCAAACGGAUAAUUCGAAGAGACUUGCAAAGAUAACUCAAUCAUACAUAAAAGAAUUCAGAGAAGAUUCAAAUAUUAUUCAUAGAUAAGUUGGAUCAUAAACCCACAAUUCAUCGGUCUCAACAAACACACCGCAAAAAGAAGAUUACAUCGAAUAGAUCUCCACGAGAGAGGAAGAGAACAUUGUAUUGAGAUCCAAAAAGAGAGAAGAAGCCAUCUAGCUACUAGCUAUGGACCCGAAGGUCUGAAGUAAACUACUCACACUUCAUCGGAAGGGCUAUGGUGUUGAUGUAGAAGCCCUCCGUGAUGGAUGCCCUCUCCGGCGGAGCUCCGGAACAGGCCCCAAGAUGGGAUCUCGUGGAUACAGGAAGUUGCGGCGGUGGAAUUAGGUUUUUGGCUCCGUCUUUGGUCUAAUGGGGGUACGUAGGUAUAUAUAGGAGGAAGGAGCACGUCGGUGGAGCUCCGAGGGGCCCACGAGGCAGGGGGGCGCGCCCAGGGGGCGCGCCCUCCACCCUCGUGACCUCCCCGGAAACUUCUUGGAGUAGGGUCCAAGUCUCCUGGAUCACGUUCGGUGAGAAGAUCACGUUCCUGAAGGUUUCAUUCCGUUUGGACUCCGUUUGAUAUUCUGUUUCCUCGAAAUACUGAAAUAGGCAAAAAAACAGCAAUUUUGGGCUGGGCCUCCGGUUAAUAGGUUAGUCCCAAAAAUAAUAUAAAAGUGGAAAAUAAAUCCCAAUAUAGUCCAAAACAGUAGAUAAAGUAGCAUGGAGCAAUCAAAAAUUAUAGAUACGUUGGAGACGUAUCAGUGCCUCAGCACUCAUUGGACUGCACACAUCAAAAUGUAUUACUUCCAACAAGUUGCUUUCUUGUUCCAUCUUACUGAAAACGAGGCCUUUCAGUCAUCUUGCCCAUGUGGUAUGAUUUGCAUGUCUCAAGUGAUUCAAAAUCAAGUGAGUCCAAAUGACCCAUCUGUAUGGAGUUUCUUCAUGCAUAUCUACCAAUAGACAUGGUUCGCAUGUCUCAAUCUUUUCAAAAAUGAGUGAGUCCAAAGAUCCAUCAACAUGGAGCUUCUUCAUGUGUUUUAUACCAACAUGACUCAAAUGGCAGUGCCACAAGUACGUGGUACUAUCAUUACUAUCAUAUAUCUUUUGGCAUGAACAUGUGUAUCACUACGAUCGAGAUUCAAUAAACCAUUCAUUUUAGGUGCAAGACCAUUGAAGGUAUUAUUCAAAUAAAUAGAGUAACCAUUAUUCUCCUUAAAUGAAUAACCGUGUGGCCAUAAACAUAAUCCAAUCAUGUCUAUGCUCAACGCAAACACCGAAUAAUAAUUAUUUCGGUUUAACACCAAUCCCGAUGGUAGAGGGAGCGUGCGAUGUUUGAUCACAUCAACCUUGGAAACACUUCCAACACAUAUCGUCAUCUCACCUUUAGCUAGUCUCCGCAGCCUUUUAUUUCAAGUUACUAACGCUUAGCAACCGAACCGGUAUUUAAUACCCUGGUGCUACUAGGAGUACUAGUAAAGUACACAAUAAUAUGACGUAUAUCAAAAUACUUCUGUCGACCUUGCCAGCCUUCUCAUCUACCAAGUAUCUAGGGUAGUUCUGCUUCAGUGACCGUUCCCUCAUUAUAGAAGUACUUAGUCUCGGGUUUGGUUCAACCUUGGGUUUCUUCACUAGAGCAGCAACUGAUUUGCCGUCUCAUGAAGUAUCCCUUCUUUCCCUUGACCUUCUUGAAACUAGUGGUUUAACCAUCAACAAUUGAUGCUCCUACUUGAUUUCUACUUUCGCGAUGUCAAACAUCGCGAGUUGCUCAAGGAUCAUCAUGUCUAUCCCUGAUAUGUUAUAGUUCAUCAUGAAGCUCCAAUAGCUUGGUGGCAGUGACUAUGGAGAACCAUCACUAUCUCAUCUGGAAGAUUAACUCCCACUCAAUUCAAGCGAUUGCAGCACUCAGACAAUCUGAGCACAUGCUCAACGAUUGAGUUUUUCUCCCUUAGUUUGCAGGCUUAAGAAACUUGUCAGAGGUCUCAUACCUCUUGACGUGGGCACUAGUCUGAAAUUCCAAUUUCAGUCUUUGGAACAUCUCAUAUGUUCUGCGACGUUUCAAAAACGUCUUUGGUGCCACAAUUCUAAACCAUUAGUAUUACGUACUGAACUAUCACAUAGUCAUCAAAACAUGUAUGUCAGAUGUUUCCCAACAUCUACAGACGAUGCUCAAGGUUCAACACACUGAGCGGUGCAUUAAAGACAUAACCCUUCUGUGCAGCAAUGAGGACAAUCCUUAGUUCACGGACCCAGUCCGCAUAAUUGCUACUGUCAACUCUCAACUAAAUUUUCUCUAGGAACAUAUCUAAAACAGUAGAACCAAAGCGUGAGCUACGACAUAAUUUGCAAAGACCUUUUGACUAUGUUCAUGAUAAUUAAGUUCAUCUAAUCAAAUUAUUCAAUGAACUCCCACUUAGAUAGACAUCCCUCUAGUCAUCUAAGUGAUACAUGAUCCGAGUCAACUAGGCCGUGUCCGAUCAUCACGUGAGACGGACUAGUCAUCAUCGGUGAACAUCUUCAUGUUGAUCGUAUCCACAAUAUGACUCAUGUUCGACCUUUCGGUCUUCCGUGUUCCGAGGCCAUGUCUGUACAUGAUAGGCUCGUCAAGUUAACCUAAGUGUAUUGCGUGUGUAAAUCUGGCUUACACCCGUUGAUGCGAACGUUAGAAACUAUCACACCCGAUCAUCACGUGGUGCUUCGGAACAACGGACCUUAGCAACGGUGCACAGUUAGGGGGAACACAAUUCUUGAUAUUUUAAUGAGGGAUCAUCUUAUUUAUGCUACCGUCGUUCUAAGCAAAUAAGAUGUAAAAACAUGACAAACAUCACAUGCAAAUCAUAAAGUGACAUGAUAUGGCCAAUAUCAUCUUGCGCCUUUGAUCUCCAUCUUCGAGGCGCGACAUGAACACCAUCGUCACCGGCAUGACACCAUGAUCUCCAUCAUUGUGUCUUCAUGAAGUUGCCUCGCCAACUAUUACUUCUACUACUAUGCCUAACGGUUAGCAAUAAAGUAAAGUAAUUACAUGGCGUUUUCAUUGACACACAGGUCAUAAAUAAAUUAAGACAACUCCUAUGGCUCCUGCCGGUUGUCUUACUCAUCGACAUGCAAGUCGUGAUUCCUAUUACAAGAACAUGGUCAAUCUCAUACAUCACAUAUAUCAUUCAUCACAUCCUUUUGGCCAUAUCACAUCACAUAGCAUACCCUGCAAAAACAAGUUAGACGUCCUCUAAUUGUUAUUGCAUGUUUUACGUGGCUGCUAUGGGUUUCUAGCAAGAACGUUUCUUACCUACGCAAAACCACAAAGGUGAUAUGCCAAUUGCUAUUUACCCAUCAUAAGGACCCUUUUCAUCGAAUCCGAUCCGACUAAAGUGGGAGAGACAGACACCCGCCAGCCACCUUAUGCAUCAAGUGCAUGUCAGUCGGUGGAACCUGUCUCACGUAAGUGUACGUGUAAGGUCGGUCCGGGCCGCUUCAUCCUACAAUGCCUCCGAAUCAAGAUAAGACUAGUAACAGAAAGCAAAUGGAACAAAUCAUCGCCCACAACUAUUUUGUGUUCUACUCGUGCAUAGAAUCUACGCAUAGACCUGGCUCAUGAUGCCACUGUUGGGGAUCGUAGCAGAAAUUUAAAAUUUUCUACGCAUCACCAAGAUCAAUCUAUGGAGUAAUCUAGCAAUGAAGGGAAGGGGAGUGCAUCUACAUACCCUUGUAGAUUGCUAAGCAGAAGCGUUGCAAGAACGCGGUUGGUGGAGUCGUACACGCAGCGAUUCAGAUCCAAAUCACCGAUGAUCCUAGCGCCGAACGGACGGCACCUCCGCAUUCAACACACGUACGGAGUGGAGACGUCUCCUCCUUCUUGAUCCAGCAAGGGGAAGGAGAAGUUGAUGGAGAUCCAGUAGCACGAUGGCGUGGUGGUGGAAGUAGCGGGAUCCCGGCAGGGCUUCGCCAAGCGCAAGCGGGGAGGAAGAGGUGUCACGAGAGGGAGGGAGGCAUCAGGGCUUAGGGUGCUGCUGCCCUCCCUCCUCUCCACUAUAUAUAGGGGCCCUGGGGGCGGCCCCUAGAGAUCCCAUCUAAUGGGAGGGGCGGCGGCCUAGGGGUUGGCUUGGUCCCCAAGCCAGGUGGAGGCGCCCCCACCCCUUUAGGGUUUCCAACCCUAUGCGCAAGGGAGGCCCAAGGGGGGCGCACCAGCCCACCAGGGGCUGGUUCCCACGUCACUUUAGCCCAUGGGGCCCUUCGGGACAGGUGGCCCCACCUGGUGGACCCACGGGACCCUUCUGGUGGUCCCGGUACAAUACCGGUGACCCCGAAACUCUCCCGGUGGCCGAAACUGGACUUUCUAUAUAUAUAUAUAUAUAUAUACCUCCGGACCAUUUCGGAACUCCUCGUGACGUCUGGGAUCUCAUCCGGGACUCCGAAUAACUUUUGGUUAACCGCAUACUAAUAUCUCUACAACUCUAGCGUCACUGAACGUUAAGUGUGUAGACCCUACGGGUUCGGGAGACACGUAGACAUGACAGAGACAACUCUCCGGCCAAUAACCAACAGCAGGAUCUGGAUACCCAUCUUGGCUCCCACAUGAUCCAUGAUGAUCUCAUCGGAUGAACCACGAUGUCGAGGAUUCAAUCAAUCCCGUAUACAAUUCCCUUUGUCUACCGGUAUAGUACUUGCCCGAGAUUCGAUCGUCGAUAUCCCGAUACCUUGUUCAAUCUUGUUACCGGAAAGUCUCUCCGUAACACAUCAUCCCGUGAUCAACUCCUUGGUCACAUUGUGCACAUUAUGAUGAUGUCCUACCGAGUGACAAAUCCCAGUCUCGAUUCGUGCCAACCCAACAGACACUUUCGGAGAUACCCGUAGUGCACCUUUAUAGCCACCCAGUUACGUUGUGACGUUUGGUACACCCAAAGCAUUCCUACGGUAUCCGGGAGUUGCACAAUCUCAUGGUCUAAGGAAAUGAUACUUGACAUUAGAAAAGCUUUAGUAGACGAACUAUACGAUCUUGUGCUAGGCUUAGGAUUGGGUCUUGUCCAUCACAUCAUUCUCCUAAUGAUGUGAUCCUGUUAUCAAUGACAUCCAAUGUCCAUGGUCAGGAAACCAUGACCAUCUAUUGAUCAACGAGCUAGUCAACUAGAGGCUUACUAGGGACAUGUUCUGGUCUAUGUAUUCACACAUGUAUUACGGUUUCCGGUUAAUACAAUUAUAGCAUGAACAAUAGACAAUUAUCAUGAACAAGGAAAUACAAUAAUAACCAUUUUAUUAUUGCCUCUAGGGCAUAUUUCCAACAAUUGAUAUCUUGGUUCUCAAACUGAGGAAAAUACUUACUCUACUUUGCUGCAUCACCCUUUCCUCUUCAAGGGGAAAACCAACGCAAGCUCAAGAGGUAGCACUGUAGCACUCCUCUCCUUCAGGUGCAAGGAAGCUUAUAUCCAGGGAAAAUCGUAUUAAAAUCUCAGCGCAAUUGAAGUUACGGAUCUCCGGAUAUUUAAGAAACGGUUUUCGACCAAAUCUCAGCGCAAUCAAAGAGAACAAAGAGGGGAUCCAAUCCCAGAGGGGCUCCUGCCCCUCCUCCGCCAUGGAGGCCAUGGAUCAGAGGGGGAACUCUCCUCCCAUCUAGGGGGAGGCCAAGGAAGAGUAAGAAGGAGGAGGGCUCUCUCCCCGGGAGAAGGCCGCCGGGGCAAUCAUCAUGUGCCGGCGAUCUACUCCAACAACUCCGUCAUCUUCACCAACAACUCGAUCACCUUCCCCCAUCUAUCUACAGCGGUCCACUCUCCUGCAACCUGUUGUACCCUCUACUUGAACAUGGUGCUUUAUGCUUCAUACUAUUAUCCAAUGAUAUGUUGCCAUCCUAUGAUGCUUGAGUAGAUUUUUGUUGUCCUACCGGUAAUUGGUGAAUUGCUAUGAUUGGUAUAAUUUUCUUGUGGUUAUGUUGUUGUCCUUUGGUGCCCAUCAUAUGAGCACACGUGUGGAUCACACCAUAGGGUUAGUUGCAUUGGAGGGCAAGGGUGACAUAAGCUUCUUCCUAAACAUAGAAAUUGAUGCAUACAUGAUUGAAGGGGGACCAAUAUAUAUCUUAAUGCUAUGGUUGGGUUUUACCUUAAUGAACUUUAGUAGUUGCGGAUGCUUGCUAAUAGUUCCAAUCAUAAGUGCAUAGAAUUGCAAUUGAGGGACAACAUGCUAAGUGGCCUCUCCCACAUAAAAACUUGCUAUUGGUCUAGUAACAUAGUCAAUUGCUAAGGGACAUUUCCGCAAAUGCUACCACCACCUAUCCACACUCAUUUUACUAAGUUAAUUGUUUCUUUAUUUAAACAACAUCUCACUUUUUUUCACAUUCUUUAUUAUCUUGCAAACCUAUCCUACCACACCUACAAAGUACUUCUAGUUUUAUUCUUGUUCUAGCUAAAACAAACAUUAAGUGUGUGUAGAGUUGUAUCGGUGGUCGAUAGAACUUGAGAGAAUAUUUGUCCUUCCUUUAGCUCCUCGUUGGGUUCGACACUCUUAUUUAUUGAAAAAGGCUACAAACGAUCCCCUAUACUUGUGGGUUAUCAGGCUCCAUUAUUUUUAAUGCGGUACAAUUAGAGACGCUCACAUACAUGCACAUAUACUCACUCCUAUGAACGCAUACACGCACACCGACAUAACAUCUUGAGAUUGACGAAGUCACCACACACACCACAUAGUCAACGGAAACAUGUCCUCCCGCUGAACGAACAUCGCCGAAAAUCCUAAAAUAAAUGCAUGAAAAUGUGUGCACUAGUGCCAAGUCUAGGACUUACACUCUGAUGGGCUAGUUCCACCAUAAAGAACCUAACCAUCUGAGUUAGGCUCAAUUUUCAUUUGGCUCCAUUGUUAAUUAUUACUCCCUCCAUUCCACAAUGUAGUGCGGCCUCGUUUCCCGAGAUCCAAGUUUGAUCGUAAAUUUAACCAACGAGACCGAUUGUGGCGGGAGAAAAAAUUAUAUCACUGGAUUCAUAUAAAAAAUACGAAUGUAGUGGUAUAAUUUUUGCUUCCGCCGCAGUCAGUCUCGUUGGUUAAAUUUAUGUAAAACUUGAAUCUCGGGAAACGUGGACGCACUACAUUGUGGAAUGGAGGGAGUAUGAUACUAGACUAUUUCUCUAGUAGAAUGCCCGUGCGUUCCUAUGGGAUGCCAUGCAUUUUUUUAAAGGCACAAUGCAUAUAAGUCAUCUCACACCCCCAACUAUCAAAAAAUGUGUCGACAUCUGAAUAUCUGGCUUCACGUGGAACUUUAGAUCUCCUGUUAAAUCUAACAUCAUGACUGUAAGAAAAAUUAUUUAAAAACAUGGUCCUACUAAUGAUAAUAUAAUAUAUGAUUAUGUCUACAUCCUCUCUAGCAGAAUGCUCAUGCAUUUCCAGAGAACAAUAUUAGAUAAAUGCAUCCAACUAAGUGUUUCAUCUUAGUCUUGAUAGUUAUAAUGCAAGGGAGGGUGAUAUGCCCCAAUAGCAACAUGUUUCAUUGGUUGGUCAAUGUGUGAAGUGUGAUACUCUUGUUGCUCUUAUCUAUGUCUUCGUAAAUGUGGAUCGAUGUCCUUGCUUCCACCUUCUAUCUGCAAUACACAUGUUUAUCCUCAUGGCUUUACUCUUCUGUGUCCAUCACAUCUUUUUCACCUCAUUGUGUCUCUUCAAUCAUCACCUUCUAUGUCCAACACAUCUCUUUCACCUCAUUGUGUCUCCUCCAUCACCACCUCAUAAGGUGACUCGGGCUUGUCUCCUAGUUUUCUUACUUUCUGCAAACCCCUUGAUGUGUACUCACAUAUAUCACCAUAAAAUCAAGGAUAGCGUAUGAAUGGCGAAGAACACAUUGUUAUUCUCACUCAUGAUUGUUAAGUAAAACAAGAAACCACACAUAGUUGUAUUCAGUAGUACAAUAGUUGAUAUUUUUGUCUUGGAUUCUAAAUUUUGCUUACUUUACCAAAUCUCUAAAAUGAAGAUAAAUGUGUUCUCUUUCAGAAUAGUAUGUAAUCUGGUUUAGCAAUGCCCUUCACUUUGGGACCUACUGUUACCCAUAAAUACUAAAGAAAUCUUAGAAUUACCAUUUCCUUUGUUUUUGUUUUCCCUAUGAAAAGGCUAGUACCUUCUUAUUGUGAAAGUCCUUUGCACCCAUUAGAUUCCAAAAUAUAAUUAGCUACAUAAUAAUAAGAUAGGAGUAAACACACUUCGAAAGAAAUAACAAACAUACAUUUGACAAAGUCAAGGGUGCAUGAUUUCUUUGAUCGGUGCAAGCCUCAUAAUAAGUUGAGAAACUAAACAUUUAAAACUGGACAAAGUACUAUAGUAAUAAUCCAAAUAAUUCUACUUUACUAUCAAGCCAUGCGUAUAAGCGGUUGUUCUCAUGCAAACUGAAGUAGUAUAUAUAUCCACUUCACCAGCUACUAUUACAAGAUGGCCAUGCCUUUGUUAAUCAAAUGAACAUGAUCCAGGAUGACAUUAACUAAGAAAUAUAGUAGCAAAGAUUAGUUAGAUGAACAUGCUCUCUGAUGGCUUUGGCCUAAUGUAGGUCUGACAAAAAGUGUAGUAGUCCAAUGUUCUCUGAUGGCCUUGUGACAAGGUUGAAACGUAAAUGAUUUAUUUUAAAAAAUAAACAUGGAAAAUCUAUUAGAUAACAAUAACCCUCAAUAUUGCCAAAUGCGACUAAAUCCAAAUUCAUAUGCACAUGCAAUUUUCAGUUUUCCAUGGACAAACAGAUAUUUCCAAAAUCAACAUACAACCUCCUGCCCUCCUACAUAAAGCUAUUAGUUUUAAGCCUCAGACCAAUCAGGCAGUAAAACAUACUCUUUUUAUUGUAUGAAUUAUGAAUAAAUGAAUGAAUGAAAGGGAGAUGUACAUUUUAAGAAAAAACACAUAACAAAUUGAACAACAAUACAGAGGACUCAAAAAGAGAAUACAAACUCAAGGGAAAAACCAUUACCUACCCGGUGGUUGUUCCCAUCGGCUGCAUCGGCCUCGCGCCAUUCUCCAACAUCACACCCGCCUUGGUCAUGGCCUGUGCAACAUCGUCCAACGCAGCAGUGUCUAUUGCACACGAUCUUCUAGUUUAUGCUCCCCUCAUGCCGUAACAGACUAACAGGACACACAUGCACGAAGCAAUCAACAAGGUGGUCCAAAGUAGCACCAAUUCGAGGCCAGUAAGUAGUACGAAGCCUCGAUGAUUUAUAGUGUGGCGUGUGGCCUGUGUUCUUGAGGUUGCACUACUAGAGAAAACCUUACUAGUGGCACUGGUUUUUUACAUAGCAGUAGCGCGGGCACCCGCGCUACUGCUAGGGCGCUACAUCUAUUACUUAACAGCAGCGCGUUUCUAAACAAGCGCUGCAGCUAAGAUACUUAGUAGUAGCGCCUCUUUCUCUACCAAUGCUACUACUAUCAUCACGUAGUAGCAGCGCCCUAUUUUCUCCCCACGCUACAACUAGGUAAAUAGAAAUAAAAAAUAAAAAAAGGAGUUAGAUGCAAUAUUCAUGGAAAUCAAGACAAGUCCAGUGCAAAUAAACUAAGUUCACAAAACCAUCUCACAAGCAUUAACGACAAUACCACAUUUAAUAUAACCACACAAUCUCACAAACUUAUAUAUAGUAGUCAACAAUGCAUGGAUAGAUCAUAGUUGAUAAGUCUACUAGGUAGUCAUACUAGCAUAUAUAUGGUUCAGAAGCCACACGCAUGCAUAUGUAGUUCUAGAUGAUAUCGAUGACGACCAUCGUCCUCAAGCCUGGGCGGUGGGUGUUCCUGGUAGUAAUUAGGAUUGCCUAUCCAACAUGAAGAUUCUUGCCAACGACGAAGCUCUUCCACCCAACCGAGUUGAAGUGUGUGCGACCAUCCGUGUCCACGUCGUACGCACAAGUGGUGACGGAGCCCCUCGCGGUAAGGCGUAUUCCAGUAGAGCCUUCUUCAUCAGGCUUGAUACCACAACUCCCAGAUAAGCUCUUUGGCAAUUUCUGAAUAAGAAAAACAUAUCAAUUAAUAAGUAGCCUCACACAUUCUACACUAUCAAAAGACAGUACUACAUUUCUGCUAAGCAUGAAUUCUACUAAUAAGUACAUAUGGAUUCUACACUAUUAACAGUCUUUGGAUUCUACACGAAGCAUAUAUAUCAUCGGAUUCACUAAGCAUAUAGAUCAUCGGAUUCAGUAAGCAUAUAAGAUUCACUAAUCAUAUAUAUCAUCGGACUCUACACUAAGUAUAAUAAUAAAGCAUAUAUAUCAUCGGAUUCACUAAGCAUAUAAGAUUCACUAAGCAUACAUAUCAUCGGAUUCACUAAGCAUAUAGAUCAUCAGAUUUACUAAGCAUAUAAGAUUCACUAAGAAUAUAUCAUCAGACUCUACACUAAGUAUAACAAUAAAGCAUAUAAGGUUCACUAAGCAUAUAUAUCAUCGGACUCUACACUAAGUAUAACAAUAAAGCAUAUCAUAAAAUUACUACAGUAAAUGCAACAUACCAUGAUAUGCCGAUCAACCAUGGUACUUGUCAGGCGGGGCACAAAUGGCACCCCGACGAAGUCAGCACAUGGCGGAAUGAUGUCCCAUAGGUUGCACACCUCCUCGCCGCUCAACCUCAUUCUUUGAGCAAUGAUGGCUUCACCAAGUGGGUCGUCAUCAUCCUCAUCAUCUUCAUCAUCUUCUGCUUUGUUUACAUAAAUCACGGCCAACUUGGGUCUUUCUGCUCUGAAGGAGAAGCUGAUCAACUCACCACCGGUGAUACGCAUGUGGGCGAUGAAACGGACCCAUCCAUCUCCUCCCACCUGCGUCAUAUUUCGUCCUUUCUCGGCCUCCAUAGUGUAGGGGCCCCCAGGAGCCUCAAAGGUCACAGAGUCUCCGGUCAGCUUGUUGAAUUCUGACCUCACAUUGCAUGGGACGAUCUGUGUACAAAAAGAAAAAUGAUAUAUACACGAUGCAUUAAUGCCAAUAACACUAAAAACAAAAUAGUGGUUACUAGUUUCAUAUAAUUUAUUACCGUCGCAUGAAGAAAACUAGACUCGAAGUAGAUGCCGAACAGCGUGCCAGUUGCAAGGCUGCUGGCGCACCUUGACUUGCACCGUCGACAUGGUGGUGGUGGUGGUGGCGCCAUAUCCCUAAAGCAAUAUGAUUAAAGGAUUAACGGUCCAAAAAGUAAACAUAAAGUUUUCAAUACACAUAAGGUUUUGAAUAAUAUACACAUCAGGUUCAUAUAAUAGAGAAUACACAUCAGGUUCACAUGGCAAGCAAAAUAACAACUAAAUUGUAGUUCAGUUCAAACAAUAACCUAAUAGAGAUCAUGUAACCCAAACAGAGCCUAAUAAUAAGAUAAAUGGCAUAUUGCCAUUAUUGCGGAAGCAGACAAGCAAAAAUAGUUCAAUCAAGAGAGAGAACCCAUCUCUAAACCCUAGAACACUAGGCACCGCCACCGCCACUAAACCCCUCUCUCUACUCUCACCUAACCCCUCUCACCUAACCCCGGGCUGCUCUCGCCGGGCGGCCCUGCUGCUCUUCUGGGCCGUGCUCGGCGGCACCGACGCUGACUACGUGCUCUAGAAGGACACCACCAAACCAUCAACACACGCUGCCUCUCCAGUCCUGUGCUAAAAAUGGACAGAACGUGCAUCAACUUGCCGCCCUCUCCGACAUUCUUCUGAUCCUUCCCCUUCCCCUUCUCCCAGGCCCUCUGCUUGCCCGCCUCUGCCAUGGCGGCGGCCGCCGCCGACUCCCUGCUCUCUCGCUACUGCUCCUCCCCGCACGCUGUCCAGCAGCUCCCGCCGCCUCCUGUACCUCUCCUGCAGUGCUCCCGUCGCCCAACAAAAAGCCUAUAAUUCUCUCUGACCUAACCCCUCUCUCUACUCUCUCCCCAAUCACAUGAGGAAACAAGCCUGGAACACGUCACAUCGAAGCGUGGAGCCGCCGUGCAAUCCCUAAAUCCCUUUCCCCCACGCGAAAUCCCUAAACAUGGCAAGCCGCCACGACGAAUCGAUCGGGGCCUAGAUAGCUAGUGGUGGCAUGCGUAGGGAGGAGGAGAUCGAGGGGGACUUAUGGGGCUGCAGCGUCGGAGGAGGCGAGAGGCGACCGUGCCUAGUGGCGGCGCAUGGCGCCUGAUACGUCUCCAACAUAUCUAUAAUUUUUGAUUGCUCCAUGCUAUAUUAUCUACUGUUUUGGGAAAUAUUGGGCUUUAUUUUCCACUUUUAUAUUACUUUUGGGACUAACCUAUUAACCGGAGGCCCAGGCCAGAUUUGUUGUUUUAUGCCUAUUUCAAUGUUUUGAAGAAAAGGAAUAUCAGACGGAGUCGAAACGGAAUGAAAUCAACUGGAGAAGUUACUUUUGGAAGGAAACACACCUGAUGGACUUGGACCCCACGUUAGAAGAUACGGGAGCUGCCCACGAGGGUGGGGGGGGCGCCCACCCCCUAGGGCGCCCCCUGCCUCGUGGGGCCCUCGUGGCUCCCCUGACGUGCUUCUUCUGCCUAUAUAACUCCAUAUACCCUAAAACUUCUAGAAUGCAACAUAGAUCAGGAGUUCCGCUGCCAGAAGCCUCCGUAGCCACCAAAAACCAAUUUAGACCUGUUCCGGCACCCUGCCGGAGGGGGCAAUCCUUCUCCGGUGGCCAUCUUCAUCAUCCCGGUGCUCUCCAUGACGAGGAGGGAGUAGUUCUCCCUCGGGGUUGAGGGUAUGUACUAGUAGCUAUGUGUUUGAUCUCUCUCUCUCUCGUGUUCUUGAGAUGAUACAAUCUUGAUGUAUCGCGAGCUUUGCUAUUAUAGUUGGAUCUUAUGUUUCUCCUCCCCCUCUUCUCUCUUGUAAUGAAUUGAGUUUCCCCUUUGAAGUUAUAUUAUCGGAUUGAGUCUUUCAAGAUUUGAGAACACUUGAUGUAUGUCUUGCCGUGGAUAUCUGUGGUGACAAUGGGAUAUCAUGUGAUUCACUUGAUGUAUGUUUUGGUGAUCAACUUGCGGGUUCCGCCCAUGAACCUAUGCAUAGGGGUUGGCACACGUUUUCGUCGUGAUUCUCCGGUAGAAACUUUGGGGCACUCUUUGAGGUCCUUUGUGUUGGUUGAAUAGAUGAAUCUGAGAUUGUGUGACGCAUAUCGUAUAAUCAUACUCACGGAUACUUGAGGUGACAUUGGAGUAUCUAGGUGACAUUAGGGUUUUGGUUGAUUUGUGUCUUAAGGUGUUAUUCUAGUACGAACUCUAGGGCUGUUUGUGACACUUAUAUGAAUAGCCCAAUGGAUUGAUUGGAAAGAAUAACUUUGACGUGGUUUCGUACCCUACCAUAAUCUCUUCGUCCGUUCUCCGCUAUUAGUGACUUUGGAGUGACUCUUUGUUGCAUGUUGAGGGAUAGUUAUGUGAUCCAAUUAUGUUAGUAUUGUUGAGGGAACUUACACUAGCGAAAGUAUGAACCCUAGGACUUGUUUCCACACAUUGCAAUACCGUUUACGCUCACUUUUAUCAUUAGUUACCUUGCUGUUUUUAUAUUUUCAGAUUACAAAUACCUUUAUCUACCAUCCAUAUUGCACUUGUAUCACCAUCUCUUCGCCGAACUAGUGCACCUAUACAAUUUACCAUUGUAUUGGGUGUGUUGGGGACACAAGAGACUCUUUGUUAUUUGGUUGCAGGGUUGUUUGAGACAGACCAUCUUCAUCCUACGCCUCCUACGGAUUGAUAAACCUUAGGUCAUCCACUUGAGGGAAAUUUGCUACUGUCCUGAGGCCCAACAACGUCUACAAGAAGAAGGUUGUGUAGUAGACAUCAAGCUCUUUUCUGGCACCGUUGCCGGGGAGGUGAGCGCUUGAAGGUAUAUCCUUAGAUCUUACAAUCGAGUCUUUUAGUUUCUUGUUUUAUCACUAGUUUAGUUUAUAAAAGAAAACUAUAAAAAAUGGAAUUGAGUUUGUCUCAUACGCUUCACCUUUUUAAUAUCUUUCGUGAGUGUGAUGGAAAGGAUAAUUGUGCUCAAGUGCUAGAAGAAGAAAUCUAUAAAAUGUUUGGCACUAAAUAUUUGAAUGAUGAGCAUGAUUGCAAUGUUGUUAGUACGAAUUCUUUGAAUAUCCAUAAUACUAAUGAUGAUUGCACUAGUUAUGAUGAAAAUGCCUCCUAUAAACAUGUCAAUUUUUGUGGAGUAGACUAGGUUUGCAAGUACACACCAAAUAGGGAAGAUGGAUAUUGCAAGAGGCAUAAGUACUUAGAAACCAAAUUGUUGCAAGAAGAGCUAGAUGAAUGUGCUGAAAGAUUCAAUAUUUUUCAUGCUCCUUGUGGACUUUACAAUGAACAUGGUCAUUUAAAGCUCCAAUGCUAUUUGUUUCAUGAUUAAGUCGUGGCCAAAUAUUGUGAUAAUUUGAUUACCCUUGAGCAUCAUAAAGAGCUUAGCCUUCUUUUGGGUUAUGAAGAAAUGAAACGUAUAACUGAGGAUAUUCCAAAAUUUGCCCUUGAUAAAGUUCUUCGUUUUGAUCUAGAGAAUAUUUAUAUGUAUUGUGCGGUGAAUUUCAUUGAAAAUCCUUAUAUUGCCAAUUACAUAAAGAAAACAAAACAAAUAGAAGAUGAAGAGAAUACUAACGAAAGGGAAGAGACUUCCCAAUAUCCUCCUAUUAUUUCUUAUGAUGAAUCAGGUAACGAGGAGGAGCCUCCUAUUCAACCAAUCUCAUUAAUAAGGAGCUCCAAAAAGAGAAUUGAACCCAUGCAUGAUGUGGUGAAGAAGAAGAAAAGAAAAAGGAAGAGAGGUAAAAAGAUAUCUCUCCCAAAUAAUGCUACUCCUAUUACUAUUGUGCCUCAUGAAAAUAUAAUUGUGGAAGAUAAUGAUACUUCUUAUGAUCUUGAAAACCUUUUUGGCACUUCCUUGGAAGAAUAUAAUAAUUGCUAUACUAUUGGUGCUAUCCAUGCUAUUAAUGAUGAGAGUGAUUAUGCUUAUGAUACAAAAAGGACCAAGCUUGGGGAAGCUAUGUUUGAUGAGGAUGACAUAUUUGAGAAUAUAUUUGCUGCAAUUAAUGUUUGUCCCAAGCUUGGGGAUGCUACGCUUAAUGAAGAUUAUAUUUUUAGUCUACCAAGUUUUGAUAUGCAAACUCAUAAUGAUAAUAGCAUGCCUCCUACUUAUGAUAAUUAUUGUGAUGAUACAUAUGCUAUAAAAAGUAGUGAGGAUUAUAUUUAUAAAACUUGUCAUGACUAUGGUUACCCAUUUUCUGAACAUUACUAUUUUAAUGUGGAAACAAUUUAUAGUAUCCAAGUUUCCUAUGAUACUCCCACUAUCCCGAACGAGAAGAAUUUUGCUUAUGUGGAGAGUAAUAAAAUUUCUAUGCUUGUAGAUCAUGAAAAGAAUGCUUUAGGUGCUGGUUAUAUUGUUGAAUUCAUUCAUGAUGCUACUGAAAAUUAUUAUGAGGGAGGAAUAUAUGCUUGUAGGAGUUGCAAUAAUAUCAAGUUUCCUCUCUACGUGCUUAAAGUUUUGAAGUUAUGCUUGUUUUACCUUCCUAUGCAAGUUGAUUCUUGUUCCCAUAAGUUGUUUUCUCACAAAACCCCUAUGCAUAGGAAGUAUGUUAGACUUAAAUUUGUUAGUCAUAUUCUUUAUGAUGCUCUCUUUAUGUUUCAAUUCUUAUCUUUUAUGUGAGCAUCAUUGAAAUCAUCAUGCCUAGCUAGGGGCGUUAAACGAUAGCGCUUGUUGGGAGGCAACCCAAUUUUAUUUUUAUUCCUUGCUUUUUGUUCCUGUUUAAUAAUAAAUAAUCCAUCUAGCUUCUGUUUAGAUGUGGUUUUAUGUGUUUAAUUAGUGUUUGUGCCAAGUAGAACCGUUGGGAAGACUUGGGUGAAGUCUUUAUGAUCAUGCUGUAAAAAACAGAACCUUUAGCGCUCACGAGAAUUGCUGCCAUUUUUAUUUGGAGAGUGAUAUUUAGUUAAUUAUUUUUUCAUAUGAUUAAUAGAUAAAUUCCUCAGGUCCAGCAAUUUAUUUGAGAAUUUUAUGAGUUCCAGAAGUAUGCGUUUGAUCCAGAUUACUACAGACUGUUCUGUUUUUGACAGAUUCUGUUUUUCAUGUGGUGUUUACUUAUUUUGAUGAAUCUAUGGCUAGUAAAAUAUUUUAUAAACCAUAGAUAAGUUGGAAUACAGUAGGUUUAACACAAAUAUAAAUAAAGAAUGAUUUCAUUACAGUACCUUGAAGUGGUGAUUUAUUUUCUUAUACUAACGGAGCUUACGAGUUUUCUGUUAAGUUCUGUGUUGUGAAGUUUUCAAGUUUUGGGUAAGGAUUCGAUGGACUAUGGAAUAAGGAGUGGCAAGAGCCUAAGAUUUGGGAUGACCAAGUCACCCCAAGGUAAUAUUCAAGGACAACCAAGAGCCUAAGCUUGGGGAUGCCCCGGAAGGCAUCCCCUCUUUCGUCUUCGUUCAUCGGUAACUUUACUUGGAGCUAUAUUUUUAUUUGCCACAUGAUAUGUGUUUUGCUUGGAGCAUCAAUUUACUUUGUUAGUAUUUGCUUGCUGUUAUUUAGAAUAAUGUUUUGCAUCUUUUAUCUCAAUAAAAGUGGCAUUGAUAGCCUUUACUAUGCCUAUGUUACAAGUAUACAUGUUGCUGUUUGAAAACAGAAAGUUUAACGUUGUUGCAAUAAUUCCCUAGAAAAGUCAGAAUGUGAUAAAAUGUUGAAACCUUUUGCAUUUUAAGCUCUGAUAAAUUUACUACAGUGGGAGUUUUCUUUCAUAAUUUUUGGAGCUAGGGAAUUAUGGAUGUUGCAGCAUUCUUUACAGACUAUCCUGUUUAGGCAGAUUGCUGUUAUGUUUGCAUUGUUUGCAUAUGUUUGCUUCUUUAAUGAUUAUAUUUGAGGAUAGGACUAUUAAAUAUGCAGAGGCAUUUAGUAGGAAAUGUUGAAUAAUAAUUAUUAGUGAUUUUCUACAGUAGAGUAUGAUAAGGUUUUAGCAAUGGUUUAUACUAACUUAUCUCACGAGUCCUUGUUGAGUUUUGUGUGGAUGAAGAUUUUGAGAUUUAGGGUGACCGUGAUAUGAGAGGAAUUAAGGAGACACAAAAGCUCAAGAUUGGGGAUUCCCAAGGCACCCCAAGAUAAUAUUUCAAGAAGUCUCAAGCAUCUAAGCUUGGGGAUGCCCCGGUUGGCAUCCCACCUUUCUUCUUCAACAACUAUCGGUUAGUAUCGGUUGAUCCUAAGUUUUUGCUUCUUCACAUGAUGUUUGCUAUUCUUAGAAUGUCAUUUUAUUUUGCUUUGCUUGCUGUUUGAAUAAAAUACCAAUAUCUGAAAUUCUUAAAUGUUAGAGAGUCUUCACAUAGUUGCAUAAUUAUUCGACUACUCAUUGAUCUUCACUUAUAUCUUUCGGAGUAGUUUGUCAUUUGCUCUAGUGCUUCACUUAUAUCUUUUAGAGCAUGGUGGUAGUUUUAUUUUGAAGAAAUAGAUGAACUCUCAUGCUUCACUUAUAUUAUUUUUAGAGUCUUAAAUAGCAUGGUAAUUUGCUUAAAAUCCUAAUAUGCUAGGUAUUCAAGAAUAAUAAAAUUCUCUUAUGAGUGUGUUGAAUACUAGGAGAAGUUUGAUACUUGAUAAUUGUUUUGAGAUAUGGAGAUGGUGAUAUUAGAGUCAUGCUAAUUGAGUGGUUGUGAAUUUGAGAAAUACUUGUGUUGAAGUUUGUGAUUCCCGUAGCAUGCAUGUAUGGUGAACCGUUAUGUGAUGAAGUCGGAGCAUGAUUUAUUUAUUGAUUGUCCUCCUUAUGAGUGGCGGUCGGGGACGAGCGAUGGUCUUUUCCUACCAAUAUAUCCCCCUAGGAGCAUGCGCGUAAUACUUUGCUUUGAUAACUAAUAGAUUAUUGCAAUAAGUAUGUGAGUUCUUUAUGACUAAUGUUGAGUCCAUGGAUUAUACGCACUCUCACCCUUCCACCAUUGCUAGCCUCUCUAGUACCGCGCAACUUUCGCCGGUACCAUAAACCCACCAUAUACCUUCCUCAAAACAGCCACCAUACCUACCUAUUAUGGCAUUUCCAUAGCCAUUCCGAGAUAUAUUUCCAUGCAACUUUCCACCGUUCUGUUAUUAUGACACGCAUCAUCAUUGUCAUAUUGCUUUGCAUGAUCAUGUAGUUGACAUUGUAUUUGUGGCAAAGCCACCGUUCAUAAUUCUUUCAUACAUAUCACUCAUGCAUCAUCGCACAUCCCGGUACACCGCCAAAGGCAUUCAUAUAGAGUCAUACUUUGUUCUAGUAUCGAGUUGUAAUCAUUGAGUUGUAAAUAAAUAGAAGUGUGAUGAUCAUCAUUAAUAGAGCAUUGUCCCAAAUAAAAAAAGGGGCCAAAUAAAAAAAGAAAGGCCAUAUAGAAAAAGGGAAGGCCAAAUAAAAAAAGGGGGAAGGCCAAAUAAAAAAAGGAAGGCCAAAUAAAAAAAGGAGGCAAUGCUACUAUCCUUUUUCCACACUUGUGCUUCAAAGUAGCACCAUGAUCUUCAUAAUAGAGAGUCUCCUAUGUUGUCACUUUCAUAUACUAGUGGGAAUCUUUCAUUAUAGAACUUGGCUUGUAUAUUCCAAUGAUGGGCUUCCUCAAAAUGCCCUAGGUCUUCGUGAGCAAGCGAGUUGGAUGCACACCCACUAGUUUCUUUUGUUGAGCUUUCAUACAUUUAUAGCUCUAGUGCAUCCAUUGCAUGGCAAUCCCUACUCACUCACAUUGAUAUCUAUUGAUGGGCAUCUCCUAGCCCGUUGAUAUGCCUAGUCGAUGUGAGACUAUCUUCUCCCUUUUUGUCUUCUCCACAACCACCAUUCUAUUCCACCUAUAGUGCUAUGUCCAUGGCUCACGCUAAUGUAUUGCGUGAAGAUUGAAAAAGUUUGAGAACAUCAAAAGUAUGAAACAAUUGCUUGGCUUGUCAUCGGGGUUGUGCAUGAUUUAAAUAUGUUGUGUGGUGAAGAUGUAGCAUAGCCAGACUAUAUUAUUUUGUAGGGAUAGCUUUCUUUGGCCAUGUUAUUUUGAGAAGACAUAAUUGCUUUGUUAGUAUGCUUGAAGUAUUAUUAUUUUUAUGUCAAUAUGAACUUUUGUCUUGAAUCUUAUGGAUCUGAAUAUUCAUGCCACAAUUAAGAAGAAUUACCUCGAAAUUACGCCAACUAGCAUUCCACAUCAAAAAUUCUUUCUUUUAUCAUUUACCUACUCGAGGACGAGCAGGUAUUAAGCUUGGGGAUGCUUGAUACGUCUCCAACGUAUCUAUAAUUUUUUAUUGCUCCAUGCUAUAUUAUCUACUGUUUUGGGCAAUAUUGGGCUUUAUUUUCCACUUUUAUAUUACUUUUGGGACUAACCUAUUAACCGGAGGCCCAGCCCAGAUCUGCUGUUUUAUGCCUAUUUCGGUGUUUUGAAGAAAAGGGAUAUCAGACGGAGUCGAAACGGAACGAAAUCAAUUGGAGAAGUUAUUUUUGGAAGGAAACACACCUGAUGGACCUGGAACCCCCGUCAGAAGAUACGGGAGCUGCCCACGAGGGUGGGGGGCGCGCCCACCCCCCUAGGGCGCGCCCCCUGCCUCGUGGGGCCCUCGUGGCUCCCCUGACGUGCUUCUUCUGCCUAUAUAACUCCAUAUACCCUAAAACUUCCAGAAUGCAACAUAGAUCGGGAGUUCUGCCGCCAGAAGCCUUCGUAGCCACCAAAAACCAAUCUAGACCUGUUCCGGCACCCUGCCGGAGGGGACAAUCCUUCUCCGGUGGCCAUCUUCAUCAUCCUGGUGCUCUCCAUGACGAGGAGGGAGUAGUUCUCCCUCGGGGCUGAGGGUAUGUACUAGUAGCUAUGUGUUUGAUCUCUCUCUCUCUCGUGUUCUUGAGAUGAUACGAUCUUGAUGUAUCGCGAGCUUUGCUAUUAUAGUUGGAUCUUAUGUUUCUCCUCCCCAUCUUCUCUCUUGUAAUGAAUUGAGUUUCCCCUUUGAAGUUAUAUUAUCGGAUUGAGUCUUUAAAUAUUUGAGAACACUUGAUGUAUGUCUUGCCGUGGAUAUCUGUGGUGACAAUGGGAUAUCACAUGAUUCACUUGAUGUAUGUUUUGGUGAUCAACUUGCGGGUUCCGCCCAUGAACCUAUGCAUAGGGGUUGGCACACGUUUUCGUUGUGAUUCUCCGGUAGAAACUUUGGGGCACUCUUUGAGGUCCUUUGUGUUGGUUGAAUAGAUGAAUCUGAGAUUGUGUGACACAUAUCAUAUAAUCAUACCCACGGAUACUUGAGGUGACAUUGGAUUAUCUAGGUGACAUUAGGGUUUUGGUUGAUUUGUGUCUUAAUGUGUUAUUCUAGUACGAACUCUAGGGAUGUUUGUGACACUUAUAUGAAUAGCCCAAUGGAUUGAUUGGAAAGAAUAACUUUGAGGUGGUUUCGUACCCUACCAUAAUCUCUUCGUUCGUUCUCUGCUAUUAGUGACUUUGGAGUGACUCUUUGUUGCAUGUUGAGGGAUAGUUAUGUGAUCCAAUUAUGUUAGUAUUGUUGAGGGAACUUACACUAGCAAAAGUAUGAACCCUAGGCCUUGUUUCCACACAUUGCAAUACCGUUUACGCUCACUUUUAUCAUUAGUUAUGUUGCUGUUUUUAUAUUUUCAGAUUAUAAAUACCUUUAUCUACCAUCCAUAUUGCACUUGUAUCACCAUCUCUUCGCCGAACUAGUGCACCUAUACAAUUUACCAUUGUAUUGGGUGUGUUGGGGACACAAGAGACUCUUUGUUAUUUGGUUGCAGGGUUGCUUGAGAGAGACCAUCUUCAUCCUACGCCUCCUACGAAUUGAUAAACCUUAGGUCAUCCACUUGAGGGAAAUUUGCUACUGUCCUACAAACCUCUACACUUGGAGGCCCAACAACGUCUACAAGAAGAAGGUUGUGUAGUAGACAUCAGCGCCGUCGAUGGGGGUGAGGCGGUUGGGGAGGAACCCUAACCGUGGCGGCGUCGUCGGGUGGAGGGGAUCGAUAAUGUGAGAGUGAGGGGGUGGGGGCGCUCGGGCCGGUUUUCUUUUCCUCUAGUAGUAGCGCUGGGUAAAGGCCGACGCUACUGCUAAGCCCACCAGCUGUAGCGCCCGUCUGAAACAAACGCUACAGGUAAGUGGGCUAUCAUUUUUUCCCUGCGGCCCAUGUAACAGCAGCGUUGCCCAAGCUAACAAACGCUGUUGUUAUUUACUAGUAGUAGCGUGUUUUCUACCCAACGCUACUGGUAAAUACCAGUAGCGUGGGGUCAUAAACAGGCGCUACUGGUAAACUUCUAUCUAUAAGCACUUUCCUAGUAGUGUCGACCCACACUCAAGGGAAUGGCGGCGAUGGGCACCCAUGCCAUGACGAAGAGGAUGGGUACUGGACCCUAUCAAAAUUUCUUGCACUAUGCAAAAAGAAAACAUACGUCUGAGUUGGAAGUUCAUACAAUAAAUAUCAUAGACCCAUGUAUACUGUACCUUAUGAAAAUUUGUUACCUGUAGUUUUGAGAACACUUAAGAAGUGGAUAUAUAAUGCAGAAUCAGAAAGCACGCAAGUGUCAAAUUGUAAGAUAAUUUCAUAUUUACAGUGACAGACAAUUUGGUUGAAGUAUCACUUAUGAGCAAGUAUUACAUGCUCUAAGGAAUAUCGAAUAUGUGGAACAGUGUAUAUAGAAACCAUAAAUAAAGAAGACCAAUGUAUUCCUCAUAUCUAAGUUGGUAUCUACUGGGAACGAGUUCUUCGAGACCAAUGAAUUGGGAAGUCGAAGCUUAUAACCUAAAAUUACCUAAUAGCUCCAAGCAUAUAUAUAGUACUGCUAGGAAAUUUCCUUAUUAGUUUUCUUUGUAUAAUUAACCUGCUGAUCUAAUAAAAUGCUAGAUGUAGGUGUGUCCUAGAACAAUCACUCGAAGGUUAGUACUAAACCAAAUCUCUAAUCCAUAAAGUAGCACAUAGUCCAUGAGAAAAGAAGUAAUUCUAUUUCAUACAACUAAGUGAACAAAGAGACACUACAAUCCAUAAAGAUCACAUGUUACGUAAUGUAAUUCAUAGUAGUACAUGUCUGUUCCUGUGAAUUGCAUCAAGAAAAUGGAGAAAAUUAGUACAUGUUCCAUGGUUCCAUUAUUGGCGAUAAGGCGGUGCAGGAAAAAUUAGAGUUUGCGGCCCAAGGUUGCAUGCUUCCAGGGUGGAAAGGAGGUUUGCAACACCACUGAAGGUUAAGGCAAUGUGAAGCUUGAACAAUGAAGUAAUAUAUUCUGAUAUGAGUAGUUCAAGUUUGCUAAAAAAAUCAUAUGCCAGUAGAGAAAAACCAUAAGACCUUAUUACGAUAAUUGGUGUCAUUGUACGACACAUCUCCAAGUGUUUGCAAUUAUAAGAUCCAGAGGGGGACAUUAAAAAUGAUAAAAUACCUCAAGGAGACCAUAUAGAAUAUAUUUUAAUGUAUUCCUUCUCCGACAACUGAUUUAUUUCUUCUGUCAAACACUCAUAUUUCCCUGAUUCAGUUGGAGCAUCUCAAUAGUAGCACUUCCUCCAAGAUUAUACAUAGAGAUGUCUGAUACAUCUCCAACGUAUCUAUAAUUUUUUAUUGUUCCAUACUGUUAUAUUAUCAAUCUUGGAUGUUUUAUAAUCCUUCUAUAUCAUUUUUUGGUACUAACCUCUUGACAUAGUGCCAAGUUCCAGUUGUUGUUUUCUGCGUGUUUUUUACAUUGCAGGAAAUCAAUACCAAACGGAGUCCAAACGCAAUGAAACUUUACGGAGAUUUUUUUGGACCAGAAGGAACAUAAUGGACCCUGGCUGCGCCUGGGGGGUGCUCUAAGGAGAGCACAACCCACCAGGGCGCACCAGGAGGCCCAGGCGCGCCCUGGUGGGUUGUGCCCACCUCGGGUGCCCCCGGACCGCCUCUUUGCUCUAUAAAUACCCCAAUAUUCCAGAAACCCUAGGGGAGUUGACAAAAAUAAAUUCCAGUCGUCGCACAGUCCAGAACCACUAGAUCCGAUCUAGACACCAUCUCGGAUGGGGUUCACCACCUCCAUUGGUGCCUCUCCGAUGAUGCAUGAGUAGUUCUUUGCAGACCUCCGUAGUUAGUAGCUAGAUGACUUCUUCUCUCUCGCCGAUUUCUCAAUACAAUGGUCUCUUGGAGAUCCAUAUGAUGUAACUCUUUCGUGGUGUGUUUGUUGGGAUCGAUGAACUUUGAGUUUAUGAUCAGAUCUAUCUUUUUAUAUACAUGAAAGUAUUUGAGUUUAUUUGAUCUCUUUUAUGCAUGAUUAUGAAGGAAAUAUGCCCUAGAGGCAAUAAUAAAGUUGUUAUUUAUAUUUCCUUAUAUCAUGAUAAAUGUUUAUUAUUCAUGCUAGAAUUGUAGUAACCAGAAACUUAGUACAUGUGUGAAUACAUAAACAAACAAAAUGUCCCUAGUAUGCCUCUACUUGACUAGCUCGUUAAUCAAAGAUGCUUAAGUUUCCUAGCCAUAGACAUGUGUUGUCAUUUGAUGAACGGGAUCACAUCAUUAGAGAAUGAUGUGAUGGAAAAGACCCAUCCGUUAGCUUAGCACUAUGAUCGUUUAGUUUAUUGUUAUUGCUUUCUUCAUGGCUUAUACAUGUUCCUAUGACUAUGAGAUUAUGCAACUCCCGAAUACCGAAGGAACACUUAGUGUGCAAUCAAACGUCACAACAUAACUGGGUGAUUAUAAAGAUGCUCUACAUGUGUCUCCUAUGGUGUUUGUUGAGUUGGCAUAGAUCGAGAUUAGGAUUUGUCACUCCGUGUAACGGAGAGGUAUCUCUGGACCCUGUUGGUCAUGCACAUCACAAUGAGCCUUGCAAGCAAUGUGACUAAUGAGUUAGUCACGGGAUGAUGCAUUACGGAAUGAGUAAAGAGACUUUCCGGUAACAAGAUUGAAAUAAGUAUGAUGAUAUCAACGAUCGAAUCUCAGGCAAGUAAUAUACCGAUGACAAAGGGAACAACGUAUGUUGUUGUGCGGUUUGACCGAUAAAGAUCUUCGUAGAAUAUGUAGGAACAAAUAUGAGCAUCCAGGUUCUGCUAUUGGUUAUUGAUCCGAGACGAGUCUCGGUCAUGUCUACAUAGUUCUCAAACCCGUAGGGUCCGCACGCUUAACGUUCGAUGACGGUAUGUAUUAUGAGUUAUGUGAUUUGAUGUACCGAAGGUUGUUCAGAGCCCCAGAUGAGAUCAUAGACAUGACAAGGAGUCUCGAAAUGAUCGAGACAGAAAGAUUCAUAUAUUGGAAGGUUACAUUCAGACACCGGAAUGGUUCGGGUCGUUUCGGAGUACCGGGGGUUACCGGAACCCCCUCCGGGAAGUUAUUGGGCCUUACGGGCCUAUUGGUGGAAGAGACGAGGCAGUCCAAGAGGUGGCGCACCCCCCCCCCCUAGCCCAAACCAAAUUGGACUAGGGCUAGGGGGCGGCCCCCUUGCCUUCUCUUCUUCCUCUCCUUCCUUCUUCUCCUACUUGGACUAGGAAAGGGGGAAACCUACUCCUACUAGGAGUUGGAAUCCCCCCUUGGGCGCGCCCCUUGAGGCCAGCCCUCCUCCUCCUCCUCUCCUUUAUAUACGGGGGAGGGGGGGAACCCCAUAGACUCACAAGUUGAUCUUUAGCCGUGUGCGGUGCCCCCUCCAUAGUUUUCCACCUCGGUCAUAUUGUCGUAGUGCUUAGGCGAAGCCCUGCGUUGGUAACUUCAUCAUCACUAUCAACACGCCUUCGUGCUGACAGAACUCACCCUCGGCCUCAGCUGGAUCAAGAGUACGAGGGAUGUCACUGAGCUGAACAUGUGUAGAUCGCGGAGGUGCCGUGCGUUCGGUACUUGAUCAGUUGGAUCCCGAAGACGUUCGACUACAUCAACCACGCUACUAAACGCUUCCGCUUUUGGUCUACGAGGGUACGUAGACACACUCUCCCCUCUCGUUUCUAUGCAUCUCCUAGAUAGAUCUUGCAUGACCGUAGGAUUUUUUUUGAAAUAAUACGUUCCCCAACAGUGGCAUCCGAGCCAGGUCUAUGCGUAGAUGUUAUAUGCACGAGUAGAACAAAAAGAGUUGUGGGCGAUAAUAGUCAUACUGCUUACCAGCAAUGUCUUACUUUGAUUCGGCGGUAUUGUUGGAUGAAGCGGCCCGGACCGACAUUACGUGACCACGUUCAGGAGACUGGUUCUACCGAUGUGCUUUGCACACAGGUGGCUGGCGGGUGUCUGUUUCUCCAACUUUAGUUGAAUCGAGUUUGACUACGCCCGAUCCUUGUUGAAGGUUAAAACAGCACACUUGACAAAAAAUCGUUGUGGUUUUGAUGCGUAGGUAAGAACGGUUCUUGCUAGAAGACCGUAGCAGCCACGUAAAACUUGCAACAACAAAGUAGAGGACGUCUAACUUUUUUUCAGGGUUUGCUGUGAUGUGAUAUGGUCAAGACAUGAUGAUAUAUAAUUUGUUGUAUGAGAUGAUCAUGUUUUGUAACAGUUAUCGGCAACUGGCAGGAGCCAUAUGGUUGUCGCUUUAUUGUAUGAAAUGCAAUCGCCAUGUAAUUGCUUUACUUUAUCACUAAGCGGUAGCGAUAGUCGUAGAAGCAAUAGUUGGCGAGACGACAAUGAUGCUUCGAUGGAGAUCAAGGUGUCAAGCCAGUGAUGAUGGUGAUCAUGAUGGUGAUCAUGAUGGUGCUUUGGAGAUGGAGAUCAAAGGCACAAGAUGAUGAUGGCCAUAUCAUAUCACUUAUUUUGAUUGCAUGUGAUGUUUAUCUUUUAUGCAUCUUAUUUUGCUUAGUACGGCGGUAGCAUUAUAAGAUGAUAUCUCACUAAAUUUCAAGGUAUAAGUGUUCUCCCUGAGUAUGCACCGUUGCUACAGUUUGUCGUGCCGAGAUACCACGUGAUGAUCGGGUGUGAUAAGCUCUAUGUUCACAUACAACGGGUGCAAGCCAGUUUUGCACAAGUAGAAUACUCAGGUUAAACUUGACGAGCCUAGCAUAUGCAGAUAUGUCCUCGAAACACUGAGACCGAAAGGUCGAGCGUGAAUCAUAUAGUAGAUAUGAUCAACAUAGUAAUGUUCACCGUUGAAAACUUCUCCAUCUCAUGUGAUGAUCAGACAUGGUUUAGUUGAUAUGGAUUACGUGAUCACUUAGAUUAUUAGAGGGAUGUCUAUCUAAGUGGGAGUUAUUAAGUAAUAUGAUUAAUUGAACUAAAAUUUAUCAUGAACUUAGUCCUGAUAGUAUUUGCAUAUCUAUGUUGUAGAUCAAUUGCUCGUGUAUAGCUUCCCCGUUUUAUUUAUGAUAUGUUCCUAGAGAAAACUAUGUUGAAAGAUGUUAGUAGCAAUGAUGCGGACUAGCUCCGUGAUCUGAGGAUUAUCCUCAUUGCUGCACAGAAGAAUUAUGUCCUUGAUGCACCGCUAGGUGACAGACCUAAUGCAGGAGCAGAUGCAGACGUUAUGAAUGUUUGGCAAGCUCGGUAUGAUGACUAAUUGAUAGUUUAGUGCGCCAUGCUUUACGGCUUAGAACUGGGACUUCAAAAAUGUUUUGAAACGCCACGGAGCAUAUAAUAUGUUCCAAGAGCUGAAAUUGGUAUUUCAGCCUCAUGCCCGAGUCGAGAGGUAUGAGACCUCUGACAAAGUACUUUGCCUACAAGAUGGAGGAGAAUGGCUCAACUAGUAAGCAUGUGCUCAGAAUGUCUGAGUACUACAAUCACUUGAAUCAAGUGGGAGUUAAUCUUCCAAAUAAAAUAGUGGUUGACAGAGUUCUCUAGUCACUAUCACCAAGUUACUAGAACUUCGUGAUGAACUAUAAUGUGCAAGGGAUAGCGAAAACAAUUCCCAAGCUCUUCACGGUGCUGAAAUUGGCGAAGGUAGAAAUCAAGAAAAGCAUCAAGUGUUGAUUGUUGAUAAGACCACUAGUUUCAGGUAAAAGGGCAAGGGAAAGAAAGGGAACUUCAAGACGAAUGGCAAGCAAGUUGCCACUCCCAUGAAGAAGCCCAAAGCUAGACCCAAGCUUGAAACUGAGUGCUUCUAACUGCAAAGGAAAUGAUCACUAGAAGCGGAACUGCCCCAAAAACUUGGUGGAUAAGAAGGAUGGCAAAGUGAACAAAAGUAUAUAUGAUAUACAUGUUAUUGAUGUGUACUUUACUAGUAUUCAUAGUAGCCCCUGGGUAUUUGAUACUGGUUCAGUUGCUAUGAUUAGUAACUUGAAACAGGAGUUAUAAAAUGAACAGAGACUAGUUGAGGGCAAGGUGACGAUGUGUAUUGGAAGUGAUUCCAAGGUUGAUAAGAUCACCAUCGCACACUCCCUUUACCUUCGGGAUUAGUGUUGAACCUAAAAUAAAUGUUAUUUGGUGUUUGCGUUGAGCAUAAUAUGAUUGGAUCAUAUUUAUUGCAAUACGGUUAUUCAUUUAAGUCAAAGAAUAAUUGUUAUUUUGUCUACAUGAAUAAAACCAUCAGUGGUCAUACACCCAGGGUGAAUGGUUUAUUGUAUCUCGAUUGUAGUGAUACACAUAUUCAUAAUAUUGAAGCCAAAAUAUGCAAGGUUAAUAAUGAUAGUGCAACUUACUUGUGGCACUGCCGUUUAGGUAAUGUUGGUGUAAAGCGCAUAAAGAAAAUCCAUGCUGGUGGGCUUUUGGAAUCACUUGAUUGUGAAUCACUUGAUGCUUGCGAACCAUGCCUCAUGGGCAAGAUGACUACGACUCCAUUCUCCGGAACAAUGAAGCGAGCCACUGACUUAUUGGAAAUAAUACAUACCAAUGUAUGCGAUCCGAUGAGUGUUGAGGCUCGCGGCGAGUAUCAUUAUUUUUUGACCUUCACAGAUGAUUUGAGUAGAUAUGGGUAUAUCUACUUAAUGAAACACAAGUCUGAAACAUUUGAAAAGUUUAAAGAAUUUCAGAGUGAAGUUGAGAGUCAUCGUAACAAGAAAAAUAAAGUUUCUACGAUCUAAUCGCAAAGGUGAAUAUUUAAGUUACGAGUUUGGCCUUCAUUUGAAACAAUGUGGAAUAGUUUUGCAACUCGCGCCACCUAGAACACCACAGCGUAACAGUGUGUCCGAACGUCGUAACCAUACUUUAUUAGAUAUGGUGCGAUCUAUGAUGUCUCUUACCGAUUUACCACUAUCAUUUUGGGGUUAUGCAUUAGAGUCAAUUGCAUUCACGUUAAAUAGGGCACCGUCUAAAAAAAUCCAUUGAGACGACACCGUAUGAACUGUGGUUUAGCAAGAAACCUAAGCCGUCGUUUCUUAAAGUUUGGGGUUGCAAUGCUUAUGUGAAAAAGUUUCAGCCUGAUAAGCUCAAACCCAAAUUGGAGAAGUGUGUCUUCAUAGGAUUCCCAAAAGAAACUGUUGGGUACACCUUGUAUCAAAGAACCGAAGGCAAGAUCUUUGUUGCUAAGAGUGGAUCCUUUCUAGAGAAGGAGUUUCUCUCAAAGGAAGUGAGUGGGAGGAAAGUAGAACUUGAUGAGGUAAUUGUACCUUCUCUCGAAUUGGAAAGUAGCUCAUCACUGAAAUCAGUUCCAGUGAUGCCUACACCAAUUAAUGAGGAAGUUAAUGAUGAUGAUCAUGAAACUUAAGAUCAAGUUACUACCAAACCUCGUAGGUCAACCAGAGUACGAUCCGCACCAGAGUGGUAUGGUAAUCCUGUUCUGGAAGUCAUGUUGCUAGACCAUGAUGAACCUACGAACUAUGAGGAAGCGAUGAUGAGCCCAGAUUCCGACAGAUGGCUUGAGGCCAUGAAAUCUGAGAUAGAAUCCAUGUAUGAGAACAAAGUGUGGACUUUGGUGGACUUGCCCGAUGAUCAACAAGCCAUUGAGAAUAAAUGGAUCUUCAAGAGGAAGACGGACGCUGAUAGUAGUGUUACUAUCUACAAAGCUCGACUUAUCGAAAAGGGGUUUUGACAAGUUCAAGGUGUUGACUACGAUGAGAUUUUCUCACUCGUACAAUGCUUAAAGUUUGUCCGAAUCAUGUUAGCAAUUGCCGCAUUUUAUGAAAUCUGGCAAAUGGAUGUCAAAACUGAAUUUGUUAAUGGAUUUAUUAAAGAAGAGUUGUAUAUGAUACAACCAGAAGAUUUUUUGUCGAUCCUAAAGGUGCUAACAAAAUGUGCAAGCUCCAGUGAUCCAUCUAUGGACUGGUGCAAGCAUCUCGGAGUUGGAAUAUAUGCUUUGAUGAGUUGAUCAAAGCAUAUAGUGUUAUACAGAUUUGCGGUGAACUCCUGUAUUUACAAGGAAGUGAGUGGGAGCACUACAACCUUUCUGAUAAGUAUAUGUGAAUGACAUAUUGUUGAUCGGAAAUGAUGUAGAAUUUUCUAGAAAUCAUAAAGGAGUGUUUGAAAGGAGUUUUUCAAAGAAAUACCUAGGUGAAGCUGCUUACAUAUUGAGCAUCAAGAUCUAUAGAGAUAAAUCAAGACACUUGAUACGAUUUUUCAAUGAGUAUAUACCUUGACAAGAUUUUGAAGUAGUUCAAAAAGGAAGAGUCAAAGAAGGAGUUCUUGCCUGUGUUGCAAGGUGUGAAGUUGAGUAAGACUCAAAACCUGACCAUGGCAGAAAAUAAAAAGAGAAUGAAAGUCAUUCCCUAUGCCUCAGUCACAAGUUCUAUAAUGUAUGCUAUGCUGUGUACCAGACCUAUUGUAUAUCUUAGCAUGAUUUUGGCAAGGGAAUACAAUAAUGAUCUAGGAAUAUAUCACUGGACAACGGUCAAAAUUAUCCUUAGAGGACUAAGGAAAUAUUUCUUGGUUAUGGAGGUGAUAAAAGAGUUCGUCGUAAAGAGUUACAUCGAUGCAAGCUUUUGACACCGAUCUAGAUGACUCUAAGUCUUGAUCUAGAUACAUAUUGAAAGUGGGAACAGUUAGCUAGAGUAGCUCCGUGCAGAGUAUUGUAGACAUAGAAAUUUGCAAAAUACAUAUGGAUCUGAAUGUUGCAGACCCGGAGACUAAACUUCUCUCACAAGCAAAACAUGAUCACUCUUUGGGUGUUAAUCACAUAGCUACAUGAACUAGAUUAUUGGCUCUAGUAAACCCUUUGGGUAUUAGUCACAUGAAGAUAUGAACUAAUCACAUAAAGAUGUAAUCUAUUGGUGUGAAAUCACAUGAUGAUGUGAACUAGAUUAUUGACUCUGGUGCAAGUGGGAGACUGAAGGAAAUAUGCCCUAGAGGCAAUAAUAAAGUUGUUAUUUAUAUUUCCUUAUAUCGUGAUAAAUGUUUGUUAUUCAUGCUAGAAUUGUAUUAACCGGAAACUUAGUACAUGUGUGAAUACAUAGACAAACAAAAUAUCCCUAGUAUGCCUCUACUUGACUAGCUCGUUAAUCAAAGAUGGUUAAGUUUCCUAGCCAUAGACAUGUGUUGUCAUUUGAUGAACGGGAUCACAUAAUUAGAGAAUGAUGUGAUGGACAAGACCCAUCCGUUAGCUUAGCACUAUGAUCGUUUAGUUUAUUGCUAUUGCUUUCUUCAUGGCUUAUACAUGUUCCUAUGACUAUGAGAUUAUGCAACUCCUGAAUACCAGAGGAACACUUAGUGUGCUAACAAACGUCACAACAUAACUGGGUGAUUAUAAAGAUGCUCUACAGGUGUCUCUGAUGGUGUUUGUUGAGUUGGCAUAGAUCAAGAUUAGGAUUUGACACUCCGUGUAUCGGAGAGGUAUCUCUAGGCCCUCUCGGUCAUGCACAUCACAAUGAGCCUUGCAAGCAAUGUGACUAAUGAGUUAGUUACGGGUGUCGGUGUCAAAACCGGCGGAUCUCGGGUAGGGGGUCCCAAACUGUGCGUCUAAGGUCGAUGGUAACAGGAGACAAGGGACAUGAUGUUUACCCAGGUUCGGGCCCUCUCUACGGAGGUAAUACCCUACGUCCUGCUUGAUUGAUAUUGAUGAAUACGAGUAUUACAAGAGUUGAUCUACCUCGAGAUCGUAAUGGCUAAACCCUAGAGGUCUAGCUUGUAUGGCUAUGAUGAUGAAUUAUCCCCCUCUCCGGACUAAGUCCCCCGGUUUAUAUAAACACAAGGAGGAUCUAGUGUUACACAAGGUCGGUUAAAAAGAAAGGAAUCUACAUAUCCGGUCGCCAAGCUUGCCUUCCACGCCAAGGAGAGUCCCAUCCGGACACAGGUGCAGUCUUCGGUCUUCGUAUCUUCACAGCCCAUCAGUCCGGCCCAUGGCUAACAGGCCGGACGCCCGAGGACCCCUUAGUCCAAGAUUCCCUCAGUAGCCCUUGAACCCGGCUUCAAUAACAAGGUAUCCGGCGCAUAGAUCUGUAUUCGGCAUUGCAAGGCGGGUUCCUCCUUCCGAACUCCAAAACAGUCUUCGGACGAAACAAACGUGUCCGGAUCUGCAACACACGGCCGUAGAGAGUAUAGUAUUUCACGAAUCCAAUCUGCUGGCAACUUUAGUAAUGUGACGUCACGCUUCCCGGUCAUUAUUUUGAUCCGUUUCCCGUCUCGCCGUUCCAUGUUUUGGGGCGUGGUUUUUAUUGGCAUGUCUUGUUGAAGUAGAGAUCGUGUCCCCUUAUUGAGGGAUUUUCAUCAAUACGAGCGUGGGUAACCCAACCGUCCCACAGGAAAGAUUCCUUAGGAAUAGGCAGGUUUUUAGGCUUAGGAGGAGGCGUUCAAUACCCGCUGCCUUUAUAAAGGAACCAAGGGCCGUCUUUUUAUGCCAAACCUCUCCUCAGCCUUCCCAACCUCGAGUUCUAGCACCCAAGGUUCGACUUCAUUGCUUCAAGCCUCCCCAUCAUGGCCGAACCCAGAUCUCAAGGUUGAUGGGUGGCUUCCUCCGUUACAAAGGUGGAUAUUGCAAAGCUUCGUGUGACCAGAUAUUUGACCGCAGAGGUCCACCACAGGCUUCCUACUCAAGGACAGGUUAUUCCGACCCCCAGAUCUGGCGAGAGGGUCGUAUUCAUCUCCCACUUCCUCCGGGGGCUAGGGUUCGCUCUUCACCCCUUCGUCCGGGGACUAAUGUUUUAUUACGGACUAGAUUUUCAUGAUCUAGCCCCGGACUCUAUCCUCCAUGUCUCGAUGUUUAUCAUUACAUGCGAGGCCUUCCUCUGAAUCCCCCCACACUUCGGCUUAUGGCUCAAGACCUUCAGUGUGAAGCCGAAGGUAGUUGACGAGGAACAGGUGGAGUGCGGUGGUGCUGUAGUGAGCAAGGUUACCAACACUCUCUAGCCAAAAGGCUCUUUCACCGAAGCCUCCCACCAAUGGCAGCGAGAAUGGUUUUAUGUCACGGAACCCCAUAGCACCAAGUGGGCAGCUAUUCCUACGUUCCGUUCCGGCCCUCCGCCACAGCUUGCAUCAUGGAUUAACAAGGGGCUGGACUGGGGAUCAGUUGAUGAAGUGCAUACUCUACAGAGCCGCAUUCGAACCCUCCUUGAGAGAGACAUCAAUCUUGGCAACAUGAUUCAAGUGAUGCUAGUUCGCCGAAUCCUGUCCUGCCAGCGCAGGCCUCGCCGCAUGUGGGAGCUCAAUACGAAAGGACCACAAACCCUCCAACACUUCUUCGGCACUACGCACGAAGGAAUGUGGAAGUUGUUUUUUUGGGAAGCAAAACAUUGGUCGGAUACUACCGAGGACGCUGGCCUUAAUGGCAACCGUCGGGAUACCCCAGUAAGCACUUGUCUUCCGAACACUUAUGUAAUUACGCAUACCAUAAUAUGGUACUAAGCAUGCUAUCUUCCUCCGGGACUGGAUAAAAAAGGCGGAACUAAUUAUGUGUUCGGCCCCUCUGCCCGAAGGCCUAGCGUAUCCUGUUUUAACAAGGAUGCUAGCCCUAGCACCGUACCAGAUGCGUGUGAAGGAGGGCGAGGUGGAGAGUGGAAAGACCAAAGAUGACCCCUAUUCCAAGGGUACAUCAGGCAUUGUGUCCGGAGGAAUCAAAAUUCCCUCAUUCGAAGACAAGAGUGAAGGGGGGUCCACUGUCUCCUUCCCUCAUGGGAAGAAAAGGGCCGCCUCCGAAGUUUGGGAGGAACAGGCUCCUAAGCGAGGCCAGAUGCCUCUGUUGGGUGGCUCGGGCUUGGAGGAUGCCGAAGCGCAGUCUCAUGACGAGGACAAGCCUCAGGCCAAAUCGUAAGUGAACAAGGAUGUUUUAAACAUGUCCCGUUCUUUUCUUAUGAUGCCUGGCAUAUAUAUUUUUUGUAGUUCGGCACGCAGUCUUCUUCAACAAUCCUCCUCCUCGGGGGACCUUCUCCCAGAAAUGAUGGAAAGCGAGAUGCCUCCACCGGCCUCUCCGCCCAAUAGGGCGGACGACUUCAAGGUGUCGUCGCGGAGGGUCUCCCCUGACGAACAAGUGGUGCAAGGGAUGAUGAAGACAUUACCCGAAGGUAACACCUCGGUGGCCCAGGGUCUGGGGACCAACAAUGAAUGCCCCGAACAGUCCGGUCUGCAGCCGGAUACAAAUGAAUGGAUCCCUUCAAAGGCAGGUCGUACUCCUCCAGUAGCCUCCGGAGACCCAGAGGCGCCGGAUAUAUUGACGAACAUGCUACGACAGGCGUCCGUCUCAGAGGAACAUCGUACCUUGAUGGGCAAGGUGGUCGAAAAGAUCCUAUCCACGAAAAGCAGAUUGGAUGAGGCCUUCGUGGGCCUGCUAAGAGGCUUCGAGGUUUGUGAUGUAAUGUUUUCAACUAUAUUUUAUUUGCAAAGAUGCACCUGUGUAUACGUAGUAGCCCCUGAGACUCGGGUUGGCUUCCCAUGGGAGGUGAACGGAGGAUCAAGAAGAAAUAUUCAAGGACUAAUCUGAUUAACUUGAACACAGGCUGCCUCCCCCUGGCUACUUCCCAAACUACGGAUAUUACCGAGCUGCAACAAAAGCUUGACGUGGCCGGGGAUGACAUUGCAUUAAUCAAUAUGCGUCUUGACGAGGCGCAAGGUAUGUAUUCGGGGCAGUCCCUUCACGUACAUUUUUGUGAAGCAUGACGCUAAAAGUUAUAUACUGGAAUAUGCAUGACUACAGAUGGUGCUGCCGCCAUUGAAAUUCUUCGUGUAACAGCCUGGAUUUUUGCCCUUUUCUUUUUGCAUUGAUUUUCUUGGAUUUCUUGUUUUGUUUUGCUUUUCCGUGGCUAUGUGGUUCUGAAACUUGGGAGGAUCAUGUCUUCCUAGGUUUUAUAGUGGCUUGUUACCCUCUUCAUCAUCCCAAGAUCAUGUCAUUUCCAUCCUUGACCUAACCCAAAAUUCUUUUGUUGGGAAUAUCCCUUUUCUGAUAAAGGAAUAACCCUUAAAACCCUAGGUUGUGAAGCAACCUAUAUUUAUGUCACUCCUAAAAUUCCCAAAUAAUUCUCAUAAAUUGUUUGGGUAGUAUCUUCCUCAAAUAUGGCAAAAUAUUUCAUUGCCAUGUUCAAAAUUAAUCCUCCAAUAAUUCUUUUUCUAUUCUGUCCUAAAUGGCACAUUGUGAAGAAAGAGCUAUUUAUCUUUGCCCAUUUGACCCCAAACUUCUUGGGCAUCUUUUCCUGUCCAAAUAAUUGACCUGUGCCAAAAUUCAACUCAAUUUGCCUAGUAAAUAUUCCUGAGCAAUUUUUCAAAGUUCCUGUCUGAGGGAAGUGAUUGUGAAGGAAGUACAAGCUAGACAUAUCCAAAUGAUUUGAAAUUUUGCAAGGUCCUUCCUAUGGUCAAAUAAUGACUCUCAUCCAAAUAUGAGCUCAUUUAACUCAUCUAUGUGAGCCCACCUCCAAAUCUUAGUUUCUUGAAUCCAUAUAAACUCCCUCCACCAAGGUUUAGCUCAACUAGUUAAUCCAAUUGCCCUAUGAAAUUUUUCCAAGUUUCUGUCCAGAAUGAAGCUUUGUGAAGCAAGUGCCACUUUGGUAUUUCCAAAUGGCAUGAAACUUUUACAGCAGCUUCAUAUCAUAAUAAAACCCCUCCCUGUCAAAUGUCAUCUCAUGACAAUCAAGUAUGUGAGUGUAUCAUCCAAAUCCCUGAUUUUGGCCAGAUUUGCACUUUGUACUGCAACCCCCAUCUAAACUCCUCCUAUUAGUCUAAUUUUUGGUGAUCAGAAUCACCUUAGCAUGUGAUCAUCAUCAGACAAACUAUUUACCACGUUACCAAGCUGGUUUAACCACAGGAAGUUACAAACACCUUCUUACCGAUUUACUUUUGGAACUAAAUGUAAAUCUCUUCUUUGCCCCUAGACCGAUUUAUUUCCUUAUUUUGACUGAGGGCGCCAAGGUCCAUCCACCGGACAUGGUUGGCCACGCCAAACAGCGCCGCUUGCGCUAGUGCGCGUGGUGAUCACGCUUGCGUCAUGGCUGCAGGCGUGCUCUGGCUUGUUCCGGCCACUAUGCUCGUCUCCGCCCUCCUCGUCUCGACCUCAAACCUUGUCUAGGAGCUCGCCCGUGCUCGACUGCAUUGCCCUGCAUCGCUGCCUCGUCGUGGUUCUCCAUUAAUGCUUCGCUGGAGCAGGGCCCGUGCCAUGCCCCGCCUCCGACCUCCAUUAGAGCACUGCUCAUGCUCACUAGCAAUGCUCGAGAAGCCUCCCCGCGGCUAUAUAAGGAGUGCCCGAGGUCCCCCGCUCCUCAUCGCUCCCUCCCUCGCCUCAUUUGCUCUCUGGAAUCGCCUCAUCUCGUCGUUGUUCGCCGUCAUCCACCAUGGCCGCCUCGGCCUCGGCUUGGUUCCGACCAACCGGAGCCUCCUCUCCUCCUCCUCCUACCAUGUCCAUUGACUCCGCCUCGUCCCACUGAGCCUCCCCACCCCACCUGUUCAUCGCCGGAGCCCCUCUGGCCGCGCCUCCCGGAGCUUGGCCGUCCCCGUUGCUCUCAGCCACCACCCCGACCGAGCCCAUCCGGUGCUCCCCUCUCCCUCCCGCCGCCACCAGAGCCUCCACCACUCUCUGGCGAGCUUCCCCAAGCUCUCCACCUUGCCUCUUCGUCGCCGGAGUGCCUCACCUCCAAGAAAAUGGCCGCCGCCAUGACCCUCUAUUCCCUUCCCGCUACGGCCGUUCCGCGCCUCCCCGACACCUGUUAGUUCUGUGAAUGGGUGCGCCUCGACCCCAUGGUCCCGCCGAUGUGCUCGGCUCGGUAGGGGAUCGCCGGAGUCGGCCGACCCCUUGGUCGCGCCUCUCCAUGCCUCCGCUCUGUUCCACGAGGGAACAGAGGCACGAGGAGGAAGACGACGCAAGCGCCUGGCCCUUGCCCUGCCGCGUGGGCCCCAGCUGUAAGUGGCUAAGGCCACGGGUCCACGUGGUUAAGUGACAACGUAUUUCCCAGAGUAUAUCUCCUCUUUUCUGAAAGCGUAUUUUGUUUCUACUUCGGCCUGAAGUACAUUUUCUAAGUUAGAAAGCGUAUUUUAUCAAAUCUGUUUCUGCCUUAUUCACUCAGGGACUUCUUUGUGAUGAUAUUCUUACAGAUUAGUCCCUGAUCUUCAGCACCUCAUAACUCCGCAACCGUAACUCCGAUUGAGGUGAAACCAACGCUCACUUCUUUGUAUCGUCGAGCUCUAUCUUUUGGUAACAUUUUCACUAGGUGUUUUCACAGUGAAAAUGACCAUUUUGCCCUUGCCUCUAAUCAGCCCCCUCCGAGAAUGUACUGUCCGACGUUUCGUUCCGCGGCUUCACCGCACUUCUUCCUGGAGUCUCCGUCACCCCCAGGCAAGCCACAAUACCCACUUGCAUGAUAGUCAUGCAGUAGCCAUGGUUUUCAACUUGAAUAUUUAUUAAAUGUUUGCUUGCUUAUAUUAUGGUUAUAAUUGUUUCGGUAAUGCUUAUGGAUUCAUGCUUACUUUCUUGCUAUGUUGUUAUGCAAUUGGUUGUCAUGCCCUACUAGUUGUUAGUACUCCUUCCAUAUGCUUAUGCUUGCUAGUAGUAUAUGUUGACAUUGGUAAUGGUCUUCGGUGCAUGACUGUCGUCUGUCCCGAGUACUGUUGUUAUGCAUGUUCCAGUGCAUCCAGUUGGUUAAAUGCUUGCAUGAUAGCAUUGUUGAUAUGUUCUUGCAUGAUGUUUAUUGUUGAUGCUAGUGGUCAUGUUAUGCUAUGAGUAGUGUUGUACUGGUAAUAUUCAUGCUCUUCAUUAUGCCAUGCUUAGUUGGGGACAAUUCAUUGUUGGUAUGGUGGCUAGUUAUGUUGCACCCGUGCUUAUGUUGAUAUCAUGCUCAUGCAUUGUAAUUGUUUCAUAUUAUUUCAUCAUGGCUCAGCAUAUUUGCAUUCAAGUUUAACCAGAUUAAGUUGAACUUUAACACAUGUUGGCUGAGUCAUGGUGCCACUAUAUCGAACUGACCAGUGCAACCUUGAUUACCUUUAUGGGAAGGUCCUAAUUGGGUCUAUUGUCGUGCCUCUCGCGGGUGCCUCCAACUAGGGAAGGUUAUGGGCGUGCGGUACCCUGGCCCGAUAAGCAGACAUAACCUUGUGUGCCCGUUUUUGUUAUUAUGGAUCCGGUCCCCGUGAGGGAUGUUUUGGCCAUGACGGUGGUCGUUGUGUCUUUGGUAGACACGGGGCCACCCAAGACUAGCCUAGUUGGGAAUGGGCCAGAGUGGCCGGGAGAGUGCCAUGGCAAUAGAUCGGUUUUGUCAUAACAUUGUUGGUCCACCCGAAUGGGACUACGAGGCCAUGGGUUCCAUAGUGUGGGUACAGUGUACUAACCUCUGUAGAGUGUAUAUUAAAUCUAUCGAUAGCCGCGCCCGCGGAUAAGGGCCCAGUUCGUAGUUGGUCACACUAUGAGUCAACAGUAGUAAUAAUAAUGUGCUAAAUAACAACCCCGGUUCGAGGAUGAGAUAAGUUGGUUGUGAUCGCCGGAAGGAUCACGGUUUGAGACCAGGUGUUGGUCGUGGUUGUGGUCGCCGGAAUGAUCAUCGUGGUAUCGAGGAUACCGAGUUGUUGGAUAUUCGUGAUGUUUUGCGAGAAUCGUGGGUAAAGAUCAAGCUCCUUGUGGUCAUUUGAUGAUUACUAUGGUAUUGUUUAUACCAAGAUUGAUUGGAUCCCGAGAUGAUCGUGUAAUGUCCAAAGUUGGUAAUUGAUGCAUGUGAUGGUUACGAGGUAACCCGAGUAGAAUAAAUGGUGCAUGUAGUGUCAUCAUGUUGCAUGCUAGUAUCAUCAGAUUUAUAUGUUCAUGGCAUGAUCAUAUUGUUCUAGCGAUAUUAUAUUCUUGUUGUUCAUGCCAUGUUAUUCUGAUGAUCUCAUGAUAAUUCCUGCUUAACAUGUAAUUGCCAUGCUGUUGUUUGUCUUGAAUGCUUCUGGUUAUUGUGAGCUUGCAAGUACAUUCAAUGUACUGACCUGGCAUGUCAUGCCAGCUUGCAGGUCAUGCCUGGAUUUCUUGCUUGUUUGGUGUUGUUCCUGUGUGCGCGAGCUAGGAUAAAUGUUCCAGCCAGAGUCCCUGCGGAUUGGAGUCCAUCAUCGCCAUUCGUUGUUCCGCUGCCAGUAGUUGUUCCGCUGCUUGUAUAGAGCAACCGUGGUUGUCAUAGUGUCGCCGUACCGAUGUUAUUCAUUGUAAUAUUGGAACACUUGUAUUCAUAUUCGUGUUGUAAUAUAGAGCUGGUUUGUUCUAUACUAAGCAGUGUCGUAUUCCAGAAGGCUUCACCUCAAUCUCUAGGAUGGAAUACGGGGCGUUCCGGUUUUCUCUGAGCCGUGGUGCCACACUUCGGGAUGAGCUGGCCCGGGCCAAGGAGCAGGCCCGGUUUAGUGAUGUAGCUGCCGAAAAGGCAUCAACUGAGUUAAAAUCCGAACAAGCUGCUCGGCGCCAAGACGAGGAGAAGAUAUCCAUGAUGGUGCUCGAACUGAAAAAUGCCGCUAGCCGUUGUGAACUUCUUGAGAAGGAAAAUGAAGCCAAAACGGCUGAACUUGAAAAGGGCCUUAUGAGAGGCAAGAGAAGCGUGGUCUGAAUCCAGAGCAGCCCGUGAGGAGAUCCGGCAAGCUGCGGAGACUGCGGCUGGUAAGCCCUUUUUAUUACAGACUAAGUUCGGUGAUCCGAAUUAUGCUCAGCUUAACCAAGUAUGGAGUUCUCCAGACGUGUUUUUGGACCUGCCGAGGAGUUCAUCCGAUGCAACGCAGAUUUACCAAGCGCAAGAGGGGUAUGCAACGGAGAAGCUUUUCUGGUCACGGUUCGGCGUAUCAAAACGCCCUCUGCUGCUGAAUGAACAGAUGUCCCAAUGGGCCGAGCUUCAUAGGAUGUCUGGUGCUGCCAUGAAGAACGUCAUACUUCAGCUGUGGCCAACUGAGCCGAUUUUGAAUAGCUAUUUUGGCUUGGUGCGGCGGCUUGCUGAUGCGGUGCCAUGUAUCGACGCCGUGAAGCGGUCGGCGUGCAUUGAAGGUGCACGGAUGUCCUUUGCCCGAGUCAAGACAUACUGGGGGAAGAUGAAGGCCGUCGAUGUUGCAACGCAGGGUCCACCUAAGGGCAAGGACCAUCAUGCACUGGAGUAUUACUUUGAGGACGUCUUAGAGGCUACCCGCUUGAUAGAGGGACAAUGUUCGAAAGGCAUAAUAUUCGAGUGAAUUCUUUACGGAAAAGACAAUUGUCGUAAUCAGUCUAUAUUUUUUAUUUUGCCUAAAGGCUUUUGUUCCUCCCAUGCGGCCGUUUGUAUAUGAUCUAAAAGUUUUCCAAUCAUCGGCUUCAGCCCCCUCGUAGGAAGUACGGGGUUGUUCGAAAAAGCAUCUGAUCACUCUUGCGGCGAACCAGGCAACCAGACUAUAGGGCGUUAACACUUUCACUUAACCAUAGGAGUUUUAUGGUGGGUCUAUGACAUAGCCCCUGGUAUGUAUGCAACUUAUUCAUACGAUGCGUUUACAUAUUUGACCGGAAAGAGGUCCUUCGUGUGACACGGAGGAAUCGCUAAAGAUUCUGAUAAGUCAUCAAGUGGUUGACCAGCUCUUGCCGCAUCAUGACAGUCAGUUUUUAGCUUUCUCUACUGAGGUGCUUAACUAGGUGAACCGGAAGCACAAUCGCAGUAGCUCUCCCUUUACUACCCUAGCCGAUAGAGAGGAAUGUAGGAUAGCAAGCACAGGAGCUAGGCAACCCAACUAUUGACCCAAGACAUGAUUCGGAGCUGAUGCAUAUAAGGCCAAACUCGCGACGCCGAAGUACGCUAUAGAGUUGUUCAGACUUGUCGGCAACUCGCUUGUUCCCAUACCGAGCCCCUGGCAAGUUAUGCCGAGGUGUAUGUUUGAAACAACCGUAGGGGCAAAACUCGGUCCUUUAGAAAAGAAUGGAUUAUUUUUACUUAGAUCUUGAGUGAUGUGCCAAUCAUGUAUAUACAUAAAAAAUCCGCAACCCCGGCUAUUUAAUAUGCCAGGGGUCGAAGGAGGAGGAGAAAGCACUUUACAGGCUCGAAAUAGAGAGUGCGGUCUACAAAAAGUAAUUUUGGACCUCCUGUCGCAUGUCUGCGCCGCCUGUCCUCGGUGAAGGGACUCCUUAAUGGGAAUAGCCCCUUAGGUGGAUCCAAACUCCGAUGGAGUCAGUUUAUAUGUUUGUCCUUUGCGUCACCUGUUUUUAAGAGAAAAGAAAGAAAAAGGAAAGUAGAUAAAAAAUGUUACUGGAAUGCUUGCAGGCUUCUCCAUAUUGUGCUUCCGCCAAUGCCCAUGGUAUCUUGAGUGCGUAGUGAUGUAUGCGCGGUACAAAUUUUAUGGGUAUAUGAAGUGGGCAGCGAAAGCCGAACUGCUAUUUCUGCUCCGUGAUUGAUCGAUCCUUGGGGGGAAAUUGCUUCUGACCCCUGGUAUUUGGUUGGUGAACCCUUCUGUCGUCCCUAUCGCCUGGCAGCCCCCCUCCCCUUGUGUUCGGCGUUGAGCUUGCCAGCCUGCUUGAAGACCCAACAGCUUCUGUUGGUAUGAUUAGCCGGUUUAUCAGGGUGUCCGUGAAUCUAGCAUGGUCGGUCCAAUAUCAUGUCUAGGUUGGAUGGUCCAUCUCGGUUCGCCUUGAAUGGCUUUUUUUCGUUGACCGAGUUUGGGAUUGCUAAAUCCGGCAUUGACCGUUGUGUCACGUGAUCUGUCAUUAUCAUUGCGGCUGUUGUGUUUGCUUUGUCGUGGCUUGCCAUUGCCGUCUCGGAUUUCGAAGGUCCCCAGUCGCUGGUGCUGUUGCUUCUACGAGCGAGCCAGCUGUCUUCUCCCGUGCAAAAGUGAGUCAUUAGAGCGGUAAGGGCUGUCAUGGAUUUAGGUCCUUCUUGACCGAGGUGGCAUGCAAGCCAUUCAUCCCGGACGCUGUGUUUGAAGGCCGCAAGGGCUUCCGCGUCCGGAGAGUUGACGAUUUGGUUCUUUUUAACUAAGAACCUAGUCCAGAGCUUCCUGGCCAACUCUCCGGGCUGCUGGACAAUGUGACUUAAGUCAUCGGCGUCCGAUGGCCGGACAUAUGUUCCUCGGAAGUUGUCGUGAAAUGCGUCCUCCAAAUCUUCCUAGCUGCCAACAGAAUUUUCCGGCAGACUGUUUAACCAGUGCCGAGCUGGUCCUUUGAGUUUUAGUGGUAGGUAUUUGAUGGCAUGAAGGUCAUCUCCAUGGGCCAUGUGGAUAUGGAGGAGGAAGUCCUCGAUCCAUACUGUGGGAUCCGUUGUUCCGUCGUAUGAUUCGAUAUUCAUGGGUUUGAACCCGUCUGGGAAUUCAUGCUCCAUUACUUCGUCUGGGAAGCAAAGUGGGUGUGCGGCGCCUGUAUGUUGGGCCACACUGCAACGUACCUCUGAUGGAGUCCGUUUGUGGUUGUCGGCCCGGGCGUGGCUAGGUUUGUCACGUCCGAAUAGGUAGCCGUCGCCGCAUGUCGAGGCACGUCCUCGUGAUCCAUAGAUUGAUCUGGUAUGCCCCGCUCUGUUGUUCCGGUCCUGCUGGAGGUCAUAUUUGUGACCGAGAGUUAUUUUAUCUUUGCCUUUAUAAUGAGGCGGGGUGGGCUAGUGUUCGGCUUGAGUUGCCGCUUUAUCCCGACCACGUGGUAUUCUGUCAGCCCCAUUGUGUGAUGGUGGUAUGAGCUCUAGCGCCUCAUCGUCAAACUGAGGUAGUAAUUUGUACUUCGGGUAACUUUUGGCUGGGCGCUUAGGGCCGUAUUCUUCGACUGCUAGGACAUCAGCCAUCUAUCAUUUAGCAGAUCUUGAUCAGCUUGAAGUUGCAGCAGCUUCUUUUUCAGGCUUCUUGAAGUGGCUUAUUAGCUGGCGCUUGAAGCUCUCCUGCUCGAGGGGUUCCUCAGGCACAAUGAAAUCCUCGUCGCCGAGGCUCUCCUCAUCCUCGAAGAGCGGAAGAUAAUUACUGUCCUCCGAGUCUUCGUGUAUGGCCUGUUCAUCAGAGUUAUCGUGCCCGUCCUCCCAUUCAUUCCAUUCGGACGUUGCCCCAACAGGGUCUUCAUUGUCUUCGGCAUCGUCCGGAGUAUUAUUUUCUCUGGUGCCGGUGUUGUUGUCUUUUGCACGGCGUGACGUAGAGUGGCGCCGCUGACGCCGAUGUCUAGGCUGUGUCCCAGGAGGUUUAUCCUUAACUGGAUUUUCUUUCUCAUCAUCAUGAGGUUCUUUAGGUGUAUCCACCAUGAAUAUGUUGUACAAAGAAGUGGUCGCCCGGCAUCCGAUAACUGGCGGGUUUUGGCCGUGUUCCUCCUCCGCAUCAUCCUCCAUACCGUCGAUGUCUUUGGAGCCAUAAUCGAGCAGGUCGAUUAAGUCGUCGACAGUGGCUAUGAAGUGGGUGGCGGGUGGGUAGCGAAAUUCUCCAUCGUUAGCCCCUAGUUCGUACCGGAUAUAGUUCGGUUGCGGGUCCUUCGCCAGGGACAGGUUUUUUAAUGAGUUUAGCAUGUCGCCCAAAGGCGAGUGCUGGAAGAUGUCUGCGGCGCUGAACUCGAAGAUCGAUAAACGAUCAAGUUCGGCCUCCGCGAGCUCACGUGGCUCGGAACUUACGACCGGAGACGAGUACGGAGAUCCGGUGACAAAGACGUCAUGAGAGGUUAAGUCUAUGUGCGGCUCCAACGCCGUGGAAUCUGUGGCCUUCGUGGUGGGGUUGAUCUUCCCGCCCUCAGAUGGCAUAGUCUGCUCCGACUCUAAGGCCAGAGCGGUUACAGGGGCGAUCUCCUGGAUGCGGUCUGAUGACAGAUUUAGGUCGAUCAUCGGGGUGACCGGGGGUGACCGGGGGUGGCAGCCGCGGUCUUGAAUCCGGCGAAGAUCAAGUCUCCACGGAUGUCCGCAACAUAGUUCAAGCUCCCAAAUUUGACCUGAUGGCCAGAGGCGUAGCUUUCGAUCUACUCCAGAUGGCCAAGCAAAUUGGCCCACAAUGUGAAGCCGCUGAACAUAAAGAUUUGUCCGGGGAGGAAAGUUUCUCCUUGGACAGCGUCAUUAUUGACGAUUGAAGGGGCCAUCAAACCUUUUGGCGACAUCACAGUGGAACUCUUAAUGAAAGCACCAAUGUCGGUGUCAAAACCGGCGGAUCUCGGGCAGGGGACCCCGAACUAUGCGUCUAGGAUCAAUGGUAACACGAGACAAGGGACACGAUGUUUACCCAGGUUCGGGCCCUCUCUACGAAGGUAAUACCCUACGUCCUGCUUGAUUGAUAUUGAUGAAUAUGAGUAUUACAGCAGUUGAUCUACCUCGAGAUCGUAAUGGCUAAACCCUAGAGGUCUAGCUUGUAUGGCUAUGAUGAUGAAUUCUCCCCCUCUCCGGACUAAGUCCUCCAGUUUACAUAAACACCAGCAAGAUCUAGGGUUACACAAGGUCUGUUACAAAGAAAGGAAUCUACAUAUCCGGUCACCAAGCUUGCCUUCCACAUCAAGGAGAGUCCCAUCCGGACACGGGUGCAGUCUUCGGUCUUCAUAUCUUCACAGCCCAUCAGUCCGGCCCAUGGCUAACAGGCCGGACACCCGAGGUCCCCUUAGUCUAGGACUCCCUCAACGGGAUGAUGCAUUACGAAAUGAGUAAAGAGACUUGCCGGUAAUGAGAUUGAACUAGGUAUGAUGAUAUCAACGAUCGAAUCUCGGGCAAGUAACAUACCGAUGACAAAGGGAACAACGUAUGUUGUUGUGCGGUUUGACCGAUAAAGAUCUUCGUAGAAUAUGUAGGAACCAAUAUGAGAAUCCAGGUUCCGCUAUUGGUUAUUGACCGGAGAUGAGUCUUGUUCAUGUCUACAUAGUUCUCGAACCCGUAGGGUCUGCACGCUUAACGUUCGAUGACGAUAUGUAUUAUGAGUUAUGUGAUUUGAUGUACCGAAGGUUGUUCGGAGUCCCGGAUGAGAUCACAGACAUGACGAGGAGUCUCAAAAUGGUCAAUACAUAAAGAUUCAUAUAUUGGAAGGUUACAUUCGGACACCAGAAUGGUUCGGGUCGUUUCGGAUAAGUUUCGGAGUACCGGGGGUUACCGGAACCCCCUUCGGGAAGUUAUUGGGGCUUAUGGGCCUAGUGGUGGAAGAGAGGAGGCAGGCCAAGAGGUGGCGCGCGCCCCCCUAGUCCAAACCGAAUUGGGCAAGGGCUAGGGGGCCCGGCCCCCUUUCCUUCUCUUCUUCCUCUCCUUCCUUCUUCUCCUACUUGGACUAGAAAAGGGGGAAACCUACUCCUACUAGUAGUUGGAAUCCCCCUCCUUGGGCGCGCCCCUUGAGGCCGGCCCUCCUCCUCCUCCCUCCUUUAUAUAUGGGGGAGGGGGCACCCCAUAGACACACAAGUUGAUCUUUAGCCGUGUGCGGUGCCCCCUCCACAGUUUUCCACCUCGGUCAUAUUGUCAUAGUGCUUAGGCGAAGCCAUGCGUCGGUAACUUCAUCAUCACCGUCAACACGCUGUCGUGCUGACGGAACUCACCCUCGGCCUCUGCUGGAUCAAGAGUACGAGGGACUUCACCGAGCUGAACGUGUGUAGAUCGCGGAGGUGUCGUGCAUUCGGUACUUGAUCGGUUGGAUCGCGAAGACGUUCGACUACAUCAACCGCGUUACUAAACGCUUCCGCUUUCGGUCUACGAGGGUAUGUAGACACACUCUCCCCUCUCAUUUCUAUGCAUCUCCUAGAUAGAUCUUGCAUGAUCAUAGGAUUUUUUUUUGAAAUAAUACGUUCCCCAACAGUGGCAUCCGAGCCAGGUCUAUGCGUAGAUGUUAUAUGCACGAGUAGAACAAAAAGAGUUGUGGGCGAUAAUAGUCACACUACUUACCAGCAACGUCUUACUUUGAUUCGACGGUAUUGUUGGAUGAAGCGGCCCAGACCGACAUUACAUGACCACGUUCAUGAGACUGGUUCUACCGAUGUGCUUUGCACACAGGUGGCUGGCGGGUGUCUGUUUCUCCAACUUUAGUUGAAUCGAGUUUGACUACGCCCGGUCCUUGUUGAAGGCUAAAAUAGCACACUUGACAAAAAAUCAUUGUGGUUUUGAUACGUAGGUAAGAACGGUUCUUGCUAGAAGACCGUAGCAGCCACGUAAAACUUGCAACAACAAAGUAAAGGACAUCUAACUUGUUUUUGCAGGGUUUGUUGGUCAAGACGUGAUGAUAUAUAAUUUGUUGUAUGAGAUGAUCAUGUUUUGUAACAGUUAUCGGCAACUGGCAGGAGCCAUAUGGUUGUCACUUUAUUGUAUGAAAUGCAAUCGCCAUGUAAUUGCUUUACUUUAUCACUAAGCGGUAGCAAUAGUCGUAGAAGCAAUAGUUGGCGAGAUGACAAUGAUGCUUCAAUGGAGAUUAAGGUGUCAAGCCGGUGACGAUGGUGAUCAUGACGGUGCUUUGGAGAUGGAUAUCAAAGGGACAAGAUGAUGAUGGCCACAUCAUAUCACUUAUUUUGAUUGCAUGUGAUGCUUAUCCUUUAGGCAUCUUAUUUUGCUUAGUACGGCGGUAGCAUUAUAAGAUGAUCUCUCACUAAAUUUCAAGGUAUAAGUGUUCUCCCUGAGUAUGCGCCGUUGCUACAGUUUGUCAUGCCGAGACACCACGUGAUGAUCGGGUGUGAUAAGCUCUACGUUCACAUACAACGGGUGCAAGCCAGUUUUGCACAAGCAGAAUACUCAGGUUAAACUUGACGAGCCUAGCAUAUGCAGAUAUGGCCUCGAAACACUGAGACCGAAAGGUCGAGCAUGAAUCAUAUAGUAGAUAUGAUCAACAUAGUGAUGUUCACCGUUGAAAACUUCUCCAUCUCAUGUGAUGAUCGGACAUGGUUUAGUUGAUAUGGAUCACGUGAUCACUUAGAUUAUUAGAGGGAUGUCUAUCUAAGUGGGAGUUAUUAAGUAAUAUGAUUUAUUGAACUUAAAUUUAUCAUGAACUUAGUCCUGAUAGUAUUUGCAUAUCUAUGUUGUAGAUCAAUUGCUCGCGCAUAGCUUCCCCGUUUUAUUUAUGAUAUGUUCCUAGAGAAAACUAUGUUGAAAGAUGUUAGUAGCAAUGAUGCGGACUAGCUCCGUGAUAUGAGGAUUAUCCUCAUUGCUGCACAGAAGAAUUAUGUCCUUGAUGCACCGCUAGGUGACAGAUCUAUUGCAGGAGCAGAUGCAGACGUUAUGAACGUUUGGCAAGCUCGGUAUGAUGACUACUUGAUAGUUUAGUGUGCCAUGAUUUACGGCUUAGAACCGGGACUUCAAAAACGUUUUGAAACGCCAUAGAGCAUAUAAGAUGUUCCAAGAGCUGAAAUUGGUAUUUCAGACUAAUGCCCGAGUCAAGAGGUAUGAGACCUCUGACAAAGUACUUUGCCUACAAGAUGGAGGAGAAUGGCUCAGCUAGUAAGCAUGUGCUUAGAAUGUCUGAGUACUACAAUCACUUGAAUCAACUGGGAGUUAAUCUUCCAGAUAAAAUAGUGGUUGACUGAGUUCUCUGGUCACUAUCACCAAGUUACUAGAACUCCAUGAUGAACUAUAAUAUGCAAGGGAUAGCGAAAACGAUUCCCAAGCUCUUCGCGAUGCUGAAAUUGGCGAAGGUAGAAAUCAAGAAAAGCAUCAAGUGUUGAUUGUUGACAAUACCACUGCUACCUCUUGAGCACUGCGUUGGUUUUCCCUUGAAGAGGAAAGGGUGAUGCAGUAAAGCAGCAAAAGUAUUUCCCUUAGUUUUUGAGAACCAAGGUAUCAAUCCAGUAGGAGACCACGCGCGAGUCACCUCGUACCUAAACAAACAAAAAAGAACCUCGCAACCAAUGCGAUAAAGGGGUUGUCAAUCCCUUCAUGGCCACUUGCAAGAGUGCGAUCUGAUAGAGAUGAUAAUAAUAAGAUAAAUAUUUUUGAUAUUUUUAUGAUAUAGAUCGAAAGUAAAAGAUAGCAAAAUAAAGUAGAUUGGAAACUUGUAUGAUGGAAAAUAGACCCGGGGGCCAUAGGUUUCACUAGUGGCUUCUCUCAGGAUUGCAUAAGUAUUAUGGUGGGUAAACAAAUUACUGUCGAGCAAUUCAUAGAAAAGCGAAUAAUUAUGAGAAUAUCUAGGCAUGAUCAUGUAUAUAGGCAUCACGUCCGAGACAAGUAGACCGAAACGAUUCUGCAUCUACUACUAUUACUCCACACAUCGACCGCUAUCCAGCAUGCAUCUAGAGUAUUAAGUUCAUAAGAACAGAGUAACACCUUAAGCAAGAUGACAUGAUAUAGAGGGAUAAACUCAUGCAAUAUGAUAUAAACCCCAUCUUUUUAUCCUCGAUGGAAAUAAUACAAUAUGUGUCGUUUCCCUUUCUCUCACUGGGAUCGAGCACCGUAAGAUUGAACCCAAAGUUAAGCACUUCUCCCAUUGCAAGAAAGGUCAAUCUAGUAGGCCAAACCAAACUGAUAAUUCGAAGAGACUUGCAAAGAUAAACCAAUCAUACAUAAAAGAAUUCAGAGAAGAUUCAAAUAUUGUUCGUAGAUAAACUUGAUAAUAAACCCACAAUUCAUCGGAUCUCGACAAACACACCGCAAAACAAGAUUACAUCGAAUAGAUCUCCAAGAGAAUCGAGGAGAUCUUUGUAUUGAGAUCCAAAGAGAGAGAAGAAGCCAUCUAGAUACUAGCUAUGGACCCGAAGGUCUAAAGUAAACUACUCACACAUCAUCAGAGAGGCCAUGGAGUUGAUGUAGAGGCCCUCCGUGAUCAAUGCCCCCUCUGGCGGAGCUCUAAAAAAGGCCCCAAGAUGGGAUCUCUUGGGUACAGAAGGUUGCGGCGGUGGAAUUAGGUUUUCGUGGUGCUCCUAGUUGUUUGCGGGGUAUGUGGAUAUAUAUAUAGGGGAAGAAGUAGGUCGGUGGAGCAACAGGGCCCAUGAGGGUGGAGGGCACGCCCAGGGGGUGUGGGCGCCCCCCUGCCUCGUGGCCUCCUCGAUUGAUUAUUGACGUCCACUCCAAGUCUCUCGGAUCACGUUUGUUCCAAAAAUAACGCUCCCAAAGGUUUCAUUCCGUUUGGACUCUGUUUGAUAUUCCUUUUUGGCGAAACCCUAAAAUAGGCAAAAACAGUAAUUUGGGCUGGGCCUCCGGUUAAUAGGUUAGUCCCAGAAAUAAUAUAAAAGUGUAAAAAUAAGCCCAUUAACAUCCAAAAUAGAUGAUAUAAUAGCAUGGAGCAAUCAAAAAUUAUAGAUACGUUGGAGACGUAUCAGCAUCCCCAAGCUUAAUUCUUGCUCGUCCUCGAGUAGGUAAAUGAUAAAAACAGAAUUUUUUAUGUGGAAUGCUUCCUAACAUAUUUCUCAAUGGAAUUUUUCUUUAUUGUGGCAUGAAUGUUCAGAUCGGAAAGAUUCAAGAUAAAAGUUUAAUAUUGACAUAGAAAUAAUAAUACUUCAAGCAUACUAACUAAGCAAUCAUGUCCUCUCAAAAUAAUAUGGCCAAGGAAAGUUAUCCCUACAAAAUCAUAUAGUCUGGCUAUGCUCUAUCUUCAUCACACAAAAUAUUAAAUCAUGCACAACCCUGAUGACAAGCCAAGCAAUUGUUUCAUACUAUUGAUGUUCUCAAACUUUUUCAAUCUUCACGCAAUAUAUGAGCGUGAGCCAUGGAUGUAACACUAUGGUGGAAUAGAAUGGUGGUUGUGGAGAAGACAAAAAGGAGAAAAUAGUCUCACAUCAACUAGGCGUAUCAACGGGCUAUGGAGAUGCCCAUUAAUAGAUAUCAAUUUGAGUGAGUAGGGAUUGCCAUGCAACGGAUGCACUAGAGCUAUAAGUGUAUGAAAGCUCAACAAAAGAAACUAAGUGGGUGUGCAUCCAACUUGCUUGCUCAUGAAGACCUAGGGCAAUUUGAGGAAGCCCAUCAUUGGAAUAUACAAGCCAAGUUCUAUAAUGUAAAAUUCCCACUAGUUUAUGAAAGUGACAACAUAAGAGACUCUCUAUCAUGAAGAUCAUGGUGCUACUUUGAAGCACAAGUGUGGAAAAAGGAUAGUAACAUUGCCCCUUCUCUCUUUUUCUCUCAUUUCUUUUUUUCUUUUUCUUUUUCUUUUUUGGCCUCUUUUUUUCGUUCGGAGUCUCAUCCCGACUUGUGGGGGAAUCAUAGUCUCCAUCAUCCUUUCCUCACUGGGACAAUGCUCUAAUAAUGAUGAUCAUCACACUUCUUUUUACUUACAACUCAAGAAUUACAACUCAAUACUUAGAACAAAAUAUGACUCUAUGUGAAUGCCUCCGGCGGUGUACCGGGAUAUGCAAUGAAUCAAGAGUGACAUGUAUGAAAAAUAAUGCAUGGUGGCUUUGCCACAAAUUCGAUGUCAACUACAAGAUCAUGCAAUGGCAAUAUGACAAAAGUAAAGCAUGUCAUGAUGAUGAUGAUGAUGAUGAUGAUGAUGGAAGUUGCAUGGCAAUAUAUCUCGGAAUGGCUAUGGAGGCUUCUGGCGGCGGAACUCCCGAUCUAUGUUGCAUUCUGGAAGUUUUAGGGUAUAUGGAGUUAUAUAGGAAGAAGAAGCACGUCAGGGGAGCCAUGAGGGCCCCACGAGGCAGGGGGCGAGCCCUAGGGGGGUGGGCGCGCCCCCCACCCUCGUGGGAAGCUCCCGUAUCUUCUGACGUGGGGUACAAGUCCAUCAGGUGUGUUUCAUUCCAAAAAUAACUUCUCCAGUUGAUUUCGUUCCGUUUCGACUCCGUCUGAUAUUCCUUUUCUUCAAAACGCAGAAAUAGGCAUAAAACAGCAGAUCUGGGCUGGGCCUCCGGUUAAUAGGUUAAUCCCAAAAGUAAUAUAAAAGUGGAAAAUAAAGCCCAAUAUUGCCCAAAACAGUAGAUAAUAUAGCAUGGAGCAAUCAAAAAUUAUAGAUACGUUGGAGACGUAUCAAGCAUCCUCAAGCUUAAUUCCUGCUCGUCCUCGAGUAGGUAAAUGAUAAAAGAAAGAAUUUUUGAUGUGGAAUGCUAGUUGGCAUAAUUUCGAGGUAAUUCUUCUUAAUUGUGGCAUGAAUAUUCAGAUCCAUAAGAUUCAAGACAAAAGUUCAUAUUGACAUAAAAAUAAUAAUACUUCAAGCAUACUAACAAAGCAAUUAUGUCUUCUCAAAAUAACAUGGCCAAAGAAAGCUAUCCCUACAAAAUAAUAUAGUCUGGCUAUGCUACAUCUUCACCACACAACAUAUUUAAAUCAUGCACAACCCCGAUGACAAGCCAAGUAAUUGUUUCAUACUUUUGAUGUUCUCAAACUUUUUCAAUCUUCACGCAAUACAUGAGCGUGAGCCAUGGACAUAGCACUAUAGGUGGAAUAGAAUGGUGGUUGUGGAGAAGACAAAAAGGGAGAAGAUAGUCUCACAUCGACUAGGCGUAUCAAUGGGCUAGGAGAUGCCCAUCAAUCGAUAUCAAUGUGAGUGAGUAGGGAUUGCCGUGCAACGGAUGCACUAGAGCUAUAAAUGUAUGAAAGCUCAACAAAAGAAACUAGUGGGUGUGCAUCCAACUCGCUUGCUCACGAAGACCUAGGGCAUUUUGAGGAAGCCCAUCAUUGGAAUAUACAAGCCAAGUUCUAUAAUGAAAGAUUCCCACUAGUAUAUGAAAGUGACAACAUAGGAGACUCUCUAUUAUGAAGAUCAUGGUGCUACUUUGAAGCACAAGUGUGGAAAAGGGAUAGUAGCAUUGCCCCCUUUUUUAUUUGGCCUUCCUUUUUUUAUUUGGCCUUCCCCCUUUUUUUAUUUGGCCUUCCCUUUUUUAUAUGGCCUUUCUUUUUUAUUUGGCCCCUUUUUUUAUUUGGGACAAUGCUCUAUUAAUGAUGAUCAUCACACUUCUAUUUAUUUACAACUCAAUGAUUACAACUCGAUACUAGAACAAAGUAUGACUCUAUAUGAAUGCCUUCGGCGGUGUACCGGGAUGUGCGAUGAUGCAUGAGUGAUAUGUAUGAAAGAAUUAUGAACGGUGGCUUUGCCACAAAUACGAUGUCAACUACAUGAUCAUGCAAAGCAAUAUGACAAUGAUGAAGCAUGUCAUAGCAAACGGAACGGUGGAAAGUUGCAAGGAAAUAUAUCUCGGAAUGGCUAUGGGAAUGCCAUAAUAGGUAGGUAUGGUGGCUGUUUUGAGGAAGAUAUAUGGUGGGUUUAUGGUACCGACGAAAGUUGCGCGGUACUAGAGAGGCUAGCAAUGGCGGAAGGGUGAGAGUGCGUAUAAUCCAUGGACUCAACAUUAGUCAUAAAGAACUCACAUACUUAUUGCAAAAACCUAUUAGUUAUCGAAACGAAGUACUACAUGCAUGCUCCUAGGGGGAUAGAUUGGUAGGAAAAGACAAUCGCUCAUCCCCGACCGCCACUCAUACGGAAGGCAAUCAAUAAAUAAAGCAUGCUCCGACUUCAUCACAUAACGGUUCACCAUACGUGCAUGCUAUGGGAAUCACAAACUUCAACACAAGUAUUUCUCAAAUUCACAACUACUCAACUAGCAUGACUCUAAUAUCACCAUCUCCAUAUCUCAAAACAAUCAUCAAGUAUCAAACUUCUCUUAGUAUUCAAUGCACUUAUAUGAAAGUUUUUAUUAUGCCUAAAAGCAAAUUGCCAUGUUGUUCUAAAGGACUCUCAAAAUAAUAUAAGUGAAGCAUGAGAGAUCAAUUAUUUCUAUAAAAUAGAACCACCACCGUGCUUUAAAUGAUAUAAGUGAAGUACUAGAGCAAAAACUAUAUAGCUCAAAAGAUAUAAGUGGAGCACAUAGAGUAUUCUAAUAAAUUCUAAUUCAUGUGUGUCUCUCUCAAAAGGUGUGUACAGCAAGGAUGAUUGUGGUAAACUAAAAAGCAAAGAAUCAAAUCAUACAAGACGCUUGAGGGAGUCCUGGAUUAGGGGGUCUCCGGACAGCCGGACUAUAUCCUUUGGCCGGACUGUUGGACUAUAAAGAUACGAGAUUGAAGACUUCGUCCCGUGUCCGGAUGGGACUCUACUUGGCGUGGACGGCAAGCUAGGCAAUACGGAUAUGUAUAUCUCCCCCUUUGUAACCGACCUUGUGUAACCCUAGCCCCUCCAGUGCCUAUAUAAACCGGAGGGUUUUAGUCCAUAGGACGACAUACAAUCAUACCAUAGGCUAGCUUCUAGGGUUUAGCCUCUUUGAUCUCGUGGUAGAUCAACUCUUGUAAUACUCAUAUCAUCAAGAACAAUCAAGCAGGACAUAGGGUAUUAUCUCCAUCAAGAGGGCCCGAACCUAGGUAAACAUCAUGUCCCCUGCCUCCUGUUACCAUCCUCCUUAGACGCAUAGUUCGGGACCCCCUACCCGAGAUCCGCCAGUUUUGACACCGACAUUGGUGCUUUCAUUGAGAGUUCCACUGUGUCAUCACCAUAAGGCUUGAUGGCUCCUUCGAUCAUUGCUUGCGAUGUGGUCCAGGGUGAGGCUUUCCUCCCCGGACAGAUCUUCGUAUUUGGCGGCUUCGCACUGCAGGCCAAUUCGCUUGGCCAUCUGGAGCAGAUCAAGAGCUACGCCCCUAGCCAUGAGGUCAGAUUGGGAAACUUGAAUUACACAGGCCGACAUCCGCGGAGACUUGAUCUUCGAUGGAUUCGAGCCCAUGUCGGAUGCGCCGCACAGUCGCGACGAGCAUGACGUAACUCUGCCGUCGGACAAUGUUCGGGAGAUCGCAUCCGCAAUUACUCCGGCCAUCAAUCCGGACCAAGUCGCGCCAUUCGAGAGCGGAGGGAUGGACCCCGCCAUGGAGGCCACACUCUCAGUGGCGAUAGAGCUGGAUACUGACUUCACCCCUUACAAGAGCCGUGUCGCCGACCCACUGGAUUCAUCUCCGGCCACGGACUCCGAGCCGCUCACAUCCGUGCCCGUCGAGUCCGACUGGGCGCCGAUCAUGGAGUUCACCUCCAUGGAUAUCUUUCAGCACUCACCUUUCGGAGAUGUGCUAAACUCAUUAAGGUCUCUCUCCCUGUCGGGAGAACCUUGUCUGAACUAUGUCCGGCUAGAAUGGGAUGCUGACGACGAAGAAAUUUGCUGCCCACCCACCACCCACUUAGUAGCCACUGUCGACAACUUAACCGACAUGCUCGACUUUGACUCCGAAGACUUCGACGGUAUGGACGAUGAAGCCGGAGACGAACAGGAUCCACCGCCCUCAGGGUGCUGGACCGCCACCUCAUCAUACGAUAUAUACAUGGCGGACACCCCCAAAGAAGCCAAUGGCGAGGAGACAGCGGAGGAUGACCCCUCCAAGAAGCAACCCAAGCGCCGACGUCAGCGGCACCGCUCUAAGUCCCGCCACAGCAAGAGCAGUGAUACCGACACAGGAGAUAAUAACACUCCGGAUAGCGCCGAAGACAACAACAAUCCCCUCCAGCAUGGUCGGGCAACAGAUGGAGAACUGGAGGAGGACAAUUACAUGCCUCUCUCCGAAGACAAGGCGAGCCUCGGCGACGACGAGUUUAUCAUGCCUGAGGACCCCGUCGAGCAAGAGCGCUUCAAGCGCCGGCUUAUGGCCACGGCAAAAAGCCUGAAGAAAAAACAGCAACAUCUUCAAGCUGAUCAAGACUUGCUAGCAGACAGGUGGACCGAAGUCCUUGCGGCCGAGGAGCAUGACCUCGAGCGCCCGUCCAAGAGUUACCCAAAACGCAGGUUGCUACCUCACCUUGAGGAGGAAGCAUUGAAACCUCAUUCACCAGUGUACGAUGGGGCUGACCGCCACUACGCGGCCGAACCAGAGAGGCGUUUCAGCCUACAGUUCAGACCGCACCCCGUCGCCACUCAUUCAAAAAUACUAAGGCCCGGGGCAACAUAGAGGACCUACGAGACAUCUUGGACAAUAAGGCAAAAAUCACAAGGUAAAUAUAUGGGACACGGGCACGCGCGCCCACACGGGACGAUGAUCGUCGCGCCAGAUACACCAAUAGUAAAUCCGGCCGGGCCGAAUACAGCAGACAAGACUCAUACGAACUACGUCGGGAUAUAGCCCCGCACAGAGGCGCCGCACACCCCCUAUGCUUCACUGAUGAAGUUAUGAAUCAUGAAUUCUCGGAGGGUUUCAAACCCGUAAAUAUCGAAUCAUACGAUGGCACAACAGAUCCUGCUGUAUGGAUUGAGGAUUUCCUCCUUCACAUCCACAUGGCUCGUGGCGAUGAUCUACAUGCCAUCAAGUACCUCCCACUAAAACUCAAAGGACCAGCUCAGCAUUGGCUAAAUAGCUUGCCAGCAGAUUCCGUCGGCAGUUGGGAGGAUCUGGAAGACGCAUUUCUUGACAACUUUCAGGGCACUUAUGUGUGGCCACCGAAUGCUGAUGACUUGAGCCACAUAACCCAACAGCCAGGGGAAUCGGCCAGACAAUUCUGGACACGGUUCCUAACUAAGAAAAAUCAAAUUGUAGACUGUCCGGAUGCAGAGGCCCUAGCGACAUUCAAGCAUAACAUCCGCGACGAGUGGCUCGCCCGCCACCUCGGCCAGGAGAAGCCGAAGUCUAUGGCAGCCCUCACGACACUCAUGACCCGCUUUUGCGCGGGCGAGGACAGUUGGCUGGCUCGCAUCAACAAUACAUCGAGGAAUCUGGAUACCUCGGAUACCAAAGAUGUUAGCGGUAGGCAGCAUCGUAAUAGACCAAAGCGCCGCAAUAACGGCGAUAACACCGAAGAUACGGCAGUCAAUGCCGGAUUGAGAGGCUUUAGAUCCGGUCAGCGGAAAAAGCCAUUUAAACGAAAUACUUCGGCUCUGUCUAGUCUGGAUCGCAUACUGGAUCGCUCAUGUCAAAUCCACGGCACCUCCGACAAGCUAGACAAUCACACCAACAGAGAAUGCUGGGUGUUCAAGCAGGCCGGCAAGUUAAAUGCCGAGAACAAGGACAAGGGGCUGCAUAGCGAUGACGAGGAGGAGCCCCGGCUGCCGAACACAGGAGGAUAGAAGGGGUUUCCCCCUCAAGUGAAAACGGUGAACAUGAUAUACGCAACCCACAUUCCCAGAGGGAGCGGAAGCAUGCACUAAGGGACAUCUAUGCGAUGGAGCCCAUCGCCCCAAAGUUCAACCCAUGGUCUGCUUGCCCGAUCACCUUCGAUCGCAGGGACCACCCCACUAGCAUCCGUCACGGUGGAUCCGCCGCACUGGUCCUAGACCCCAUCAUUGACGGAUUUCACCUCACUCGAGUCCUUAUGGACGGCGGCAGCAGCCUGAACCUGCUUUAUCAGGAUACAGUGCGAAAAAUGGGUAUUGAUCCCUCGAGGAUCAAACCCAGCAAAACCACCUUUAAAGGCGUCAUCCCAGGUGUAGAGGCCCAUCGCACAGGCUCAAUCACACUGGAAGUGGUCUUUGGAUCACCGGAUAACUUCCGAAGCGAAGAUUUAAUCUUCGACAUCGUCUCGUUUCGCAGUGGCUAUCAUGCACUGCUCGGACGGAUAACAUUUGCAAAAUUCAAUGUAGUGCCGCAUUACACAUACCUCAAGCUCAAGAUGCUAGGACCUCGUGGGGUCAUAACAGUAAAUGGAAACACAAAACGCUCGCUCCGUACGGAAGAACACACUGCGGCCCUUACAGCAGAGGCACAAAGUAGCCUGUUCAAGCAGACCACUCAUUCGGGGUCACAGCCCCCGGACACCUUCAAGCGAGUCCGGAACAAGCUGCAAUAGGAUCGCCUAGCACGAUCAGAGCUCGCCUAGCAAUCCGGCCCCCAUCCCAGUCCCAGUGAAGCGACGAAAUCCGUGUCGCGCGUACAUAACUACUCACUGAAAAUACCAUGGACAUAGGCGGGGGCACAAUCAGGACACGCCCCGCAUUGUGGCUUAACCACACUAGGGGUUGUAUACCUUUGACAUUCCUUUUCUCUUUCAGGGCCUAACUCUUUGGAAGCCCUUUCCGGCAGUACGAUUGCCGGACACAUUCCGGAAGCAACAACCAAGGCGGCAAGAAGCUAAGAUGAACACGGGAACCGCCAUGUGGUCUCUAGUAAUACUUGAUAUACCCACUUUUCACUAUUUAUGCGUAGCUUGCCCUGGGAUAGGACAUUUUGAAUUGUCCUACUUUAUGCUUAUUGCACUACUUGUACCAGUACGCUUCGACGUAUUAUUCAAAUAACAAUGCAUAUCAUUAAUCUGUCAUUGCAUUAUUUAAGUCUUUCUCUUUCUCCUAUAUGUCCAUUUACGACAAUCCGCACCCGCACGUUCAGGUACGGUCAGUACGCCAGGGGCUCUCGUUUACCCCACAAUACGGUGCAAGAAGUCCGAACACUUUCGACAGUGCAGCACCCCGAACUUAUAGCAUUAUAUGCAUCAGCUCCGAAUCAUGUCUUUGGUCAAAUGUUGGGUCGCCCGGCUCCCAUGCUUUGGUACCUUACAUUCCGCUAUAUCGGCUAAGGUAGCGGUGGGAGAACUACUGCGAUUGUGUCCCGGUUCUUCCGGACGAGCACCUCAGUAGAGAAAGCCAAAAACUGACUGUCAUGAUAAGGCGAGAGACUGGUCGUUGUUCGAGAGGUCUCAAGUCCUUAAAGACUUUUUCCGCUUCGGGCGAGGAGUCGGCCUUCCGGCUUUGGCGUGUAUAGCACCCCAAAUUCGGCCCCCCGAAUACCAGGGGCUUCGCCAAAAAUUUCAAAGCAUAGACUUCUAUGGCUAAGUGAGAGUGAUAAAGCAUUAUAGUCCGAUUGCCUGGUUCAUUGCGCUGAACACCUCCCUUGAAGGACCCAAAAUUGGGGUAAAGAGUGUUCAGAUUUACCCCGAACACCCUAGUACUAGUUACACGGGGGUAGAAGCCGACGACUGGCCAACUCUCAGAUUUUAUAAACGGCCGCACAGAAGGUAAUAUUUUAAAUUAAAAAAGCGUUGCAUGGUGCAAAAGAACUCGUCUCAUAUUACAGGAUCACAUGGGCAUGUUCAUUCAAAAAUUACAUCCUUGGCACACUCAUCUGCCACUAAGCGGGAACCCUUCAGGAUACUUUCAUAGUAAUUCUCGAGGCAGCGAUGAUCCUUGCCCUCCGGCGGCCCCUCCCUCACCAGCUUCACGGCGUCCAGCUUCGCCCAGUGCACCUUCGCCCGGGCAAAAGCCCUGCGUGCACCCUCGAUGUAGACGGACCGCUUGAUGACUUCAAGCCGUGGGCAGGCUUCCACAAGUCGCCUCACCAGACCGAAGUAGCUGCCGGACAGGGGCUCGCCAGGCCACAUCCAGACUAUAAGGCCGUUCAUGGCCUGUUCGGCCGCCUUGUGAAGUUCGAUCAACUGCUUCAGCUGGUCGCUCAAGGACACGGGGUGUUCGGUCCCAAUAUACUGAGACCAGAACAACUUCUCCGUUGAGCUCCCCUCCUCAGCCCGGUAAAACUCCGCGACAUCCAGUACACUACGGGGAAUAUCUGCAAACGCUCCUGGAGAGCUCCGAACUCGGGUAAGAAAAAGGAAAGUCUCCUUCACAUGCUUGCUUUGCAUAUUGAAUUCCUUACCCACUGCUAUCUUCUUCACCGCGUCAAUCUCCUGGAGGGCCUUAUGGGCUUCGGACUUGGCGCUCCGGACGCUUUCAACCGCCUGCGCGAGCUCGGACUCUCGCGUCUUGGAGUCAAGCUCGAAGGACUCAUGCUUUUUGGCGAGAGCCUCGAGCUCUUGCUGCACAUCGCCUACUCGAGUGAUACAUCUCCAACGUAUCUAUAAUUUUUGAUUGCUCCAUGCUACUUUAUCUACUGUUUUGGACUAUAUUGGGCUUUAUUUUCCACUUUUAUAUUAUUUUUGGGACUAACCUAUUAACCGGAGGCCCAGCCCAGAAUUGCUGUUUUUUGCCUAUUUCAGUAUUUCGAGGAAACAGAAUAUCAAACGGAGUCCAAACGGAAUGAAACCUUCGGGAACGUGAUCUUCUCACCGAACGUGAUCCAGGAGACUUGGACCCUACUCCAAGAAGUUUCCGGGAAGGUCACGAGGGUGGAGGGCGCCCCCUGGGCGCGCCCCCUGCCUCGUGGGCCCCUCAAAGCUCCACCGACGUGCUCCUUCCUCCUAUAUAUACCUACGUACCCCCAUUAGACCAGAGACGGAGCCAAAAACCUAAUUCCACCGCCGCAACUUCCUGUAUCCACGAGAUCCCAUCUUGGGGCCUGUUCCGGAGCUCCGUCGGAGAGGGCAUCCAUCACGGAGGGCUUCUACAUCAACACCAUAGCCCUUCCGAUGAAGUGUGAGUAGUUUACUUCAGACCUUCGGGUCCAUAGCUAGUAGCUAGAUGGGUUCUUCUCUCUUUUUGGAUCUCAAUACAAUGUUCUCCCCCUCUCUCGUGGAGAUCUAUUCGAUGUAAUCUUCUUUUUGCGGUGUGUUUGUUGAGACCGAUGAAUUGUGGGUUUAUGAUCCAACUUAUCUAUGAAUAAUAUUUGAAUCUUCUCUGAAUUCUUUUAUGUAUGAUUGAGUUAUCUUUGCAAGUCUCUUCGAAUUAUCCGUUUGGUUUGGCCAACUAGAUUGGUAGUUCUUGCAAUGGGAGAAGUGCUUAGCUUUGGGUUCAAUCUUGCGGUGUCCUUACUCAGUGACAGAAAGAGUUGCAAGGCACGUAUUGUAUUGUUGCCAUCGAGGAUAACAAGAUGGGGUAUUUAUCAUAUUGCAUGAAUUUAUUCCUCUACAUCAUGUCAUCUUGCUUAAGGCGUUACUCUGUUUUUAACUUAAUACUCUAGAUGCAUGCUGGAUAGCGGUCGAUGAGUGGAGUAAUAGUAGUAGAUGCAGGCAGGAGUCGGUCUACUUGUCACGGACGUGAUGCCUAUAUACAUGAUCAUACCUAGAUAACCUCAUAACUAUGCUCAAUUCUAUCAAUUGCUCAACAGUAAUUUGUUCACCCACCGUAGAAUAUCUAUGCUCUUGAGAGAAGCCACUAGUGAAACCUAUGGCCCCCGGGUCUAUUCUCAUCAUAUCAAUCUCCAUUACUUUAUUUUACUUGUUUUUCUUUUACUUUUCACUUUGCAUCUUUAUACCAAAAAUACCAAAAAUAUUAUCUCUAUCAGAUCUCACUCUCGUAAGUGACCGUGAAGGGAUUGACAACCCCUAAGCGUUGGUUGCGAGUUGCUACCGUUUUGUGCAGGUACGAGGGACUUGCGUGUGACCUCCUACUGGAUUGAUACCUUGGUUCUCAAGAACUAAGGGAAAUAAUUACGCUACUGUGCUGCAUCACCCCCUCCUCUUCGAGGAAAACCAACGCUAGCUCGAGACAUAGCAAGAAGGAUUUCUGGCGCCGUUGCCGGGGAGGCCUACGCCAAGUCAAGUCAAGAUUUACUCUCCCGUCAACGAGCCAUUUCUGGCGCCGUUGCCGGGGAAGCCUACGCAAAAGUCAACAUACCAAGUACCCAUCACAAUCUCUAUCUCUCGCAUUACAUUAUUUGCCAUUUGCCUCUCGUUUUCCUCUCCCCCACUUCACCCUUGCUGUUCGCCCUCUCUUUCCCUUUGCCUUUUGUGUGCUCGUGUGUUAGUUUGCUUGCUUGUUCGUCACGAUGGCCUUACCUAAUUUUGGUGAUCUUCACCUUAAAAGGCUAGAAGAUAUCGAAAACGAUGUCAGGAAGUUUAUGGUCUUGCAAUUUGAGCAUAAUAAUUUCUUUAGAAACGAGCUUAAGGAACAAAAGAGUUUUAUGAGUUAUAUGAAUAAAGAGCUCGAUGAUAUGUCCAAAGAAUUUUAUGGUGUAAGAGCCCAAAUUGCUCAUCUUGAAAAAAUGACCACUGAAAUUUCGGAUAUGCAAGCCACCUUAGUCAAUAAGAUGGCCACUAAACCGAAUAACUAUGAGAAUCAAGAUGAAGAUCUAAAAGUUAUUGAUGUGUCCCCUUUUAAAUCUUUGUUUUGCAAUAUGAAUCUUGAUGAAUCUGAUUAUGAUCUUCCCUUACCUAGAAGGCGUUCUAAGAAUUCUGAGUUUUUAGAUCCUGAUGAUGAAAUUGAUGAAAAAGGGAUUGAAAGAAAUAAAAAUCUAGAUAUUGCUAAACCCACUAUUUUGGAUCUCAAGGAAUUCAACUAUGAAAAUUGCUCUUUAAUUGAUUGUAUUUCCUUGUUGCAAUCCGUGUUAAAUUCUCCUCAUGCUUAUAGUCAAAAUAAGGCCUUUACCGAACACAUUGUUGACGCCUUAAUGCAAUCUUAUGAAGAAAAGCUUGAGUUGAAAGUUUCUAUCCCUAGAAAACUCCAUGAUGAGUGGGAACCUACAAUUAAGAUUAAUAUUAAAAAUUAUGAGUUUCAUGCUUUGUGUGAUUUGGGUGCUAGUGCCUCUACUAUCCCCAAAGCUUUGUGUGAUUUGCUAGAUUUCCGUGACUUUGAUGAUUGCUCUCUAAACUUGCAUCUUGCGGAUUCCACUAUUAAAAAGCCUAUGGGAAGAAUUAAUGAUGUUCUUAUUGUUGAAAAUAGGAAUUAUGUGCCCGUAGAUUUUAUCGUUCUUGAUAUAGAUUGCAAUCCUUCAUGUCCUAUUAUUCUUGGUAGACCUUUCCUUAGAACGAUUGGUGCAAUUAUUGAUAUGAAGGAAGGGAAUAUUAAAUUCCAAUUUCCCUUAAAGAAGGGCAUGUAACACUUUCCUAGAAAGAAAAUAAAAUUACCAUAUGAAUCUAUCAUGAGAGCCACUUAUGGAUUGCCUACCAAAGAUGGCAAUACCUAGAUCUAUCCUUGCUUUUAUGCCUAGCUAGGGGCGUUAAACGAUAGCGCUUGUUGGGAGGCAACCCAAUUUUAUUUUGUGUUUUUUGUUUUUGGUUCUGUUUAGGAAUAAAUAAUCCAUCUAUAUUCUGUUUAAAUGUGGUUUUAUCUUUUAAUUAGUGUUUGUGCCAAGUUAAACCUAUUAGAUCUUCUUGGAAGAUAGUUAUUUGAUCUUGCUGUAAUUUCCAGAAUCUUUGCGCUCAGUGCCCGAAUUGUCAAAAAUCACCAGAACGUGAUAAAAUAGUGAUUACAACUUCUGAUGAUCAAUAAACAAAUUUCCCAGGUCUUCUAAUUUUGGUAGAAUUUUUUGGGUUCCAGAAGUUUGCGUUAGUAACAGAUUACUACAGACUGUUCUGUUUUUGACAGAUUCUGUUUUGCGUGUGUUGUUUGCUUAUUUUGAUGAAUCUAUGGCUAGUAAAAUAGUUUACUAACCAUAGAGAAGUUUGAAUACAGUAGGUUUAACACCAAUACAAAUAAAGAACAAGUUCACUACAGUACCUUAAAGUAGUCUUUUGUUUUCUUUCUCUAACGGAGCUCACGAGAUUUCUAUUGAGUCUUGUGUUGUGAAGUUUUCAAGUUUUGGGUGAAUUCUUUUGAUGGAUUAUGGAACAAGGAGUGGAAAGAGCCUAAGCUUGGGGAUGCCCAUGGCACCCCCAAGAUAAUCCAAGGACACCAAAAAGUCAAAGCUUGGGGAUGCCCCGGAAGGCAUCCCCUCUUUCGUCCACUUCCAUCGGUAAUUUAGUUGGAGCUAUAUUUUUAUUCACCACAUGAUAUGUGUUUUGCUUGGAGCGUCUUGUAUUAUUUAUGUCUUUGCUUGUUAGUAUACCACAAUCAUCCUUUCUGUACACACCUUUUGAGAGAGCCAUGUAUGAAUUGAAAUUUGUUAGAAUACUCUAUGUGCUUCACUUAUAUCUUUUGAUCUUGAUAGUUUACUCUAUGUGCUUCACUUAUAUCUUUUUGAGCGUGAUAAUUUUUGCUCUAGUGCUUCACUUAGAUCUUUUAGAGCACGGUGGUGGUUUGUUUUAAAGAAACUUGAUCUCUCAUGCUUCACUUAGAUUAUUUUGAGAGUCGUUAAUAGCAUGGUAAUUUGCUUAAUGUUAAUAUACUUGGUAUUCAAGAUAUGUGAAACUUCCUUUUUAGUGGGUUGAAUACUAAGAUAAGUUUGAUGCUUGAUAAUUGUUUUGAGAUAUGGAGGUGAUAAUAUCAUAGUCAUGCUAGUUGAGUAGUUGUGAAUUUGAGAAAUACUUGUGUUGAAGUUAGCAAGUCCCGUAGCAUGCACGUAUGGUUAAAGUUGUGUAACAAAUUUGAAGCAUGAAGUGUACCUGGCUUGUGCAUCGUUAUGAGUGGCGGUCGGGGACGAGCGAUGGUCUUUUCCUACCAAUCUAUCCCCCUAGGAGCAUGCGUGUAGUACUUGAUUUUUGAUGACUUCUAAAUUUUUGCAAUAAGUAUAUGAGUUCUUUUGACUAACGUUGAGUCCAUGGAUUAUACGCACUUUUACCUUUCUGCCAUUUGCUAGCCUCUUCGGUACCGUGCAUUGCCCUUUCUCACAUUGAGAGUUGGUGCAAACUUCGCCGGUGCAUCCAUACCCCGUGAUAUGAUACGCUCUUUCACACAUAAACCUCUCUAUAUCUUCCUCAAAAUAGCCACCAUACCUACCUAUCAUGGCAUUUCCAUAGCCAUUCCGAGAUAUAUUGCCAUGCAACUUCCAUCAUCAUCAUCAUCAUCAUCAUCAUCAUCAUGACAUGCUUUACUUUUGUCAUAUUGCCAUUGCAUGAUCUUGUAGUUGACAUCGUAUUUGUGGCAAAGCCACCAUGCAUUAUUUUUCAUACAUGUCACUCUUGAUUCAUUGCACCAUCCCGGAACAGCACCGGAGGCAUUCAUAUAGAGUCAUAUCUUGUUCUAGUAUCGAGUUGUAAUCAUUAUGUUGUAAUCAAUAGAAGUGUGAUGAUCAUCAUUAUUAGAGCAUUACCCAAUCAAAAAAAAGAGAAAGGCCAAAAAUAAAAAAAGAAAGGCCCAAAAAAAGAGAAAAUAAAAAGGGCAAUGCUAGUAUCUCUUUUUCCACACUUGUGCUUCAAAGUAGCACCAUGAUUUUCAUAUAGUGAGUCUCAUAAUUUGUAUUGUUCAUACUAGUGGGAAUUUUUCAUUAUAGAACUUGGCUUGUAUAUUCCAACGAUGGGCUUCCUCAAAAUGCCCUAGGUCUUCAUGAGCAAGCAAAUUGGAUGCACACCCACUAGUUUUCUUUUGUUGAGAAUUCUUAGCUCUAGUGCAUCCGUUGCAUGGCAAUCCCUACUCCUUGCAUUAACAUCAAUUGAUGGGCAUCUCCAUAGCUCAUUGAUUAGCCUCGUUGAUGUGAGACUUUCUCCUUUUUUUCUUCUCCACACAAUCCCCAUCAUCAUAUUCUAUACCACCCAUAGUGCUAUGUCCAUGGCUCGCGCUCAUGUAUUGCGUGAAGGUUAAAAAAAGUUUGAGAUUAUUUGAGUAUGAAACAAUUGCUUGGCUUGUCAUUGGGGGUAUAGAAGUUGGGAACAUCUUUGUGUGACGAAAAUGAAGCAUAGCCUAACUAUAUGAUUUUUUAGGGAUGAACUUCCUUUGGCCAUGUUAUUUUGAGAUGACAUAAUUGUUUGAUUAGUAUGCUUGAAGUAUUAUCAUUUUUUAUGUCAAUAUGAACUUUUGUCUUGAACCUUUCGGAUCUGAAUAUUCAUACCAUGAUUAAGAAGAUUUACAUUGAAAUUAUGCCAAAGUAUCACUCCGCAUCAAAAAUUCUCUUUUUAUUAUUUACCUACUCGAGGACGAGCAGGAAUUAAGCUUGGGGAUGCCUGAUACGUCUCCAACGUAUCUAUAAUUUCUGAUUGCUCCAUGCUACUUUAUCUACUGUUUUGGACUAUAUUGGGCUUUAUUUUCCACUUUUAUAUUAUUUUUGGGACUAACCUAUUAACCGGAGGCCCAACCCAGAAUUGUUGUUUUUUUGCCUAUUUCGGUAUUUCGAGGAAAGAGAAUAUCAAACGGAGUCCAAAUGGAAUGAAACCUUCGGGAACGUGAUCUUCUCACCGAACGUGAUCCAGGAGACUUGGACCCUACUCCAAGAAGUUUCCGGGGAGGUCACGAGGGUGGAGGGCGCGCCCCCUGGGUGCGCCCCCUGCCUCGUGGGCCCCUCGGAGCUCCACCGACGUGCUCCUUCCUCCUAUAUAUACCUACGUACCCCCAUUAGACCAGAGACGGAGCCAAAAACCUAAUUCCACCGCCGCAACUUCCUGUAUCCACGAGAUCCCAUCUUGGGGCCUGUUCCGGAGCUCCACCGGAGAGGGCAUCCAUCACGGAGGGCUUCUACAUCAACACCAUAGCUCUUCCGAUGAAGUGUGAGUAGUUUACUUCAGACCUUCGGGUCCAUAGCUAGUAGCUAGAUGGCUUCUUCUCUCUUUUUGGAUCUCAAUACAAUGUUCUCCCCCUCUCUCGUGGAGAUCUAUUCGAUGUAAUCUUCUUUUUGCGGUGUGUUUGUUGAGACCGAUGAAUUGUGGGUUUAUGAUCCAACUUAUCUAUGAAUAAUAUUUGAAUCUUCUCUGAAUUCUUUUAUGUAUGAUUGAGUUAUCUUUGCAAGUCUCUUUGAAUUAUCCGUUUGGUUUGGCCAACUAGAUUGGUAGUUCUUGCAAUGGGAGAAGUGCUUAGCUUUGGGUUCAAUCUUGCGGUGUCCUUACUCAGUGACAGACAGAGUUGCAAGGCACGUAUUGUAUUGUUGCCAUCGAGGAUAACAAGAUGGGGUAUUUAUCAUAUUGCAUGAAUUUAUUCCUCUACAUCAUGUCAUCUUGCUUAAGGCGUUACUCUGUUUUUAACUUAAUACUCUAGAUGCAUGCUGGAUAGCGGUAGGUGAGUGGAGUAAUAGUAGUAGAUGCAGGCAGGAGUCGGUCUACUUGUCACGGACGUGAUGCCUAUAUACAUGAUCAUACCUAGAUAACCUCAUAACUAUGCUCAAUUCUAUCAAUUGCUCAACAGUAAUUUGUUCACCCACCGUAGAAUAUCUAUGCUCUUGAGAGAAGCCACUAGUGAAACCUAUGGCCCCCGGGUCUAUUCUCAUCAUAUCAAUCUCCAUUACUUUAUUUUACUUGUUUUGCUUUUACUUUUCACUUUGCAUCUUUAUACCAAAAAUACCAAAAAUAUUAUCUCUAUCAGAUCUCACUCUCGUAAGUGACUGAUGUCUACUACACAACCUUCUUCUUGUAGACGUUGUUGGGCUCCAAGUGCAGAGGUUUGUAGGACAGUAGCAAAUUUCCCUCAAGUGGAUGACCUAAGGUUUAUCAAUCCGUAGGAGGUGUAUGAUGAAGAUGGUCUCUCUCAAGCAACCCUGCAACCAAAUAACAAAGAGUCUCUUGUGUCCCCAACACACCCAAUACAAUGGUAAAUUGUAUAGGUGCACUAGUUCGGCGAAGAGAUGGUGAUACAAGUGCAAUAUGGAUGGUAGAUAAAGGUAUUUGUAAUCUGAAAAUAUAAAAACAGCAAGGUAACUAAUGAUAAAAGUGAGCGUAAACGGUAUUACAAUGAUAGGAAAUAAGGCCUAGGGUUCAUACUUUCACUAGUGUAAGUCCUCUCAACAAUACUAACAUAAUUGGAUCAUAAAAUUAUCCCUCAACAUGCAACAAAGAGUCACUCCAAAGUCACUAAUAGUGGAGAACGAACGAAGAGAUUAUGGUAGGGUACGAAACCACCUCAAAGUUAUUCUUUCCAAUCAAUCCGUUGGGCUAUUCCUAUAAGUGUCACAAACAGCCCUAGAGUUCGUACUAGAAUAACACCUUAAGAUACAAAUCAACCAAAACCCUAAUGUCACCUAGAUACUUCAAUGUCACCUCAAGUAUCCGUGGGCAUGAUUAUACGAUAUGCAUCACACAAUCUCAAUUCAUCUAUUCAACCAACACAAAGAACCUCAAAGAGUGCCCCAAAGUUUCUACCGGAGAAUCACAACGAAAACGUGUGCCAACCCCUAUGCAUAGGUUCCUAAUGUCACGAAACCCGCAAGUUGGUCACCAAAACGUACAUCAAGUGGCAGGUGGUAUCCCAUUGUCACCACAGAUAUCCACGGCAAGACAUACAUCAAGUGUUCUCAAGUCUUUAAAGACUCAAUCUGAUAAGAUUACUUCAAAGGGGAAACUCGAUUCAUUACAAGAGAGAAGAGGGGGGAAUAAACAUCAUAGGAUCCAAAUAUAAUAGCAAAGCUCGCGAUACAUCAAGAUCGUAUCAUCUCAAGAACACGAGAGAGAGAGAGAGAUCAAACACAUAGCUACUGGUACAUACCCUCAGCCCCGAGGGAGAACUACUCCCUCCUCGUCAUGGAGAGCACCGGGAUGAUGAAGAUGGCCACCGGAGAAGGAUUGCCCCCUCCGGCAGGGUGCCAGAACGGGUCUAGAUUGAGUUUCGGUGGCUACGGAGGCUUCUGGCGGCGGAACUCCCGAUCUAUGUUGCUCUCGGAUGUUUUUAGGGUAUAUGGAGAUAUAUAGGCGGAAGGAGCACGUCGGUGGAGCUCCGAGGGGCCCACGAGGUAGGGGGCGCGCCCUCCACCCUCGUGACCUCCCCGGAAACUUCUUGGAGUAGGGUCCAAGUCUCCUGGAUCACGUUCGGUGAGAAGAUCACGUUCCCGAAGGUUUCAUUCCGUUUGGACUCCGUUUGAUAUUCUGUUUCCUCGAAAUACUGAAAUAGGCAAAAACAGCAAUUCUGGGCUGGGCCUCCGAUUAAUAGGUUAGUCCCAAAAAUAAUAUAAAAGUGGAAACUAAAGCCCAAUAUAGUCCAAAACAGUAGAUAAAGUAGCAUGGAGCAAUCAAAAAUUAUAGAUACGUUGGAGACGUAUCAGUGACCGUGAAGGGAUUGACAACCCCUCUGGUUAAUAGGUUAGUCCCAAAAAUAAUAUAAAAGUGGAAAAUAAAGCCCAAUAUAGUCCAAAACAGUAGAUAAAGUAGCAUGGAGCAAUCAAAAAUUAUAGAUACAUUGGAGACGUAUCAGUGACCGUGAAGGGAUUGACAACCCCUAAGCGCUGGUUGCGAGUUGCUACCGUUUUGUGCAGGUACGAGGGACUUGCGCGUGACCUCCUACUGGAUUGAUACCUUGGUUCUCAAAAACUGAGGGAAAUACUUACGCUACUGUGCUGCAUCACCCCCUCCUCUUCGGGGAAAACCAUCGCUAGCUCGAGACGUAGCAUCGGGCUUCUUGAUUGUCCCGUUCCAUGCGUUCUUUGGCCGCUUUGUCUUCGGCCUCGGACAAUGCCUUCCUUAGGGUCUCCACCUCGGUCGUGGCCCCUGAUAAAUUCAUGAUGACCCUAUUACUUUACACCCGAGCUUCUUUUUAACUAUAUAGACAGGGGUAUAUCUUACCUUUGCUCUCUUCGAGCUGCCUCUUGGUAAGGCCGAGCUCGUCCUCGGACCGCUUCAGGGCCUGCUUCAGCGCAGAGACCUCCGCAGUACGUGCGGCAGGAGCCAAUAGUGAAGCAUGCACAUACACAGACAUAGUCUAAUUAGACUCUUGAGUUAUCAUUUGAUCCUCUAUUCGACUUUGCUUCGCGAACACCGAACAGAGCAUCAGGGGCUACUAUCUAUGCGGUAAUAUUUUCUUAUAUUUUGACUGCUUACCUCAAAGCCUGUUAGGAGGCUGGUGCAAGCUUCGGUCAGUCCAUUUUUGGCGGACUGAACCUUCUUGACCACCGCACUCAUAAUAGUGCGGUGCUCUUCAUCGAUGGAAGCGCUGUGAAGCGCUUCCAGCAAGUUGUCCUGUGCCUCUGGUUGGACAGAGGACACCGGCACGGAUGGUUGGCCCCCCUUAAUGGGGGACCGCCUGCCGGAGUCCGGAACCAUCGAAGGUUCCGGCGCAGUGUCCGACCGGGGCCCGAACUCGAAGCCCGUAUGAGCCUCACUCCCUUGGUACCCGGGGUCCGGGAGGUCGCCGUGAGGCACCCCCAGGAUCACCUCCCCUUGGCUCGGUGCCUUUUGAGACAACACCUCGGCGUUGUCCGUAGGGCGAGGAGUGGAAGCAGUCGGAGGAGAACCGCUGUUCAUAUCCGACGAGUCCAAAGAGCCGCUCGACGAGGGUACGUCGAGAUGAGCUCGGGACGGACUGCAUAAUCAUGUUCGGCAUGAGGAAAGGCAGUAUAAUAAAACAUACCAUGAAGCACUAUGAUGUCCGAACACUUACGACUUCGCCAGGGGCUUGUCCCUGGGUAGCCACUCGUCGCCGCUGUCGGCGGCCGUCGUGGCACAGUCCGGAGGGAGGGCCCUUCCCUUCUUGGACCCUUCGGCCUCCCCGGAUGGGUUGGCCUUCCUUUUCUUGUCUCCCUCGGCUGGGGGGGAGAACUUUUCUCCUCCUCCUCGUUUCCGUGGGAGGAGUGCGCGUCGGAGUCAUCGGAUGAUGAGUCCAAUAUAACCUUGCGCCGGAGACCCUUUCGGGUCCCUGUGGCCUUCUUCGUGGCCUUCUUUGCCGGCACCUCGUAAGGUGCCGGAGUCAGCAUCUUCGUUAUAAGAGCAUCUGCAGGAUCUUCGGGCAGGGGGGCUGGGCAGUCAAGCUGCUCCGUUGUCUCUAUCCAGUCUUGUUAAUGACAUGAAAGCUUAGAUCCAGCACAUAACUAAACCGAGGCAAAUCAAUACCCUAAGAGAUAUAAAAGCCUACCAGAUGGGUGCGGCGCUUUGCGCUGAGUCCGCGGUCCUCGGUGAGGGAGGGAGGCAUCUCGGUGCUCUUGAACAGCACCCUCCAGACAUCCUCGUGCGUCGUGUCGUAGAGCUCUCGCAGCUCUGGUGCUUGGCCGGGUCGAACUCCCACAAAACAAAUGCCCGUCGUUGACACGGAAGGAUCCGACGGAAGAGCAUAACCUAGACCACGUUGACGAGCUUGAUUUUCUUGUUCGUCAUGUUCUGAUGCAGGUCUGGAGUCCGGUCAGCUCUACCGAAGAACCCCAGGAUAGUCCCUUCUUUUUCCAGGAGGUGAGCCGUGUGGGGAUUCUGGGUCGAAAUUUGGGGCCGCCACCCAGUAGGAGUCGCACGGCUCGGUGAUGUAGAACCACCCCGAUUGCCACCCCUUUAUGGUAUCCACAUAGGUGCCCUCGAGCCAGGUGACAUUAGGCGUCUUGCCCACCAUGGCGCCUCCGCACUCUGCUUGCUGGCCGCCCACCACCUUCGGUUUGACAUUGAAGGUCUUCAUCCAUAGGCCGAAGUGGGGCCUGAUGCGGAGGAAGGCCUCGCACAUGACGAUAAAUGCCGAGAUGUUGAGGAUGAAGUUGGGGGCCAGAUCAUGAAAAUCCAGCCCAUAGUAGAACAUGAGCCCGCGGACAAAUGGGUGGAGAGGAAAUCCCAGUCCGCAGACAAAAUGGGUAAGAAAAACUACCCUCUCAUGGGGUUCGGGCAUGGGGACGAUCCACCCCGCAUUUGGCAGCCGGUGCGCGAUAUCCGCGGCCAAGUAUCCGGCUUCCCAUAUGGCAGGACCCCGAUUCCAAAUCACAUCGAUCUAGCCGGUAACACCUCAUAUCACUUUGCGGCCUCACACAUGAUAUUCCCACGGGUGUCGCCUUACCAUGGCUCGGGACCGUUUGCGCCUUUUGGCUCACGUAUAUGAUAGUGUCGCUAGCAUCCAUAUGACAGAGAACCCGGGCCGACAUGGCUAGUCGUGAACCCAAAGCGGCACCAACCUAUGGGGACAUGCAUACAUGAAUCACAUCGAGCAUGUCGGUCAGCAGCGUGUGAAUCCGGGCUGUAGCACUAGGCUAACAGGACUCCGGGAACCCGGGCUGUAGCAGGCUAGGCAGGACUCCGGAUGUCACCGCGUGACAUUUCCCCAAAGGGACAGACACAAGAACAAAGUGAAUCACAUGCCGGCCAGUCAAAUGCUCCGGAGCAGUAGUGCUGGGCUAGCAGGACUCCGGUGAACCGGGCUGUAGCAGACUACUAUGGCUCAUGGAAGCACAAUACUACAUUUCCCCAUAAGAGAGGCUACCAAGGAUAAACAACUAGGUUGUCGGAUCCCACACAUACCAAGCAUUUCAAUCAUAUACACAAUAUGCUCGAUAUGUGUAAAUACAACAUGGCAUCACAACAUAACUCUACGACUCAAGUAUUUAUUCAUUAGGCUCUGAGGAGCCAAGUAUUACAAACAUGGAUCUCAUGACCAACAUACAGAGCAUACAAGCAACAAGCACAUGCGGAAGCUUAACUUGUCUGAGUACAUACAACUACAAAUGAAAAAGGCUGAGAAGCCUGACUAUCUACAAGACCCUCCCAAGGGUACAAGAUCGUAGCUGAGGUAACAAGCUAAACAUCGAAGUCCACGCAGAACUACUAGUGAGAUUGACGUCUCUCUGCAAAAACAUAAAUUAUGCAAACGUGAGUACAAACGUACCCAGCAAGACUUACAUCAGAACUACCUACAUAUGCAUUAGUAUCAACAAAGGGGUGGUGGAGUUUGACUGCAGCAAGCCAGCUUUGACUCGGUGGCUAUCCUGAACUACGACUGCAAGUAACUCUUUUGAGGUGGCGCACACGAGUACACAUAUUCACCAUACCAAUACACCACUAUGGAUCCGCUCCCAUCUCCCUGCGAUAACGCCAUCCAUAGCACUCACGCUUAUCUUGCGAGUUUUAGGGUAUCCACUUUCACUUGUCUAUGAACUAUGCAAGGGGUCCAAGUUUCCAUAUCCGAGGAAUCCGGCUAUUCGAAUAGAUAAUGAUAACCCUGCAGGGGUGUACUUCUUCACACACGUUCUCACCACUUAUCGCCUUGUACACGUCAUGUACCUCGGAAACCUUCAAGCGGAAGCCGGGCGAGGGUGUCGGCCACGACCUGACUAACCAACAAGUCUCUAGUCCAGGUUUAUCGCCUAUUCGGAUUCCAUCCGCAAGGAGAUCCGGCCGGGGUGUCACUCACGGCCCCAAACGAUGUGUGCAGGGUUCCCAAGCCCACCAUCCGGGUGCCACUUGGUACACCGUGCCACUGUGCCUAGUCUGUCCCAAGCCCACCUAUACCGGGUGCCACUUGGUAGACUACUAACACUACCUACAAACACCAGAAACUAGUUGCAACUCCUGGACAGUGAUCGAGUUGAUUAAUAAGCCGAGAGGGGCCGAGUUACCGGAACCCAAUGUGUGGUAGUAACUGUUCAUGGAUCACAAACACAGAACUCAGUUCCUGAGAACGGCUGCAAUGAGACAACCCACCAUGUACUCCUACAUGGCUCUCACCGCUACCUUUACCAAAUCGUGUUCACACACUUAGCUCUCAACGGUAGGACAUGUUCACCACGUUCCAAUUCAUUCCCGAUGAAUCAGACCUGACUCAACUCUAAGCAGUAGCAGGCAUGACAACAAGCAUGAAUGAGUAGGCACAUUAGGGCUCAAACAAUUCCUACUCAUGCUAGUGGGUUUCAUCUAUUUACUAUGGCAAUGACAGGUCAUGCAGAGGAAAGGGGUUCAGCUACCGCAGCAUGUAACAGUUGAAGCGUUGUUGUCCUAAUGCAGUAAAAGAGAGCAGGAGCGAGAGAGUGGGAUUGUAUCGAGAUGAACAAGGGGGUUUUGCUUGCCUGGCACUUCUGAAGAUAGUAUAGCUCUUCAUCGGUGUCAUCAAACUCAUCGCCGGAUCAACGUCUACUAAGGGGGAACAAAUACCGGCAACAGAGAAUAAACACAAUCAAUGCAAUGCACAAUAUGAUGCAUGAUCAUGACAUGGCAAUAUGCUGUUGAUUGAGCUAAUGCAACUAGCAACAAGUUAAAUGAACUUGGUUUGAACCCUAGUUUCAAAUUCAAACUCCAUAUGUGAAGGUCUAAAUGCCCUUUAUAUGAUUUGUCCUAAACAGUAGCCAAAAGUUGGUCUAACAUGCAUGAUAAUGGUACAGAUGGAUUCCUUGGAUUUUUCUGAUAAUUUUUCAUAUAUAAAUUAUUUCAUUUGGAGUUAUAGAUUAAUUUCUAUGAUUUUUUGAAGUUUAUACUAUUUUCUAGAAUUUCUAAAUCAUUUCUGAAAUAGAAAUAAUCCAAAACUAGUUUAUUGCGUCAGCCUGACGUCAAAGUGACGUCAGCAUGUCAACAGCGCCAGCGAGGUCAAACCUGAUGGCUGGGACCCGCAUGUCAGUGACACAGGAGGUUAAACAGGGUUAUUUGAUAUUAGAUUAAUCCUAAACUAAUUGUGUCAGUGGCAGGUCCUACAUGUCAGUGUCUAGUGUUAAACUGAACAGGGUGGUUAGUGGCUAAUUAAGUCGGACACGUCAGCCCGCCGGAGUUUUGGCCGGUGGCGACCUCAAACCGCGGCGGCGUCCGCCAGAGUUGCGCCAGAGGCGACGGAUCGACGCUACGAGGGCACCAGGAGGUAGCCCGUGCCCGCGCGCAUGCAGGGGAACCAAUGGGAGGGCGUGGGGUGGCCAGAGUUUGCCGGAAGCGAGCUCGUGGCGGCGGCCGGAGUUCGGGUGAGGUUGGGAAUGGGGCUGUGGGGCACGGCGGAGCGAACGGCCGGGUGCUACGGCCUCCAGGUGAUGUGUUGAGCACGGUGACGCGCUCCGUGGUGAGCUUGCGCGGCUGUGGCCAUAGCUACGCCAUGGACGGCGGCGAGAAGCUUUCGGCCGCAGUGGGAACGGAGCUAGGAGACGAGCGUGGGCACGAGAGUAGAGGGGAAAGGAAGAGGGGCUCAUGGCGGUUCUACAGGGGUGGUCGGCGGGCUCAGGGGCGCACUGGUAGUGGCGAAUCGACCGAUGAGGUGCCUCGGUGGCCGGCGACAGAAACGGAGAUGGUGGCGAUGAAGCAGCGUGUCCGAGGCCGGGCGGAUCAUCGAGGAGGAAGAGGCGGAUGAGGCGGAGCUCGUGGACAGCUCGGAGAGGCGAGGCCGUGGCGGUGGCCGCGGGUACGGCGAUGGUGCGGCCAUGGCGGCCUCGUCCAUGAGGUGGGGGCGAGGGAGAGAGGGGGAAAGUGAGCAGAGGAAGAGGGAGAAAGUCCAGGGCGUCCAGGCGUUUCCACGACGAACAGCGAGGAUGCAGGAGGCGUCGACAGCGCGAAGCAGGAGGUGGCCGCUCGGCGCGUGCGCUCGCUGUCCUGCCUCUGCCUACUGGCAGAGCUAGGGGACGACUGGCAGUUGCCAGUGGGCUGGGCCGGCUGGAGGACCUGGGCCAGGCCAGGUGAGCGCCAGGUAAAAACUCUAUGCUUUUCUUUCUGUUUUCUAUUCUCUGUCUUUGUUUUGAAUUUGGUUUGCUAACCAAAUAUUUUUUGUAGCUUCUGAGAUUUAUUGUAGAAGCAAUAUGGAUUAAUCCAAAGCUCUACAAAAUGUUUCAGAAUAUUUGGAGCUUCCAAAUAUUUUAUAGGAAUUAAUAGCUCCAAGUCAAAUACAAUAUGAGUUAAUUCAAAGAUCAUAAAUGCCUUGGAAAAAUGUGCAUGACCUCUGGUAAAGGGUUUAACCUUUUUCCAUAAAUAAUGAACAUUUUUGAAGGGCAUUUUGGGUUCAUUGAAAAUAUUUUUGUUUGAACCUAGUUGAAUUCAUUUGGUGCUAGGGUUUGAACAUCCCCAAUUCAAAUUUCAAAUUGAAUUUAAACAUGAUGCAUGGAGUCUCACAGAUGCAACUAACUACAAGCAAUUCUAGGGCUAUGACACCAUAACUUUUUGAUGUUCUCCUCCGUGACGGAGGAGACCAUCCACUUGCCUCCUGCUCCGGACAUGCUUGGAGUGGUUUGAGAAGAAGAACGCGAGCUUGGGCGCUAGAGCUCGAGUGUGUGGGAAUGGGUAAGCGGGGAGGAAGGAAGCGUGGGUGAAAAAGGUAAAUCUUUGUCCCUUUAUAAGGGCGAAAGAGGCGAUGUGUCUCCCCACUUGCCUGGCAAAACCGCUUAUUCCCCGGGCACCGUAAUUGAUGGUGCGGUUGGGUUACCCACGUCCGUAUUGAUGAGAAUCCCGUGAUAAGGGGAACACGAUCUCUGCUUUGACAAGACAUGUCAAGGAAACCGCCUCACGUUAUGUGCGAAGCUGGUUAAGAAAAACGGUUUGAAUAAUAACCGGGCCGUGGCGUGAUGUCAUGCUAUCAAAACGUGUCAGCAGAUUAGAUUUGUGGAAAUAUUAUUCUCUCUACGGUGGUAUGUGGAACUUAUUUUGCAGGGUCGGACACUAUCCUUGUAUUUCAAACUCUUCCAUGGUUCAUUCGGAGGAGGAAUCCGCCUUGCAAUGCCGAAGACAACACUGCGCGGCGCGCUCAUCAUCAUUGAAGCCUGGUUCAGGGGCUACUGAGGGAGUCCUGGAUUAAGGGGUCUUCGGACAGCCGGACUAUAUCCUUUGGCCAGACUGUUGGACUAUGAAGAUACGAGAUUGAAGACUUCGCCCCGUGUCCGGAUGGGACUCUACUUGGUGUGGAAGGCAAGCUAGGCAAUACGGAUAUGUAUAUCUCCCCCUUUUGUAACCGACCUUGUGUAACCCUAGCCCCCUCCGGUGCCUAUAUAAACUGGAGGUUUUUGUCCAUAGGAUGACAUACAAUCAUACCAUAGGCUAGCUUCUAGGGUUUAGCCUCUUUGAUCUCAUGGUAGAUCAACUCUUGUAAUACUCAUAUCAUCAAGAACAAUCAAGCAGGACGUAGGGUAUUACCUCCGUCAAGAGGGCCCGAACCUGGGUAAACAUCAUGUCCCCUGCCUCCUGUUACCAUCCGCCUUAUACGCACAGUUCGGGACCCCCUACCCGAGAUCCGCCGGUUUUGACACCGACAACGCUCCAAGCAAAACACAUAUCAUGUGGUGAAUAAAAUAUAGCUCCAAGUUACUGAUGAAUGAAGACAAAAGAGGGGAUGCCUUCCGGGGCAUCCCCAAGCUUAGAAUUUUUGGUGUACUUGUAUUUUACCUUGGGGUGCCAUGGGCAUCCCCAAUCUUAGGCUCUUGCCACUCCUUGUUCCAUAAUCCAUCGAAUCUUUACCCAAAACUUGAAAACUUCACAACACAAAACUUAACAAGAGAAUCUCGUGGGCUCCGUCAGCGAAAGAAAACAAAACACCACUUCAAGGUACUGUAAUGAACUCAUUCUUUAUUUAUAUUGGUGUUAAACUACUAUAUUCCAACUUCUCUAUGGUUUAUAAACUCUUUUACUAGCCAUAGAUUCAUCAAAAUAAGCAAACAACACACGGAAAGCAGAAUCUGUCAAAAAUAGAACAGUCUAUAGUAAUCUGUAACUAACGCAAACUUCUGGAACCCAUUUUUUAAAAAAAUAAACUGCUGGACAUGAGGAAUUUAUCUAUUUAUCAUCUGCAAAAAUAAUUAACUAAAUAGCACUCUCUAAUAAAAAAUUCCAGCAAUUCUGGUGAGCGCUAAAGUUUCUGUUUUUUACAGCAAGAUGAAAAAGACUUUCCCCAAGUCUUCCCAACGGUUCUUCUUGGGACAAACACUAAUUAAACACAACAAACACAAUAAAAAAAGAGGCUAGAUAAAAUUUUCAUUACUAAACAGGAGCAAAAAGCAAGGAAUAAAAAUAAAAUUGGGUUGCCUCCCAACAAGCGCUAUCGUUUAACGCCCUUAGCUAGGCAUAAAAGCAAGGAUAGAUCUAGGUAUUGCCAUCUUUGGUAGGCAAUCCAAAAGUGGCUCUCAUAAUAUAUUCAUAUGGUAAUUUAACUUUCUUUCUAGGGAAGUGUUCCGUGCCUUUCCUUAAUGGAAAUUAGAAUCUAAUAUUCCCUUCCUUCAUAUCAAUAAUUGCACCAAUCGUUCUAAGGAAAGGUCUACCAAGAAUAAUAGGACAUGAAGGAUUGCAAUCUAUAUAAAGAACAAUGAAAUCUACGGGCACAUAAUUCCUAUUUGCAACGAUAAGAACAUCAUUAAUCUUUCCCAUAGGUUUGUUAAUAGUGGAAUCCGCAAGGUGCAAGUUUAGAGAACAAUCGUCAAAUUCACGGAAACCUAGCAAAUCACACAAAGUUUUUGGAAUCGUGGAAACACUAGCACCCAAAUCACACAAAGCAUAGCACUCAUGAUCUUUAAUUUUAAUUUUAAUUGUAGGUUCCCACUCGUCAUAAAGUUUUCUAGGGAAAGAAAGUUCCAACUCAAGCUUUUCUUCAUAAGAUUGCAUCAAAGCAUCAACGAUAUGUUUAGUAAAAGCUUUAUUUUGACUAUAAGCAUGAGGAGAAUUUAGCAUGGAUUGCAACAAGGAAAUAGAAUCUAGCGAAGAAAAAUUAUCAUAAUUAAAUUCCUUGAAAUCCAAGAUGGUGGGUUCAUUGCUAUUUAAAGUUUUAACCUCUUCAAUCCCACUUUUACCAACGUUUGCAUCAAGACCUAAAAACUUUGAAUCAUUGGGAUGCCUUCUAACUAAAGUUGACUCAUCUCCAGUCCCAUCAUUAUCAAGAUUCAUAUUGCAAAACAAAGAUUUAAUAGGGGACACAUCAAUCACUUUUAGAUCUUCAUCCUUAUUAUCAUGAAAACUAGAAGAACAUGCUUUUACAAAACAAUCUCUUUUAGCACGCAUCCUAGCGAUUCUUUCUUUGCACUCAUCAAUGGAAAUUCUCAUGGAUUUAAGAGACUCAUUGAUAUCAUGCUUAGGUGGAAUAGAUCUAAGUUUCAAAGAAUCAACAUCAAGAGAAAUUAUAUCUACGUUCCUAGCCAACUCAUCAAUCUUAAGCAAUUUUUCUUCAAUCGAAGCAUUGAAACUCUUUUGCGAAGUAAUAAAUUCUUUAAUACUAAAUUCAAAAUCAGAGGGCAUUUUAUUAUAAUUUCCAUAAGAAUUGUUGUAGGAAUUACCAUAAUUAUUAGAUGAAUUACUAGGAAACGGCCUAGAAUUAAAAUUACCUCUAUACGCGUUAUUACCAAAAUUGUUCCUACCAACAAAAUUCACAUCCAUAGAUUCAUUAUUAUUCUCAAUCAAAGUAGACAAAGGCAUAUCAUUAGGAUCAGUAGGAGCACUCUUAUUAGCAAACAAUUUCAUAAGUUCAUCCAUCUUUCCACUCAAAACAUCAACCUCUUCAAUUGCAUGCACCUUUUUACUAGUAGAUCUUUCAGUGUGCCAUUGAGAGUAAUUAACCGUAAUAUUAUCUAGGAAUUUUGUAGCUUCUCCUAAAGUGAUUUCCAUAAAAGUGCCUCCAGCGGCCGAAUCUAAAAGAUUUCUAGAAGCAAAAUUUAAUCCGACAUAAUUUUUUUUGUAUAAUCAUCCAUAAAUUUAAACCAUGUGAUGGGCAAUUACGUAUCAUUGAUUUCAUCCUCUCCCAAGCUUGUGCAACAUGUUCAUGAUCAAGUUGCUUAAAAUUCGUAAUAUCGUUUCUAAGAGAGAUGAUCUUAGCGGGAGGAAAAUACUUAGAGAUAAAAGCAUCUUCGCACUUAUUCCAUGAAUCAAUACUAUUUUUAGGCAAAGACGAAACCAAGCUCUAGCACGAUCUCUAACCGAAAACGGAAAUAGCUUAAGUUUAACAAUAUCAUUAUCCACAUCUUUCUUCUUUUGCAUAUCACACAAAUCAACAACGUUGUUUAGAUGGGAAGCGGCAUCUUCACUAGGAAGGCUAGAAAACGGAUCUUUCAUGACAAGAUUCAGCAAAGCAGUAUUAAUUUCACAAGAUUCAGCAUCGGUAAGAUGAGCAAUCGGAGUGCCAAUAAAAUCAUUAUUGUUGGUAUUGUCAAAGUCACACAAUUUAGUAUUAUCUUGAGCCAUCAUGACAAGCAAGCAAUCCAACACACAAGCAAACAAGAAACAAGCGAAAAAGAGGCGAACAGAAAGAGAGGGCGAAAGGAAAAGAGGGCGAAUAAAACAGCAAGGGUGAAGUGGGGGAGAGGAAAACGAGAGGCAACUGGCAAAUAAUGUAAUGCGAAGGAUAAGGGUUGUGAUGGGUACUUGGUAUGUCUUGACUUGGCGUAGAUCUCCCCGGCAACAGCGUCAAAAAUCCUUCUUGCUACCUCUUGAGCAUUGCGUUGGUUUUCCCUUGAAGAGGAAAGGGUGAUGCAGUAAAGCAACAUAAGUAUUUCCCUCAGUUUUUGAGAACCAAGGUAUCAAUAUAGUAGGAUACCACGCGCGAGUUACCUCGUACCUAAACAAACAAAUAAGAACCUCACAACCAACACGAUAAAUCGGUUGUCAAUCCCUUCACGACCACUUGCAAGAGUGUGAGCUGAUAGAGAUCAUAAUAAUAAGAUAAAUAUUUUUCAUAUUUUUAUGAUAUAGAUUGAAAGUAAAAGAUAGCAAAAUAAAGUAGAUUGGAAACUUGUAUGAUGGAAAAUAGACCCGGGGGCCAUAGGUUUCACUAGUGGCUUCUCUCAAGAUAGCAUAAGUAUUAUGGUGGGUAAACAAAUUAUUGUCGAGCAAUUGAUAGAAAAGAGAAUAAUUAUGAGAAUAUCUAGGCAUGAUCAUGUAUAUAGGCAUCACGUCCGAGACAAGUAGACCGAAAUGAUUCCGCAUCUACUACUAUUACUCCACACAUCGACCGCUAUCCAGCAUGCAUCUAGAGUAUUAAGUUCAUAAGAACAAAGUAACGCCUUAAGCAAGAUGACAUGAUGUAGAUGGAUAAACUCAUGCAAUAUGAUAUAAACCCCAUCUUUUUAUCCUCGAUGGCAACAAUACAAUACAUGUCGUUUCCCUUUCUGUCAUUGGGAUCGAGCACCGCAAGAUUGAACCCAAAGCUAAGAACUUCUCCCAUUGCAAGAAAGAUCAAUCUAGUAGGCCAAACCAAACUGAUAAUUCGAAGAGACUUGCAAAGAUAAACCAAUCAUACAUAAAAGAAUUCAGAGAAGAUUCAAAUAUUGUUCGUAGAUAAACUUGAUCAUAAACCCACAAUUCAUCGGAUCUCGACAAACACACCACAAAAGAAGAUUACAUCAAAUAGAUAUCCAAGAGAAUCGAGGAGAACUUUGUAUUGAGAUCCAAAGAGAGAGAAGAAGCCAUCUAGCUACUAGAUAUGGACCCGAAGGUCUGAAGUAAACUACUCACACAUCAUCGGAGAGGCCAUGGAGUUGAGGUAGAGGCCCUCCGUGAUCAAUGCCCCCUCCGGCGGAGCUCCGGAAAAGGCCCCAAGAUGGGAUCUCUUGGGUACAGAAGGUUGCGGCGGUGGAAUUAGGUUUUCGUGGUGCUCCUGGAUGUUUGCGGGGUACGUGCAUAUAUAUAGGAGGAAGAAGUAGGUCGGUGGAGAAACAAGGGGCCCACGAGGGUGGAGGUCGUGCCCCCCUCCCUCGUGGCCUCCUCAAUUGAUUCUUGACGUCCACUCCAAGUCUCCUGGAUCACGUUUGUUCCGAAAAUAAUGCUCCCGAAGGUUUCAUUCUGUUUGGACUCCGUUUGAUAUUCCUUUUCGGCGAAACUCUAAAAUAGGCAAAAAAACAGCAAUUUGGGCUGGGCCUCAGGUUAAUAGGUUAGUCCCAAAAAUAAUAUAAAAGUGUAAAAAUAAGCCCAUUAACAUCCAAAAUAGAUAAUAUAAUAGCAUGGAGCAAUCAAAAAUUAUAGAUACGUUGGAGACGUAUCAACCACUAGUUUCAAGUAAAAGGGCAAGGGAAAGAAAAGGAACUUCAAGACGAAUGGCAAGCAAGUUGCCACUCCCAUGAAGAAGCCCAAAGCUAGACCCAAGCCUGAAACCGAGUGCUUCUAACUGCAAAGGAAAUGAUCACUGGAAGCGGAACUGCCCCAAAUACUUGGCGGAUAAGAAGGAUGGCAAAGUGAACAAAAGUAUGUAUGAUAUACAUGUUAUUGAUGUGUACUUUACUAGUAUUCAUAGUACCCCCUAGGUAUUUGAUACUAGUUCAGUUGCUAUGAUUAGUAACUUGAAACAGGAGUUAUAAAAUGAACAGAGACUAGUUGAGGGCAAGGUCACGAUGUGUAUUGGAAGUGAUUCCAAGGUUGAUAAGAUCACCAUCGCACACUCCCUUUACCUUCAGGAUUAGUGUUGAACCUAAAAUAAAUGUUAUUUGGUGAUUGCGUUGAGCAUAAUAUGAUUGGAUUAUGUUUAUUGCAAUACAGUUAUUCAUUUAAGUCAAAGAAUAAUUGUUAUUCUGUUUACAUGAAUAAAACCUUCAGUGGUCAUACACCCAGGGUGAAUGGUUUAUUGAAUCUCGAUUGUAGUGAUACACAUAUUCAUAAUAUUGAAGCCAAAAGAUGCAAGGUUAAUAAUGAUAGUGCAACUUACUUGUGGCACUGCCGCUUAGGUCAUGUUGGUGUAAAGAGCAUGAAGAAAAUCCAUGCUGGUGGGCUUUUGGAAUCACUUGAUGCUUGCGAACCAUGCCUCAUGGGCAAGAUGACUAAGACUCCGUUCUCCGGAACAAUGGUGCGAGCCACUGAAUUAUUGGAAAUAAUACAUACCGAUGUAUGCGUUCCGAUGAGUGUUGAGGCUCGCGGCGGGUAUCAUUAUUUUCUGACCUUCACAGAUGAUUGAGCAGAUAUGGGUAUAUCUACUUAAUGAAACACAAGUCUGAAACAUUUGAAAAGUUUAAAGAAAUUCAGAGUGAAGUUGAGAAUCAUCUUAACAAAAAAUAAAGUUUCUACGAUCUAAUCGCGGAGGUGAUUAUUUGAGUUACGAGUUUGGCCUUCAUUUGAAACAAUGUGGAAUAGUUUUGCAACUCACGCCACCUGGAACACCACAGCGUAAUGCUGUGUCCAAAUGUCGUACCUAUACUUUAUUAGAUAUGGUGCGAUCUAUGAUGUCUCUUACCGAUUUAGCACUAUCAUUUUGGGGUUAUGCAUUAGAGAAAGUUGCAUUCAUGUUAAAUAGGGCACCGUCUAAAAAAAUCCGUUGAGACGACACCGUAUGAACUGUGGUUUAGCAAGAAACCUAAGCUGUCGUUUCUUAAAGUUUGGGGUUGCAAUGCUUAUGUGAAAAAGUUUCAUCCUGAUAAGCUCAAACCCAAAUCGGAGAAGUGCGUCUUCAUAGGAUACCCAAUAGAAACUGUUGGGUACACCUUGUAUCACAGAUCCGAAGGCAAGAUCUUUGUUGCUAAGAGUGGAUCCUUUCUAGAGAAGGAGUUUCUCUUGAAGGAAGUGAGUGGGAGGAAAGUAUAACUUGAUGAGGUAACUGUACCUUCUCUCGAAUUGGAAAGUAGCUCAUCACUAAAAUCAGUUCCAGUGAUGCCUACACCAAUUAGUGAGGAAGUUAAUGAUGAUGAUCAUGAAACUUCAGAUCAAGUUACUACCGAACCUCGUAGGUCAACCAGAGUACGAUCCACACCAGAGUGGUACGGUAAUCCUGUUCUGGAAGUCAUGUUGCUAGACCAUGAUGAACCUACGAACUAUGAGGAAGCGAUGAUGAGCCCAGAUUUCGACAGAUGGCUUGAGGCCAUGAAAUCUGAGAUAGAAUCCAUGUAUGAGAACAAAGUGUGGACUUUGGUGGACCAUGUCCAUAGUUCUCGAACCCGUAGGGUCCGCACGCUUAACGUUCGAUGAUGAUAUGUAUCAUGAGUUAUGUGAUUUGAUGUACCGAAGGUUGUUCGGAGUCCCGGAUGAGAUCACGGACAUGACGAGGAGUCUCAAAAUGGUCAAUACAUAAAGAUUCAUAUAUUGGAAGGUUACAUUCGGACACCGGAAUGGUUCGGGUCGUUUCGGAUAAGUUUUGGAGUACCGGGGGUUACCGGAACCCCCUUCGGGAAGUUAUUGGGGCUUAUGGGCCUAGUGGUGGAAGAGAGGAGGCAGGCCAAGAGGUGGCGCGCGCCCCCCUAGUCCAAACCGAAUUGGGCAAGGGCUAGGGGGCCCGGCCCCCUUUCCUUCUCUUCUUCCUCUCCUUCCUUCUUCUCCUACUUGGACUAGAAAAGGGGGAAACCUACUCCUACUAGUAGUAGGAAUCCCCCUCCUUGGGCGCGCCCCUUGAGUCCGGCCCUCCUCCUCCUCCCCUCCUUUAUAUAUGGGGGAGGGGGCACCCCAUAGACACACAAGUUGAUCUUUAGCCGUGUGCGGUGCCCCCUCCACAGUUUUCCAUCUCGGUCAUAUUGUCGUAGUGCUUAGGCAAAGCCCUGCAUCAGUAACUUCAUCAUCACCGUCAACACGCCGUCGUGCUGACGGAACUCACCCUCGGCCUCAGCUGGAUCAAGAGUACGACGGAUGUCACCGAGCUGAACGUGUGCAGAUCGCGGAGGUGCCGCUCGUUCGGUACUUGAUAGGUUGGAUCGCGAAGACGUUCGACUACAUCAACCGCAUUACUAAACGCUUCCGCUUUCGGUCUACGAUGGUACGUAGACACCCCCCCUCUCGUUUCUAUGCAUAACCUAGAUAGAUAUUGCGUGAUCGUAGGAUUUUUUUGAAAUAAUAUGUUCCCCAACAGAUUACUUAUAGCCUCGUAUUUCUUCUCCGAUAUUUGAGUUUUGUUCGGCCAACUUGAUCUAUUUAUCUUGAAAUGGGAAGAUGUGCUUUGUAGUGGGUUCGAUCUUCCGGUGCUUGAUCCCAAUGACAGAAAGGGAACCGACACGUAUGUAUCGUUGCUACUAAGGAUAAAAUGAUGGGGUCUAUCUCUACAUAGAUAGAUCUUGUCUAAAUCAUGUCAUCGUUCUUAUUGUAUUACUCCGUUUCUCCGUGAACUUAAUACACUAGAUGCAUGCUGGAAAGCGGUCGAUGUGGGGAGUAAUAGUAGUACACGUAGGCAGGAGUCGGUCUACUAAUCCUGGACGUGAUGCCUAUGUAAUGAUCAUUGCCUGGAUAUCAUCACGAUUAUUUGAAGUUCUAUCAAUUGCCCAACAGUAUUUUGUUUACUCGUCAUUUGCUAUUUUUCUCGAGAGAAGCCACUAGUGAAACCUACGGCCCCUAGGUCUUCUUUCUCAUACUAUUUGCCUUUGCGAUCUAUUUUUCCUUUGCAUUUAUUUUCAGAUCUAUUAAACCAAAAAUAUAAAAAUACCUUGCUGUAAUUUAUUCUUAUUUAUUUUAUUUGGCAUUCGAUCUACCAAUUUACUACAAAACUAGCGGGUCCACCCACGCAAUUGCGCGGCUAGAGUUGAUUUUUUAAUAAAUAAUAUGUUUUAGCUAUUUUUAUUAAUAGUCUUGCUAAAUCUCAAUUCAUUGAGUUUUCAUUACGUCUCAGUCGAUACUAUAUUCGUGUGAUUUUACAUUGAGACUCAUUCAAUUUUUUUCCGGUUUUUCUUUCUUACAUGUUAUGUCGUUUGACUAAGGCUUGAUUAAGCCUUAGUCGACUGAGACCUGACAAAACCCUUUUUCUUAAUCAUAUAGACAUGCAUUUAACAUUUUUUGACAUUGUACAAAAGAUAAUAAUUAUUGCCAGUAGAACACCUCCAUAUGCAUUGUCCUCUUCAUACCAUUCUUUUUGUGUUUAAGUUAUCUCAGUUUAUUAUUUUAGUUCUCUAAGCAUUUAUUUUUUAAUGAAUGCCUAACAAUUUUCUAUUUGUCUAUUUGUCUAUUUUUACAAUAUGGUCCUAAUCCAUCCCGAGAUAUUGGAUUAUGUAGGUUUUUCAACGAAAAAUCCUAGAUUAAUUUUCAGAAAAAUAUAUUAUGUACUACUUCCAUCCCUAAAUAUGUAAGACGUUUAUUCGUUCAAUGCAAAGUUAGUAGCUAAUGCCAGUUGCGUUAGAAAAGAAAAUUCUAUAUAUGUUUACCAUCCCAACAGAAAAAAACAGUGCUAGAAGUGUUUCGAGCAGGCGUUCGUAGGCCGUCCGAUGCAAUCGCCAUAGAGCAGCGCUUGACAGAUGGAAUUGGGGGAAGCAGUACGAAGCGACGCACGUUUUUUUUUUAUAACUCCGCUUUCCGUCAUUUUAUUCAUUUAGGGAAUUCAAGUCCGCGUGCAAAAUGCACGUCAGGAACCAGGGGAGCUUGACUCUACAUUUGACUCUACAUUGGGAGCUUCACGUUUCUUUAAUCUACAGUUUUUUGCAUCUCGUUAACAAAUCUACUGUAUUUUGCAUCUCGUUAACAAAUCUACUGUAUUUUGCAUCUAUACGGCUGUAGUACCAUUCAUCCCUUUCCCCAUUCUCAUUCUCCUCCCGUUCCUUACCUGAUCUAAGGAUUCAUCCACAAUACGUUGCUAGAUCUUGCUAAGAAAAGAGGACAGGGGAGAAGUGGGAUUUGGGGUGGAGUGCGGUGGCUCCAGGCUCCCGACGGCGGCAUGUCAUCCAGCUCGACCACACGUGCCUGCAGCUCGCCGCCGUCAUCGAUUGGAUGGCCAUGGAGUUGGGUCCACUUGAACAUGAGGGGUGGCACUCCUCUAGGUAAUCACUCAUCUUCCUCUCCUUCUCCUUCCUUCCCAGAUCUUGGUCUGCUAACCUCCAGCAAUGGCAUGGAUUCUUUAUGGAGAUUUGCUAUGGCUAUGAGAAGGGGAUGAUUAAGGUCACCUGACCUUUCUCCGUCUUUUCCGGUGUAGAAAUUUUCUCUUGGAGAGAAGGAUUUUUUGCCCCCAAGCAGCAAGGCUUCGAGGCCACCGGAGAAAAUAAGAGAUUCGUUUCACUGAGUGGCGUUGCUCUCCAGUUCGUGGCGCUGGCCUAGAGCUGUGUCGUCGGGUUGGACGGCCAUGUUCUUCAUAGUGUUCUAGGAUAUAACUUAUGUCACUUGCCAUUGAUGUGCCUUGCGUUGUUUUAGGGAAUCGAACCUAUUUUUUUAGUUGACAUUCUGCCCAACUUUGAUUAUUGUCUCUUCAAGACAACCGUAAUAAUUAUAUGAAGUUUCCUAUAGCAAAAAGUGUUCAAUAUUUGUUGGAUAAAAGGUGUGUUCUUUCUAUAUGUUGUUACCAUAUAUUAGCAACUUAUAUUAAUAAUAGGUGUAUUUAAGACAAAGAAAGAAGGCUUGCAUGUAUUCACUGACUUUGGCCCAUAUGUGUUAAUUGAUAUGCAAUAGAUUUUAGUUUUUUCACAUGUGUUGUGGGAGAUGCCUAUAACACUGAAGCUUUUCUCUUUGUUCUCUUCAACUGAAAAGGCUGUAGGAUAGAAGGGUUGUUUCCAAGAACAACAUAAAACUCACAAAAGUGCAUGUAUGAAUGUGUUUCGAAUAAUUACAAUUUGACAUGUUUCUCAUAGUGCUAAGUUUUGACCCUUAUCUAAUAAUAAUAAUUGUCCGCCUUAUACUGAUCUUUGUCAAGCAUUAUUUCUCUAUCUCAGUAAACAUAAAUGGUUUGCUUGGUGCUUCUGAGAUCUUCCCAUCCAAUAAGUUUAGCAAUUUUUACAUACCACUCUCAUUAAGAGUAAAUAUAAUAUGGAAGUUCUCAUUCAAAUUGGCAGAAUAUGCUUACCAGGUGUUAUGGUUUCUUGAUAUGUACCACAAUUUUCGCAGUAGGACUUUCCACUUUCCUUUGUAGUUAGUUUGUGUCAAUCAGAAUUUGAUCAUUUGAAUAUUUUUGUGUAAUAGAUUAUUAUACAUAUUGUUGUGAAAAACAAAAUCGUAAAAAAAUCACCCAAAAACUUAGCAUCCCGAAGAAGUUGAGAGACAAAUAAUUUAGAUAUGACUCCACUAUAACUGAUAUGACUCAAUUGUCAGAAAAGCACUACAGGUCUGAGAGUCUCGUUUCCUCAAGAAGUGGUGAUAUCAUAUCUUAGAAGAAGUUUGAACCAUCACCUGACUUGUCUUGGUUUUGUGCCUCAUUCCAGUAAGUUCUCGUAAUGUUCUCCUUCUAUAAAAUAUUUCAAUGUUCCUUGUUUAUUGUUAUCCAUCUCGAUCAUUUUUGGUAAACUUUCUUGUCCUGCAUAUAUGGAGUUAGUCAAGUAAAAUUGUUAUAUUAUAUUGGUGAAUAAACAUGAGUCACGAUUCAUUUGGAAAAGUAAUAGAAGAUAUUUAGAUUUAUCUAGCAUGACUCAAAAUCUUCAUCAAGUAUACAGCUUUAGAUAGGUUGGCGCUUGUUGUUUUUGUACCGUGCCUCGUACCAUUGUCUAUUUUUCUGCCCAAAGUCCGACUUGUCUGUCCGUUAGAAUUAGAUGCAAGUGCUUGCAUGUACACAUGGGAUGUGUUUGGCGGCUAGACUUUUUAGUAUAUUUCCCAGUAAGUUGAAUGAUUUAGGCGUGCCUUUUGUUUUUCACCGAAGGACCUGCCCAUGUUUUUUUAAAGUGUGUAGAUGAUCUGAUUUUGUACUCCUAGUAGAUUGAAUUACUUAGGCAUAUAUUUUUUUCUCUCUCAAAAGGACAUGCCCACUUUUUCCUAAUUUGUAUAGGCGACCUAGCUUUGUACGUACGGGCCCAUACUGAAAUAUGUUUGUACGUGAACAAUCAUUUCCUAGUAGAUUGAAUUACUUAGGCGUGCACAUGGAUUACUUAGACCUUUUCCGUGCCUCUUUCUUUUUCGGCUGUGUAGAUCUGUAUAUAUUCUUCUGGCGCUGGUUGACUUUAGGCACAACCCUAUUAAAUCAAUGACAAAUCUAUUAGAUUUGUUUGCAACAUCAUUGGCCUUACUGUAUGAAUUUCUACAAUAAUUACAUUCUCAUUUGAAAAAUAAGAAAACAUUCCCCAUACUUAGUCCUGGUUUCAUCACUCCUAAACGGAUAAGCUUCCCGCAAAAAAAAGGGUAAGCUGAAAAGUGUUAAUCUUAGCCGCAAUGGUGGAAGUCCAAUUAAAAUUUCAGUAAUGGGCAUGCAUUUUGCACUUGAUCUGUUAUUAGAAGCAGUCUUGUGGCAAUAUGAAGUUUGUAAAAUCAUUUUUGUUAUUCUUGAUUUCUUUUUUUGCGGGGAUUGUUAUUCUUGAUUGCACAUGCUUCAUUUGGGUGAAUAAUCCAAUGUCAUACAAAGUUGGAGAUUAAUUUCUUCAAGUUUAGAAAUAUCAAUUAGAUUAUUUAAAAGUAUAGAGUAUAGACAUACCUGAGCCUUGCUUAACUUUAUCUCCCUGUUUUUGUAUCGUGUCCUUGGUGGCAAACUCGGAGUUGUAAUCUAGAAAACAUUCUAAUGGUCCUUUCACCUUCUUUACCUUUAAAUUGUACUCCCUCCGUUUUUUUAGUCUGCAUAUAAAAUUUGGUCAAACUCAAACUUUGUUAACUUUGACUAAGUUUAUAGAAAAUAAUAUGAAGAUUCACAAUAUGAAAUCAAUACUGUUAGAUACCUCAUGAAAUGAAUUUUCAUACCAUAUAGCUUUAGUAUUGUAGAUGUUAAUAUUUUUUUCUAUAAAAUUGGUCAAACUUUACAAAGUUUGACUUUGACCAAAUCUUAUAUGCUGACUAAAAAGAAACGGAGGGAGUAUGAAGAAAUAAAUUAAUUUCAUUUCUCAAUGGUGAUACUUUGUGGAUUUGACAAACUUAAAAGUAUUAUAUGCAUACCUGUAAAAAAGUGUUAUAUGCAUAAAUAGAACUAUCAUUUUCUUUCAUCAAUAUAAUUGUAUCAAAUUCUUCCGGAUAAUAGCAUGAUGCUUUUAAUGUUGAUAGUGACAUGAACUAUUUUGCCAUAUCAGUGCAAACAAAAUAUAAUUAGCAUUUGCUUGUUUUAAAUUGAUGAUCUGUUGUAUGAUUGAGGUAAUCCCACAUUCUCUGUACUUUCACUUGAAUGUUCUAGUUUAUCCUGUUGUUGGUAAGCACUAAAGCUUCUUCAACACCAUAGUUUUUUGGCUGUGAAAGGAUUCUAAAAUUCUUAGUCAGCUAUCUAUGUAAGCACUAAGCUUCAUCAACACCAUAGUUUUUUGGCUUUGAAAGGAUUCUGAAUUUGUUAGUCAGCUAUCUAUGCAACUUUUAUUCUGAUAAAUGAUUAAUUAAUUCAUAAUGUUUACGAACCUGAUUCAAGUGAGACGCAGCUCAGAAGAUCUGUCCUGACUUUACCGGGCAUUGAGAUGCAGCCACAUCAGAGUUUUGGCUUUCUUUGAUAUUUGUCUGGCAUCACAGAGCCGACAAUCUUCGAUUGUUGGUGGUGCUCUAAUCGGAUGGCAGAUUUGUUCUAUAGUCUUUGAUUUUGUUUGUGGUGCUCGCGUAGCAAAUUCUGGAAGACUUCAAUUUUCUCGGUGGUGCUCUGAUCAGGUAGCAGAUUUACAAACAUCGAUUUGUCCAGAAUUGGUUGGAUUCUGACUCUUGGGGUUGGAUGUGGCCGGCUGAGUGCCUUGUCCGAUCCAUGUGGAGUUUCUCUUUAUCAGGACUCCACAUGGUAUUUCCUUUUAUCAAGACUCCGUGUGGAGUUCUAUAGAUUGAGUCUGGUUGUAGUUCUCCUUGUUUUUUUGGCAUGCAUAUGCCCGAUUUGGAAUUAGACGCACGUGAGGUUUUGUAUAUGUGACGGUGGUGCUCUAGUAUGUGAUUACGUCUGGACGUGUCACACAAAAUAGAAUAUAUAUUGCCGUGUGAUCUUGUGUAGUUUAUCUUAGGCGUACGUUGUCCAGACUAUUCUCUUUUUCCGUGUGGACGAUUCCUGCUUGCACUCAUUAAUUACAUGUAGAUGAUUGACUCUUUCCGUACAUGUACAAUAUAUGCAUAUGCAUAGACGUGACAACGUGCUAGUUCAAUAAGUUAGUAAAUACAUGUUAGCAUGUUACGUAAAAACUUUUAAUCUCAGCCAUUAUUAUUUGAAUCUAACGGUGCAAAUAAUAUUAACAUAUGUGGAUAAAUGUGGUAGCUUAUUUGUCUUCUAUUUUAAGUAUAUAAUAGAAGAUUAUUCACGUCCGUUUGCCUAUCUUGAGGCGCCGUACCCGAAAGGGAUUGACAACCCCUUUUACGUGUCGGGUUGCGGGAAUUUUUCAUUUGUGUGCAGGUGCUUUUUACGUUGUGUUGCUUGGUUCUUCUACUGGUUCGAUAAUCUUGGUUUCACAUCUGAGGAAAAUACGUACCGCCGCUGUGUUGCGUCAUCCCUUCCUCUUUGGGUAAAUACCGACGUAGCUUCAAGCCGCAUCAACGUCCCAUCAAUUCUGAUGAUUGGAUGUGCUGGAUGUAAUGCUUUAUUUUCCCGUGCAACUAUUUCAGAUUGUGUACCACAUACUUCUAGGUAUCUUAAAUGAAUAGCAUGUUAUAAUUCGUAAGAGUUGUAUAGAAACUUCUACAGUCAAUGUCUGGUAAGUUACUCAUAGUACUGACUAUACCUUAUAUGAUGCACCAAUGAUGGUCAAUAGUAACUUUUAGAGAGCAGACAUGUCGAAGUUGAUCUCGAUGGUUAGCACAUCAAAUUGUUGUCUCAAAUCUCAACGUCCAUAAAAGAUGCAGAAAAUCUCCAACAAAAAGAAAAUACACAACUCUUUCGGUAGAUAUGGUUACUUGAGUAUCCUUGCCAAACAGCGUUGUAUUCUCAAUUGCAGGUCCUCAAAAUGUGGCAACUCGAUAUCAAAUUCAGCCAAAUGAGCUCCAUUUGCAAUAGUUUGUGUGGAACAAAAGAAUAUACUAUCUGUCUUAUGAUGAUAACGUAUGUACAACAACCAUUAUUACAAAAAUAUAGCGCCCAUACACAGUCCAUAUUAUAAAGGUUAUCUCUAAAUUGCAGCCACAAAUUACUUGUAGUUCCACUUUUCAUAAAAAACAUACUUUUAAAAUAUCAUAAUUUAUUCCUUUGAACAGAUCUUUCAAUAAAAAGCAAGCAUCAUACACAUAACGAAAAUACUGCCUUAUAACAAAAUGAACAAGCUAAAGUGAAUGCAAGCAUGCUUUCAGUGUUUAGUCUAUAACAGGCGGGUAAGGUUCCUCCUUGUUCAAAUGUUGUUCAUCAUCCCCUGUUAAAUAAGAAACAUCACCUCCAUGUAAGAUCAUGCUGAUUGACUCAAGGGAACAGAGAGCAAAAAUACAUUCCUGAAUCGGAUUCUGUUGAUGUGAGCGGUGGUUUAUGAUAUCCCUUGCCACAUUCUCACCAAUCUGCAAACACAUCAGGACACCCAAAAAAUUGCCCCGUUACGAAAUUUGCAGCAGGGGAAUCCUGACGGGAUAAGAAAAACUCGACCGGAGUGUCCCAUGCUGGAACAAAUGGAUGACAGGGGAGCCCAAAAUUACCUUGAGGCCUAAUGGGAUGUACUUCAUGGUGACAGCCUCCUUGGUCUCCUUGUUCCGCAUCAGCAGCGUGACAUCGAAGUUGCUAGUCACGAUAUGCUUGAGUAGCUCGUACCUCUCCAUGGAUCCCGGCCUGCGCGGAGCGACAACUACUGCUGAAGGCACCAGCGCUCCUCUCCUUGUGUUGUCGCAGUGCCUGCACCUUAGCCUCGCAGAUCAACGCCUCCAGGUCCGUUCUCGCGAGAUCCCGUGGACUCGUCGGUAAGAUGAUGUCGGCAUGGCGGCUGGCAGUGACAUUGAGGACGCUAACCCUAGUGCGUCGAAGGAUCAGGGUCGGGAGGUGCGUGCCAAAAGCGAGCGUGACCCUUACGUCUGCGGCGGCAAUCCAAACCGUUGGCGGCAGCGAGAUCGCAUGAGAUCCGGCGGCGUCUUCUCUGUGAAGUCGGCGGCGACGAUUUUGUGCGUCUGUGUCAGGAAGAUUGCACGACAUCGGCUGUGUUUACUCGAGGGGAUCGAGAGGAGCGGCGUUUCGUGCAGGGUAGGUUUUUUUUUGGUGCGUGUGUGGGGUAGGGAAGAGGACGAAAAAAACCAGUCGAAAAAACCAGAUGGAAGUGGCGGACGAAAAAAAACCAUGGAGGCAAUCCUACGUGCGGGAGGAGGUUUGCAACACCACUGAAGGUUAAGGCAAUGUGAAGCUUGAACAACGAAGUAAUAUAUUUAGAUAUUAGUAGUUCAAGUUUGCUAGAAAAAUCAUACGUCGGUAGAGAAAAACCAUAAGACCUUAUUAUGAUAAUUGUUGUAAUUGUACGACAUGGCUCUCAAGUGUUUGCAAUUAUAAAUCCUAAGGAGGGCAUUAAAAAUGAUAAAAAUACCUCAAGGAGACCGUACAGAAUAUAUUUUUCUGUAUUCCUUCUCCAACAACUGAUUUAUUUCUUCUGUCAAACAUUCAUAUUUCCCUGAUUCAAUUGGAGCAUUCUCAAUAGUAGCACUUCCUCCAAGAUUAUACACAGAGAUGUCCCAUCAAUUCUGAUGAUUGGAUGUGCUGGAUGUAAUGCUUUAUUUCCCCCUGCAACUAUUCCAGAUUGUGUACCACACUACUAGAAAAAGGGCUAUAGAUGAUAUGGCCACUAAUAACGCACCAGACAUGUCGUGCGCCAUUAGUAUAUACUAAUGGCGCACCAUGUGUAGGUGCGCCAUUAGUAACAAUUUUUUUUUUCAAAACUAGUAAUGGCGCACCAGUGGAUAGUGCGCCGUAAUGGUGCACCACAUUCACAGUGCGCCACUAGUAUUUUUUUUUUCAAAUAUUUUUUUCAUUUUUUUAUUAUUUAUUUUUUUAAAACUAGUAAUGGCGCACUGUCAACAGGUGCGCCAUUACUAAGUUUUUUUUCAAAAAAAUAUUCAGAAUUUGUUUUAUUUUUUUCAAAACUAGUAACGGCGCACCGUGGGUGUGGUGCGCCAUUACUAGUUUAACUAGUAAUGGCGCACCACUCCCACGGUGAGCCAUUACUAACUUGGCCCAAAAUUUCCACCGAAUGCACCCCCCCUGGACCGCCUUUUCAGUUAAAAAAAUAAAAAAAUUGAUGGAAAUGUCAAAAAAAUAAAAGAAAAUAAGUUUCCCAUGUGAUAUGUGGUUUAGUUGUUGGGAAAAUUUCCAAAUAUGAAUUUCGACUUUAUUUGCAAAAUCUCUCUAGAAUUUGUAAAAUGGGCAUAACUUUUGCAUACGAACUCGGAUUAAAAGGUUUUCUAUAUGAAAAAUUAUCUACUCGAAAAGUUACAUCCAAAUUUAACCGGGGGAACCCCGUUAAACAUUUUCAAAAUCCCCAAAAACCUAACAGAAAAAAGUUACGGGGCUUUUAAGAUCCGGAGGCAAAAAAAUUCAGAAAAUUUCAAACUUACUAGUGGCGCACCGUAUGCUAGGUGCGCCACUAGUAACAGAAAAAAAAUUGGUUUCGAAAAAUAAUUUGAAUUAUUUUUCAAAAUAUGAUACGUAAUAUGACCGGGAAGUUUGAAAUAUUUUUUCAAAAUUUCAUCAUACUCAUGAACUAAGUCCUAGACAUCAGCAAUGUUUAAUAGGAUUGAGAUGAUGGAUAUAUCAACAAGUGCCUGUGAAGUGAGGUGGUGCUGGGGUUGGAUAGAACUACGAAGUUAAGCGUGCUCGGGCCGGAGUAGUGUGAGGAUGGAUGACCUUCCGGGAAGUUUGACCAUAGAGUGUGAUUUGACCCGAGAUUAAGCCAUAGUGACCCGAAAUUAAGAAAAAAUUGAAAAAAAUAAAAAAAAUUGAAAAAAAUUGCUACUAAUGGCGCACUCCUGCGUGGUGCGCCAUUAGUAUACCAGAUACUAAUGGCGCACCGUGGGCUAUACUAAUGGCGCACCUGUGGUGUGCCAUUAGUAGCGAAAACAAGUGCGCCACUAGCAGCUCUUUUUCUAGUAGUGCCACAUACUUCUAGGUAUCCUAAAUGAAUAACAUGGUUAGAAUUCACAAGAGUUGUAUAGAAACUUCUACAGUCAAUGUGUAGUAAGUUACUCAUAGUACUAACUAUACCUUAUAGGAUGCACCAAUGAUGGUCAACAAUAACUUUUAGAGAGCAGACAUGUCGAAGUUGAUCUUGAUAGUUAGCACAUCGAAUUGAUGUCUCAAAUCUUAACGUCUAUAAAAGAUGCAAAAAACUCCAACAAAAGGAAAAUACAUCACUCUUUCAGUAGAUAUGAUUACUCUAGUAUCCUUGCCAAAAAGUGUUGUAUUCUUCAAUUGCAGGUCCUCAAAAUGUUUCAACUCGGUAGCAAAUUCAUCCAAAUGAGCUCCAUCCGCAAUAGUUUGUGAGGAACAAAAGAAUAUACUAUCUCUCUUAUGAUGAUAACAUAUGUACAACAACCGUUAUUACAAAAAUACAUCGGCCAUAAACAGUCCAUAUUAUAAAGGUUAUCACUAAAUUGCAGCCACAAAUUACUUGUAGUUCCACUUUUCAUAAAAAAACAUACUUUCAAAAUAUCAGAAUUUAUUCCUUUGCACAGAUCUUUCAACAAAGGGACAAUUGCAUUUUCCCCCUAGUUGGUUCCUACCCACGGGUUUUGCCCUUACUUUUCGAGCUUGCUCAGUUUUGCCCUUACCUUUUCCGUCGAGGUCCCUCGAAUGCCCUUUGACCGUUUGACCAAAACUUUGAAAAUUCAUAACUAAUUCAUAUGAACUCAGAAAAAUACAAAUAAGAUAUCAAAAUGUUCAGAUAAACAUUACCUUUAUGUGCAUAUCAUUUGCAUUCAGGACAAAAGCACCCUUUAAACUACCUAAGGUAAUUAAUGUUAUUAACAUUAUUAAAAAUAAAAGGUAUAAACAAUAUUUUUUUUCAUGAAUAAAAAUUACAUGCAAAUGUAGGUGAUGUUUCCUGAACAUCCUGAUAUCUUAUUUGCAUUUUUCUGAGUUCGUAUAAAUUUUUUAUGAAGUUUCGAAAUAAUGGUCAAAGUCGUUAGAACAUUCAUAACAAGAUGAUACGGACUCAGGAAAAUGCAAAUAAGAUAUCUGGAUGUUCAGUAAACAUCACCUACAUUUGCAUGUAAUUUUUAUUCAUGAAAAAAAAUUGUUUAUACCUUUUUAUUUUUAAUAAUGUUAAUAACAUUAAUUACCUCAGGUAGUUUAAAGGGUGCUUUUGUCCUGAAUGCAAAUGAUAUGCACAUAAAGGUAAUGUUUAUCUGAACAUUUUGAUAUCGUAUUUGCAUUUUUCUAAGUUCAUAUGAAUUGGUUAUGAAUUUUCAAAGUUUUGGUCAAACAAUUAAAGGGCAUUAGAGGGACCUCGACUGAAAAAGUAAGGGCAAAACCCGUGGGUAGGAACCAACUAGGGGUAAAAAUGCAAUUGUCCCUUCAAUAAAAAGCAAGCAUCAUACACAUAACGAAAGCACUGCCUUGUAACAAAAUGAACAAGCUAAAGUGAAUGCAAGCAUGCUUUCAGUGCUUAGUCUAUAACAUGCGGGUAAGGUUCCUCCUUGUUCCCAUGUUGUUCAUCAUCCCCUGUUAAAGAAGAAACAUCAUCUCCAUGUAAAAUCAUGCUGAUUGACUCAUGGGAACAGAGAGCAAAAACACAUUCUUGAAACGGAUUAUGUUGAUGUGCCGCGCGAGCGGUGGUUUAUGAUCUCCCUCGCCACAUUCUCACCAAUCCGCAAACACAUCAGGACACCUGAAAAAGUUCCCCGUUGCUAAAUUUGCAACAGGGGAAUCCUGACGGGAUAAGAAAAACUCGACCGGAGUGUCCCAUGCUGGAACAAAUGGAUGACAGGGGAGCCCGAAAUUACCUUGAGGCCCAAUGGGAUGUACUUCAUGGCACAACCUCCUUGGUCUCCUUGUUCCACAUCAGUAGCGUGACGUCGAAGUUGCCAGUGGCGGUAUCCUUGAGUAGCUCAUACCUCUCCAUGGAUCCCGGCCAGCACCGAGCGACAAUUGAUGCUGAAGGCACCAGUGCUCAUCUCCUUGCGUUGUCGCAAUGCCUGCACCUUGGCCUCGCAGAUCAACGCCUCCAGGUCCGCGCUCGUGGGAUCUCGUGGACUCGUCGGUAAGAUGAUGUCGGCAUGGUGGCUGGCAGCGGUUGGUGGCGGCGCGGAGGACACUAACCCUAGUGUGUCGUGGGAUGAAGGUCAGGAGGUGCGUGCCAAAAGCGAGUGUGACCCUUACGUCUGUGGCGCCAAUCCCAUACUGUGGCAAUGAUCCCGUACAUCGGUGGCAGCUAGAUCGCACGAGAUCCGACAGCAUCUUCUCUAUGAGGUUCAUGGCGGCGAUUUCAUGUGUCUGUGUUAGGAAGAUCGCACGACGACGACUAUGUUUACUCGAGGGGAUCGAGAGGAGCGGCNNNNNNNNNNNNNNNNNNNNNNNNNNNNNNNNNNNNNNNNNNNNNNNNNNNNNNNNNNNNNNNNNNNNNNNNNNNNNNNNNNNNNNNNNNNNNNNNNNNNNNNNNNNNNNNNNNNNNNNNNNNNNNNNNNNNNNNNNNNNNNNNNNNNNNNNNNNNNNNNNNNNNNNNNNNNNNNNNNNNNNNNNNNNNNNNNNNNNNNNNNNNNNNNNNNNNNNNNNNNNNNNNNNNNNNNNNNNNNNNNNNNNNNNNNNNNNNNNNNNNNNNNNNNNNNNNNNNNNNNNNNNNNNNNNNNNNNNNNNNNNNNNNNNNNNNNNNNNNNNNNNNNNNNNNNNNNNNNNNNNNNNNNNNNNNNNNNNNNNNNNNNNNNNNNNNNNNNNNNNNNNNNNNNNNNNNNNNNNNNNNNNNNNNNNNNNNNNNNNNNNNNNNNNNNNNNNNNGUGGGGGUCGGGGGAGGGGGCGGAAAAACUAGUCGAAAAACCGGACGAAUAUGACGGGCGAAAAAAACCCGCGGAGGCAAUCCUACCAACUGAGACAUUAGAAGUAGAGAUAGAUAUGACAUAACCAUUGGGGGAGGGGGGAGGGGGCAUGACCCUUGCUUGUCUCUCCUUAGCUCCGCCCUUGAGUGGUGCUAUUUUACAAGACUUGAAGGGAGGUUUUGUUGUUGCGGCCAUGGAAUAUAAACCGAAUGGAAUGGACGGUCCGACGAUGGAGGAGUUUGCGCUAUUGUCGGGACUACGACUUGUUGAUAAGAUGGACAUUUUUUCUUUGUCCACUCUUAGUGAUUCUAUGGCGAUUGUUCAAGCUAUCCAAAAUUUGGACGACUAUCGGGCGUCGGGUGCGGUAAUUACUGAUGUUUGUCGAAGGUUGAUGAGUUCUUUCGGCAAGGCGAGGAUAAAUCAUUGUGUGUGUGAUGUAAACGAGUGUGCUCAUACUAUUGCUUGUUUUAGUUUCUUGGGUUAGGAGUCAAGGGUGUGGCAUGAUAAACCUCUUGCUUUCCUGAUUCUGCUGAUUGUAAAGGAUAUGAUUAUUAAUUAAAUAAAGUCGCCGAAGUUAAAAAAAGGUAAUAUCAGCCGGAGUCAUAGAACUUGUGUCGUAUGUUUAAUUUGGUGCUAGAAUUUUUAAAAAUACGGUUUUGUGGCCAUCUAACUUGACUCAGACGUGUAGAUACGGUCAUAGUACAUGUAUCUGAGUGUAUCCAUGUGUAUGGACCCACCUGUCGGUGAGUGAUAGAGCUGGGCAUGGCAUAUUUUUUACAAAAAUACUCUUAUAUUUUUUUUAUUUAUGGAAAAGUCAACUACUGCAAGACAUUUAUACGAAACUUAAGAAAAAAACCCAGUAUACCCUAGGACUCGAACAAACGACCGUAUCUUUUAAUACAAAAUGCUCUAGCCUUUUCACCACCAGUUCAGUAUGUCUAAUCUCCAUAACGAACUCCUAUGUACUCAAAAGUGAUGCAUGUGGAGCUUAAAUGUACUGUGUAUAUUUCUGUCCACGCGCUACUUCUUUAAGAUAUUUGUAAAACAUGUGUGUUAUAUAAAUGUGUUUGUUACAUAUUUUUCACAUGUUUUUAUAUAAAUUUCUUUACCUCCAAAAAUAUUUUUUUGGCUAAUAAUUUUAAGAUAAUUUUUACUAAAUAUUUUAUAAACCUGAGUAUUAUAUAAACCAGUGUGUUAUAUAAAUUUGUGUAUUACAUAUUUUGUUUGCAUAAUUAUAAUUUUAAAAAUAUUAUUUAAAUUAUACAAACAUUUCAAUAAGUAUACACACAUUUGUGUAGUUCGAUUUUUGCAUGAUUAAAAAUAUUCAUAAUUUUAAAUUUAAACUAUUAAUAUGGACAUUCAAUCAUGGCUAAUAUUUUUUAAUAUAAGUCAUGAAUAAAAAUUAUGCACAAGUAAAUAUUCAUAUAUAUUUAGUAAAUGGUUGUAUUCGUCAUUCUGUAUAGUUUAAAUAUAAGCUACACGUUUUUCUUUUUUGGAUCUAUUAAACAUAUUUAUCUAGUAAACAUUUUCAAUGUCUGUAUCAACUAAAUAUAUUUUAUAUAAUACACAAGUUUAUAUUUAAAUGUUUUAUUUAUUAAUCAUGGUUUGUAUGUAUAGUAUUUUAACACGUAAAUAUUUGAACUUAAUUUUAUUACUUACGGUUUACAAAUAUCUUAAAUGUAUUUAUUACUUACAUUUUACCGAAUAUUUCAUAUAUAAUACACAUGUUUAUAUUUACUAAUCAUCAUCUGUAUGUAUAUAUAUUUAACACAUAAAUAAUUGAUCAUAAAUUUAUUACCUUUUUAACAAAUAUCUUAAAAAAUAGCGCGUGCAUAUGGGCCACAGAUAUGCAGCCCAUUUAAGCUCCGCAUGUGUUGGCUUCCAAUCAACAAAAAAAGUUUGGUUGGGCCAACCCCACGACCAAACAUGUAUCCCACAUUUGGUGGAUUUUGAUGAAUAAAGCUUGGUUCUACCCCUAAAGAAACAAAAUAAAAAGUUUGUACCCCCAAAAAAAGUUUGUUACCUUCCUCAGAAAUAAUAUGUAAGUUAGUUAUCUGUGUUAUACUAUAGACUAACCUGGAGGUUGUAUUGGCUUGAGUGUAUCGUGUUAAACCUGCUGUAUGCAGGUUUGAGUCCCAGCGACCCUAUUUUUUAUUGUCAAUUUUCACAUAUAAUGGCAGUACUGUUAUCGGAUUUUUCUGUAAAUAAGAAAUGUGAAGGAAUUUUGUGUAAAUAUGUGUCGUGGUGGUUGACUUUUUCCGCAACUAAAAAAAUCUGAGUGUGUUUUUGUAAAACUAUUCGUGUCUACUACUACCACUCACUGAUAAGUGGUGCCAUACACAUGGAUACGCGACAUAUGUGUACUGUGACCUUAUAUCCAUGCUUGAGUCAAGUUAGAUGACCAUAAAACAGUAUUUUUAUAAAGUUUAAGCACCAAACUAAACAUGUGAUGUAAGUCUUGUGGCUCCGGGAGAUAUUAUAUUACCUAAAAAAAGCCACUCAAGUAUUUCACAUUGUUCGGUGCCAUUCCGUCCGACUAUCCAAUUCCUGGACGUUGCAUGCAAGGCUAGCGUGCGAAGUAAAAAAAAAAAACUCCGCUUGAUAUGGCAGUUAAUUAGAGCCAGUGAUUUUGGGGAGAGACAUUAUGGCAGUUAAUCGGUAAAUAGGAGUAAAAUGUUUCCUCACGAAUUAUCUUUGGGCAGAUACUAUGGCACUAGGAGGAGUACAGCGUUUCCUUAGGAACUAAGAUAAGUAAUGUUUAAUUUCUUUUCAUAUAUAGUUCCAGUGAUUUGGGAGAGACAUUAUGGCAGUUAAUCGGUACUAAGGAAUAGGAGUAAAAUGUUUCCUCGUGAAAUAUUUUUUGGGCAGAUACUAUGGCACUAGGAGGAGUACAACGUUUCCUUAGGAACUAAGAUAGGUAAUAUUUAAUUUCUUUCCAUAUAUAGUUCGAACUAUAUAUGGAAUGCCGUAAAUGCUAGUAAAAAUGGGUGUUUGUUACCUACCACUACUAAAGAAUGGCCGAGCUGUAUAAAUAGGCAACUAGACCCUUCCGCCCUCCUCACCCAUCAAAAUUCAAUUCAUAGUGAUCUAGAUAUGGCGAUCAAGCUUAUAGCAGUAGCGUUUUUCUUGCUUGUCCUGGCCUUUGCUGAGUCCAGCGAUAGGGGUGAACCUCCAUCAUCUCGUAAGUACUAGUGCUAGCUUUACCAAGUCGAGGGUGUGUCAAGUCUGAAUCACCUCAUAUAGUUUGUUAUUUCCUGCAGAAGAAAAUGCUUUUGGUGCGAGUGCUUAUGCGGUUCAUUGGGAUCCAGAUCAUGCGCAUUCUGGUAAAUACUUGUGCUACCUUCCCAAGUUGACAAAUUUGUUAAUUGUGAGUCAACGCCUGACUCUUAUUUACUGUAGAAGAAAACGGUUUUGGUGAAAGUGCUUAUGCGGUGCAUUGGGAUCCUCCUUCUCGUAAGUACUUGUGCUACCUUACCAACUAAUUUUUUUUGUUAAUUGUGAAUUAACUCCUAGGUUCUUAUUUCCUCUAGAAAAAGACAACUUUGGUGAAAGUGCGUAUGCGGUACAUUGGGAUCCCCCUUCAAGUAAGUACUUGUGCUACCUUGCCAUGUUGAGAAUGUGUUAAUUCUAAAUAUACUCAUAGUUUGUUAUUUCAUGCAGAAGAAAAAGGUUUUGGGGCAAGUGCUUAUAAGGUGGACUGGAACCCACCUUCGAGUAAGUACUUGAGCUACCUUACCAAGUCAAGAAUGAGUUAGCCCUGAAUGAACUCAUGGUUUGUUAUUUCCUGUAGAAGAAGAAGGUUUUGGGGCAAGUGCUUAUAAGGUGGACUGGAACCCACCUUCGAGUAAGUACUUGUGCUACCUUACCAAGUCGAGAAUGUGUUAGUCCUGAAUGAACUCAUGGUUUGUUAUUUCCUGCAGAAGAAGAAGGUUUUGGGGCAAGUGCUNNNNNNNNNNNNNNNNNNNNNNNNNNNNNNNNNNNNNNNNNNNNNNNNNNNNNNNNNNNNNNNNNNNNNNNNNNNNNNNNNNNNNNNNNNNNNNNNNNNNNNNNNNNNNNNNNNNNNNNNNNNNNNNNNNNNNNNNNNNNNNNNNNNNNNNNNNNNNNNNNNNNNNNNNNNNNNNNNNNNNNNNNNNNNNNNNNNNNNNNNNNNNNNNNNNNNNNNNNNNNNNNNNNNNNNNNNNNNNNNNNNNNNNNNNNNNNNNNNNNNNNNNNNNNNNNNNNNNNNNNNNNNNNNNNNNNNNNNNNNNNNNNNNNNNNNNNNNNNNNNNNNNNNNNNNNNNNNNNNNNNNNNNNNNNNNNNNNNNNNNNNNNNNNNNNNNNNNNNNNNNNNNNNNNNNNNNNNNNNNNNNNNNNNNNNNNNNNNNNNNNNNNNNNNNNNNNNNNNNNNNNNNNNNNNNNNNNNNNNNNNNNNNNNNNNNNNNNNNNNNNNNNNNNNNNNNNNNNNNNNNNNNNNNNNNNNNNNNNNNNNNNNNNNNNNNNNNNNNNNNNNNNNNNNNNNNNNNNNNNNNNNNNNNNNNNNNNNNNNCGAGUAAGUACUUGUGCUACCUUACCAAGUCGAGAAUGUGUUAGUCCUGAAUGAACUCAUGGUUUGUUAUUUCCUACAGAAGAAGAAGGUUUUGGGGCAAGUGCUUAUAAGGUGGACUGGAACCCACCUUCGAGUAAGUACUUGUGCUACUUCACAAGUCGAGUAUGUGUUAGUCCUGAAUGAACUCAUGGUUUGUUAUUUCCUGCAGAAGAAAAAGGUUUUGGGGCAAGUGCUUAUAAGGUGGAUUGGAACCCAGAAGAUACACAUUCCAGUAAGUACUUGUGCUACCUCACAAAGUCGAGAAUGUGUUAAUCUAGAAUAAAAUCAUAGUUUGUUAUUUCCUGCAGAAGAAAAAGGUUUCGGCGAAAGUGCUUACAAGGUGACUUGGAGCCCAGAAGAUGCACAUUUCGGUAAGUAUUUGUGCUACCUUACCAAGUUAGUCCUGAAUCAACUCAUGAUUUGUUAUUUCUUGCAAAAUAAAAAGGUUUUGGGGCAAGCGCUUAUAAGGUCUCUUGGAGUCCAGAUGGUGCACCUUCUGGUAAGUACCCGUGAUAUCUUAGCAAGUGGAGAAUGUUUUAAUUCUGAAUCAACUCACAUAUUAUUUCCCUCAAAAGAGAAAGGAUUUGGUUCAAGUGCUUAUGCGGUACAUUGGGAUCCAGAUCAUCCACCUUCUGGUAAGUACUUGUGCUACGUUUCUUAUCAAGUGGAAGAAUGUGUUCGUUCUGAAGUAACUCAUAGUUUGUUAUUUCUUAUAGAAAAAACCGGUUUUGAUGCAAGUGCUUACGCGGGACAUCGGGAUCCAAAUCAUGCACACUCUCGUAAGUACUUGUGCUACCAUAUCAAGUUGAGAUUAUCUUAAAUAUGAUGUGUUAGUUUGUUAAUACUCAUGUAAAAAGAUAUGCAUUUAAUCUCCAAAAUUAACAUUACUAUGUCAGUAUUUCAGCUGAACUAUUGGUUUAAUUAAUAACAAUGCAGCUUCCUCCAUUCCUGAAGCACCAACAAAACACAAGCAUAUAAAAGUUCAAACCGGCAUGUUAUUCCUGAAGAAGAAUCUGCACAUCGGCACUACACUUCCUAAAGGAACCAUGUUUGCACGAGACGGUGCACCAAAGUCUGUUCAUUUUGCCUCUACUCCAUUGGAGUCAAAGUACUUGGCAACCAUCCUUUCAUAUUUCAUGAUACCUCAUGGCUCGACCAAGGCAAAGCAGGUAGCUGACACCCUUCGUUCAUGCGGCAAACCGGUUGACAAGGAGGAUCCUCACAUGUGCUUCUCAUCCCGUGAAGCAAUGUCAAGGUUCGC